rnacentral:lncRNA from 1 species
UGGCACCACUCAUCCUCCCCAUCUAUCGGAUACCUAAAUUUCUUGCGGGUGAAGAGGUGUCACAAUUUGAAAUACCUGUUCCCGUUUUUCUUAGCAAAAGAUCUUGAGCAACUCCGAUUCCUUGGAAUUUUGGACUGUAAUAUGAUGGAACAAGUAAUAUUCACGGAUGGAUUGGUUGAGGAACAUCAAGGGAGGAAUCAGAUGUUUUUCUUUAAUCUACAUUCGCUGUGGCUAAACGACCUUCCCAAAACUCACAAGUUUGUGCUUUGAAAAUUACUUUGAAUUUCACUGUUUAGCAGAUUUAACACUAAGAAAUUGUCCAUUGCUAAAAACAUUCAUCUCUAAAUGUGUACCCGGAGAUGAACCUCAAAUUGGCCAACAUGUACAGGCAAGUAACUUGGAGGUUCAUAACUCAUCUCUCCUCAAUGAAAAGGUAAUUUCUUCAAGGAUCCUCCUUUUAAUUUAUGUUACUUCGAUUGAUUUUAUUCAUUUGAAGUUCUUUCUUUUUCAUACAUAUUUCAGUUAUUAGCCUAAUGAAAUGAUUUAUUAGAUUGUUUUCUCUAGUUUGAAGUACUUGUCGAUUCAGAAUUGUGAUUCGUUAGAAGAAAUUAUUGAGCUGGAAGGACUCAUUGCUGAUGAGUCACAGUCAACAUCAGCUGCUCAAUCUACUGUGGCUGAAACAGUGACGACCAAGUUUGUAUUUCCCAAACUAAUAAACCUUGGAUUGGAUAAGGUGCCAAGAUUGAAAAGUUUCUACUCUAGGAUGCAUACCACCCAGUGGCCUUCAUUGAAACGAAUGAGCAUUAUUGAAUGCCCCAAAGUACAGAUAUUUACUCGACAAUGUCCUGUGAGUCAGGUUGGAAUCUCAAACCAACAACCCUUGUUUUGCGUCAAUAAGGUAAGCUCACGAACAGUUUCAUAUUCCAUGAUCAUUACUUGAGAUUACCUAUAAAAUGCUUUUUGAAAAAACUAAUAUUCUCUCCUCUUUUAAUUUUAUGAGAGUCUAGUUCUUACUAAUUUAAAACUCUUUCAUCGAUGUCUAAUAUAUUCGUUGCCAUCCAGGACACUUUCCCUGUAUUAGAAGAACUAACACUGAAGACGAAUGAUAUGGGGAAGGGGAUAUGUGAUGGACAACUCUCAUUGCAGUGUUUCCAAAACCUUAAGCAUCUUAACCUCCAAUUCUUUCCUGAGACAUCCACUACUCUUCCGUAUUCCUUCAUUCGGUCACUACCAAUGCUUCAUAAGCUUGUUAUAGACAAUGCUUCCAUUUGUCAAAUAGUACAAUCUGAAGGACUCAGCGACCAGGAAUGGCAUACAGCAGCAUUCUAUCAGCUAAAGGAAUUAAGUUUGUCUCAACUUCCAGAGUUGACGUUAAAGACUUUUGAACCAUCAUUGCUGUCUUUCAAAAAUCUAACAACACUGAAAGUUUCAAGAUGCCAUGGGUUCAUCAAUUUAAUCGCAUGCUCAACAGCUAAGUGCCUGAGGCUACUGGAAAGUUUGAGCAUAGAUGAUUGUGAGAUGAUAGAGGAAAUCUUAGCGUGUGAGGCUGAAGAAAUACAAGGCGGCAUUGUAUUUCCCAAACUGAAGUAUUUGCAACUAAGCUGUCUGCCAUGUCUAGCAAGCUUUUCCUCGGCCCAUCACUCGUUGGAAUUCCCAGUCUUGCUAAUGGUGAAGGUGACAAAGUGCCCCAAAAUGAGGAAUUUCUGCCAAGGAGAUUUAAGCACACCAAGGCUGGAACAAAUGCACUUAACAAGAGAUGAGGAAGGUGAGCUGCAGUGGGAAGGCGACCUUAACACUACCAUAAAACAUAUGUUCGAUGAAAUGGUACAAAUCAUUUAAAGGAUUUAAAUUCAUGGGUUUUUACAUACAUACAUACAUACAUACAUAGUUAAUUGAACAAUUCUUGGUUUGUUAUGAUCAUGCACAGAAUGUGCAAAAUUCUGAGGUGACGGAGGUUACUGAUCAAUUGCCCAAGCUGGAAUAAGGAAAUAUGUAUGGGUGCUUAUGCGAAAAGCUCAAUUUCGUUUGAAUUCAAAACAAAUGGUAAUUGACUCUUCUAUUUUCAUCAUGGCUUAACUAAUGCUUUAUAAAGUGACCAUAGAGACGCCCUUUUCAUUGUAGGUUGAGUUGCUCUACUGAAGUACGAGGCUGCAACUUUUGGUAAAAUGUGAAAGGUUAUUUCAGUUUUGGUAAAACUACUAUUUGAACUGUUCCAUUUCACAUUAUACCCUCAAAAUUGAACUUCAUUGGGCUACAAACAUGUAAACUUUUACUAGUAAGGUUGAGCCCUGUUUUAAGUAUUUGCCAACUUUUGAUGGUUGCCAUAUCAAUGUCAGCUUAAAGCUAUCAAGUAUCUUUACAAAUAUAAGAUAUAUAUAUAUUAUUCCUUAAUGAGGGAUAAAAGUAGGCAGCUAUGUACUAAUGAUACGGUUGAUUCUGAAAAGACGGCCGAAAUUGAAUCAAUGGGUUGUUGGUAUUUGCCUGAUGGAAGAACAGGGCCUAAUGUUGCGUGGAUUCUGGUCAAGUUUUAAAUUUUCAGUUGUGGGCAUUACUGAUUGUUGUCAUUUGGUUGUUGAUCCUCUGAUUUUACGAUUGACUGUCUUGCUUAUUCGUUGCAAGGUUGGCGGGUCUCAAGUAUGAAUUUCCAAACCGGCUUUCAUCCAUAAUUAACUAAGUGUUCCAAUCCAUGGAGUUUAUGGUUUAUUAGCGUAACUGUCCAUUUUAUUUGUUGAGGAAAAAAAAUAUGAGGAUUAAUCUGAUAUUUAAUGUUUGGGUUUUUGAAUAUUUUUGUGCCUUUAAUGAAAGAAAGCAAAUAAAAUAGAGACGUACAAGAUCACAUCCAUAGAUCAACAAAAGGGUUUAAUAUUUCUAUAAAAAAUUGUCCCAAAAAGGCCUUAUGGGAAUUGAUCAUAUAAACUAAUGAAGGCCAUUGAAAAUAAAGCUUGUAAAAGUUUACAGAAGGAAUUGAUGAGAAUCUGAUACACUAUUCAUUUUGUUGCGAUAAGAGUUUAUGGCCUUGUAGGAGCCUCUCCCCAAAUUGCUAGCAAAAGAAACAAAAGGAUUAAUGCACGUCGAUAAUGGCAGAUUUAUAUUUGCUACAAAAGGUGAAGAGCCCAAGACCCUCCAACCUCCUCGGAACAGUUUGAAAUCGUUCCAAAAUAUGCUCUAGCAAAUGUUCCAAGCCAUCUCAUGCGACAGUUUUCCCUUAAAAGCAUUAGUGGCUGAGUCUAGUCUUAAUUUUUAUUUGUAUCUUUUAUAUCCGUUUUAUAAUUCAUAUUUAGGAUUUGUAUUAUUUAAAAAAGGAAAAUCUUUGAAAUAAAAAAAAACAGUAUGUUUUAUAUAAUUAUUUAAAGUUACUCUCACAUUAUUUUUACCCAUUCAAAGCUAGCAAGUCUUUUAUGUACAAAAUCGUAUAGCUCUGCAAUUUGGAAUAACAUUUUGGUCACCUCCAUGUGAAGUGAGAGAAAAUUGAGAAUGUCACACAAUUAUUAUUUUUCCCUCCAUACCCCUAUGCCACCAAAGAAACUUGAAUUAUUAAGGCACAAAAGCACUAAGGAGUAGGAGCUAGAAAAAGAGGGGCAUGAAAAUAAAGAGAGUUACAUUUAUUAUUUGCAUAAUACAAAAUUAGUCUUUAAUAUUUACACAUUUUAUUAUUUUUAUUUUUUAUUAAUUAAAUUUGGCUUUAAACUCUUUAAAAAGAGUUGAAUUUGAACAUCAACCUUUUAAAAAGAGUUAUAUUAUUAUUUAACGGAAAUGUUAAAUUUUGAAAUACAUAUAAGAAUAUAAUUUUAUUAAAUUAUAUAUUUUUAUUAAAUUAUAUUAAAUUAUAUUUAAUAAUAAUUAUUUUAAAUUAUAUUUUAUAGUAUUAUAUAUUAUGAUUUUAGUAAAUUCAUAUAUUUUAUUAAAUUAUAUAUUUUUAUUAAAUUAUAUUUAAUAAUAAUUAUGUUAAAAUAUGAUUAAAUUAUUUAUUAUUUAUAUUAAUAACCUUAUUAAAAUUUAAUAACAAUAACAAUAAUCAUCGACCUAAAAAAAAUUCUACUAAGGGUAUUCUCGUCAUUUUAGCUUUUUUCCUUAUGCUAUUACACCAUCAUUCCCUUCAACCAAACACAAGAAUAUUAUUACGCCUCUAUUCCAUUCCAUUCAACCAAACAAAAGGAUUACCUAUUACGCCUUUAUUCCAUUACGCCUCUAUUCCAUUACGCCUCUAUUCCAUUACAGCGAACCAAACGUGCCCUAAAGGUUCAAAGAUUUCUGCUUAAAUUUGGACUUCACUCCUUAAGCUUCAAGUUCAAGUUUUUUGGUAUAUAAAUUUUGGACCUUAAUUUGGUAUGUAUUUAAGCUUAUUAGUAAUAAUGUGAAUUAUGUACGAAAGAUAAUGUUUUGUGUUAUAAAGUAUCUCGGUUAUAAUGAAAUAAGAAUAAAUUGAAGUGAUGAGUUUAGUGUUAAAUGUAGCAUCUCUUACUCAAAUUUGUUAUCGAAUCGGGUGAGAGGUGUUACUACUAGAAUAUAAAUUACCCUUUCUUUUUUCUUAAGAUAAAUGUAUUUUUUUUAAUUAAAUUCGUACAUAAAAUGAUAUUUUUACUAAAAUAUUAAAUUCGAAAAAGAAAUUUAAGACAAAAACAUUUUAGCCAACAACAUAUUCAUUGUAGGAUCAAAAACAUUAAUGCAAGAAACUUAAAACAAGGAAUCAAAAGUCUAGAACAAGCAAUCAAACUUAUUUUAUAUGAUCCACCAUUAAAAUUUUAGAAUAUGAUAAACAAGCAAUCAAAUAUUAAGUGCACAAUUUUAGAUUCACUAUACAAGAGCUGAGAACGAGAAAGCUAUCACAUCAGAUGGCUUGGUACAAUUAAUUAGACCGUGUUGCAGUACCUCUCUGGCAUCAACUUCGCUUGUAAAUUUCUAUAAGCUGUCACUUCAAUGGCCUUCAUCAACUUGCAGCUCUAAUCUAAAUUGUACAAAACCAAUUGAUAACAAAUUCACAAUCCACAGAUUGUGGGCUCAUAAUGCUAAUGACAAAUCAAUGUCUCGUUAUGAUUCAAGUAAUCCAUACACCGUUGGAUAGGUGCAAGGAUUGUUUGGAUCAUAAGAGAGCAUUGGUUUGUUCUUAGAAUUAUGUGUCCAUAUACCAUGGAUCUUGAACUCAUUAAGGAUUGGUGGUGUACAACUCAGACUAAAGCUAUAGGCUAAUAAAGGCCAUUGAAGAAAAAGCUUACGAAAAUUACAAGCGAAGUUGAUGCCGGUAGGGGUGCUGCAAAUGCUGCUCAAAAUGAAAAGAGAAGAACAAGAGGAGUACUCUCUCUCUCUCUCUAUAUAUAUAAGUAUAUACUCUUCUCCAUGCUGCACAUUAUUGCAAAAAAAGAAAACACACAAGGGACCAAUCUUAGAUCUUCACAAAGGUCAUUUGAGAUCAAAGGAGAAGAACAAGAAAAACAAAGGUGAGGGGUUUGAAGAAAGAGCCAAAUAUAUAAAGGAAAAAUUAAGUGAGAGAGAGGAUGGGUUUAAUUUAAAGAUUAAAUGUUUCUUUUUUGGUAAACACAUUUCUUUGGUCCCUCUCAAUUUUGAUGUUGAGCAAAUUAGCCCAUUUCUAAAAAUUUUGGAGAAAUUUGAUCAUUGUUGAUUUUGAAAGUGAGCAACUAAAUACAAUUAAUCAUAACGUUUAUGUUUUUCAUCAGUUCUACAAUUUUUUUCUUGGUAUAAUAAAAAAUAUAACUUUCAAAGUUUACACAUUUUGUCAAUUUGAUCUUGAUAUAACAAAUAUAACUCAUAACAUUUUCACAAUAUUCCAUCAAUUUGGUCCUAAUUUAACAAAUUUAGCCCGUAAUAUUUACACUUUUUGUCAAUAGUUACGCAGAAUAUAUAAACAUCAAUGGCUAAAUUUAUUAUUAUACCAAUCAAAAUUAUGUAGAAUCGAUGGAAAACAUUAAAGCUAUAAUUAAUUGUCCGUAGUUACUCACAUUUAAAAUUGACAGGAAUUAAAUUGUUCUGAUUUUUUAAAAAGAUCGAUUUACUUAAUAUCAAAAUUGAGAGAAAUCAUAAAGAUAAUUUUACUUUUCUUAAUUUAAUAGGUAAGAAAAUUUAAAAUCAUUGAAAAAAAAAAGUAAGUUGUAUAGAUUUAUUUAAAGUCACACUCACAUUAUUAUUUUUCCCAUUCAAAGUUGAAAAGUCUUUUAUGUAAAAAAUAGUAUAGCUCUUCAAUUUGGGUUAACAUUUUGGUCCCCGCCAUGUGAUGUGAAGGAAAAUUGACAACAUCACAACAAUCAAAUCUAUUUUUUCUGCCAUACCCCUGUGCCUCCGAAGAAAGUUAAAUUAUUAAGGCACAAAAGUACCAAGGAGUAGAAGCUACCAAAAGAGGAGCAUGAAAAUAAAGAGAGAUACAUAUAUUACUGGCAUGGAAUAUUUACAUCUUUUAUUAAUUUAGAUUUUUUUAGUUAAUUUUAAUUUUAAAUCCUUUAAAAAAAAGUUGAAUUUGAUCAUCAACGUUUAAAAAGAGUUGAAUUAUUAUUUUUUAAUAAAAAUAUUAACCAAAAUGUUAAAUUUUGAAACAUGGCAAUCCGUAAAACAAUCCAAGUGUAGUUCAUGCUUGUUUUUAUUUGAUUUUUUAUGAACUCUUUUUGUGGGAAAUUUUUAUUUUUUUAAUAUUUUUAUAAUUUUUAAUUUAUUGGCGUGACAUAUAAGAUAAAUAAUACUAUGUCAACAUAAAUGACAUGUAGACUGCCACAUGGGUUGCCAUGCCAACUUCGUUAAAAAUUAAUAUUUUAGUCAACAUUUAAAAAAACACGAUUUGACUCUUUUUUAAAGGUUAAUUGUCAAAUUUAAAUUAAGAAAUAAUAAUAAUCAAAUUGACAAAAGAUGUAAAUAUUAAGUGUUGAAUUUAUUAUUAUACUUUUAAGUAAAAUUUUUGGAUUUGAAUUUGAAUUAUUUUGGGAAAUUUAAAUAGUUUUGAGCUCAGAACAUUUCAAGAGAAAAUUAGCAAGUCAAAUUACAAUUAUAAAAUAAUAUAUGUCAUUUAUAUGUUUGUCUAUAUAAGUUUAAAUUACAAAUUAAUUACUAAAAGUGAUUAGGGCAUUAGUAUUUGUGUUGUCACAUGGGAGUUUAGGUUCAAUCUCUUGAUUGAAAUAAUAUUUUUAAAAUAUUUAUUUAAUAUUUCUAUAUACAUCAAAAUCCUUGUUAAAUUUUAAUUUUGUUUUUGUUAUUAGAAUACUUGAAUCAAUAAAAUUUUAAGGCACAUAUCAAACCCAACAAUCAAAAUUAAAUCACACCAAAAUAAGGCCAAGAAAUUCUUAAACAGCUCACCAAGCAACAUUCAAAUAUCAUAACUUAACCCCCUUGCAAAUAAUAAGAGCAUAGACGCUUGCUGCAGACAAAAGGUCCCAUGCCCAUUACAAGCUCUGCCCAUCAGUUCCUGCCAGAGGAGCCAUGGCCAAGAAAACUAUUAGUCUUAAUGCAAUCCACAAAACGUGUGGGACUUUUCCUUAAGGUCAGCUCUUUUGAGUUCAAGUCCUUUUCGCUGGCAAAUUUGUUGAUAUAGGAGCAACAUUGGUCAUCACAAUCAACAAAGGUCUUGUGAAAAAAAAUAGAAUGUCGGUAAUGAUAAUAUACCGCAAAGAAAAGAGAAAUAAAAAUAAAGAACAUAGAUUUUACGUGGAAACCCUUUCGGGAAAAAACCACGGGUAGAGGAGAAGUAAAUUCACUAUGUCGAAUUCGAAUGAUUACAAGAGGAGCUUCGACUACAUCUAUUUAUAGGUUGAAAAAAACCUAAUUCUAAUCAAAGUCGAAUAUAUUAUGCUAAUAAAUGCUAAAUAUAUUAUACUCAUAAAUACUAAAUAUUCUAGAAAGAAGAUAUAUUUUGUUCAACUUGACUUGCAAGCAAUCUCUUAGAAUUUGGGUUACACAACUCUAACAAUCUCCACCUUGACACAAAUUCUCAAUGAAUAAGUUCUUCAUCGCGAACUCUCAACGAACAAGUUCUCUAGCUCUUCCAUAAAACCCCUUAAGGGUUUAACUUCAACAAUGAACACCAAUCAAGUCUAAGAAAUGCUUAAACUUGGUUAUAGGAAGUGACUUAGUCAUCAUAUCUGCAGGAUAUUCAUGAGUACUAAUUUUACUCACAACAAUAUCUCCACGGGCAAUAGUAUCACGAACAAAAUAAUACCGAACAUCAAUGUGUUUUGUUUUCUCAUGAAACAUUUGAUAUUUUGUAAGGAAGAUGACACUCUGACUGUCACAAAUACUGUACUGAUUUGAAGGUUUUCAUUGAGUUCACUAAAGAGUCCCUUCAACCAAAUAGCUUCUUUACAAGCCUCAGUAAUUACCAUGUACUCAGCUUCAGUGGUAGACAAAUCGAUUGUAGUUUGCAAAGUGGCUUUCCAACUUAUUGCACAACCUCUGAUUGUAAAGACAUAACCUAUGAGAGAUCUUCUUCUAUCAAGGUCUCCAGCAAAAUCAGCACCAACAUACCCAAUGACUCUAUCUCUAGUUCUUUCAAACUGUAAGCAAACAUCAGUAGUACCUUGUAAGUAUCUUAAAAUCCACUGAAUUGCUUUAUAAUGUUCUUUACCGGGAUUCGCCAUGUAUCUGCUAACUGCACUGACUGUAUAUGAUAAAUUUGAACGAGAACAAACCAUAGCAUACAUAAAAGAUCCCACUGCACUAGAGUAUGAAGCAUGUGACAUGUACUCAAUCUCAUCAUCUGAUUGUGGAGACAAAGCUGAUGAAAGUCUGAAAUAGGCUGCUAAAAGAGUACUAACAGACUUAGCAUUCUGCAUAUUAAAUCUGCAAAGAACUUUCUCAUGUACCCUUUCUGACUUAGGUACAAUUUACUUGCUUUUCUAUCUCUGAGAAUCUUCAUACUUUUUUGCUGGUCCCAAAUAUUUUAUCUCAAAUUUUUCACUUAGUUAGGCUUUGACCUUUCUCAUCUCUCCUUUAUCUUUCGCUGCUAUCAACAUGUCAUCAACAUAAAGGAGUAGAUACAUAAAAGAACCAUCAUUGUUUUUCUUAAAGUAAACACAACUGUCAAAACUACUUCGUUUAAAAUCAUGAGAAGUUAUAAAGGAAUCAAAUCUCUUGUACCACUAUCUUGGUGACUAUUUCAAACCGUAAAUGGACUUUUUCAACAAGCAAACAUAGUCCUCUUUUUCUGAAACUAUAAAAUCCUCUGGUUGUUGCAUGUAAAUAUCCUCCUCAAGUUCUCCAUGUAAAAAAGCAGCUUUUACAUCUAACUGCUCAAGCUCCAAAUCAUGCAUGGCCACAAUACCAAGCAAAGCUCGAAUCGAGGUAUGCUUCACAGCUAGGGAGAAUACAUAUGUGAAGUCUACUCUUGGAAUUUGACUGUAACCCUUUGCAAUAAGCCUUACUUUAUAUCUAGGUUAUUGAACUCCUUGAGUCCCCUCUUUCUUUUUAAACAUCCAUUUACAACGAACAACCUUUUUACCUUUAGAAAGUUUCACAAGAUCCCAUAUUUUAUUUUUGUGGAGUGAUUCCAUCUCCUCUUGCAUAGCAAACAUCCACUUUUCUAAGUCUUCAUGGUUAACUGCAUCAGAAUAAUUAGAUGGCUCUUGGUUUGCAUUUAUAUCUUCAGCCACGUUUAAAGCAUAAGCAACUAGAUCAGCCUUGGCAUACUUCUUUAGAGGUUUAAUUUCUCUUGUAGUUCUGUUUUUGGCGAUAGAGUAUUGUGGUGAAGAAGCAACUCUAUUUUGAAUUUUUGUACUGGCUUGAGGAGUUGACUCCAUUGUAGAUUCUGGAUUAAUCUGAUGCUCUACUUGCUUUUGAUUUUUCUUUAUUAGAAGAGUCUUUAAGAUAUAAGUUAGGUAGCAUAACAAUUUCAUCAAAAACAACAUCUCUUCUAAUCACAACUUUUCUAAUUUCAGGACACCAUAACUUAUACCCUUUUACACCAGCUUUAUAACCAAGAAAAACACAUUUAAUGUAUCUCGGUUCCAAUUUUCAUGAUCAAUAUGAGCAUACGCAGGUCACUCAAAAAUCUUUAAAUCAGAAUAGUCAACAGGAUUACCAGACCAUACCUCUUGUGGAGUCUUUUUCUCAAUGGCAAUGGAUAGAGAUCGGUUGAUUAAAAACAUGCAGUAGAGGCUGUUUCGGCCAAAAUAACUUUGGUAAGUUGGCAUUUGACAACAUACAUCGAACCUUCUCCAUGAUCGUUCUGUUCAUUCGUUCUACAACGCCGUUUUACUGUGGAGUAUGACGAACUGUCAAGUGUCUCACGAUUCCUUCUGACUUGCACAGUUUAUUAAACUCAUCAGAACAGAAAUCUAAGCCAUUGUCUGUACGGAGAUAUUUUAUUUGUUUUCCCGUCUAUUUUUCAAUCAUAGUUUUCCAAGAAGCUGCUUGCCACCAAUGCAGCUCAGUUGAAAUAUUUAGAGUCACGAGCGGAAAAUGUAGAGCAGAAGGCCAAGGAUGCUGAAAAAAAAAUAGUUGAACUCGAAAGGUAGCUUAAGGCUAAGGUAAAGGAAGCUACACAAUGGAGCAAUAAGCUUGAGGAGGUUGGUAACUCAUUGAUGGACUAGAUGAUAAAAAUUCAGAAAACACUAGGAUCCUUUGACUCAACAGGUAUCAACUUUGAUAGAGCAAAGAUAUCUAAGGCUUGUUCUGUGUGCCUUUUUGAUACUAUGAUACUUCUAUAUUGGUUUUAGAUCGUUGAGAAUCGAAAAUAUGGCUGGGCUAUGGAUUACGCAGGAAGAGGAACUUCAAGGUAAGAUAAUGAAGGAUUGAAGGAAUUGAGAAAUGAAUGGGGUGAAAUGAUCUACAGGGCCGUUGUUGUUGCAUUACUGGAAAUGGAAGAGUACAAUCCAAGUGGGAGAUACAUAGUUUUUGAACUUUGGAAUUUCAAAGAUGAUGAAAAGCCAGCUUAAAAGAAGCUAUUGAGAUCUUCAUCUACCAUUUACAGAACAAAUUGAGUCAAUCCCUGUACUCAUUGAACUGAUGGUAAGCUGAGUUGUUCCUGGUACUAGACUAUGUAACAGCCCGAUUCUGGGCCUAGUCGGAAUAGUGGUUUCGGGACCACAAAUCCGACGAGAGAAAAUAUUAUUAUCAUUAUAUUUUUAUGGUCUACAAUUUCACGGAAUGAUUUCGUGAAAAUUUCGUUCGAAAAUUUCAACGUUUGAGCACUCAAUUUAGUCAAAAAGGACUAAAUUGUAAAAAGUGCAAAAGUUGAGUUCUAGAAGCUAGAGGUGUUAAAUUGCUAUGAAAUUUUAAAUUGGAGGUCCUUAAAUGGUAAUUAAACCAUUAGUUAUUUAUGGACAAAAAUAGACAUGGUUAGUAAGUAAGCUAUUUAAGGGCAUUUUGAUAAAAUGCCUUAAUUAAUGAAUAAAGACAAAAUAACAUGAAAUAAGUUAUCAUCUUCUUCAAUUCUUUUCUCCAUGGCCGAAUGUAGCAAGGAAAUACCAUGGCUAGGGUUUUUUCAUCUUCCAAGCUUCAUGGUAAGUCCGUUCUAGCCCCAUUUUUCUUGUUAUUUAUAUUUUUAGAAUCCCGGUAACUUGCUUAAUCUAAUUCUACUAUUAAUUUGAGCUAGAAUUUAUGUUUGAAAAAUUACCCAUAGGUGAAAAGUGUGAACUUUGAUGUUUCAUGAUAGAAUAUGAAGCUUAGAAUUAUGUUAAACGAUUUUUGCUAAUCGAUUUUCAGUAAAAACGAGUAAAACGACAUAAUCAGUAAAAAUAUCUAAUGUUCAUAAGUAAGUGUUGAGUGGGAAUUUGAUGUUUCCAUAGAAGAGAAAAAUGUUCAGAAUGUCAUAAAAAAUAAGAAUAAGAGAUGAAAUUUAAUUUCCGAGCUUUGGGGCAAAAGUGUAAAUAUGCAAAAGUUUAGGGGCAAAAAUGUAAUUUUGUAAAAAUAUGAUUUUUGGACUGAAUUGAAUAAUGUGAGUGUUAAAUAAGUUAAAUGUGUUAUUAUAAGUCAAGAAAGACAAGGAAUUGACUUUGAUUAGUAAAAAAAUGAGAAAAAGUGAGAAAUUUCUCGAUUGAACAUUCAGAAUAAAAAGGGAUACGAAUGAAAUGACAGAAAUGAUCACAUAUGUGGCAUGGACUGUGUGUAGGCCACUAUGUGAAAGUGAAAGUGAUGGUCACAUGUGUAGUACUAUGUGAAGGCUACUACGUGUACCAGAAUGAUAGGUCGCAUGUGUAGUACUAUGUACAGGCUACUAUGCGUAUCGGAUAGCUUCGAUCACGUGUGUAGUACUAUGUGCAGGCUACUACGUGUAUCGGAUAGUGAUGGUCACAUGUGUAGUACUAUGUGCAGGCUACUAUGUGAACCCAUAUCAUUGAUUAUAAGGUGGUUGCUAAGUGCUGAUUCCACCAUAUCUUAAAUGUGAAAGGGGUUGCUAAGUGCUGAUUCCCCGAAUCACUGGUGGUUGCUAAGUGCUGAUUCCACUGUAUCCUUGAUUGUGAAAGGGGUUGCUAUGUGCUGAUUCCCCGUAUCAUUGAUUAUAAGGUGGUUGCUAAGUGAUGAUUCCACCGGGAUCCUUUGAACAUGAGGUGGUUGCUAAGUGCUGAUUCCACCAUGUAACGGUUAAUAUUCCGAAGUGUUCAUCGGGGAAAUUGGAUAAGUGAAAAUAUAUGUGAAUCGAAUAAGGUUACGGGAUGAAUAUUGGAUUCGAUAUUUAAUCGACCCUUGAGUAAGAUGAAAAGAAGUAAUGAAAUUGUGAAAAAGAAAAAUGUGCAACAAAACAGUUUUGGACAGUAACAAUAAUGUGACUUUGAAAAAUCACCAAAAAUGGUGGAAAUUGAAUUAGAGAGUUAAUAAGAUAUUAAAUGAAAGCUUAAGGAGUCUAUUUUUAUGUAAAAGAAACAGAGCAAGUAAAAGAGUUAGACAUUCUGAGAUAUUUGAAUUUUAGUGAGGCAGGGUAGGAUUGAUUUCGGAAUCCCCUGUUCUGAAUUUGGAAAAUAAUUAAAAAUUGUAAAAAAAUAAUUACUAGAUAUAAUUUAUACGAUUAGAAUCCUUAAUGAGUCUAUUUUUAAGGGAAACAAACAGAAAAAUCAUCCAAAUUCUGUACAAUGAGAUAAUUCAUUUUUAGUGAAGAGAGGUCAGAGAUGUUGAGCAGUGAAACAGGGGUGACUUUAAAGAAUAAACUGUACUAAUUGGAAAAGUCAAAAAUUCUGAAAAUUUUAUGGUAAGAAGAUAUGUGAGUCUAGAUUCGGGGAAAAUUAACGGAUCUUAAUUUGGAGCUCUGUAGCUUUGGAUAAAUAUAAUUUAGUGACUCUGACUCGAAUAGACAGCUUUGGAUAUACAUGUGAAUGAAUAGUGAAAUUAUGUAUAAUGCUAUUUAAGCAUGUUUUAUACAUAAAGGAUGUGGAAUGGAGAGGGGGAGGAGGAAAAUUAAUUAUAUAUAUGAAUGAUUUGUGUAUAAAUGGUUAUAUGCUCAAUUAUAAUCGAUAAACGUUAAAAUAGAAAUGAUGCUUACAUUUGCGUAUUAUUGAUCAUGGUUUAAGCUCAUAUGGGAAAAUAAAGUUUCAUAGUAUGUGAGUGUGGUUUAUUUGAUAUAUGGGUUGGUAUGAAGUAAGGCCAUGAAUGGUUUAUGGAUUAAUUCAUGUUGGUAGGUUUGGUACAUGAAUAAAUGUUGAACUUGGCCAUACUUAUAAUGCUUAUGCUAUAUGUUUAUUUGGCUAACAUGUGUAGUGUACAUGCUUAAGCUUUGGCCAAUUGGUGGCUGAAUUAUGCCACGUUAAAUUUAUAAGUUAUGCAUUGAAAUGGUAAGUGCCUAGAUGGGAAUAUGCUUAUGAUCAUGGAAAGGGUGGUAACGUUUAAAUUAUGUAAACUUACUUGGAAUGGUUUAUCAUGUGGUUAAUUCCAAAAAAGAAUUAUGUUUAAUGUACUAGCUUGUGACUAUGGUUGAAUGAUAUGUUAUUGUUUUGUGUGAUAUUUGUAGGAAAUGGGUGUGGAAAGGAAAUGAAAUACUAAGUUCAUACUUGAAGAAUAAAAUGACGAAAAAGGGAAUGAUGAGUUGAUUUGAUGUUGUUAUUUAAGCUUAAGUGAUGUUUUCAUUGUAAUACUAAGAAUUUUAUAAAUGUGUUAAUGAAUGGUAUAAUUGAUAAACGUUGAGUUAAAUGAUGAACACGUAUUAGUAUUGAACUUAACAAUAUUGAAUUGUACAUGAAUUAAAUGGAAGUUUUUAGUGAUAUGAUUUGAAUUAAAAGAAUUGUUGUGGUAUUGAAAUAUAUAUAUUGGAUUGAGAAAUUGAUUUGAAUUGUGAACAUGAAAGAUUUUGAAAUGAAUAAAAUAGAAAUGAAGCAUUGAAUUACAUGAGUAAGUAUCGGGUCUUGUAGGCCCAAUUUGUUAUGAAUAUAAUAUUUCAAGGAUAUGUUAUAAAGAAUUAUAAAAUCAUGUUAAAAAUUUGAAAAGUUUAAAUUUGAAUGAAAUUUUGUAACUCGGUUUAAUACGUUUACAUGUGUAAGUGUUCUAGUAAUGCCUCAUUCCCUAUUCCGGAGUUGAAUACGGGUAAGGGGUGUUACAGACUAUCAACAAGCCAAGUUAAUCCCAGUAUUCUGCGUAACAUUUCCAUGUAGUUAAUCUUAUUUUGCUAAUAUAUAAUCAAAUGACCAGUAUUUUGUUUAACCCUCAAACAUCCUGCGUGGAAGCAAGUUAUUCAUAUGAAUUGCUUGAAUUGCUCAUAUGUCCAAUGAAUUAUAAAGGAAUGCUGUUGAAUUCCCAUCGAUACAUACAUGCAUACAUAUUAGUGAAGUAUAUUCCAAUAUAAUAUCAAUAUUGGGAUUUACGUUUUAUAGAGCAGCAUUAAUGAUUGGUAAUAUACAUUCGUUCCAAGGCAAACCCAAAUAUUGUAACCUACAACUGUGGCAAAUCAAAUUUUACAGUAACCCAAUUAUAAUGUGAAGUCAAAUAUGAAAGUAACAUUGGUUUAUAUUUUUUUUUCUCAAAAUUCUAAUAAUCAAGUUGGGAUAAGUGAUAAACACUGAGCUUGCCACGUGUGUUAAACCACAUUUUUGUUAUGUGCCACUCCAAAGAUAUCGGGCCUCUAUUCAGGCUGGCAUAGUCAGGACGUGGUAGCAUACUUCAGGACCCUGGUUAGAAAAUAUCCCACAUCCGAUAAAAUUGGAACGAUACAGAGAAGAUUAGCAUGGCCCUGCGCAAGGAUGACAUGCACAAAUCGAGAAGUCCAAUUUUUUUCCCUUUUUUUCCCCACAUUUUAACAGCUCUGCUUCUUCUUCUUUUUUUCCCCUGGGUUUGAUGUUCAUAUUCAUGGGUUUUUGUGCACUUAAGAUUGCAAUUAGAGUUUUCUUUCUUUCUUUUACUGGGUUCGGUCUGUUUUACUCUCUUGAACUGUGAAUUUGAUUUUUUUUUCCAUUUUUUCAGCUUUGUUGCUUUUUUCCCCCUGGGUUUAGUUUUCAUGUUCAUGGGUUCCGCCCACUUAAGAUUGCAUUGGAGUUUUUUUUUUCCUUUUUACUGGGUUUUGGCCAGUUUUACUCUGUUGAACCGUGAAUACCUCUGGGAAAAAAAUUGUUGCUUAUAUAUUUGCUAGUCAACAGUGCUAAUUUUCUGAUAUAUUGGCCAGAAUUGAGGGAAGAAGGUCCAAUUUUGCUUUUGAUUCUUCUACUACUAUCUUAAGAUUUAAAAGAAAUUCAAUUAAACAAUUUCUUCCAAUAAAAUUAAACAAGAAGGGACCUGCACACUUAGACAUGUUUCUCUUUGAAAAAAAUUCAAACAGGGUUUUAAAAUUUGCAAUGUGUUUUAUGUAAAUCAAAUGAUACCCUGAAUUUUGCUAAGGGUGUUUCAUAUCCUUGAAUCCUUUUUUUGCUUGGCAAGUGAUUCAUUGAGUUUUUGUGAUAAAUUUCAUGUUUCUUUUUUUAGUAUGGGAAUUUGUGGGAAAAUGCUUGGCAAUAUGGAAAUGAAACCAGUUUCCAUUUCCAAAGGCAACAGCAAAGUGGUGAAGCUUAUUGUUGAAAAAUUCUUCAAUAAUGUCAAUAAUGAAAAAGUAGAAAAUGGAAAAACUGAUAAGUACAUGCCUUUCUUGAAUAAAGGAAUGUGAAUCUGUGUGAACUUCCAUUUCCCUUGAAUUAUGCCUAAGUAAACCUUGACUAAGGAAACAAAUAAGCAGAGACCUUACAAGAAGAAAUUUGUGUUUAAUUCAGUCACACACAAUUUUCAAAGAAUCUUACUUCAUUUUCUUCAUAAAUUGUUGCGUAAGAUACUAACACUUGAAAAACUAAUAACAUUAGACCCAACCAUUUUAAACAGGAUGUAAUAGCACCAUACAAAUACAAAACCAAAAUGAAACAACGACCAACACUAUAUAAAUAUACACCAUUGAUCAAAAUAUACACUAACAACAAUUAUGAUAAGAUAACAUAGAUGAACAUGAUACAAUUUGUUAAAUCUAAGGUACUGACCAAUCAUUUUAUUGGAGCAUUACUUAAUGUAUAAGGCUCAAUCCCCCCCCGAUGCUAGAUACUGAUACACUCAAACGAAUAUGAUUUUCUUCCAUUCAUUUCAAUAUGGUAAUGUUGUUUUUACCCUAAGUUAAAAUCCUUUUUUUUUACUGCACAGAAAUCUGAAUUCACCAACCCUGAUGGAAGGCUUGUGAUUGUGACCAACUUUACAGGCAAAAAUGAAAAAGGAUCUACAACCUUUGUUAACUGUUUUGUAAAAUACAAGAAAAUCCCAUACCCAAGCAUGAUUUUAUAUACACCCUGCUACAAAAACACGUUUUUUCCUGCAAAAACAUCAUUCAUGGCAAGAUGUCAAGAGAUUGGUGAAAAAGAAAAACAUCCAACAUUUGGGGUUUUAAUCUCAAUAUAUGAACUUGGCUUUAUUUCUUAGUGUUAUUGUUGAACUUUUUAGGAUGCCUCUGUCUUAAUCCAUUUAUGUGAUUUGAUAAUGAUAUUUGCAGGCACUUAAAUCUGUUGGAACAAUGGCAGCAGCAAACAUCAAACAAAGUUACAACACAGUGUUUGCAAGACUGAAGCAAGAAGAAUCGAAGCAAAGAAAGAGCAAAGCAAAGCAAAAAUUUGAUCAAAUUGAAUACUCAGCAAAGUUGUAACUGAAUAUUACAUUUUUCAUUCAAGAUUAGAAUAUAUAAAAGUACUACAAUUUUGGUUCAUUUGACAGAUACCUAAUGACAUAACUACUCCCACUUAAACUAAACUAAUACAAGCUUAAGUCAAAUACAAAUAAGCUGACAUAUCAACUUUUACAUCACCAAUCCAAUCACAAACUUAAUCCAACUAACUAUUAAAGCUAGUUACAAUCAAACUGAACUAAGUUACAUCAAAACAAAACAGCAAUAUCAGUUGCUUCAUUUGGUCUGAAAACCAUUCGUGCACACCAAGCAAAAUGAGCUGAGCUCGAUAGCUGCUGGUCUCGAUAGUAGCAUGCUUCCGGCUCCAUGUUGCAUUGCAGUCCAUCUUUCAACACUCCUCCUUGGACUGUAUGCAACACAUUCCAAUUGCACUUCUCAAAGAUUCAAAUCGAACAGCCCCUAAGGGCUUUGUCAUUAUGUCAGCCAAUUGAGCUCUUGAGCUGCAAUGCACAAGGCUGACUUACUUUGCUUGUUCAGCUUUUCUAACAAAAUGCAGUUUGAUUUUAAAAUGCUUAGUCUUACCAUGGAACACAGGGUUCUUGGCUAUUGCAACUGCAGACUGAUUAUCUACCCAAAUUUUAGUUGCUUCAUCUUGAGUUUCAUUAAGGUCAUAAAGCAGCUUCCUUAGCCAAAUGGCCUGAUUAACUGCUCCUGCUGCAGCAAUGUACUCUGCUUCAGCUGUGGAUUGAGCAACAGUUUGUUGCUUCUUUGAACUCCAGCAAAACAUGCCCGAUCCAAGUGUGAAGAAGUAUCCAGAGGUACUCUUCAUGUCAUCGAGAGAUCCUGCCCAGUCACUGUCAGAGUAGCCUUCUAGUUUCAGUUGAUUCCUACUUUCAAACAUUACACCAAAACUAGCAGUGCCCUUGAUGUAUCUAAGGAUCCUCUUUCCUGCCUUCAAAUGUGCCUCACUACAACAAUGCAUAAAUCUCGAUAACAGGCUGACACCAAACAUGAUGCCUGGCCUGGUUGCUGUUAGAUACAACAGACAACCAACUAGGCUUCGAUAGUGCCUCUCAUCAACCCUCUGCUGAUCACCACUGCUAGUCAGCUUUUCUCCUUGGGCCACAGGUGUGCUGACUGCUUUACAGUUAUGCAUGCAGAAUUUGUCUAGGAUCUUCAAAGCAAAUGAGUGUUGGCUGAUGAAGAUACCUCGAUUAGACUGGUGCACUUCCAUGCCAAGGAAGUAAGUCAUGAUCCCCAAAUCUGUCAUCUCAAACACUUGCUGCAUUUGGACCUUGAACUGAUCAAUGAGCUCAAUUUUGCUCCCUGUCACAAGCAAAUCAUCCACAUACAAGGAGACAAUCAGCAAGGUUUCAUGUUCUGACCUUUUAACAUACAGAGUAGGCUCACUAAGGCUCUUUACAAAUCCAAGUUUGGUCAGGUAAGCAUCAACUCUGUCAUACCAGGCCCUUGGUGCUUGUUUCAGGCCAUAGAGGGCCUUUCUCAACUUAUACACUUUGUCUUCAUGUCCAACAACUUCAAAACCUUCAGGUUGCUCGAUAAAGAUCUCCUCCUUGAGAAAACCAUUUAGGAAUGCUGAUUUGACAUCCAAUUGGUGAACUCUCCACUGCUUCUGAGCUGCUAAAGCAAAUAGCAGCUUAAUUGUAUCCAGUCUUGCCACUGGAGCAAAAGUUUCUAGGUAGUCAACACCAUACUGCUGACUGUAGCCCUUCACCACAAGCCUGGCCUUGUGCUUGUUCAGUGAGCCAUCAGCAUUGUACUUGGCUCGGUACACCCAUUUAACUCCUAUGACCCUCUUAUGUUCUGGUCUGCUCACCAACUCCCAAGUCUGAUUUUUGUUGAUCAUUUCCAACUCAGCUUCCAUAGCUUUCAUCCAGCUUCUGUUCUUAGCAGCCUCUUCAAAGUCUGAGGGCUCAAUCACAGCAACAUUGCACCUCUGAUAGACAUCAGCCAAAGUUCUGGUCCCCCUCACUGGUAUAUCAUCGACAGCAUCAUUACUUGGUCCUUCUUCUGCAGGUUCAGCAACCAAGUCUAACUGGUCCAAUUCAGACAAGUCAGCCUCAACACCAUUCCAAUUCCACACAUUUUCCUCAUUAAACUUUACAUCCCUGCUGACUAAAACUUUCUUUGCUGUAGGAUCAUACACUCUAUAGCCCUUCUUGUUGCUGCUGUAGCCAACAAAGAUUCCUGGAGUUGCUCUACUCUCAAGCUUGGUCCUUUUCUCUACUGGAAUAAGUGCAUAACAUACACAGCCAAACACUUUUAAGUGUGUUACCAUAGGUUUGACUCCAUGCCAAGCCUCAAAAGGAGUCUUAUCCUUGACUGCUCUAGUUGGCAGUCUGUUGAGCAGAUACACUGAGGUGUUGACUGCCUCAGCCCAAAACUAACUUGGAAGCUUGCCUUGAAACAAGAGGCACCUGGCCAUGUUCAGUACAGUCCUAUUCUUUCUCUCACAGACUCCAUUCUGUUGAGGAGUAUAGACUGUUGUGAGCUGAUGGUGAAUCCCAGCACUGUCACAAAGCUUCUGAAAUCUCUCAGACACAUAUUCAGAGCCAUUAUCAGUCCUCAAGGCUCUAAUUUUACAGCCUGACUGAUUUUCAGCAUAAGCCUUGAAUUUGCAGAAGGCUUCAAACACUUCUGACUUUUGCUUCAAGAAGUAGACCCAGCACAACCUUGUUAAAUCAUCUAUAAACAGGGCAAAGUACCUGUUCUCACUGAUUGAAGGUGUUCUCAUAGGGCCACAAACAUCAGAGUGCACCAAUUCGAGCUUGUUUUGAGCUCUCCAAGCACUGUCAGCAGGAAAAGGCAGUCUAGCCUGCUUACCAAGCUGACAAACCUCACAAACAUUCCCACUAACUUCAAUUUUUGAAAUGUCAUCAACCAAAUUCAGCCUAUGUAACUGAUCGAUGGAUCUAAAAUUUGCAUGGCCUAGUCUCCUAUGCCACAAGUCAGUGCUUUCAACAAGGCUGGUGUAUGCCUUUCUUUCUAUUUGGCUAACAUCCAGCAUGAAGCACCUAUCAGUCAUAGAGACUGUGACUAACUCCAGACCAUUCAUGUCUUGAACAAUACAGCAACCAUCCUUAAAAACCAAUGUAUAGCCCUUUUCAACUAAUUGGCCUACACUAAGCAAAUUCUGGUCUAAGUCAGGUACAAAAAACACAUCUGAGAUCAGCUUGUUACCUGAACCAGUGCUAAUCAACACACUGCCCUUGCCUUUAGCCUCAAUCAGCCUACCAUCUCCAAUUCUAAUCUUCGAGUGGAAGCUUCUGUCUAGACCUUUGAACAGCUUCUCAUCUGCUGCCAUAUGGUGUGAGCAGCCACUAUCUAGUAGCCAAUCAUUGCUGGCCUUGGUUGUGCCAGCAAAACAAGUUGCUGUGAACACUUGCUCCUUCUGAGCUUGGAUGUCCUCAGCAGGUCUAGCUUGUUGUAGAGCAGCCUCCCUUGGUUUGCCCUUGCACACCUUCUCCACAUGGCCAAACUGCUUGCAUUUUCUACACUGAAUAUCUGGCCUAAACCAGCAAUACUUUUCUGAAUGUGUUAUCUUCUUGCAAUGAACACAUGGUGCGAACACCCUUUUUGCAUCAUCUCUUCCUGACUUGACCCUUCUAUUGUGCCAAGGCUUCUUGCCUUUUGCACUCACACUCGAGCCUUCACUGGCUUUAGCCUGGAAAGUAGCUUCAGGAUUCUCCUCCUGCCUAUUUGCCCUCCUUUGCUCAAGUGCAUACAGGGAGUUUAUCAGCUCAGACAAUGAAAUGGCUGAUAAGUCCCUCGAGUCCUCAAGUGAAGAGAUUUUAGACUCAAAUUUCUCAGGGAGAGUUGUAAUAACCUUUUCAACAACUCUGCUCUCUGUGAAGUCCACUCUCAGAAGCCUAAUGCUGUUGACAAUGGCCAUUAUCCUGUCUGAGUACUGCUUGAUGGUCUCAGACUUCUUCAUCCUCAAAUUUUCAAAGUCUCUCCUGAGGUUGAUCACUUGCUGUUGCCUUGUCUUAUCAGUCCCCAUGAACUCCUCCUUCAGCUUCUCCCAAGCCUGCUUUGGUGAGUCACAGGCCAUGAUGCGAGUAAAUAUCACAUCAGAGACUCCAUUUUGUAAGCAGGCCAUAGCCUUAUGCUUCUUGGCUCGCUCCUCAGUAUGUUGCCUCAUCUGUGCAAUGGUGGGAUUGGCUCUCAAUGGAGGUGGUUCAGCAUCAUUCUCGAUCACACUCCAAAGAUCAUGUGCCUGGAGAUAAGUCUUCAUUUUAACUAUCCAAAUGUGAUAGUUUUCUCCAGUGAACACUGGUGGAGGUGGUGGAGUGAAACUCAUUCUGCUAAACUGAUUUUAAGUGCUUCAAUCUUACCAAAUUUUGAACUUGCUGUUGGUUUUGAUUCGAACACAACAGAUUGCAUACAAAGGCCCCUCAAAGACUCGGGCUCAUGAUACCAUUUGUUGGAACAAUGGCAGCAGCAAACAUCAAACAAAGUUACAACACAGUGUUUGCAAGACUGAAGCAAGAAGAAUCGAAGCAAAGAAAGAGCAAAGCAAAGCAAAAAUUUGAUCAAGUUGAAUACUCAGCAAAGUUGUAACUGAAUAUUACAUUUUUCAUUCAAGAUUAGAAUAUAUAAAAGUACUACAAUUUUGGUUCAUUUGACAGAUACCUAAUGACAUAACUACUCCCACUUAAACUAAACUAAUACAAGCUUAAGUCAAAUACAAAAUAAGCUGACAUAUCAGCUCUUACAUCACCAAUCCAAUCACAAACUUAAUCCAACUAACUAUUAAAGCUAGUUACAAUCAAACUGAACUAAGUUACAUCAAAACAAAACAGCAAUAUCAGUUGCUUCAUUUGGUCUGAAAACCAUUCGUGCACACCAAGCAAAAUGAGCUGAGCUCGAUAGCUGCUGGUCUCGAUAGUAGCAUGCUUCUGGCUCCAUGUUGCAUUACAGUCCAUCUUUCAACAAAAUCUUCCAUUGAAAUGGAGAACACCAACUACGAGGAGGAGCUGAAGAAUGAUCGCAGGCUUGUUUGCAGUCUCAUAUACGAGAUUAAUUGCAAAAAAGAACAGUUGUCCCAAAUGGAACGUGAAUAUAACGAGAUGACCGCAACUCUUCGAGGACUCAUCAAUGGCCUCAUAGCAAAAAUUAACUCCAAGGACAGUAAUCUGUGGGGUUGGGUGCUUCAAUAUAAUGUAACCGUGAGCAGUUGAAUGGCAAGAAUGCUGCGUUGCGCCUUGCGUUUGCUCAAGGUACUUUAGAUUAUAUAUGCGUAUGUAGUGAGCAGAAUACUAUGUGCUAAUUGAAUCGUUUGGUACCCUUUGAUUGAUCUUAGGGAAGGGGAUAUAAAUGUCAGGAUUUGAACCCCAAACUUAGCUUUUAUUACGGGAACUGGAUCAAUUUAGGCUCGGAUAAGCUUAAUGUGUUCAGAACCAGAUAAGAACAUAAUAUAUGGGAACACUUUGGCCAUACGAGGCUAAUGCUUAUAUGAUUCGCAUUAAAGACUACAUGCUCCUAGUGAUAACUCUUCUGUAAGUACUAUUAGUUGAAUAGCUUUAUGAUGUAUUAAUCUAUAAAAUCUGGGUGUCAUAUUAUGAGUUCCAUUGCUAUGUUAAUCUAUGUACUAACAAUAUUAUGAAGUAAGGCAAUUUUGUGUACAUUAUAUAUAUAUAUAUGAAGUUAAGAACGUAAGUGCUGUUAAAUGGUACAUUACUCAGAUUGGUAAUAUAUUGGUGCCGAAUGUUCUAAAAUUUAACCAGCAUUACUGGUAAUAUAUUAGUGCCAAAUUUGACUAAUUAUUGUUGAUAUAUCUUCAAAAUUUUCAGAUUUGAUAAAGAUAAAAUGGCAAUAAUGAAUAAAAAUACUGACUUUUUAAGAUCGUAUUUAAUGAAGGGAAGUUGAAUGUAGAAACUAAAACGACCUAAGGGAAAUAAAAGCAAAAUAUGGAGAAGUUUUCUCGGGAAAACAAGUGUUAUCCUUCAUUUAUCUUGAUGAUUCUCUAACGCCGCCAAUUUCCCCCCUAAGUUUACAGCAAGAAGAAGAAAAAAAAGAAGACAAACGGCAACGUUAAGCCAUUUUGUUACCUAUUUAUUUUAUGUUUUUGUAAAUUAAACAUUUUUUGUAUACAUUUUGUUACCUAUUUAUUUUAUGUUUUUGAAGUUUCCAUUGCCAUUUCUACCUUUCCAAAAUGGUGUCUUUUUACUUGUUUUUUACUGGGUUAUUUCUUUGAUUUUAGGGUUCUAUAUGUAUUUUUUUUAUGAAUUUGAACUUGAGUUAGCCAUAAAAAUUCCACCUUUAAUCUCAAUAUAUGAACUUGGCUUUGCUUCUUAUGGUUAUUAUUUGUUUAAUUUUUUAAGAUAACUUCUUGAGAUCUGAUUAUUUAAUCCAUUUAUGUGAUUGAUAAUGAUAUUUUCAGGCACUUAAUCUUCCAUUAAAAUGGAGAAAGCCAACUACGAGCUGGAGCUGAAGAACGAGCGAAGGCGUGUUUGCAGUCUCUUAUACGAGAUUGAUUGUAGAAAACAACAGUCGUUCGAAAUGGAACGUAAAUAUUGUUGGAUUGCUGGCACCCCUACGGCGCAGCGGAAAAAAAUAAAAUCGGCGACCCUAACCAUGGAUCCAUGUGUGAGGAACGAAUCGGGGUGAUCAAGGUUACGAAAUUACCUAAUGUUUAUUCAGAGUAGACAGCAACACCUCUACAACGAAUAGUCUGAUCUGCUGUCGAACCAAGCCGCAAUCAAUCGUGAUCCCGGCCUCUACGUAAUCCACCCAGUUGACUACGAACGAAAGGAAUCCCCAAAAUAGUUUUGAGAGUUAUUUUUCUUUGACGGUUGCUAGACCAAAAAUAAAGAAAAACGGGAUUCUUAUAUCCUAUUAUUAUAGGGUUUUUAGGAAUUAAAUAAAUAUAAUAAUAUUUUAAAUCGAAAAUUAUAAUUACAAUAAUUAUAAUAUAAUUUCGGUAAACCAUAUAUUUAUUUGAAUUCAUAUGCUAACCAAAUUCAUGUCCUCAUUAUGCGUACAACAAACUUGUACAUAAUGUGUUGGAAAUUUGAUUACCGAGCGAAACCCAAAAAUAAUACCAACUAUGGUUUAUUCCGUUCAUUUCAACUAUAGGGUGUGACCCUGUAGGUUCUUGUAACGUUAGCAGUAAUACUAGAACGAUUCCAAUGUUACAAACAAUGAGUGACAUCUAGCAAUGCAUCAUUGCUACCUAAGUCACAAGAGAUCAUGAUUCGACACAACCUUUUAUGAUUAACCUUUUAUGCAAUAAUCCUUAAGUCCUUUAUCUCUGGAUUGGACACAAGUCAUGGAAUAGUCACACUUGUAUAGUCCAUUCCAUGUUCCUUGAUAUUUUAAGUAGACUACGAUAUACAAAUAAGUAUGACAUCUCAUAUCAACUUAUUUGAGCAUGCAUGGCCAUGCAUUUCUAGUCUCACUUAAUCAAGUGGCCUAAGCUAUUACUCCUAUUAUGUAGGAGGGACUUAUUCUAUAUCGACCAACCAUAUCCCUCUACAUCGAUUGUGGUAUAUCCAACACCAGCCUUUAUAGAACAACCAGUUACGGUGUACGUUUGACUGUAUCAAAAUAUACUACUCACGAUGUUGGGAUUAUGAUGAUCUCAAGUCUGAGGAUCAUAUACAUAUUAAUCACUAUGAGUAAUGUCGUGACAAUUACAUAAUAAUCCAAGAAACAUACUCAUAAUGGGUCAGUCCAAUAUGUUGUUCUCUAACACACAUAUUCAUGCGUCGAUUCUGAUAUUCCAUAUCAAUGAUAACUCUUUAUCAUCACUCAACUACAUGUUAGUUUUAAUGCAUUAUCGUUGUCCUAUCCAACAAUAAUACUUGACUAAGGAUCUUUUAAGAAUAAUCAUAUUAUUCUUAGGACAUUAUUAGAAAACAGUUUAUUUAUACACACAGAAAAGAAACUGAAAUAAUAAUGGUAAUGCCUUAUAUUAAUAAACAUGAUAAAUCAAGUAUGUUAUUACAACCAUCUCAUGAUUGAUCUUUGGGCAUACUCUAACAAAUAUAACAAGACGACAGCGACUCUUCAAGGACUCGUUGAUGGCCUCAUAGCGAAAAUUAACUCCAAGGACAGUUGUUUGUGGGAUUGGGAGCUUCGAUAUAACGAAACCGUGAGACAGUUGAAGAGCGAGAACGCGGUGUUGCGCUGUGUGUUUGCCGAAGGUACUUUAGAUUAUAUAUGCAUACAGUAGUGAGCAUAAUACUAUGUAUUAAUCGAAUCAGGUGGUACAAUGAACGACUUCUUGUCUUUUGAUGUUACACGAUUUGCAUCUAGAGCUUUGAUUGAUCUUAGGGUCGUUCUUUCGGUACGAAAGAAGUCACGGAUUAAGGAUUGGGAAGGGGAUACAAUUUUCGGGAUUCGAAUCCCAAACUUAGCUUUUAUUACUGGAACUAGAUAAAUUUAGGCUUGGAUAAGCUUUAAUGUGUUCGGCACCUUUCCAACUUGUUUUCUUUUAUGCAGAAAAUCGAAAGGAAAAGGCUGAAAACUUUAAGCUGAGGUGUGAACUUAGACGGCGAACCAAGGAACUCGAAGAUUAUAAAUCUCGGGAUGAUAACAAUAUGGAACGAAGAAGCUUGUUGAAUGAAAUUGAAGCGGUUAGCAUACUCAGUCUUAAUUUUCGUUUUUGAUAUAUGAACUAUCUUUUAUCGAGAUUCGCUGGGAAAACCUGCAGUUAAAUUGUUGAUGGUUAUGAUCUACCGAGUGGACAUUUAACAAUGGGAUUGUAUCUGAUACAGCCGAAGGAGAAUGUGCCUUGUCGAGAUCUUGUUGAACUCGAGAAAACUACAAGCGAUUAGAUUGCUGCUCUAAAGGAACAAUUGGAGGAAACAUUAGAGGCACUGAAAGAUAUGGAAAGCCGAUACAGUUGUACGGUGAAACAAAUCUUAACUAAUCAAGAACUUUAAGAUGCUUGAAAAGAAUCGAUAAUUGUAUUUCCUCGUUUUCCUUUGUUUUCUUGGAUGUUUUAUUUCUUUAGGUGCAAGAAACACCUCUUCGAAAUCAGGUAUGAAAGUGUUAAACCGAAGACUUCUCUAGUUCUUGAUAUGAAGGGUCUAAAUGAUGUAUUGACAAGCCAAACAACUCUUGUAGUAAAAAGAAUGGGAGAGAUCGAUCAAAAAGCUUUUGAAGUUGCUAGCUCUGGGAAGUUCCCGAACGAAGAUUGGCAAGAAACAUGUGCUAAAUUAUGUUCAUUAUGGCAACAAAACGUGCAGGAUCCGAAAUGGCACCCGUUUAAAAUGAUCAAUAUCCGAGGCAACUUGCAGGUAUAGUGCAUACACCAACUAUUCUGUUAUCCGGUUAUCGAAAAUCCGUUUUUUUACUAAACGUGCUAAACAUGUAUGUCAGAAUUGAGCCAGUUUAUUACUCAAACUUACAUAUAUUAAAGGGAUGGCUACUCGGUAGUGUAGGAAAUAGUAGACGAAGACGACGAGAAGCUGAAGGAGUUGAGAAAUGAAUACGGUGAUGUCAUGUACGAGGCUGUUAGCACCGCAUUGAUGGAAAUGAACGAAUAUAAUGUGAGCGGAAGGUAUGCAGUCAUUUAAGCUAGUUGAGUGACCUGCAAUCUAGUUUAUCAUUUUUUAAAUAUUUAUAGUCUAUGAAUUUUGACUUUUCUUCCAAUAAUAUAUCUCCAAAAUUCUAACUUAACCUUUUUAAACUUUCUCAUGUCAUUAUUGUUAGAGUUAAUUGCACCAAAUAUCUCCAAACUAUAGCCCUUAUUCUAAAAUAGUCCUCAAACUCAAAAUAUUGUAAGUUACAUUUCCAAAUUAUCAAUAAUAUUCUUCUGAUGCUAAAAUCAUUAAAUGAGACGUCAAAUCUUAUGAGACAUAAUUUAAAAUAAAAAACUUAAAAGAAAAAUGAAUAUUAUAAAAAUAUUGAUUUCAAGGUUGAAGUUAUUACAAAAACUAUCAUUCAUUUUCUCUUUUACUUUAUUUUUAAUUUUUAUUUUUAAAAGUUGUAUCAACUACAUUUUACUUUUCUUUAAAAAUAUCAUUUUAAAUUAUUAGUGUCAAUAAUAAAAGGAUGAGAUAAAUAGUUUAAAAUAUUUUAAAGUUGGGAGAAUAAUUUAAAAUAAAGAUGCAAUAUUGUUAAUCUAGUACUAUUUCAUAAUAUCAUUUUAUCGUUUCAACUUUUGAAGACAACAUUUUUAUUUUUGAAAUAUUUUAAAGACAACAUUUAAAGAUUGAUUAUAAUAAUAUUGUUGCAUGGAAAAAGAAUUUCCACGUCAGCGAAAAGGCUUACGUCUGACGUGUGCUUAAUGUUAUUCGAAAAGUCAAAGGUCGAGAAAGUUUAGGGCGGGUCACACAUAUCACACGCCAUGCACAGGUUUUCUUAUUUCGAGGCUAAAAUACCAAAAUACCAUCACAUUUCUCGUUAAACUUACCACUUAAUCAACGAUCCUCUAAAACGAUGUAAGGACAUAUUAGAAAUUUUAAUCACAAUAAUAUCACCAAAUCUGAAAAGUUACAAAUGAGGCAAAAAAAAAUACGAGUAAUAUUUGGCCAUAAAAUGUAUAUAUUCAUUCCCUCUAAACCAGUCGGUUAAGCCUCACAAUCCAACGUAACUGUAAAUCUUUCUUGGCAGCCAUGAAAUCAGUUCUAAAAUCCCUUGCAAACUCAAUCUUCCUUGUUCUUUUCAUCAUCUUUUCAUCUUCUACUCCACUUGUAUUGGCUCAAUGUGAAGCAGAGACCAAGACUAAUGGAUGCCAUAACUACAGAGAAUCCAUGAAGCUAAAAAUCAUUGCCAUUGUCGCAAUUUUACUAUCCAGCAUGAUUGGCUUGUGUGUACCAUUGUUUUCUGGUCAGGUUCCGUUACUUAAACCCGACAGGGACUUGUUCACCAUUGUCAAGGCAUUUUCCUCCGGUGUUAUUCUAGCGACUGGGUACAUGCACGUGCUACCGAAUUCUUUCAACGACCUUAUGUCCGGGUGUUUGCCUAAAAACCCAUGGAGGAAGUUCCCUUUCACAACCUUCAUCGCAAUACUGUCGGCUGUGUGGACCCUUAUGGUGGAUUCAUUUGCAAUGAGUGUAUACAAGAAACGUUGCGGUAAAGCUUUAAUGGCGGAUGCUAACAAUGGUGGUGGAUUGGAAAAUACGAACGUUGUACCAAUCGAUAAUUUUGAACACGGCCAUAGCCAUUCACUUGAGAUGAAUGACGACGUAUCAUCACAAUUGUUAAGGCAUCGAGUUAUAGCUCAGGAAUAUAUACAUGUUUGAAUCCUCAAAUUCGAUGAUUUUGCUUUUCAAGUCUUUACAUUAUAUAUUUCCUAAAUGUAGGUAUUAGAGUUGGGAAUUGUAGUUCAUUCAGUGGUGAUUGGUCUUGCAAUGGGAGCCUCUGGCAACCAAUGCACCAUUCGAUCACUCAUUGCUGCCCUUUGCUUCCAUCAAAUGUUUGAGGGGAUGGGACUUGGUGGAUGCAUACUGCAGGUAACCCCCAACAUUGCACUAUUUUCUCAUUCAAACAUCCAUUUAGUGUACACUAUUGAUUAACAUUAUGUUUGAUAUGUGCAGGCUGAAUAUGAUAUAAAAAUGAAAGCAAUCAUGGUAUUCUUCUUUUCAGCCACAACACCACUUGGAAUAGUUCUGGGAAUUGGUUUGUCCAAGGUUUACAGUGAGACGAGUCCAACUUCACUUACGGUGGUGGGACUACUUAAUGCUUGCUUAGCAGGGUUGCUGAAUUACAUGGCACUGGUUGAUCUCCUUGCAGCUGAUUUUCUGGGCCCUAAGCUUCAAACAAAUAUGAAGCUCCAGGCUUGGUCAUAUGUUGCAGUUUUACUUGGUGCUGGAUUUAUGUCUUUGAUGGCAAAAUGGGCUUAGUCAUUUCAACAUAUACAUGUCUUUUUGUAGUUUUUUAAUCUUUUUUUUUUUUUGCUUCAACAGAUGAGUUUAUAGUGAAUCAACAGUUAUUCAAUCAAUUAUAAAAUUUAGGCAAAGAAUUUAGGCAACAAGGCUUGAACAUUGACCUUUAAGAUCGUUUACUCCAUAUUGCAGGGCUCAUCACAAAGUAUAUAACUAUAUAUAUCAGAGAAGUAUGCAAACUUCAAUUUUGUGUCAGUAUCAUUAUAAUUUAAACUGUUUAAUGUUAAAUCAGAUGUAGAUGUCUUUAAGCCAAUGCUUAUAGCCACAAAGUCUCUUUGGUGCAAGCUAUAAGGACAGAGUUAUGCUAUAAAUAAACAAAUAAAUGUUGUAUAAAACCCUUCUCCUCAAAAACAAAACGAUAGCGACAGCCUGCUUUCGGUAGAUGGAAGAUUUUCUAUUUCCUCCAUUUACCAUCUCUGGUUUGCUUAUCUGCCUUGUUGCCCUAUGUUGGUUGGGCCAAACAAAUAGCUUGAAAUCUUUAAGUAGCACUUUCAUCCCUCCAGUUAUAUAUGCAAUUUUAUAUGUUGAACCAUCAUACCAUGCCAAUUCACUGCACAUUAAUUGACUAGUACCUAACAGGAUUAAUUUACAGCUUACUAGAAUCAUCCACAAGACUUUGAGGGAUUAAUUGGGGGUCAAAAGACAGUUUUAAAUAUCAAAAAGGCUUCUACUGUUUCUGUUUUUUUCCAGAAGUUUCAAAUGGAUCAAUAGUUAAAGUUGAUCAUAUAGGAUGAGCAAGUGACUGUGUUACGUUCUCACAAUAUAAGAAAUAAAAAUACCAAUAGAACAGUAAUUUUGGGAAGAAAAUGGACUGGUAUUUGAUGGAAUUAUAACGAAUUACAAGGAAAAUUUGCAGAAAAGAGAUGAGAGAAGAAAGUUACAGACUUAGGGGAUGAGAAAAGAACAGAAACAUAUUGCUGCAAUGAUGAUAUUUUUCUGGUAUUUUUCCUCCUUAAAACCAGGAUAGCUGCAUAGAGGAGUGUGAACCGUUAUUCCCUUCCACGUGCAACUAGCUGAGGUGUCACUUGACAAAAUCCUUCAGCCAUUUGGAAGCCAUUCUGGGCCGAGUGCUCCCUCUAGUAGCCUGUGUAGUGGCUAUUCCAGUAGCCUUCUGCGGCCUUGGUGGGUCGUUCACAACAUUACCCCCCACAUCGAGACACACCUUGUCCUCAAGGUUGAGAUCAGGAAAUAACUUCAACAUGUGAGCCUUAUCUUCCCAAGUUGCUUCAUCAAUAGAUGAACCGUCCCAUUGUACCAGCCAUUGCUCAAUCAAUGAAUUAGCCCGCUGAAUAGACCUCAUCUCCAGUAUAGCAGUUGGUUGCAAUAUAAGGGCAGACGUAGAAUCAGCGAGGUAGAGAGGUGUUACCUGUUGAUCUGGUUGUCCGAGGCAUUUCUUGAGCAAGGAAACAUGAAAUACAGGAUGGAUAUGCGCGAAUUCCAGCAGCUCCAAUCUGUAAGCAACCUCGCCAACACGGCCAAUUACCUUAUGAGGACCAAAAUAACGUCUACUCAGCUUGUGGUGGCGUUGCAAACGAAUAGAAUGUUGGCGAAACGGUUGGAGCUUGACAUAGACCCAAUCUCCCUCGACAAAAGUCACCUCACGACGGCUCCUAUCAGCUAGUAACUUCAUCUGAUUCUGUGCUCGCUGUAAAUUCUCCUUUAGCACCCGAAGAACUUGAUCACGUUCCACGAGCUGAGCUUCCACCAAAGCAUUACCAGAAGUAUCUCGCACAUAACGAGCAACAGUAGGAGGAGGACGACCAUAUAGAACCUCAAAGGGUGUCAUUUUGGCAGCCGUUUGAUAAGCCGUAUUAUACCAAAAUUCAGCCCAUGGCAACAUGUUUGUCCAAGUCGAGGGAUGAUUCGAAGUAUAGCAUCGAAGAUACAUUUCAACGCAUUUAUUCAAUGCCUCAGUUUGGCCGUCGGAUUGUGGAUGGUAGGUAGUACUCAUACUCAGAGUUGUACCCUGCAAAUGAUGGAUUUCCUUCCAAAAGUCACUGAGAAAUCGAGGAUCGCGGUCUGAAACAAUCUCUACUGGUACGCCAUGGAAACGAAUAAUCUCCUGAACGAAAACAGCAGCCACUAAAAUGCUAGUAAAAUUAGUGGGCAAUCCGAUGAAAUGGCCGUAUUUGGAUAAUCUAUCAAUGACAACGAAGAUAACGGUUUUGCCUUUGGAAGAAGGUAAUGCCGUGAUAAAAUCCAUAGAGAUGCUCUCAAAAACCAAAUUGGGAAUCGGUAAUGGCUACAGCAAACCACUAGGACUUAAGGAUGAGGCUUUCAUUUGCUGACAAAUUUGGCACUCUUUGACAUAUUGCUUAACAUCCCGACGCAUAGAAGUCCAAAAGAAAUUUGAUGAAAGACGAUGAAAGGUGCGUGUAAUACCAGAAUGGCCACCGAUAGGAGAUGCGUGAAACUCAUGAAUAAGCUGUAAACGGAUAGGAGAAUCAGCUAGAAUCAUUAGGCGACCCCGAAAUAGUAACAGCCCCUCAUGGAAACUAAAGUCGGGAAAUUGUGCUGGGUCAGCGCACACUCGUUGCUGCAUACUCAAAAGUUAAGGGUGUUGUAAGUUGGCUGCACGAAGAUCAGCAAUAAGAUCAAAUUGCACAGUAGAUAAAGCAAGCAAUUAAGAGGAAGGGAUGCGAGAAAGAGAGUCAGCAGCAGCAUUCAACUUCCCAGGGCGAUAGAUAAUGUCAAAGUCAUAACCAAUAAGCUUGCUCAACCAUUUCUGUUGCUCGGGGGUUUGUAUAACUUGUUGCAUGAGAUUCUUAAGUGGCUGUUGAUCAGUGAUAAUUGUAAAUCUCCUCCCCAACAAAUAUUGCCGCCAUUUCGAAACAGCUUGGGUGACCGCAUACAUUUCACGUUGGUACGUUGAGGAUUGUUGCAUGCGAAGACUCAGUUGCUGGCUGAAAAAUGCUAUUGGAUGCUUAUCUUGGGACAAAACGGCUCCGACCCCGGUACCGGAAGCAUCUGUUUCAACUGUAAAUGAUUUCGUGAAGUCCGGCAAAGCUAAGACAGUGGCUGAACUCAAAACUUCUUUCAACUUGAUAAAAACAUUGGUAGCAGAUUCAGUCCAAAGAAAGUUAUCUUUGCGAAGAAGAUUAGUAAGGGGUCCUGCAAUAGAGGCAAAAUGUUGAACAAAGCGUUGAUAGUAUCCCGCGAUACCAAGAAAUCCGCGAAUCUCCUUAAUUGAACGUGGCAAUGACCAUUUUUGAAUUGCAACAAUUUUAUCAGGAUCGACGGAUACACCUUGGCUAGAGAUGAUAUGCCCCAAAUAUCCAAUAGAAGUUUGGCCAAAAAUACAUUUGGAUUGCUUUGCCACUAAUUGAUGGUGUCGUAAAACCGAGAGCACAAGAAGAAUGUGCUCCAAGUGAGUCUCCCAAGAAGGGCUGUAAAUUAAGAUAUCGUCGAAGAAAACGAGUACAAAAUCCCGCAAGUAAGGUUGAAAAAUGUUGUUCAUGAGACUUUGAAAGGAGGAUGGCGCAUUGGACAAGCCAAAUGGCAUUACGAGGAAUUCGUAAUGCCCCUCAUGAGUUCGAAAGGCAGUUUUGUACUCAUCGCCAAUACGAAUUCGCAGUUGAUGAUAGCCGGCCAACAAAUCCAAUUUAGAAAAAUACACCGCACCAUGUAACUCAUCAAAAAGUUCAUCAAUGGAUGGAAUAGGAAAUCGAUCCUUAAUGGUAAUGGCAUUUAGGGUGCGAUAGUCAACACAAAAUCGCCACGUACCAUCCUUCUUGCUCAUAAGUAGUACUGGAGAAGAGAAAGGGCUAGUGCUUGGUCGAAUAAUUCCAUCCCGAAGCAUUUCAGCAACUAGUUUUUCAAUCUCAUACUUCUGAAAAUAUGGAUAACGGUAAGGUUUAACAUUGAUUGGCUCAUGGUCAGGCAACAAAUGUAUCGCAUGAUCACAAGCGCGAAUAGGAGGGAGACCUUGCGGUUUGAGGAACACAUCAGAAAAUGAAGCAAGUAGCUGUUCUAAUUCCAAGGGGAGGGGCGUGGAAUUAACAGGAUGAGAGGAAACCAAUUCCAAAUGAAAAUAUUCUGCAAUAGCAUUGAUUUGUUGAAGGCGGCGUAACCAAUUAAAUUGUACCGAUUGAACCGAGGAUGAGGCUUCUCCUGUCCAUCGAAUAGACUGACCGUGAUGCUUGAACUCAAAAACAGAUGACCCAUAAUCCAUCAUAACUGGUCCGAGGGUGGAUAACCAAGUAACACCAAGGACCAUGUCCCAUCCCUUUAAUGGUAAGACAUAAAAAUCAAUGCAUAUUUCACAGCCUUGAAUUACCAAUGGUACUUGUUUGACAAUGCCAGUGCCAAUUAAACGCUCUCUACUGCCGACCAAUACAGAGAAACUAGGAGAGGCAGUUAUUGGAAGAUUCAAAUACUUGGCCACACGGGUUUGCACAAAGUAAUGUGUGCUCCCACCAUCGAGUAACACCCGGACUUGUUUGCCAUAAACUGUACCCUCAAAUUGAAGAGUAGAAGAAGAGCAACCUUCAGCAAGGGCAUUAUAAGAAAUCGAAGAAUGGAGCUGUAACGUGGUGUCAGGUGUGGUGGAAUCAGGAACAGCAGGUGAAGAUGGCGAUAAAAAUUCAGGCGCGAGAGCAUCAGGUGGCUCGGACUCUUCUUUCAAGAGUAACAGGUGGGAUUUUGCUUUGCAUUUGUGACCCCACUCAUACUUCUCAUUACAAUGAUAACAGAGGCCUUGUGAACGGCGGUGAGCAGCCUCAGUAGGAGUAAGGCGGCGAAACGAAACACGGUUACCUCCGGGCAAGGUUGCGCUUGCUGUUGGGAUGGAAGGAGAAAAUACUGAAGUACCAGGAGAUUGUUUGGGAGUUGGUAACAAUGGUUUAGAACCACUCAGGCUGGGCUUAAGUACCCCACGUUCCAGCUGAAUGCGUUGUUCAUGGAGCUGGGCUAGAUGCAUGGCUUCGGACAAGGUGGCUGGUUUGUGAACCAAAACGGAGUGUUUAAUGUCAGCGUAGAGCCCUGAAAUAAAGCAAUGAGUCAAGAACUGAGUCAGAAGAUGCACCGUGUGAUUUGUAAUGGCUUCAAACUCAGAGCGAUAAUGAGCCACGGUAGAGUUCUGCUGCAACUUUGCCAAAAUUCCCUCGGGUUCCUCCAGGUCAUGAGAACGAAAUCGCUGCAAUACAGCAGCUGUGAACGCUGGCCAGCCCGUAAGUUGCCUGUUUCUAUGCAUCCAGUCAUACCAAUCUGAAGCGGCACCAUCAAAAUAAAACGAAGAAAUAGUUACCCGAUCGUCUAGUUUGAUUUGAUAAAAAUCAAAGUAACGCUCUGCCUGCAUUACCCAACGUUUAGGAUGAUCGCUGGCAAAUCGAGCCAUCUGUACCGGAGCGGGUUUAUGACGGCCCAAAGGAGUGAAACUGAUGAAGUUGGUUCAGCAUGCAGCAAACUCGACAGCAUGCAGGCCAUGAAGACCAAGUCAUGCAGGAGCUGCUGAUGCAAGCUUAUUUUGUUUAUUUUGUAAUUCCUAGUCAAUGAAAUGUAAUCUUAGUUCAUUUCUAACUAAGUUAGAUUGUUGACUGAUGUAAUUAGCUUAUGUAUAAGCUGUAAACACAACUUUGUGUAAGUUUACAAGCCAAAAUUUCAAGUUUCCAUGUCAUUAAUGGAGGUAGGUGAUGUUUAGGUAAUUACUUACUGUUUUUGACAAGCUUAGUGCCUGUUUUAUGUAUUGGCAUUGUGCCAUUAUGCAUUUUAUGAAUGAAGUUUAGUUUGUUCAUCAAUUUCUCUAUUCAUUUUUCUUAGCUUUUCUUCCUUUCUCUUGCUCGAAUUCUCUUGUUUGCUCAGCAAGUCUCGAGACUUGCUUAACAAGUCUGCACUGAAUCUGUUAGUUUUAGUUACAGCACCAACAAUUAGUAUCUAGAGCCUAUUUCUUAAGGGAUCUGUUACACAAAUCCAUGGCUUCAUCAAGCUUUUCACCAGUUGCACCUCAAGUCUUCAAUGGAGAAGGCUAUCACAUAUGAGUGGUCAAAAUGAAGACCUACCUGCAGGCUUUCGAUCUGUGGGAGGUGGUCAACUCUGAUGUUGAACCAGAGCCACUUAGAGCUAAUCCAACAGUGGCUCAGAUCAGGCAGCAUGCUGAUGAAAGGACCAAGAGGCACAAGGCUAUGUCUUGCAUCCAAAACUCAGUGUCUGAUGUGAUUUUCACAAGGAUUAUGGCCUGUGAAUCACCAAAACAGGCCUGGGACAAGUUGCAGGAAGAGUUUCAAGGGACAGAGAGGACAAGGCAGCAACAGUUGUUAAACUUGAGGAGAGAUUUUGAGAAUUUGAAGAUAAAGGAAGAAGAAACUGUCAAGCAAUAUUCUGACAGGAUUAUGGUUGUGGUUAACAGCAUCAGGCUCCUUGGAGAGCAGUUCAAUGAAGCUAGGAUAGUGGAGAAGGUUAUAGCAACUCUGCCUGAGAGGUAUGAGGAAAAAAUCUCAUCUCUCGAGGACUCAAGGGACCUGUCCACCAUCUUCCUGACAGAGUUGAUCAAUGCUCUAUAUGCUCAAGAGCAUAUGAGAGCAAGCAGACUGGAGGAGCACCAAGAAUGUGCCUUUCAGGCAAGAACAAAUACUGCCUACAAAGGCAAGAAGGCCUGGAGAGACAAGCCAAAGAAUGAUGCUGCAAGGAAAGAAGGUCAGACUUGCAAGCACUGCAGAAAGGCUGGUCAUUCAGAAGAAAAAUGCUGGUUCAAUCCAGAUGCUGUGUGUCAGCAUUGUAAGAAGAAAGGUCAUGUUGAGAGAGUCUGUAAGAGCAAGGCCAAAUCAAUGCACAAUCAGUUUCAACAGAUGAAAGCUGAGGCUCGAGUAGCUAAGGAGGACAGUGACCAAGAGGAGCAAGUUUUUGCUGUGUCAUGCUCAGCUGCUCAGGAAAGGUCCUCAUCUGGUUGGCUCCUAGACAGUGGAUGCACCAACCACAUGACACCGGAUGCUGCAAUCUUCAAGUCUUUAGACAGAAGCUGCAGAACUAAAGUCAAGAUAGGAAAUAGUCAUUUUAUUCAAGCUGAAGGCAAGGGUGAUGUGCUGAUAUGCACCCUUACAGGUACCAAAGUGAUUUCAAAUGUGCUGUUGGUGCCUGAAAUUGACAGAAACCUGCUCAGCAUAGCUCAGUUGCUGGAAAAAGGUUAUUCAGUUGUGUUUAAAGACCACCAGUGCCAAAUCAGUGAUCCAAGUGGAUCCAAACUGAUGGCAGUCCCUAUGGCUGAUAAGAGCUUUGUGGUUGACUGGACAAAGAAGUCAGACAUUGCCUACACAACCACUUCAGAUGAAUCCAAGCUGUGGCAUCAAAGACUGGGACAUGCCAACUUCAUAUCGAUGGCCCGAAUGAUCAGAGAAGACCUGGCUGAAAACUUCAUCAACUCAGUGGACCAUGAUGAUGUAUGUGAAGUAUGUCAGCUAGGAAAGCAGGCCAGACUCCCAUUUCCCUCGAAUCAAGCCUGGAGAGCCUCUGAAAAACUCUAACUGGUGCAUACUGAUGUGUGUGGCCCUAUGAAGACUGAGUCAUUAAGUGGAAACAGAUAUUUCAUACUGUUCAUUGAUGAUUUCUCGAGAUAUUGCUGGAUUUACUUCUUAAAACAGAAAUCAGAGGUGGCCACUGUGUUUUGGAAGUUCAAAACUUCUGCUGAGACUGAAACAGGCUGCAAGGUGAAGACCAUAAGGUCUGAUAAUGGGACUAAGUACACCUCAGCUCAGUUCCAAGCCUUCUGUGAUAAGGCAGGCAUCAAACAUCAACUUACCAACACAUAUACACCUCAGCAGAAUAGGGUAAGUGAAAGGAAGAAUAGGAGUUUGAUGGAUAUGGCCAGGUGCUUGAUGAUUCAGAAGAAUCUGCCUAAAGCACUAUGGGCAGAAGCAGUUAACACUGCAACAUACAUUCAAAAUAGACUUCCAACCAAGGCUUUGGAUCAAAAGACCCCAUUCGAGGCCUGGUUUAGCUUCAAGCCAUCACUGGCUCAUCUGAAGGUCUUUGGAUGCAUCUGUUAUGCACAUGUACCUGCUGUUAAAAGGGACAAAUUGUCUGAAAGGGCUCGACCUGGUGUUUUGGUGGGCUAUAGCACUGUUAAGAAGGGCUAUAAGAUUUUAGAUCCUUCAACAAACAAAGUGUCAAUAAGCAGAGAUGUGGUAUUUGAUGAGAGGUCAUGUUGGAACUGAGAAAGACAUGAACCUGAAGAAGUUUCUGAAGAACUUGCAACAGACCAAGCUGAGCCAGACCAAAAUGUCCCUGAAAUGGAUAUUGAUGAUGAACCAGUCAGAGGAACAAGGCCAUUGGCUGAAAUUUAUGAAAGGGCUCAUGUAGCCAUAGCUGAACCAAGCAACUUUGAAGAGGCUGAGGCUCAGUAAGGGUGGAAGCAGGCAAUGGCUGAGGAGAUCAGCAUGAUUGAGAAGAACCAGACCUGGGAAUUGGUUGAAAGGCCAGUCAAAAGAAAGGUGAUUGGGGUGAAAUGGGUGUACAAAGCCAAGCAGAAUGCUGAUGGUACCUUGAACAAGCUGAAAGCAAGGCUAGUUGUCAAGGGGUUCAGUCAGAGGUAUGGCUUGGACUACCUGGAGACCUUUGCACCAGUGGCCAGGCUCGACACCAUCAGACUGCUGAUUGCCUUAGCAGCACAUCUUGAAUGGAAGAUCCAUCAACUUGAUGUGAAAUCAGCCUUUCUGAAUGGUUUCUUAGAUGAAGACAUCUAUGUUGAACAACCAAAAGGGUUUGAAAUAGCUGGCAGAGAGCAUAUGGUCUACAAACUGAAGAAGGCCCUAUAUGGAUUAAAACAGGCUCCAAGGGCUUGGUAUAGCAGAAUCGAUGGCUACUUGACUGAUCUGGGAUUCGAUCGAAGCAAGAGUGAGCCAACACUGUAUGUCAAGAAACAAGGGACACAAAUACAACUUAUUGUGUCCCUGUAUGUUGAUGAUCUUCUGGUGACAGGAGGAGAUCGAGUAGUGCUGGCUGAUUUCAAGACCAAGAUGCAGGAAGUGUUUGAUAUGUCUGAUCUUGGGGAGAUGUCAUACUUUCUUGGAAUGGAAGUGUCUCAAGUACAGAAUGAGAUAUUUCUAAGCCAGAGAAGCUUUGCCACAAAGAUUCUGACCAAGUUCUCCAUGCAAAACAGCAAGGCAACUAAAACACCUGUUGCUGUUGGAGAAAAACUAUCGAGCCAAGGUGAUUUUAAGAAAGUUUGUGAAACAACCUACAGGAGUCUAGUUGGUUGCUUGCUAUACUUGACUGCCACUAGACCAGACAUCAUGUAUGCUGUAGGAUUACUCUCAAGGUUCUUGCAUUGCUGCAAUGAGAAGCAUUUCCAAGCUGCAAAGGGAGUGCUGAGAUAUGUCAAAGGCACUUUAAACUAUGGUUUGAAGUACAGCAAAGAAGGAAAUCUGAAGCUGGUUGGCUACACUGAUAGUGACUGGGCUGGCUCGAUAGAUGACAUGAAAAGCACCUCAGGGUAUGCUUUUAACCUUGGUUCAGCCAUGUUUUGCUGGAGCUCAAAGAAGCAAAGCCUAGUAGCUCAAUCUACUGCUGAAGCAGAGUAUGUGGCAACAGCAAGUGCUGUCAACCAAGCCAUAUGGCUAAGGAAAAUAUUGGCUGACUUGAAUGUGCAUCAAGAGGAAGCUACUGAGAUCUUCUGUGACAACCAAUCUGCAGUAGCAAUUGCUAAAAAUCCAGUGUUCCAUGGAAGAACAAAACAUUUCAGCAUCAAGUUGCAUGUUGUUCGAGAAAUGGAGCAAGCUCAGGAAGUAAAGCUGAUCCACUGUAAUUCAGAGGAUCAACUUGCAGACAUUUUAACCAAAGCCCUUAGUGUCACAAGGUUCGAAUGUCUAAGAAAGAAGCUAGGUGUUUGCUCCAUGCAAACCAAGGAGGAGUAAUGAAGUUGGUUCAGCAUGCAGCAAACUCGACAGCAUGCAGGCCAUGAAGACCAAGUCAUGCAGGAGCUGCUGAUGCAAGCUUAUUUUGUUUAUUUUGUAAUUCCUAGUCAAUGAAAUGUAAUCUUAGUUCAUUUCUAACUAAGUUAGAUUGUUGACUGAUGUAAUUAGCUUAUGUAUGAGUUGUAAACACAACUUUGUGUAAGUUUACAAGCCAAAAUUUCAAGUUUCCAUGUCAUUAGUGGAGGUAGGUGAUGUUUAGGUAAUUGCUUACUGUUUUUGACAAGCUUAGUGCCUGUUUUAUGUAUUGGCAUUGUGCCAUUAUGCAUUUUAUGAAUGAAGUUUAGUUUGUUCAUCAAUUUCUCUAUUCAUUUUUCUUAGCUUUUCUUCCUUUCUCUUGCUCGAAUUCUCUUGUUUGCUCAGCAAGUCUCGAGACUUGCUUAACAAGUCUGCACUGAAUCUGUUAGUUUCAGUUACAGCACCAACAGAAACCAACAAAAUCCGUCGAAGGAGAAGCUCCUGGAGAAUCCACAAUGGAUGUCCCCUUGAGUUUAGCCAAAACCUCCUGAAGAAGACGCCUCUGAUCUUCCACUGAAGAAGCUAACAGGUCAAAAUCACGACGCAUUGUUGCUUGAGAAUCGGCAAUUGCCUUGGUGGGUCGUUCACAACAGACUGACAUUAAUAGUGACCACAUAUCAAAAGAAAUAUAAAGAAAGAAGGAAGAGCAGAAUUAUUGAAAAAGUUUGAUCAUGUGGCUAUACUAUAUAUAUUUCAAUGUGCAAGAAAGGAGAUAUAUGAGUCAAAUAAUUUUGUCCUAUUCAAAUAAAAAAAAUGGGGAGGCCACAAUAGACCAAAGUGUCCCCUCAUGCAAUAAAAGGCUUUUUGUGAGUGGCUUUGGUAUAGUAUUCCAUGUGAAUGAGCACUUAUUUGCCUCCACACUCUUUUAUAGGCCCUAUGAGGAUUUAGCUAUAUCGCAGAAGUGAGGUUAAUUUUAAUGAGACUAAUGAUAAAAUGAAACAAUAUUUUGAGGGUUAAAUUAAAUUGAAUAUUUUUAUGAUAGCGAAAAUGUAAUUUUACCAUUUUAAUAGUCUAUAUAUAAAAAGAUCAAAUAAAUUUUUUAGCCUUAAUUUGAUCUUUACUUUUUAAAAUUACAUAAAAGUUCAGAAUUAAAAAGAACACAUAUUUUCAGUAAAAUCCAUUAAAAAAUUGUGGAAAACACUCUUUAAAGUUCGUGGAAAAAAGGGAUAAGAAGGGGUGACUAUUAGGAAAGCUGCAUAAGCACUUUUGUUUGUGAUCUAUCAACAACUUGUGGCUUCAUAUUGUGAAGUUAUAAAAUAUAAAGUUAUAAACAUUCAAGAAAUUAAUUUCACUAAAUAGAUUCAAAUUAUAGCAGCGACCAAAUUGGUGUCCACGCAUUUCUUUGUAAAAGCGUGUUCUCACUGACCUAUAUGAUUCCACACGUAAUGAAUUAAUUGGCCAACAACCUCAAAGUUUCUAUUUAUGAUCUAUCAUGUAAACAUAGGGGAAGACUUAACAAGAAAAAUUUGUCAAGUCGCCAGAAAAGGAAAAGAACUGAAAUGGCGGAGAUAGCUGUGGGUAUAGUUAUUGAUAGAUUAAUUUCAUUCCUUGGUGCGGAGGUGAAACUAUUUGGACGGCUUAAGAAAGAAGUUGAAGACAUCCGGAUCGAGCUCGACUACAUUGCUUGUUUCCUUAGACAAGCAGAUCCAAUGGUAGACAAAGAGGAUUCCAAUGGUGGCUUCAAACUAUGGGUGCAACAUGUAAGGGAGGUGGCUUUCCAGAUAGAAGAUGUUAUGGAUGAAUACAAGCUUUAUCAUGUUCCAGUUGCACAACAUCAGCAGCAGCAAGGUUUAAUGGCUUCCCUGAGCAGAAUAGCUCAUAUGGUCCAGACCGUGAAAAGGCAUCUCCAGGCAGCAUCAAAGAUCAGAGAUAUCAAAACAUCUGUUAAUGAAAUCAAGGAAAGAAGUGAAAGAUACAGGUUCAACACCCUGCAACAUGUUCCAGGUGAGAACUGUAACGAGCCGAUUGACCCUCGAAUGGGACUUCAUUUUGUCAACAGUGAAGCACUCGUGGGCAUUGAUUCUUCUCGACAAGAGUUGGCCCGUAGAUUGGCAGAUGCAGAGCUGAAACGCACAAUUGUUUCAGUGGUGGGGAUGGGAGGGGUUGGGAAGACGACCCUUGUUAAGAAAGCUUUUGAUGAUGAAAUCAUGGCAGGACACUUCGACUGCCAUGCUUGGAUCACCGUCUCUCAAUCAUACAGGGUGGAGGUGUUGCUAAGGACCAUGAUGAAGCAGAUGUAUGAGUCUCGAAAGCAGUCCCCACCUGUUAGGGUCGACGCAAUGGAUGGUGUAGAAUUGAUAAGCAUAUGCAGAGACUAUAUAUAUGAUAAAAGUUACAUCGUGGUGUUUGAUGAUGUAUGGAAGGAAGAUUUUUGGCGACAUAUAGAACAUGCUUUAUUGGAUAACAACAAAGGAAGCAGAAUUUUAAUGACAACAAGAAGUAUGAAUACUGCUGAGUUUUGCAAGAAAUCUUCACUAGUUCAUGUCCAUAAUUUGGAACCUCUUCCACUAGAACAGGCACAGGAGCUCUUACGCAGAACUGCUUUUCAGUAUGAUGAAGAUAAACAAUGCCCUGAAGAGUUGAAUGGUUUAACUUUUGAAUUAGUCAAAAGAUGUGAAGGACUUCCCCUUGCAGUUGUGGCCAUUGCUGGACUUUUGGCAACCAAAGGCAAGGAUGUUGGUCAAUGGAAACGCUUACUUGAUAGCCUUAGUGCUGAGCUAGACAGUAGUCCACAUCUUUCAUAUGUAAAACAGAUACUUUCUUUUAGUUAUUAUGAUCUGCCUUACCAUCUCAAGGGUUGUUUCUUGUUCAUGGGCAUGUUUCCUGAAGAUUAUCCCAUAAGUUGCAAGAGACUGAUUCGGCUGUGGAUCGCAGAGGGGUUCGUAAAAGGGAAACACAAUAUGACCUUAGAAGAAGUUGCGAUGACGUACCUAUCCGAAUUGAUUAACAGAAGCUUGGUUCAAGUAUCAGUGAUUGAUUCUAUUGGCAAUGUCAGAAACUGCCAGCUCCAUGAUUUGAUGCGCGAAGUUGUUGUUUCCAAGUCCAAAGAACUGAGUUUCAUUCAAACAUGUCCAGAAAAUUUGUCCAACCAUUAUCGUGUAGCUCGACAUCUUUCCAUCUGCAACAAAUCAAACAAUUUCCCAAUGGUUGUUGGUAAUUAUCAAACUCAUUCAGCAAUUUUCUUUGACAUAGAAGAGUUACCUAAAUCAUUCUGCUUCUUACAGUUCACAAAGUCCAAAUUGUUGAAAGAACUGGACUUUGAAGGAGCCCCAUUGACUUAUAUUCCAGAGGAACUGGGAAAUCUGUUCAAUUUGAAAUACUUGAGCAUAAGGGACACAAAGGUGAAAAAGCUCCCAAGAUCUAUAGGUAAAUUGCAUAAGCUUCAAACUUUGGAUCUAAAACGUUCUUUUGUAAGCGAGUUACCAGUUGAAAUCAACAUGCUCUUCAAUCUUCAAUAUCUUGUAGCUUACUACAAAGAUAAACAAAGCAUCUACAGUAUCAAUACUCGAAGAGGGAUGAAGUUAUAUUCCAACUUUGGGAGCUUAGAGUCCUUAGAAAAGCUGUAUGAGGUGGACUUGGAGGCCUACAGUGGUGGUAACUUCUUUCGCGAGUUAGCAAGAUUGAAGCGGUUGAGAAAACUAUGCAUCACUAAACUAAAAUCAGAAAGUGUGAAUGCUUUAUGUGAUGCAAUACAGCAGAUGAUCCACCUUCAGUCAUUGAGAAUUUCUUCUAUAAAAGAGGAAGAGCUUCUUCACCUACAUAAAAUGUCAUCCCCUCCGGUUUUUCUCCGUUGCCUCAGGCUACGAGGAAGAUUAAUGAAGUUACCUGGUUGGAUUUAUGAACUGAGGAACCUCACAAAACUUACCUUAGAAUGGUCAAGAAUAUCAGAUGAUUCACUUCAAAUCCUUGGUGUUCUACCAAAUUUACUCUUCUUUUGGAUUUUUGAGGGAUACAGUGGAGCUCAACUGCAUUUUCACAAGAAUCACUUUAAGAAACUCAAGGACUUGAGGCUUUGCUGGUUAAAUGAUUUAAAGAGACUGAUAAUAGAUGAAGGAUCAUUAACACUUGUAGAACAUCUAGAACUUGGACCUAGCCCCCAAUUGGAGGAGUUGCCUGCUACCAUUUCUCAUCUAAAAUGUCUGAAGACUCUUUCAUUUAACAAUAUGCCCAUGGAGUCGGUUCGAAAAUUGUUGCCUGAUGGAGGCUCUGAUCAUUGGAAAGUCAGGCAUAUUCCAAAUAUCUAUUUCCUUUACUUCACGGUUAAAGGAACACAGCAUGAAACCUACAAGCUUGGUGAUUCACGCUUGUUAGAACUCCUUAGUUGAAGCACUUGGAUGGAUCUCCUUCCAUGUCUUAAAAUUCCGAUGUUGGUACUGUGUCAGACACAGUUGAGUGGCCAAUAAAGAGGUAUGUUCAAUCUUUUUCUAAGUCUUAACAUGCAUUUGAGUGGUCCUUAGAGGAUCAUAUCUCCAUAACCAUAUUAUUUCAAGAAAAAAGAGCGAGAGCAACAUAGAUUUUACAUUGUUCUGGUUUGCUAUUUCUUUUAUUUUAUGUUUUUUGGAUGAUUUUACUUGUAGGACAGGGCAGGGACUCAAUGGUUUUCAGAUGGAUCAAUUCAACUGAAUGUAGAAUAACCAUAUAGGAAGAGACUAAAUUUGAAUCUACCAGUCUAACUGGUUAUAAUUACUUACCAGAUCAAUGUGGUUGAUUGAUGUAUGUUUCCUUCCCGGCCCCCAAUCUCAUAAAUAGCUCCUUGUACCUUAUGUCGUUUUUGCUUGUUAUAUUAUACUCAUUGUUUCACUUCACGUCAAUAGCUUCCACCUCAAAACCUAGAAAAUAUCAUCUUACAUGCAAUGGUAAAUUACAGGUUGCGUACAUGGAAGACAGUUUUCCAAAUAAAAAGGUAAUAAGUUAAGCAACGAAGUAUAUAAAAAAGGACUAAAUGAGAGGAAAUAAAUAAAUGAACUAAAGAGGGUUAAGCCUUUAAAAUACAAUGAACUACAAGAAGUACAUUCAGAAGUUGCAAUCAACAAAGCUAUGUUACCUGGACUCUUUAAUUUCCUAAAGUACUUAUUUGGACAUAGGAACGUGGUAUGAUCCUCCAAACAUAUUAAAGUCUUCAAAAAAAAAAAAGAAGAAAAAGCAUACUCAUAUCAUACACAUACAAUACUCAAGCCAAAUUUAGGUAACAGAGCUCCACAGGAAGAAAGUGUGGAGUUUCUUAAUCUAUUAUACAAACAGGGGCAACUGAAGCAACUUGAAAUUCCAAUAAACCAAAUACAUAGAGCAACUAAAACAUCAAGUUCCAAUGAACCAAACAUCCAUAUACGCAAGAAAAUGCAUAGCCAACAAAAGAGGGAGAAUCCAUAUAAAACUUCAUGCAAACUGAUAAAACAAAAGAUAAAAAAUAUCAAAUUUACAAUGAAAGCGCAUAAAGAGAGGACUGUGAAAGAGUUAAUAGCCAAAAAGUUGAGAGAAAGUGAUUCAAGGCAGAAAAAUUGAAACUCAAAGCUACUGCCUCAGCCAGUAUCAUACAUCUACAGCUUAAUUGAAGUUGAUUUCAGCUUCCAUUAUUACCCAUUUUAUUCUUUCCAUAAGAGAUUGAAGCAGAAAAAGGCUUAAACCAGAGUCAGCAAAUUUCAACAUCUCACCUUUGAUUUUAUUAAACUAUUGAUCCCGAAAAGAAACAUUGUUCAGGAACUGAUAACAAAAAGCAUUGAAGUUUGUAGCAAUGCAUUCAUAACUCCAAUAAAUAGAAGAGCUACAAUAUUAAAACUAACAAAAAGGGAGAGUAGGCUAUAGUUUAACUGGUGAUCAUUGUGCCAGCGCCCUCAUCGGUCAUAAUCUCAUGAAGCAACGAGUGCUCAACACGACCGUCAAUAAUGCUAGCAGUGGUAACCCCUUGAGCAAGCGAUCGAAUACAACAAUUCACUUUGGGAAUCAUCCCACCGCCUACCUUCCCUUCCUCAACCAUUUUCUUCACUCCCUUUAUAUCAAUCUCUUUCACCAAGCUUCCAGGGUCCUCUCGGUUUCUCAGAAUCCCUGCGACGUCGGUCAACAGAAUCAGUUUCUCACCCCCCAAUGCCGCCGCCACCUCACCAGCUACCGUGUCUGCAUUGAUGUUGUAAGGCUGACCAUACUCAUCCGCCGCCACUGAAGCAAUCACCGGGAUGCUUCCGUUGUCCACGAUCGUUUGGAGGACUGUGGGGUCCACUCUCGCAACCUCUCCGACAAACCCCAACUGUGCAGCGUUUGGGCUGGGCCUGGCAACUAAAAGGCGGCCGUCCAUGCCAGAAAGGCCCACGGCGGUGGCUCCAGCGUAAUUGAUACGAGAAACCAGGUCUUUGUUAACUUUUCCAACAAGGACCAUAGAAACAACUUCCAUGGUCCUGGCGUCGGUUACACGGAGCCCAUCGCGGAACUGAGCGGGGAUAUUGAGCUGAUUGAGAAGGACGUUGAUUUCAGGACCACCGCCAUGGACGAGGACGGGACGGAGGCCAACGCAGGAGAGGAGGACGAGGUCCCUGACAACAGAGGCCUUGAGCUCCGCAGAUUUCAUGGCGGCGCCUCCGUAUUUGACGACAAUGGUUUUUCCCCUAAAUUUCUGAAUGUAGGGGAGUGAUUCAGAGAGGAUUCGAACUCGAAGUUGAAGAUCGGAAUUGGUGAGAGAGGGAAGAGGCGGGUCAUUGAGGGCGGUGGAGGAGGGUGAAGAAGCUCUAAUGGAAAGACGAAGGCGACGAGAAUUGGGGGUUUGGAGAAUCUGAAGUUGAGGUUUAGGGUUUCUGCUUUUGAUUUUGUCUUUGUUAGGGAGAGAAAUGAAAGGGGGUCCUGUGAAGAGCAAAAAUGGAGAGAUUUGCCGGUGGCUGUUGCGCCCAUUUUUCUAUCUUCCUCUCCUCUUCUCUGCUGCUUUGGCUCUGGCUUAGAAGGAGCUAAUGGUGCACCCACUCAUUCACGACCCAGGAGUGUAAGCAAAUUAUUACAUUCUAUUUUCAAAAGAAUUUAUAAUAAUUAAAAAGAUAAAAUAAGAAACUAAAAUGAAAUUUUAUUAAAAUCCAACAGUGUGAUAUUAUCCUUCAUCCUUAUUAUUAUAUUAAAAAAAUUAUAAAAAAAAGUAUGUAAAAACAGGAUAAUAUCAUUUGUUUUGGACGAAAGACUUCAAUUUAACUUUAUUUUCGAUCUCAACCAUAUUGACACAAUUAUCUCCUUUUCUUUCUUAUCAAACAAUUGAAAAGGUCACAUUAAUUAUAUAUAUUAUUGACAUCUAAGUAAUAUUUAAAUUAUUAUGAGAAAAUAUUGUUUUAAUAUAAAAUUUAAUAAAUUAUGAUCUGUCAUGUCAAAUAAUCAAUAACAAGACUAUGUAUAGAAGUGUAUCUGAAUCCAUUGUUGAAGAUUGCGAAAGUUUUGAUCUUUCAAGAAAAUAGUUUUUCUUCUAGUAUAUCUCUGAAAUGGGGAUGGAAAAGAUAUAUGAGAUAACUCUAUUUCUUGGGAAUAAUUGAUUAUUAAAUUAGUUUUGAGUAUUUAUAAUUUGACCCCUCAUCAAGUUAUAAAUACAACUUACAACUUAUGAUAUCUACAUAUUAUUUUCAUGACACUUUGAUACCUAUGACACUUAUAACAUAAUUGGUCACUUAAUUUUGAUCAUAUUUUAUAAUAGCAUUAUACAUUAUAUAUAUGUGUCCAUAAUUGGGGAUUUUAAUCCAACAAUCUCCCACUUGGGCAACAUAUAUUUCCUGAUAAAUGUACAACUUUAUGGGCUCAAAAUUUUCUAUAAUAUAACAAGUAUUCUAUAACAGUCUUGUCCAUCAACUAUAUCCAUAUAGGAUCAAAUUAGUCUUUGUCAUAUUAAUCAUGACUAAACUCAUCAAUAGUCAGAUAUACAAAUAUAGUCAAAUGAUAUGGAUCAAUCAUAGAUGUGUAGCAUGGAAAUUACAUGCAAUGUGAACCAAACAUGCAUAUUUCCAACUGGUCAUCCUUAAACUUAAGCGAUGUCAAUAUCAAACAGAGUGAAUAAAUUAAAUAUUUCAUUUCUGAUCAGAAAAUAACCAAAUACAUAAAUGUCUGAAAACAAACAUAAAACAAAUAAAGCACAAACCCUCACUAAACCAUGAUGCCCUCAAAUAAUAUAACAUGCUGGGGAAUGUGCCCAUCUUGUAUUAAACAUGUAACUGUUUUCUAUUUAUUUGAACGAUGAAUAAAUAAAUAAAGUUAAUUUCACAUUCCACUAUUAUGUCAUUGUAUUUUCUGUUUUUUAUAUUUUGCAUGCAUAGCGAAAUUAUGACAAACAAAUAUUAGCUCAUUGAUUGUCUAAAGUUCAAAUUGAAGAUAAGUGACAUUGUAAAUAACGUUUACAUUGCGAGAAAGAAAACUUACUUCAGUAGAUAAUCUAAAUGAGUUUGUAAUUUUGUAAAAUAAUCAAAGUGAGCAUUUGAUUCAAAUACUGAGAAGGAUUAUUAUGUCGUCUACAAUUCCAAUUGGGGAGAUGACUAGUCUUGGCUAUUGGAGCAGUUGACUCCACAGGUAGAAACAUAGAUGUAUUCAUUGGUAGAAUGAUAUAUUGGACUAGACUCAAGAUGAAUUAAUUCUGAAUUUGUUUGUGAAUUAAUUCACUUGUGACGUUCAUGGUGUGAUUUACCUAAAUCCUAAGUUAGUCACUGACCAUGCGUAUGUAACUCAUGUGCUUUAAUAUAAUUGGAGGCUUAUGCUAUAAAGAUGAUCGAGCCCAUAGCCGAUAUGUUGGGUACAUGAUUUGUGUAUGGCAUGGCUUUACUAGAAAUAGUGGAAUUCAUAACUCAAUUAAAGAAUUAAUGAUAUCCUAUUAUUGGCAUUGUUUGGAUUGAUAAAUAUGGAACGUGGUGACGGAUCGCUAGUUCUCGAAUGAGUAAUUUAUCAUAAUCAUUUGUUGACAGUGACCAUAUUAAUCAUUAAGAAGACACAAUGGUGACAAUGAGAUAAAAUAUGAUUGUAUUAAGUGAACGGAUUUAACUCAAAGGAAUCAAAGAUAUCAUAUGAGGAUAACAACACUUGAUGAGGUCAUUGGACAAAGUAGUUGAAUGAAUUGCUUUCACAAACAGUAUACAAUAAGGAGUUUUCAAUCAUGGUAUUUCUUGUGGACUGACUCUAUGAUUAAGUAAUUGUGAAUUAUCGAAACGAUGCUUCUGGACAUAAUUGCAAUCAUUAGAGAAUAAUUGUAUAUGUUUGAUUGGUCCCUCCGUUAGCUCAACAAAAGCUUGAUCGAACUGCAUUUGAAUCAAAAAUAAAUUCUACGACUUUGGGAAUAAUUUAAUUGAGUUAAUUUAUUCAAUGUGGAAAUAAAUUAGGUGGUCGUAAGAAAUAUUCAACUAGAGAAUUUGAUUAAAGAAUUAUCUUGAAAAAUUAAUUUGGAAAAUCUAAGUGAUUUUUGGAAAAAUUAAUUUUGAUCAAGUAAAAUUAAAUUAAUCAAAUCAAUUAAAAUUAAUUUGAUAUUAUUGGAAAUUAAUUUUCAAGUUAGACAAUUGGACCAAUGAGUAAUUGAACUUGAAAAUUAGACCUGAGAUCGUAAAUUGGGCCUGGGAGCCCAAAAUCGAGACCAAGACCCAAAAACUGGUCAAAUCGAGCCCAAUAUGUUAAACCGGGCUGACAAUCCAACAAGUGGCUAGAUUGGACCGGUCGGGUCGUCAUUGACCUGGACCGAAUCGACAGUAGUCGAACUGGCUCAGGGUGCCAUAUGGAUGUCUGUAAUGACCCAAAUUCAAAGUUAUCGGAACAGUGGUUUUGAGACCACAAAUCCGAUGAGGAAAAAUUUAUUUUUCUUAUAUUUUUAUGGUCUACGAUUUUAUAAAAUGAUUUGGUGAAAAUUUCGUUCAAAAAUUUCAACGUUUGGGCACUUAAUUUAGUUAAAAUGACUAAAUUGUAAAAAGUGCAAAAGUUGAGUUCUACAUGUUAGAGGUGCCCAAUUGUUAUGAAACUUUAAAUUGGAGGUCCUUAUAUGGUAAUUAGACCCUUGGUUAAGUUGGUAGACAAAAAUAGACAUGAGAUAAGUGAAAUAUAAUAUUUUUAAGUUAGGGGUAAUUUGGUAAUCUAGUAAUUAAAAUGAAUUAAAAGGGAAAAAGAUGGCAAAUUGUGCUCAUCUUCUUCAUUUGGACGAAAUCAGCAAGGGGGGAAGCCAUAGUUAGGGUUUUGAAGCUUCCAAGCUCCAUAGUAAGUGAUCCCAAGCCCCGUUUUUAAUGUUCUAUUCGUUUUUGAGAUCCCGGUAGCUUAAUUUAGCUUAUUCUAGCAAUAAUUUAACCUAGGGUUUAUAUUUGGAAAAAUACCUGUACAGCCCAAUUAUUGCCCGGGCCCAAUUAACAGAGCCCAAACACCAACCCACAAGCCCAAUUACAACCCAAACCUGAGGCCCAAAUUCGGAGCCCAAUUCCCCCCAAAAAUCCAACUAGGGUUUCAGAAAAAUGAAACCCUAGCCAAACCUAGCGCCGCACCCAUCCCUCUGCCCUUCGCCUUGUCCCAUCGUCACCCACCGUGCCUAGCUUCAUCAACACCUGCAAAAUGGCAGAAAAAGCCGGAGCACGCAACAGAUAGUGCAAAGCAAUAGAAUACAACCAAAAAAUACAAUGUAAAUUGGCUAUAAAAGCCAAACAAUAUCUCUGUACAUUUUUUAGAGACAGCAUUUUGAAUUCAAGAAAAAGAAAAAGCAAAUCAAAAAAGGUUGACUCUAGUUAUUUCUACUCUGUUCUCGUGUUCUUAUUCAUUUUAUUUCUUUUAUUUUUGUUUAUUUUUCUGCAAUCGUUUAAUAAAUAAAGCGGGACUAAAAGGGAAAGGGGAAGAUACCUUACUGCUUCGGUGGGCUGGUGUCGGAACUCCGCCUUUGCCGUCGUCGGAGCCGAGCAAAAAGGGGCGUUUCAUCCCUUUUCCUUUUGGUCUCGCGGUUGAGAAGGCAUAGCCUUCGGGGACGCCGCAAAAGGGGGAGGCCUAGGGGCCGUUCUCGUGCAGCUCCGGCCACUGGCCAUGGAGGCGGAGAUGGUGGCCUGAGCUUUAAGGCCGAGGGGGGCGCAGAGAGGAGAGCAUUCGAGCUCUCUGUUCUCUUUUCCUGUUUCUUUUUUUUUAUUUUUUUUAUUUUUUCUCUUUUCAUUAGAAAAUGAAAUGGAGGCUACCAGAUUAGGGUUCUUUUUGGCCCUUACAUGAUGUGUGAAACGAUGCCGUUUGGAGUCUGAUCAGUGGCUCCAAAACGGCGUCGUAUUGAGCUCUGACCCGCGCGGUGACCCGACCCAAGGGAAGGAUCCGCGUGUUUUUUUCUUUAAAUGGGAUAUUUGUGCGCGUAGUCCCUCCGACUUUGUAGCGCGUUGCAAUUUGGUCCUGUUUCGCUAUUUCCUAUUUUUCAAUUUCGCCCCAGAAUUCUGUUUUUGUUCUAUUUUGACCUUCUGCUGCACUGCGUUUUGGGGCUUCGGGGUAUUUAUGAUUUUGGUCCCCCCCUUUUUCGCGCAUAUUACAUUUUGAUCCUUUAUUCCAUUUUAUUUUUUAUUUCAGCCCUGAGAUUUCGUUCCCGUUUUGAAUUAGUCCUAUUAUUAUUAUUAUUAUUAUUAUUAUUAUUAUUACCUAUUUAUUUAUAUUAAUUUUAUUUAAACUUGUGGUACAUAUAUAUAUUUAUAUAUUUUACAACUUAUGUACCUAUCUAUAUAUCUAUAUACAUAUUUUCAUUUUCAUAAAUACAUACAUAUUUAUAUAUAAUCUUUAUAGUCUAAAAUACACCUUUUUUAUAUUUUUUUAAAUCCGCAUAUACAUACACAUUUUCAAUAUAUUUUUAGUAUGUAUAUAAAUUAACGUAUUUAUUUGUAUACAUAUGUAUAUUUUCAUUAGUUUUAAACUUUAGUUUGUACAUAUAUACUUUUUCUUUUAUUUUACAAUAUAUAUAUACACUUACUUUUUAUAUGUAUUUCUUUAUCUUCGUAUUCCAUAGUUUUAUACACCUAUAUAUGUACAUAUUUUUUUAUACAUACGCGUAUUUAUUUAUUUUAUAUAAAAUAUACUUUAUAUAUUUUGUUAAUUCAUGUAUACACAUAUUUUAGUUCAUGUCUAUAUAUAUCUUUUUAUACUUAAUUGUAUUUGCUAUUUAUUUAUUUCAUUUUGUUAUUAUUUUGAAUGAAUGAUUUAACUUUAUUCGUUUUUUUUUAUUUUGUUAUUUUGUAUGUUGUAAGUUUGAUCGUUCAUAUUGAUUGCUAUAGCUUGCAUCGUUUUUAUAUUUUCAUGUUCAUUAUGAUUUUGCCAUGCAUAAAUAAUGUAAUUUGCUUUCACUAUAAUUUUUUGCUUUAUUUUUACUCGAUAUAACAAAAUUUAUUUUUUUAAAAAUGGCAUUUCGUGUUUGGAUUCGAGAAAAUCGUGCCCUAACUUACUGGGUUUCGAUUUUCUCGAUAAAUCUAAAUGUACGAAUCUUUCUAAACUCAAAUUUUAGAUGACCUCGGGAUUAAAAAAAUCACGUCCUAACUUACUGGUCGUGAUCUCAUUUUUAAAUCCGAGAUGGCUAAAAUAUCUUUUAAAUAAGCAUUUUUCAUUCGCGUAUCGAGAAUUUGAGAUAUUGUAUUCUAACUUACUGGAUAUGAUUCUCUUCCUCGAUUAACGUGAAAUAUAUUUCUUUUUCCAAAAAUUUUCAUUUUAAUACAAGGAUCGUAUUUUUAAUUCUUUCAAGUUCUCAAUUUUCGACAUCGAGACAUUAGAUAAUCAACUAGGUACCAAUUUCUGGGCGUUACGAGGGUGCUAAUCCUUCCUCGUACGUAACCGACUCCCGAACCCAUUUUCUAAAUUUCGUAGACCAAAACCGUUGUUUUAAUAAAAUCAAAUUAUUUAUUAAAAACAACCUUUUUCCAAGGUGACCCAAUCACACCUCAAAAAGGAUUGGUGGCGACUCCCUUUUUCAUUUUCAAAACCCAAGUCGACCCCGUUUUUCAAUAAAAAAAAUGGUGUCAACAGCUUGGCGACUCCGCUGGGGACUCAAAAAAUUGAGAGUCAAGCCACGAGUUGAUUAUCUCUUGUCCUUUUGUCAAAAGUUGAAAAUUUGAGUUAAAUAUCCGAUCCUCUCAUUGCAUUUUAUUUUGAGUUAUAGUUUUUAUCAUGUUUGGUAUUUUAAGUUUUUAUAUACCUCUGCACAUUGCAUUGCAAGACCGUUGGUCACACCUCUUAAGUGGGAGUGAGAAGCUACGCCUUCGUGAGGUUUUCACCUCCGCAUGGGAUAGUGAAUCGCUUCCGGGAUACAUCCGUACCUAUGUCUUCGUGAGAUUUUCAUCUCCGCAUGGCCACAGGGAAAUGUAUUCCCCUGAACUGAACUCGGUUCGUAUGACCCUAUAAUGGGUGAGGAUUGAGGAAUCUGCUGGUUCAGGUACCCUGCUUAGAACCAAACCACAUGUAAUGACCCAUAAGAACCGACCUAGGUAGAGCUACGCCAAACCUCAGUGCUUACCUAAAUGGAUGUUAUAUUUAUCGUCAUUUACGUUAAAUCUUGUUCUGCGUAAUAUUAUCUUUGCUUUAUUUGAUUGUAUAGCAUUGUCAUUCUAAAAGAGGUGUCGAUUCAUGUUCAGUGUCUAAAACGAAAGCUUAUCAUGGAAAAGGGAUUUCUUGAUAAAGUAGAAGAUAAUGCGGCUGUGCGAGUUUGGGCUGAAACGACACAACGGGAGAAAGGCGAUAGUCUUACCGAGGGGCACGUGUCAGAAUUAUGGGAUUUCACCCGUAUCAGUGUAAUCCAGAAUGACCUUCGAGAAAUGAAAGAAGUCUGGGAUCAGUGGGAUGUCAGGACCAAGCAGCUGUUCUAUUGUAACUACGGUGACCUACCUUAUCUACUCAGUGUCAAAGUGGACAAGUAUUUAUUCCGAGCCCUUGCUCAAUUUUGGAAUCCUGCCUACAGUUGUUUCACUUUUGGGAAAGUCGAUUUGACGCCUACUGUGGAGGAGUAUACGACCUUGCUGCGGUGCCCAAAGUUUCAAGUCGAUAGAGUUUAUUCUAGAGCUGCUUGUGUCCCUUCAUUGUUAAGGAAAUUAAUGAACAUUACCGGGAUGAGCGAGCAGUGGGUCGCUGCUCGAAUCCAACAGAAGGGCGACAGUAAAUGUGUCCCUUGGAAAAGCUUACGAGAUUUGGUGCUUGUACAUCCUGACGUAAAGAAAAGGGUCGAUGUCUUCGCUUUAGGUAUCUACGGGCUAGUGGUCUUCCCCAAGGCUUUAGGGCACAUCGACGAUGCUGUAUCUGAUUUGUUUGAUCGGCUUAGUAAAGGGGUUACACCGGUUCUGGCAAUACUGGCGGAAACUUUCAGAUCCCUGAGUGCAUGUCGGAAAACAGGUGAGGGAAGGUUUAUUGGAUGCGCACAACUUUUAUUGGCAUGGUUUCAUAGUCAUUUCUGGAAAAUGGAAAAGGUCUCUUAUCGAGUGUUCUCUAACGGUUACUCCCCUCUAGAGGAAUUGGUGGCCACACCAAGACGGGAUGAUCUUUCAGAAGAAAGAUGGAGGGAGAUACUCCAGAAUCUCCAGGAUGAAGAUAUUGAAUGAAGGGCUCCUUGGUUAAUUCCUGAUGAGAUAUUGUACCGGUGUGGAGAUUUCGACUAGGUUCCUCUGCUCGGGAUGUGGGGAGCUAUCGGAUAUGCUCCCCUACUCGUAUCUAGACAGUAUAGAUCACGACAAUUCGUACCAGCAACGCUGGGGUUGGCCUAUUCUGAUUUUUCUUAUAGGGAGGACAAUUACAAGAAAAAGGUUCGAGAGGUGUCUAAUGCCUGGAACCAAACUCGCCGAAUGAGAAUUUUAGCCGUGGGUCCGACGAUGACCCCCGAGUAUAGCCAGUGGCGUGAUCAAAGGGUCAACGAUAAUAUCCCGGCGUCUAAUCCAGAAACUGCUCGAUCUUUAGAGGAACACCUACAGGUACUGCCCUCUGAGAUAGAGAUUAUCAAGCAAGAAUUUGAAAAGAGGAGUUUGGAGAUAGGAAAGAAAGUAGAGAAGUUAGAGGAAGAGAAAAUGUAGUUAGGACUAGAUUUGGACAUUCAAAGAUUAGAGGCCGACAAAUUAAGGAAAGGGAAGAACAAGGCAGAAGAAGAUUUAGACAGCCUGAAGACUGAUUACAAGAAGUUGCGCAGGUCGAUAAGAACUGUUGGCUUGGGUAAAACGUCAGAACAAUGGCGGCAGGAAAUUCAGAAGGAAAGAAUGAAAGCUAAUCAGUGGGAAAAGAAAUUUCAGGAUGCUCAAACUCGAGAGUUACUUUGGGAGAAAGUCUGCUAGUCUGCCAAAAUGAGAAGACGAAGUUGAAUGCCCGAAUAACUGAACUGGAAAGGCUACUUCACCAAUACCGUAGUCGUAAUUCUGUGAUUGAAUUAAAGGCAGGCUUGAAAAAAAUUGAAGAAUUAAAGGGACAAGUAAGAGAGCUCGAGGACGCAUUGCAAAGCAGCGAAUUCCGAAUAGAGCUUCUGGAAAGAAGUAGUGAGCAGUGGCAAGGGCGAUUCCAGCGGUCUCAAGAUCAGAUUAGAGACAGAGAUUAUGUUAUGGGUGAGGCAGUGGUUCAAGUACGCGAGGUAGCUGAUCACCUGCAAACCUUAGCGGUUCAAGCUGAUCUAUUAAGUUUAAAGUUUGAGGUGGAAUCGGACCGGGGCCGAGAAUUAGCUUGGCUCCUUAAAAAGGUUAAGGCUUUGGGCAUAAGGGCAAAGCCGUAUAUGUAAUCUAUUUUAUGUAAAGAAAUUUCUUCUCUAGUAAAGCUCUCUAAUGAAGUUGAAUUAGAAUCAGUGCCUCUUUUUUGCAUUCAUGCAUUUACAUAUCAUCAUAUGCAUUAAGUUUUAAAAAGGGAGCCUAAUUAAUUUAAAAUUAUGACAGAACUACCCUGGAAACUAACAAAAAUUCGCCAAUCGUUUAUCACUACGGUACCCGUCGCAAAACAAAAGCCAUGGAUCAAAGACUCGAAAGACUCGAACAGCUCCAAAGGGAGAUACAAGAACAAAUGCAAGAGCGGUUAGAGAAGAUUCAACAAGAUAUGAAGAACGAAAUGAUAGAGUCUCAAAAAAGCAUGAUAGCUGAAUUAACGCAAUUGUUCAAAGGGGGAAGCGACAAAGGAAAAGACCCCGUGGUUAAUACAGAAGAAGAAAAUAAUGAUAGCCCUCUCUAUCCCCCAGGUUUCACUCCUCCUCAUGCGCAAACCCAAGCUGAGGUGCAACCACGCAGAUCAUCUAUUACUAUCAGGCCUCAGCAAUUUCAAAUUGGUGCCUCAAUACCAGUAAAUUUCCAAACUGGAAUAGGUUCUCAUCUCGGAGAAGCCCCUACUAAUCCCAUAGUACCCGAUUUUGACGAAAUGAUGGGAAAAGAGAAAACAAAGGAAGAACUACCGAGUCGAUUGGAGGAAAGAUGUAAAUGGCUCGAAGAGAAAUUCAAAGCCAUGGAAAGUAGAGAGAAUUAUCAUGGGAUGGAUGCUAAAGAUCUAAGCUUGGUACCAAAUUUGGUCCUUCCUCCUAAAUUUAAGAUACCGGAGUUUGAAAAAUAUGACGGGACAAGUUGUCCUCAGGCUCAUAUCACUAUGUUUUACCGAAGAAUGACCGGGUACAUCAACAAUGAGCAACUGUUGGUUUACUAUUUUCAGGAUAGUUUGAUCGGGUCAGCAGCUAGAUGGUACAAUCAAUUGAGUCGAACCGAAAUCCACUCCUGGAAAGAUUUGGCGCAGGCCUUUAUAAAGCAGUAUAGACAUGUGAUGGAUAUAGCACCCGAUCGAAUUGUAUUGCAAAACAUGGAAAAGAAAACUAAUGAGAACUUUCGCCAGUAUGCUCGGAGAUGGAGGGAGGUAGCAGCACAAGUUCAACCACCACUUUUAGAGAAAGAGAUAACCAUGCUUUUUAUCAAUACCUUGAAAGCUCCAUUUCUCAAUCACAUGUUGGGCAGUGCCACUAAAAGCUUUCCAGACAUAGUGAUGUCUGGAGAAAUGGUAGAGAACGCCAUAAGAUGUGGCAAGAUAGAAGCAGGAGAAAGUAAUAAAAGGUCGGCUCCAAGGAAAAAGGAACAUGAGAUAAAUAAUACAAGCACGUUUAAUAAGGACCAUUCUAAAUCAAUCACGGUGGGGCAAGCCAGAGCAGUAACCGCUAAUCUGCAAAUUUUUUCGACACAGGAAUCCAAUCCAAGGCCAAAGGUAGAGAAACUUCAAUUCACACCCAUCCCAGUGACGUAUAGGGAAUUGUACCAGAACUUAUUCGAUGCACGUGUGAUAUCUCUAUUUUACCUCAAACCUAUGCAACCUCCAUACCCUAUGUGGUAUGACGCAAGCGUUCAAUGCGAGUAUCACGCGGGGACCAAGGGGCACUCAAUUGAAAACUGCACUGCAUUCAAUAAGUUAGUUGAAAGACUUAUCAAUUUGGGGAUCGUAAAGAUAGGCGACUCAUCAGGACCGAAUGUAGCAGAGAAUCCGUUGCCCAACCAUGAUAAUAAAGGGGUGAAUGCGAUAAUUGAAUAUGGAGGAAGGAGAGUCAAAGCCAACAUAGCAGAGAUAAAGACCCCCCUUGAAUGGGUUUGGAAACAAAUGAUGAAAAGAGGUCUCAUCAAGCAAGUUUCAAUAGAAAGGCCUGAAGGAACAAGGAAAUUUUGCGAGUUCCAUGCAGAAGAAAGCCAUGACAUCCAAGAUUGCACCGAGUUCAGAACCAUGAUGCAAAACUUAAUGGAUAGCAAAGAGUUGGAGUUUUAUGAAGAGAUUAAGGGAUUAGAAGGAGGAGAGGUUUAUGCUGCAGAAGAAGGAUCCACGGGGAAAGCCCAAAAGGCUAAUUACCCGGUGGUGAUUAUUGCAAAACCAAUGAGCAGAGAAUCUGGAAUACAAAUAGCACCAAAGGUCGUAAUCCAAAAACCUGUAUCCUUUCCCUACAAGGAUAGCAAAAAGGUUCCUUGGAAUUACAACUGCAAUGUAACAAUCCCAGGAGAGGAGAGCUUGAUAAAUGCUUCAGGAGAGGAUGAAGGAUUCUAUACACGAAGUGGAAAACGCUAUGAUCCGGCAAACGCAAGAGUGGAGUCUGGAAAAGGAAAAGCCUUAGCGGUUGAAUUGGGAAAAGUAAAGACAGACAAAAUCGAGCCGCGCAUCAAUCAGCUGGUAACUGAAAAUGAGGCUAGUGAAUUUCUAAAAUUUUUAAAACAUAGCGAGUACAGCGUGGUAAAGCAAUUACAUAAGCAACCGGCUCGUAUCUCGAUGCUUGAAUUGCUUCUAAGUUCAGAGAUACAUCGUAAUGCGCUGAUUAAGGUGCUAAAUGAAACUUACGUCGCUGAUGAUAUCUCAGUGAAUAAGUUGGACCGUUUGGUUAAUAAUAUCAGUGCUGACAAUUUUAUCUUCUUUAAUGAUGAUGAAAUACCACCCAGGGGAAGAGGAACCACCAAAGCCUUACAUGUUUCUACUUACUGCGGGAAACAUAUGUUGUCAAGAGUGCUAAUUGAUAAUGGAUCAGCCUUGAAUGUUUUACCCCUAUCCACCUUAAAUAGGUUACCGGUGGACAGCUCUCACAUGAAAUCAUGCCAGAACAUAGUGAGAACAUUUGAUGGUACCGAAAGAAAGGUGAUGGGAAGAAUAGAAAUACCUCUCUUGAUUGGCCCAAAUACGUACGAAGUGGAUUUCUUAGUGAUGGAUAUCAAGCCUUCGUAUAAUUGCUUACUGGGGAGACCAUGGAUUCAUUCAGUAGGGGUGGUGCCUUCAUCAUUGCACCAGAAGUUGAAAUUAGUGACAGAAGGCCGGUUAAUUACGAUUGACGCUGAGGAAGACAUCAUUGCAUCGGUAACCAGCGACGCACCAUAUUUGGGAGUAGAUGACGAUGCGGUCAAAUGUUCUUUUCGAUCCUUAGAGUUAGUAAAUGCAACUUUUGUCACUGAAGGAAAGAAAAUCCCAAUGCCCAGCAUAUCUAGAGCCACAAGGAUGGGACUACAAAUGACAGUUGGGAAAGGAGCUGUGCCUGGAAGAGGACUGGGAAGAUGCCUUCAAGGAAAGAUUGAGGCACCAGUGGUGAAAGACAAACAGGACCAUUUUGGUUUAGGAUUUAAACCAAAUGCCAAGCAGAGAAAGAAAGAGUUAGAGAAAAGACAAGACAGGAGGAAAGCGCGUUUGAACGGAAAAGAAGUUGAUUGGGAACCUAUGGCUUUCCCCCACAUAUCCAGGACAUUCAUAUCAGGAGGAACCAUGUAUUCUGGACUGAGGACUCCAAGAAAGAAGACCGCAGAGGAAAUGUUAGGAAACUUAAGCAUCAAUGCCAUAUUUGAAGAAGAAUCUGAAGAGGGAAGUACAUCAGGCAUCUAUCCCGUUGAACCUGGGAGUGUUGUAAACAAUUGGACUGCAGAAGAAAUGCCUGAAGUUUUUAGAGCUUUUCCAGAGUAAUAUUCAAAACAUAUUAAUUGUUCUAAGCCUAGAGAAAAUAAAAACUUUUGUGAACUAAAAUAGGCUUAUAUGUGGACAUUGUGAUUUCAAUGAAAUAUAUCUUCGCAUUUUGAGUAUAUAUAUUCUUUUAAAACUCUUUCCAUUCUUUCAUACGAAUAGUCAUCCCGAAUGCUUUUAUUCUGAAUCAUUCUUUUAUUCAUGGUCAUACUAAAUAAGAAUCCUUAAAUUCAUACGUUCCCUGUACAUUCUUUGAUACCUAUAACAGGUCCCAAGAUAUCAAUGAUAUGAGUGACUCUACUAUGGACUUAGAAAAUCCUUUUGAACGAGAUAUGUGUUUAGAGGAAUCUCAAGAUUUUGAAGAUAACACGGAUUACAACCUACCUCCGGACUUGUUGAGGAUGGUAGAGCAGGAAGAGAAACAGGUUCUUCCUCACGAGGAGACGAUAGAGACAGUGAUCCUGGAGGAGGGAAAGAUGGUAAAGAUUGGCACGUGCAUAGCUGAUGAAGUGAAAUGAAACCUCGUUAAAUUGCUUCGAGAGUUCAAAGAUGUCUUCGCAUGGUCAUACCAAGAUAUGCCGGGGUUAAGUACUGACAUCGUAGUUCACCGACUUCCUAUAAAGGAAGAUUACAAACCAGUUCGGCAAAAGCUCCGAAGGAUGAGGCCUGAUGUUGUGUUAAAAAUAAAAGAGGAGGUACAAAAACAAUUCGACGCUGGAUUCCUGCAGGUGGUCAAAUACUCCGAGUGGGUAGCCAAUAUCGUUCCUGUCCCUAAAAAAGAUGGGAAGGUCCGAAUGUGUGUAGAUUAUAGAAAUUUAAAUAAGGCCAGCCCCAAAGAUAACUUUCCCUUGCCGCACAUCGAUGCCUUGGUGGACAACACAGCAGGACAUUCGCUGUUUUCUUUCGUGGAUGGUUUCUCUGGAUAUAACCAAAUUAAGAUGCAUCCUGAGGAUAUGAAGAAAACUACAUUCAUAACCCUAUGGGGAACCUUUUGUUAUAAGGUGAUGCCAUUUGGGUUGAAAAACGCAGGGGCAACGUAUCAGAGGGCCAUGGUAACAUUGUUCCAUGAUAUGAUGCAUAAUGAGUUAGAGGUCUAUGUUGAUGACAUGAUUGCAAAAUCUAAAACAGAAGAGGACCACGUGCAGGUCCUUAAGAAAUUAUUUAUGAGGUUGAGAAAAUUUCAGCUAAAGCUAAAUCCAGUAAAAUGCACAUUUGGGGUCAGAUCAGGAAAAUUGCUUGGGUUCAUGGUCAGUGAGAAAGGAAUUGAGAUUGAUCCUGACAAAGUAAGAGCAAUACAAGAAUUACCCCCGCCGCGUACUCAAAAGGAGGUUCGAGGUUUUCUAGGAAGGCUGAACUAUAUUGCUCGGUUCAUCUCACAGCUAACUGAGAAAUGCGACCCCAUUUUUUGCCUCCUCAAGAAACAUAAUCCUGGUGUAUGGGAUGAGGAAUGUCAAAAAACUUUUGAAAAAGUCAAACAUUACUUAUCCAACGCCCCAGUGCUGAUGCCACCCUGCCCAGACAAACCACUCAUACUGUAUUUGGCAGUAUUUGGAAAUUCCAUGGGAUGCGUGCUUGGUCAACAUGAUGAAUCAGGACGAAAGGAAAGAGCAAUCUACUAUCUCAGUAAGAAGUUCACUGAAUGCAAAACAAGAUAUUCGCCAAUCGAGAAAUUAUGUUGUGCCCUAAUCUGGACCACUCGGAGACUGAGACAGUACAUGUUGUACCAUACGACCUGGUUAAUCUCCAAAUUAGACCCUUUGAAAUACUUAAUGGAGUCAACCGCUCUGAAUGGAAGAAUGGCCCGAUGGCAAAUUCUUCUAUCUGAAUUUGACAUAGUCUAUGUAAACCAGAAAGCGGUCAAAGGAAGUGCAAUAGCGGAAUUCCUAGCAAGUAGGGCUCUGGAUGAUUAUGAGCCAUUGAACUUCGAUUUCCCAAAUGAAGAUUUGAUGUAUAUCGCAACUGUAGAGAAAGAUUUCUAAGAAGGUGGUUCUUGGAAGUUGAGUUUUGACGGAGCUUAAAAUGCUAUAGGCAACGGAAUUGGGGCAGUACUCGUGUCUCCCAGUGGAGACUAUUAUCCUUUCACUAGCAAAUUAGACUUCGACUGCACAAAUAAUAUGGCUGAGUAUGAAGCUUGCAUUAUGGGCAUCCGGGCAGCCAUAGAGCGGAAAAUUAAGGUGCUAGAAGUAUACAGGGACUCUGCAUUAGUAAUUUAUCAGCUCAAAGGGGAAUGGGAAACAAGAGACCCGAAGUUGGUCCGCUAUCGAAAAUUGGCUAUGGAAUUGAUUGAGGAAUUUGAUAGUGUCACCUUUAGUUACCUCCCGCGAGAUGAAAACCAGAUGGCAGAUGUUUUGGCCACUUUAGCCUCCAUGUUUAAAGUGAACAAAUUAGAAGAUAUGAAGCCUAUCUAGAUCAGCAUCUACGAGGCUCCAGCUCAUUGUUGCAACAUUGACAGUGAAGAGGGAAAGGAUGAUCACCCUUGGUACCAUGACAUAUUGCAAUAUGUGAAGAGUCGUGAAUACCCUGACCAUGCGACAGAAAAUGAUAAGAAGACAUUAAGGAGAUUAGCCAUUGACUAUGUCCUAGAUGGGGAAAUUUUGUAUAAAAAGGGAAAAGAUCAAGUAUUGUUGAGGUGUGUGGAUGCUGUCGAGGCAAAAGAAAUUUUGGAAGAAGUGCAUGAAGGUAUCUGUGGAAUGCAUGCCAACGGCUUCACGAUGGCCAGACAAAUUAUGAGAUUUGGGUACUAUUGGUCCACCAUGGAAGGGGAUUGCAUUAAUUAUGCCAAAAGGUGCUAUAAGUGUCAAAUCUACAGUAACAAAAUGCACGCACCACCUUCACCCCUUCAUGUUAUGGUUUCUCCAUGGCCUUUCUCCAUGUGGGGAAUGGACGUUAUCGGGCCAAUAUCUCCAAAAGCUUCUAAUGGGCAUCGUUUUAUCUUUGUGGUUAUUGAUUACUUCACUAAAUGGGUGGAGGCUGCUUCAUAUGCAAAUAUCACGAAGUCGGCAGUUAGCAAGUUUCUGAAAAAGGAGAUCAUAUGUCGAUACGGGAUGCCUGAAAGGAUCAUAUCCGAUAAUGCGAUGAACUUAAACAACAACUUAAUAGCGGAAGUUUGUAGUCAGUUCAAGAUCAGACACCACAAUUCGUCACCGUAUCGUCCAAAAAUGAAUGGUGCCGUGGAAGCAGCUAACAAAAACAUCAAGAAAAUUGUAGGAAAAAUGACUGAAACCUACAAAGACUAGCACGAGAAAUUAUCUUUUGCUCUCCUGGCAUAUCGCACUUCCGUUAGAACCUCUAUUGGGGCAACACCGUUUUCUUUAGUCUAUGGGAUGGAAGCAGUUUUACCCAUAGAAGUUGAAAUUCCUUCCCUCCGAGUAUUAGCUGAACUAAAGUUGGAUGAGGCUGAAUGGAUUCAAUCUCGAUAUGACCAGCUAAACUUGGUAGAAGAAAAGAGGUUAAAAGCUAUUCGUCAUGGUCAGAUGUAUCAGAAACGAAUGACGCGAGCCUAUAACAAAAAAGUUCGUCCCAGAGAAUUUUACGAGGGGGACUUGGUUUUGAAAAAGAUUCUUCCUCUACAAAAGGAUUUUAGAGGAAAAUGGAUGCCAAAUUGGGAAGGUCUUUAUGUGGUAAAAAAGGCCUUUUCAGGAGGAGCUUUGAUCUUGAGCGAGAUGGAUGGUAAAAGCUUGCCAAAUCCUGUGAACUCAGAUUCAGUCAAGAAAUACUUCACCUGAAGGAGGAGGACCAAAGUGAAAACCCGUAAAGGGAAUUCAAAAAAAAAAAAGGGAGAGGCCAAGGUGAAAACCCGUAAAGGGCGCAUUGAGACCAAAGGGGAUUUGAGUUGAAAACCUGAAAAGGCGGCUCAAAUUUUGAAGAAGCGUGAGGUGAACGAAACAGCUCAAAUUUUGAUCAGGAUCUGAGGCAUGUGGUGGUCUUACUAUACCUGAAUCACAAGAAGGAAUAGGUGACAUCUUGGGGUAUCGACAGAAUACUGUAGAUUCCCUAAACACAUAUUAAAUGGUCUUUAGAAAACUUAUGCAGAGAAGCUCGUGCUGCGAUAUCUGGGGCACCUGUCGUUAUCUUAUAUUUUGAAUCUUGGCAAAAUUUGUUGUCUUGAUUAAUGUAUUCAUUUCAAGCUUUGCUCCCCAGUAAAAUUUCAUUUUGUCUAUUGUCUUAUUUCAUUUUUAUCUUGGCAAAAUUUGCUAUCUUGAUUAACUCAUUCAUUUCGAGAUUUGUUCUCAAUAACAUUUGUUUGAUCGUUGUGGUAAUCUUUUCGAAAAACAUUUAGAAUAACUAUUAAUGAACUGAAUGUUCAAGCAAAUUGAGUUUUGCAUAUUACUCUAGAAAUUUCUAAAUAAUGAAGGAACCUGAAACAGGACUGUUGUUUAGAGCACACUAAAUUCAAAGUGUCUAAAAGGGAAAAGUCCAAGUCAGGACUAUCUUUUCAAAUUUUGUUCUCCAAACAUUGAACAAAAUGACAAGAUGUCGUGUUAGUGGCAAAGCUUCAAUGAACAAACAAGUGAUGUUCACCAAGCAAUAAGAAAAUGUCUUCUGGGAGAAGAAAACUCUUCAUUGUGCAUGAGCAUUUGGUAUGACACCUUGGGAAUGGGGUAAAGGACCAAAGAGCUUCACAUUCUGUAUCAUUGAAUUGUGAUAGCAGAGGAUCGAGAAAAGGCCAGAUCUUCCUACCUUUGGGUUACAGCGGGAGAAAGAUGGUUCAAAUUUUGCAUCCAGUGGAUUGAACCUGGAGGUUUACAGUGGGGGGCAGUCUGGUUAAAUUUUUCUUUGGAUUUGCCAGUCGAGCAAGAAGGCGUUGUAGCACGUCAACGAUAAACCUUAAUAAGCUUUUGCGUGAUGAUAACCUAAGCAUCAAGAAAUCACUUUCAUAACAUUUCGACAUUCAUUCAAAUGUCAUUCAUACACGUCUAGUUAGGACCAUUUGAUUCAUUCUGGUCAUCCUAAUUACUAGACAUAAAUAGGUCCAUCAAAUGGAUUAUACAGGUCAUGUUCCCCAGAGAACAGAUCAAUGAAGAUAGCAGAUCUUGCCUUCCUGUAUUGACAGCGAAGCAGAUCGAAUAAACCAUAGUUUGCAAUUUAAAAGAUCAAAGCCACAACGGCGAAUCUUACUUCCAGGCGAUGCAGUGGAACAGAUUGAAGCUACAACAGCGAAUCUCACUUCCCCGACAUUGCAAUUUAAAAGAUCGAAGCCACAACGGCGAAUCUUACUUCCAGGCGAUGCAGUGGAACAGAUUGAAGCUACAACAGCGAAUCUCACUUCCCCGACAUUGCAAUUUAAAAGAUUGAAGCCACAACGGCGAAUCUUACUUCCAGGCGAUGCAGCGGAGCAGAUUGAAGCUACAACAGCGAAUCUCAUUUCCCCGACAUUGCAAUUUAAAAGAUCGAAGCCACAACAGUGAAUCUUACUUCUGGCAAUGCAGUGGAACAGAUUGAAGCUACAACGGUGAAUCUCACUUCCCCGACAUUGCAAUUUAAAAGAUCGAAGCCACAACGGCGAAUCUUACUUCCAGGCGAUGCAGCGGAGCAGAUUGAAGCUACAACAGCGAAUCUUAUUUCCCCGACAUUGUAAUUUAAAAGAUCGAAGCCACAACAGUGAAUCUUACUUCUGGCAAUGCAGUGGAACAGAUUGAAGCUACAACAGCGAAUCUCACUUCUCCGACAUUGCAAUUUAAAAGAUCGAAGCCACAACGGCGAAUCUUAUUUCCUCGGCAAGACUGGGCAAAAAUUGGUCUUUCUUAGUCUUUGCUCUGUUAUCGUUACACGACAACGAGCAAAGAGGGGCAGCUGUACAGCCCAAUUAUUGCCCGGGCCCAAUUAACAGAGCCCAAACACCAACCCACAAGCCCAAUUACAACCUAAACCCGAGGCCCAAAUUCGGAGCCCAAUUCCCCCCAAAAAUCCAACUAGGGUUUCAAAAAAAUGAAACCCUAGCCAAACCUAGCGCCGCACCCAUCCCUCUGUCGUUUGCCUUGUCCCAUCGCCACCCACCGUGCCUAGCUUCAUCAACACCUGCAAAAUGGCAGAAAAAGCCAGAGCACGCAACAGAUAGUGCAAAGCAAUAGAAUACAACCAAAAAAUACAAUGUAAAUUGGCUAUAAAAGCCAAACAAUAUCUCUGUACAUUUUUUAGAGACAACAUUUUGAAUUCAAGAAAAAGAAAAAGCAAAUCAAAAAAGGUUGACUCCAGUUAUUUCUACUCUGUUCUCGUGUUCUUAUUCAUUUUAUUUCUUUUAUUUUUGUUUAUUUUUCUGCAAUCGUUUAAUAAAUAAAGCGGGACUAAAAGGGAAAGGGGAAGAUACCUUACUGCUUCGGUGGGCUGGUGUCGGAACUCCGCCUUUGCCGUCGUCGGAGCCGAGCAAAAAGGGGCGUUUCAUCCCUUUUCCUUUUGGUCUCGCGGUUGAGAAGGCAUAGCCUUCGGGGACGCAGCAAAAGGGGGAGGCCUAGGGGCCGUUCUCGCGCAGCUCCGGCCACUGGCCAUGGAGGCGGAGAUGGUGGCCUGAGCUUUAAGGCCGAGAGGGGCGCAGAGAGGAGAGCAUUCGAGCUCUCUGUUCUCUUUUCCUGUUUCUUUUUUUUUUUAUUUUUUUUAUUUUUUCUCUUUUCAUUAGAAAAUGAAAUGGAGGCUACCAGAUUAGGGUUCUUUUUGGCCCUUACAUGAUGUGUGAAACGACGCCGUUUGGAGUCUGAUCAGUGGCUCCAAAACGGCGUCGUAUUGAGCUCUGACCCGCGCGGUGACCCGACCCAGGGGAAGGAUCCGCGUGUUUUUUUCUUUAAAUGGGAUAUUUGUGCGCGUAGUCCCUCCGACUUUGUAGCGCGUUGCAAUUUGGUCCUGUUUCGCUAUUUCCUAUUUUUCAAUUUCGCCCCAGAAUUCUGUUUUUGUUCUAUUUUGACCCUCUGCUGCACUGCGUUUUGGGGCUUCGGGGUAUUUAUGAUUUUGGUCCCCCCCUUUUUCGCGCAUAUUACAUUUUGAUCCUUUAUUCCGUUUUAUUUUUUAUUUCAGCCCUGAGAUUUCGUUCCCGUUUUGAAUUAGUCCUAUUAUUAUUAUUAUUAUUAUUAUUACUACUACUAUUAUUAUUAUUACCUAUUUAUUUAUAUUAAUUUUAUUUAAACUUCUGGUACAUAUAUAUAUUUAUAUAUUUUACAACUUAUGUACCUAUCUAUAUAUCUAUAUACAUAUUUUCAUUUUCAUAAAUACAUACAUAUUUAUAUAUAAUCUUUAUAGUCUAAAAUACACCUUUUUUUAUAUUUUUUUAAAUCCGCAUAUACAUACACAUUUUCAAUAUAUUUUUAGUAUGUAUAUAAAUUAACGUAUUUAUUUGUAUACAUAUGUAUAUUUUCAUUAGUUUUAAACUUUAGUUUGUACAUAUAUACUUUUUCUUUUAUUUUACAAUAUAUAUAUACACUUACUUUUUAUAUGUAUUUCUUUAUCUUCGUAUUCCAUAGUUUUAUACACCUAUAUAUGUACAUAUUUUUUUAUACAUACGCGUAUUUAUUUAUUUUAUAUAAAAUAUACUUUAUAUAUUUUGUUAAUUCAUGUAUACACAUAUUUUAGUUCAUGUCUAUAUAUAUCUUUUUAUACUUAAUUGUAUUUGCUAUUUAUUUAUUUCAUUUUGUUAUUAUUUUGAAUGAAUGAUUUAACUUUAUUCGUUUUUUUUAUUUUGUUAUUUUGUAUGUUGUAAGUUUGAUCGUUCAUAUUGAUUGCUAUAGCUUGCAUCGUUUUUAUAUUUUCAUGUUCAUUAUGAUUUUGCCAUGCAUAAAUAAUGUAAUUUGCUUUCACUAUAAUUUUGUGCUUUAUUUUUACUCGAUAUAACAAAAUUUAUUUUUUUAAAAAUGGCAUUUCGUGUUUGGAUUCGAGAAAAUCGUGCCCUAACUUACUGGGUUUCGAUUUUCUCGAUAAAUCUAAAUGUACGAAUCUUUCUAAACUCAAAUUUUAGAUGACCUCGGGAUUGAAAAAAUCACGUUCUAACUUACUGGUCGUGAUCUCAUUUUUAAAUCCGAGAUGGCUAAAAUAUCUUUUAAAUAAGCAUUUUUCAUUCGCGUAUCGAGAAUUUGAGAUAUUGUAUUCUAACUUACUGGAUAUGAUUCUCUUCCUCGAUUAACGUGAAAUAUAUUUCUUUUUCCAAAAAUUUUCAUUUUAAUACAAGGAUCGUAUUUUUAAUUCUUUCAAGUUCUCAAUUUUCGACAUCGAGACAUUAGAUAAUCAACUAGGUACCAAUUUCUGGGCGUUACGAGGGUGCUAAUCCUUCCUCGUACGUAACCGACUCUCGAACCCAUUUUCUAAAUUUCGUAGACCAAAACCGUUGUUUUAAUAAAAUCAAAUUAUUUAUUAAAAACAACCUUUUUCCAAGGUGACCCAAUCACACCUCAAAAAGGAUUGGUGGCGACUCCCUUUUUCAUUUUCAAAACCCAAGUCGACCCCGUUUUUCAAUCAAAAAAAAUGGUGUCAACAAUACCCAUAGGUGAAAUGUAUUUAUUUUGAUGUUUUAUGGUAGAAUAUGAAGCUAGAAAUUAUGAUAAACAACUUUUGCUAGGUGAUUUUAAUUGAAAACGAGUAAAUUGACAUAAUCGGUAAAAAUACCUAAUGUUCAUAAGUACAUGUUAGAGUGAGAAUUUGAUGUUGUCAUAGAAGGGAAAAAUGUUCAGCAUGUUAUAAAACAUAAGAAUAAGAGAUGAAGUUUAAUUUUCGAGCCUUGGGGCAAAAAUGUAAUUAUGCAAAAGUUUAGGGGCAAAAUCAUAAUUUUGACAAAGUUAGACUCGAGGGCUGUUUUGAUAAAUGUGAGUAUUAAAUGAGUUAAAUUUUCUAAUUUAGAUCAAGAAGAACGGAACUCGAGGUUAGACAAAGGGAAGAAUAAAGUUGAAGGCUAAGUUGGUGAAUUUGGCUAUAAUUGGUAUCGAGGUAAGUUUACAGUAAAUAAAUGCAAUAUUUCAAUAAUUAUUAUUAAUGCUGCUAUUUUCCAGCAACUAUGAAUUUAUUUCAUGAAUUUAUUUGAUGAUGAUCCGAGCAUGAAAUGAUAAAGAAUUAAUAUUAAAAAGUCCCGUUGAUACAUAAGGAUGGUACUGGAUACGAAUGUCAUGACAUUUGGGUAAAGAGGUCCCAUGUAAGACCAUGUCUGGGACAUGGCAUUGGCACUGAGAUGAGAGGUCUCAUGUAAGACCAUGUUUGAGACAUGGCAUUGGCACCGAGACCAUGUCUGAGACAUGGCAUUGGCAUCGAGAUGAGAGGUCCCAUGUAAGACCAUGUCUGGGACAUGGCAUUGGCACUGAGAUGAGAGGUCCCCCGUAAGACCAUCUCUGGGACAUGGCAUGGGCACCGACAUGAGUACAUCCCAUGUAAGACCAUGUUUGGGAUAUGGCUUUGGCAUGUUAUUAUCAGAAGAGACCCGAGUAUCCUUAUUAUUCCAAUGUAGCUCAACGGGUUAGUAAACAACUCAUGUUCAUGAAAGUUCAGUUAUAAGCAUAAGUGGCAAGCUCAGGUAAGUUAUAAGAGUUAAGAACUUAUGAUAUUAUCAAUUAAUACUCAACGUUUCAGCAAGGGAAGAGUAAGUUAUAAUCACAAGGUAACUAAGUAGACAAGCAAGAGAAUGAGAAUGAGAUUAAUUAAAGAGUAAAUUAGAGAUCUUGACAUUUGAGUAUAAUCAUUUGUGUUAAAUGUUGUUAUUUAUUUGCUAGUAAACUUACUAAGCUUAAUGCUUACUUCUUUUAUUUUUCUUUCUCUUAUAGUAUUGCCAAGCUACUUCAAGGAUCCUAAAGAAGUCGGAGAUCGUCCACACUAUCAACCACAACUGCUCGGUAUUUUAUGAUGAAACACGUUUGAGUUAUGGCAUGUAUAGGGAUUUAGUUAUUUUGUAUGUUUGUAAUUAUGAUUUUGCUAUAGAAUGAUGCAUAAGUAUUUGAUGAUGAAUGGUUGUUUAAAUGGCCAAGGAGGAAGAUGUUUGUUGUUAUAAAAGUCUAGGUGAUAAAUUAUGCAUGGAAAUUAUGAAAGGGUAAAAUUUUGCAAAGAAACAGAAUUCAGGCAGCAACAGUGACGUGAAUUUGAAAAAUCACCUAGGAUGGUAUAAAAUGAAUUAGAGGGUGAAUGAUAUAUGGAGUUAAAGCUUGUUGAGUCUAUUUUCAAAUAAAAAUAACGGUUUAACAAAAUUAAUUUUAUAUUUUGAUAUAUGUGUAUUUUAGUGAGAAAGGGUCAGAUCUAUUUUUUUGACUCCCCUGUUAAGAGUUUAGAAAAUCAUUAAAAAUUGUAAAAAAAUGGUUAAGAGUUAUAGUUUAUAUGUAUAGAUUCCUUAUUGAGUCUAUUUUAUGUAGAAACAAGUAAGGACUUUAUAUGAAAAUCCUACAGUGAGAAAAAUUAUUUUUAGUGGCAAGAGGUCAGAACAGUCAGGUGGUGAAACAGGGGAGACUUUAACUAAUAAACUGUACUAAUUGGCUGAACCAAAAAUUCUAAAAAUUUUAUGGUAAGUAGAAAUGUGAGUCUAGUUUCAGGUAAAAUUUACAUAAUUAAAUUUUGAGUUUUUUAGCUCGAGUUAUACUUAAUUUAGUAACUGCUGCGCGAUUGGACAGAUUUGCUGUAAAUAGUGAAAUAAAUUUUCAAACCAAGUUUUUAUGCUCCGAAUUAGAAAGAUAAGCUAAGUAAUGCCUCGUGCUCGAUUCCGGCAACGGUCUUGGGUAACGGGUCUUACAAUGUCGCACUUGCAUCACCAGACACGGUGGUGCCGGUGGCUGCGACAGCGGCGUCUCAGUGGGCGAUGGCGAGUGGUUGUCGGUAGUUGAGCAGUGGAAGAGUUACACUCCUAUUGGGACUCUACCAGAGAAUUUAAUUUCAGAUUAACUAUUUUAAAAAUAAAAUUAUUUUAAUAGUUUAAUAUUUAAUUUAAUUUAAUACCUAUCUUAAUAGUAAUUUUUUUAAUUUAAUAUUAAAGUGAUUAAGUUUAAUCAUAGUUGAACUCUCUAAACUCUUCCUAUAUAAAGAGAGCCAUGGGUUAUUAUUUUCACAUACUUGAAUUUAAGGGAAAGUUGUAGAGAGAAAAUUCUCUGAAGAUAUUAUUCUAGAAAAUUUGUAGAGAGAAAUUUAUUUUUCGCUGCAUUUUCUAAACUCGUUUUUCCAACAUAACACUAAUAUAAGCAAUGUGCUUAUGAAAGAGCUUGGGUGGUAAACCUUUUGUGAGCGGAUCCUCUAUUAUAGAGUUUGUCUCAAUGCGUUCUAUGGAUAUUUGUCCACUUUGCACUCUCUCUUUCACAACUUAGAAAUUUAUGUCAAUUGACUUAGUUGAGCUCCUGUUGUUGUUGGAAUAUAGCACCCCUAACUUAUUGUCACAAAAUAAUUUGAGUGGUGUUUCUACAUUCUCCAAAAUGCACAGCUUAGUGACAAAGUUUUGCAACCAUAUUCCAUGGUUUGAUACCUCAUAACAUUCUACAAUUUGCUACCAUAAUGGAAGAAGCUACAAGUGUCUAUUUGACAUUUUUCCAAUAUAUAGCUCCUCCAGCUAACAGGUAAAUAUAGUCUGAUAUAGAUUUCUUGCUAUCUUAACACCCAACAAAAUUAGAACCAAAAUACCCUACGACCUCCAAAUGAUUUGAUCUCUUGUAAGUGAGCAUGUAAUCUUUUAUUCUCUAAAGAUACCUCAUAACCCUCUUGGUUGUUAUCCAAUGGUCCAUACCAAGGUUGCUUAAAUGUCUACCUAACAUCCUAACAAUGUACACAAUAUCUAGACGCGUACAUACUUGAGCAUACAUUAAACUCCCAACAACUAAUGCAUAGGGCAUCUUUUGCAUUUCCUUAAUUUCAAGGUUACUUUGUCUCUUUUAGCAACAUUGGUGUCAUUUGGUCUACAACCGUACAUGUCAAACCUUUUGAGUACUUUAUCAAUAUAGAUCUUUUGUGACAAUCCAAAAAUAGCACAAGAUCCGUCUCAAUGUAUUUGAAUUCUUAAAAUAAAAGAGGCGUCCCAGUAUCUUUCAUCUCAAAAUGCUUAGAUAAAAAACCUUUUGGUUCCAUGCAAUAAGCCUAUAUCAUUAGUGGCAAGCAAAAUGUCAUCGACAUAUAGAACCAGAAAUAUAUAAAUAUAUACUUACUCCCACUGAAUUUGUUAUACACAUAAUCAUCAACAAUAUUCAUUUCAAAACCAAACAAGACAAUUACUUGAUUAAACUUGUGGUACCCUUGACGGGAAGCUUGUUUGAGUCCAUAGAUGGAUUUUGUUAAUUUGCAAACCAUAUUCUUUGGGUCUCUCAACUCAAAGUUUUCUGGUUGCACCGUAUAAAUUGUUUCUUCAAUGUCGUCAUUGAGAAACGUAGUCUUAACAUAUAUCUGAUGUAAUUAUUUGUACUUCUGAAAUCUUCCCCCUACCACUAUUAAGCAUUCAUGUUUAAUUCUUACCUUUACUACCCUUCUUUCUUUCCCUUUUUAUACUUUUGAGAUACCUAUCACCCAUUCUGCAUUUAUCUGCCAACCUGAACUUAUCCACAAUACAUAAACUAUUUAUAACAUAAAGGACUAAGCCAGACAAAAGUAUCAUGCAUAUGGGGGCUAUUUCUCAAUUUUCAAUGUCUAUAGGACCAACUAAACUGUACUCUGAUACCACUAAAUUGAAACCCCUUACCUAACCAGUUCGCCGGGUCCAGUACUAGAUGUCACAAUUAAACCCAUCCAAUAUACACUACAAUAAACUUAACUAGCCAAGUUUUAUUUGAUAGAUAAAUAAAUUUUUUUUACUAUAUAAACACAUCAAAUAAAGAAACAUUUACAAAUACUUCAAUGUAAUUAUCUAUUAAAAAUAAUCCAAUAGUCACCAUAUGAGUUGUUGCUUAAUUGCUCACUAUAAAGAUUUACUUCAACUUUACUAUAUAACAAUUUAAUUAUACAUGACAUAUAUCAACUCAAGUUCUAUUAAUAUUUCAAACCCUCAAGCAGAACCUAUAAGGAUGCCCCCUAUAUGCACGACACCAUAACCUGCAUAUCCUCUUAGACUCCACAAGGUCCGACUUGGUCUCUUCCAUGCUUUCUAUGCAUUCCUUGGUCUUGCAUCCAAGGCAGGUGAUAACACUCUAGAAUAAUAUAUUUUUAUGUAUUAAUUAUGUAUUUAUUCUGAGUAUGAUCCUGCUAAUUUGAGCUAUUUAUGAUCUUUUAUCUCAUAGGGACUAAAUUUGAGGCAAAAGUGAAAUUAAGGGCCAAAAGCGUGAAUUUAGAGAUAAAAUUGGUCAAUGUGCGACACAAGGAAAAGUUGAUGCCAAAAGUGCAAGCAUGGAGGACACAAGGGUUGAAAUGCAAAAAGAAGAGAUUUUAUUCUAUUAAACUCUAUUAAUUAUAUUAGGAUAAUUAAUGUUGAGAUAAUUAUUAAAGAUUAUUUUUAGGAUUUUAUUUUAUCUUUAUUUAUCUUCAAUUAAAUGUAUUUUUCUUUUAGGAAUUUAAGUAGGAUUAGAAUAUCUCCCCUAGCACUAUAAAUAGGGGGUAAAGUGACUCAAAAGGGGAUUCAUCUUUUCUUCUUCUGUAAACACUCUGUCCCCAAAAGUCUAGGCUUUUGUUCUUUUCAUAUUUCCUUUCAAUAAAAUCUUUAUUUUUAUUUUAUUUAUUUUCUUUUCUACCACAACCAUGAGCCACUAAACCCAUCUAGCUGAAGGUUGUCAAAAAUCCCCAAAAGGGUUCAUGAGGCUUAGAAUCCGUACUUAGCCUCCUCGCUGAGUAUUCAUCGUUUCUCCGCACUACGGGGCUGACGCUUCCGUCCAAGUCCCUUAAGAAGUAAGUUUUUCAACGUACGCAAAGGCGGCCGCUUUGUAUGUUUUGGGAAGGUUGCACAGUCGGUUCGUUAGCUUACUGCGUCAGAGGUUGGCGAGCCCAAGAGACAAAAUGGCGUGGGAUUCGCCAUUGAGAAGCGUUGAUUUAGCAUAAGACGAUCCCAUAGAAGCGAUUGUUGGCUAGAGUCAGGUUCCACUAAAUUGUAAGUCUAAAUCCUUGGAGCUGGUGGUCGUAGGCGUCCUCUUCCACUAUAAUUGGCUUAUUAGGUUUGGGAAGGAUCAUUUAAAAGCCGAGGAUUGAACCCAAGGCGGAACGAGACAACUGGAGGCUGGAAUCUCCCAUAAGAAUUUUCUUUCUCUUAACUCUAUUUUUAAUUUCUCAAAUUUUCAAUUCAAUAUUCUUAAUUCUGUUUUUAUUUUAUUUUUCGUUUCUAAAUCCCAUAAUUUAAUUCUUCUAUUAUUUUUCUUUUUUUUAGGAACGCAGGUUGUCUUGGGCAAGACUCUGCUUGGGAUUUCACGGAACAAGAUAUUUUGCGAGUCCAGUCCCUGAGGAUUUGACCCUACUUCCAUUUUACUAUUAUUUUUCAUUAUUUAUUAGGGAUAGGAUAUUUUUGGUGCUUUCAACGACCGCAUCAGCAGGCCACUUAUAAGUUCAUGCGAACUUAGUGAGGUUCCAUAUGUUCAUCACUACAUAAAAGAAUCAAUAAAAAGAAUUCAUGUAUAUAAUUAAAACUCUCUAUUUUUCAUUUAGACUUUAGCAUCUGCUGUUGUGUUUGAUGUUUAUAUGUUUUCCCUUUACAACUUCUAACAGACACUUUACAACAAUACAACUUCUUAAUAGAUACUCCUUAGCGACUCAUACCAUAGUCUCAAGCUUCAUCUCAGAUUUUCCAUUCUUCUUGCUUGAUAUUCUAUUGGACAUUUCAUCUUUUGGAUGGAUGUUUAUAUAUUUACCCACCUAGAUAACUUGACGAAUUAUUAUAUAUUACAUUGAGAGUGCAAAUUUUUUUCAUCAUCUUUACCUUCAUGAAGAUCUUGAUGUAGGUAUACGAUCUUGUUAUCUUUUCACUUGUUUAUUGCCCCUUUGGAAAAUUUAGUGCAGUUGAAAAAUCCCAUGAAUGCUUGACCUUAUCAGUAGGCAGUUUAAGCCUAAAAUCUGGUAGACCAUCGAUAAUAAACCCCUUUUAUAGAUAGUCAUAUGAGAUAGUCCUUAUGGCAUUACAAUUCCGAGAUAAUCCUAGCAAACUUCAUUUUACUUCAAUAAUACACGACAGAGUUUUAGAACAGAUAGUCCUUAUGGACAUCCCACAAGAUAAUCCAUGGUGGACUUCUUUUUACUUUGAUAAUACACGACAGACUUCUAGAACAAAUAGUCCCUAUAACCGUCCCACAAGAUAGUCCAUGGCAGACUUUCCAGAUAUGAUAAUCUUGACAAAUAUUCCAAACUACUAGAUAGUCCAUCUGGACCUUUCCACCUAAACUAGGUUCUGAUAGAACUUUAAUUCAUUUAGUAGUUCUCGUGAACAGUCCUGUCUUUUGGCAAAUCUUUGACUAACUUUACCAAAUAAGAUAGUCCCCAACUAACCUUCCAUUUAAGAUAGUCCUUUUUGGUGAACCCUGAAUGGUGGAUACCUAGUUACAAAUACUCUAUAAAGAAAAACCCUCCUCCAUACAUAUCCACGUAUGCAACACUUUCAUAUAUCUUUCUUACCUUCAUAACUUGGCGAAGCCUUAUCUCAGCAAUUUCACCAAUGCUUCUAUAUUUGACAUAAUUAUCCUAACUAAUUUCCUUGUUCGUUGUCCUGAUGGACUUUAUAAUCACGCGAAUCAUUUCAUAGUUCUCCUGUAUAUGUCAUGUUUUCUAUCCUAGCGGACUUUAUAUGUUGUCACAGCCCAGCUAUGGUUUUACACUAUAUGAUGCCAUAAUUUAGCAAUGGUCUUACACUAUUACAGGCUUAAAGCCUCCGAUCGAUGCCAUGGCCUUACACAUCAUUAUUGUUGUCACCCAUCCAUUCCCCCUCAAAUCCUCCUUGUUAAUUCGAACACCUAAAUAUUCACUUACAAGGCCAGGAAAUCACCUAUUUCAGUUGCAACACAUGCCAAAACGAAUUACGAAAAAACUAACAAAAAUUCUAUUUCCUAAUCCAUUCGUUCAUUCCUCCACAAUGACAAUUCCUACUCCAACUAACCCGGCAAUCAAUUUGCUCCGUACUCCAUAAUUCAUGAACACACAUAACACACAACAAUACAUUCAAAAUAUAAUAUGGAAUACACCACACCCAUUUCACAGAUACAACACAUAACAUAUUCUUAGAAAACAUAUUUUCAUCCUUCAUGUAGUCAAAAAACUAACACAUACAUAACACAUCCAAUCAACAGAAAUCCUAUAUCAUCACUGAACUCAACAUAGAAUCACAUCAGUCAUACAACAUCCAGACCAACACCCAAAUAUGGAGUAUGGAAACCCACCUGAUGUCUCUCUACUUUGCCAACUUAGCUUUUGCAAAUGCCAAAACCUCCUUUCUCUUGGUAGCUACGUAUGACAACCAAAAACACAAAUUAAAUCGAAGCAUUUAUGCUUCCAAAACCCAGAAACCAAAAUUCUCAGAAUUCUUUCAAAAGUUAUAGAAAUCUAUAUAUUCUCUUUUUCUCAAAUCCACAAGCACAGGAAGACUAAGAGGCUUACCAGUACACUAGAUUAUCUAUUUUUCUGACUCAAAUCCCAUGACUAUCACUGCAUGCAGAGUUUUCUUUAGCUUUCUCUUCUUCAGUGUAACCGAAGAAGUUGAAGAAAAAAAAAAUAGAACGGAAGAACAAGAAGCAGAAUAGAGAAAAUCCUCCUCUACAGAACAACCCUUCUCACUAUAUAUAUAACCACUACAUGCUCGAUCACCAACUCCCAUAGACACCAUACAUUGGCAAUCUUUUGUCUCCCACUAAGUAACAAAUCGGUUUUGUUGCAACCAAACUAGAACUAGAACCAACUGCUUGCUAACCAACCACUGGAAUUUCCAAAUUCUCACAAUUGAGUCUGCUGAACUAGUAGUUUCUUACAGUUAACUCUCACAUUGUCCCAAUUCAGACCUUAAUAAAGACCGGGUGUGACAUGUUGGGGAGAGCUUAGUCACAAUACUGUAGUGGAAUGACUUCAUGACUAAAUAAGUUUAUAAUUAAUAGGCGAAAAGUUGGAACUUAAUUAUAAAUCACUUAAUCCUCAAUCGCAUAUGUCCAAUUGCUCCAUAUUUUAGCUCGUUGAAACUAGAAAUGAAUUGUAUGUUAAAUCAAAUUAAAAAGAGGAAUAAAAAUGGUGAAAAUGGAGAAAUGAGAAAUCAUUUGAAAAUGAAAAUAGAGAAAUUGAAACAUUUGGAAAUGAUUAUGGUUUUCUCCAAAAUGAAAAUGAAAAUGAAAAUGGAGAAAUAAAAUCAUUUAGAAAUUAAUGUGGUUUUCUCCAAAAUGAAAAUGAAAAAUUAAAAUGACCUGAAAAAUGAAUUUAUGUUUUUUGAAUUAAAUGAAGUUUGAAAAUAAAAAAUAAAUCAUUUGGUCAUAGUGAAUUGUUGAAUAUAAAAAAUUAAAUACAUUUUCUCAUAGAUUCUUUUACGGUAAAAUCGUCAUGAUUUUAAUAGAAUUAGAAUUAGGUUGAGAAGAUUAUUUAAUUGGAAAUAUAUUGAGAAGUUUAUUUUGGAAAAUAAAAAAAUAUCGGGUUGGAUCAAAUUAUAAAGUAUUGGGUUAAAAGUCCGGAAAGUACUUAUAAUUGGAUCCGAUAUGGGAGUGGCUUAAAAGCCCCUCAUGUUAAAGGGGUGGACACUAACUAGGGCUGUCGCCUCUUAUACUUCUAGUUAUACUAGGAGUUCAUUUUUCUAGUUGAAAUAAACUUUUACAAUUCAACAAGGGUUCUACCUUCUCUUUUUAUAAAGAGAUGACACUGGCAGGACUAUUGACACAACUUAAAAGUAUUAUUACUCUAUUCGAAAAUAGAGAGAAUUUAUUCUAAACUAUUAAAUCUAUUUUCUGGAUUAACAAUUAUGUCGGUCUCUAUUUGAGAAGAGAUUUUUUUUUGUUUUUACACUAAAAAAAAAAGAAAAUUGUUUUUAGUUUUGUGUUUGAUUCAAUUUGUCCAAGCCCACAUUCGAAGCAGUUCGUGGUACGAAAAUAGCAGAGAAUAUCGUUUGGUUGAAAGUCGAGAACGAAAAGAAUUCGUCUAUUCAAAAACACAAGUGCGAAUUCGGUCUAGGGUUUAUUGUUAUAAAUAUCACAAACCUGGUCGAUUUUCAAAAUUUUUAUUUUUCGCUGUGUGAAAAUCGUUUUUGAACCGGAUAUUUUCCAACACAGACUAUGAUGGGAAAUGAUGGGUUGAACGCUGCCACCUUUCAUCUGAUCAUCGAAGCAGUUCGUGGUACUAAAAUAGCGAAGAAUAUCGUUUGGUUGAAAAUCGGGAACGAAAAGAAUUCGUCUAUCUGAAAACACAAGUGCGAAUUCGGUCUAGGGUUUAUUGUUAUAAAUAUCACAAACCUGGUCGGUUUUCAAAAUUUUUAUUUUUCGUCGUGCAAGAAAACCGUUUUUGAAUCAGAUAUUUUCCAACACAGACUAUGAUGGGAAACGAUGGGUUGAACCAACCUUUCAUCUAAUCAUGAUCGUGUUGAAGAAGAAGAAGAUGGAGGAGGCAUGUCAAGUGGCAGAUUUCAUGAGAGUCGCCGGAGUUUUGCCCAAUGUGAUGGCAUAUAAUUUUUUUACUGACGGCGUGCUGUUAUGAGUGUAAGUUGAUGGAGGCGAGCACGGUGGAGAAAUAAAAGUUUGGGGGUUGGGUUUUUGUUUUAAAUUUACACAAAUUUUUAAAAAUUAAAUAUUUUCAUUCUGUAAAUGUUGAGGGUUAAAUUUUUUGAUUUUUUUAGAAUUUGAACUACAAUGACAAAUUUUGUAAACAUUGAGGGUUAAAUUUGUUGAAUUUUUAUUUUUAGGCUCAAAUUAAUAGAAUGUGUAAGCAUUAUAGGGCUAAAUUUGUUAUUAGACCAAUAAAAAAACCCACUUUAGCACUUCUGUCAAAUUUCAAACGAAUGCUAACGUUUAGUGACCAAAAAAAUUGAUUUCAAAUAGUUUAGUGACUAAAUAGAAAAAAUUAAAAGCUUAAAUAGUUUAGUGACUAAAUCGAAAAAAUUAAAAGCUUAGUAACCAAAAUAGAACACGACCAAUAGUUUAGUGACCAUUUCUAUACUUUACCUAUUUAAUUAAUCGUAAGGAUUUUCUUUGCUUUUAGCUUAGCAUGGAAGAUUCUAAGAUCAUAUAAUAAAAAAAUUGUGUUUCAUAGAUAAUUAAUAAAGAUGAGUUAUUUGAGUUGAUUAUAUUUUGGAAAUAUAAAAUAAAAUUUAAAAUUUUAGAAGAAAAUUAAAUAAAUUAUUUUUAAUAUUAUAGUAACAAAUUGGUUAACACUAUCAAGUGAUGAAUUUUUUUCAAUAAUUUAUUAAAUUGAUUUUGAUGUCUUGAAAUUUAAAAUUUCAAUAAAAAAGUUAGAACUUUCGACAAUAGGGUAAACAUGUGCAAUUUGAAAGCGGCCUAGAAGUUGGGUGAUCAAAAUGAAAGUGUAAACAUAAUGUGACAUGUACAAUUAAUCGUUGUUAGAAAUUUAACACUUAGAUGACUAAAAUGAAAGCAAUUUAAAAGUGGGGUGAUAAAAUUACAAAAAGUUUAUUUUUGAUGACCAAAAUUAAAACACCCUAAAAGUUGGGUGACUAACUAGAUAGCUUACCAACUCAAGGCAUUAUUCUUAUUAAAUUUUCUACAUCUCUCCAUACUAUUAUUUAAGUUCAUGACUGAGUUGGUGACGCGGUUGGUGUCACCCUCAACCGGGUCACCAACUCGGUUAGAGAAAUUACGGACAUGCUUUUUUGUAAUUAAAAUAAAUUAUACUACUUGGGGUAUUUUAAUAUUUUUAAUUUUAAAAAAACAAUAAAAAUAAGCAUAUUAAGGGGUUUGAACCCAAACCAAUUGUAUUAGUAAAACUUUAAUUUAUCAUGCAACUAGAGCAUUAUGUUAAUAUUUUUAUACAUUUUAAUUUUAUUAUGCACUAUUCAUUACUUCCAUCAUUUGUAUAUAUUAAUAAUGUAUUUAAUUGAGUUGGUGUUACAAGUUAACUCGACACUGACUCAAGAUUAAAGACAACACAAUGAUAAAUAAUUUAAUUUAAUUUUUUUAAUUUUAAUACUGUACAUAUUUCAAUAUGUGUUAUUAUUACUUAGUUAAAAAUCAUGCAUUAUAUUAUUUAUUACACAUUAUUUUUAAACAUACAUUUAUAGUUUCCACGCAUAACUGCGUAUGAUAAACUUUAUAAGAAAACAUAAUGUUUCUCCAUUUAAACAAAUUCACCAAGUUAUUACUUAAAAAAUGAUGAUAUUAUUAUCAUAUUUUUUUAAUAACUAAUACCAAGUUAGGUUUAAGUAAAAGAAACUCUUUUAAAAUUCAAGUAUUACUCUUUAAACACCUCUGAUCUUAGUGGCCUUUUUUCCUUUCUUUGCCUUGCCUUGGUAUAUAUAUAUAUAUUUUUUUUACAAAAGAGAGAUUAACUCUAAUUAAUAAAAAACGAAAUUACAUUACAUCAGGUAGAUCAUCAUGUAAAGACUGAAGGAUUUCAUCCGGGGGUUGCAUGAAUGUAACCUUGCCAAAAGGUGUUGAGAAAGCCAUUUGUGCCAAACCGUCCACUACCUUGUUGCCUUCUCUGAAAGCAUGUAUUAAGUGAAUUGUCGAAUUACGUUGGAGAAGCUCUUUGAUGUUACGGAUCACAAAAGAAUCAUAUUGCUCUUUUCCAUAUUCUUGAAUUUCUUGAAUUGCUUCUUUACUGUCUGUCUCAAGCACCAUUUUCUUCAACCCGAGACUCCACGCUAUUUGGAGCUCAUCAAGUAUACCUCAGAGCUCAGCCAUGAGUACCGAGCAACUCCCGAGAUUUCUUGUGAAGCUUGCAACCCAUACUCCAACCUGGUUACGGAUUAAUCCACCCACAGUAGCAGUCCCUGAAAGUUGACACAUAACACCAUAAGUAUUCACCUUCUUCCAUCUAGUGGUUUACGUCUUAUGGCUUUACAAGAAUCAGCAUUUAUACGCCUCAAUGUCUGGUUCAACCCAUGGUUUGCAUUAAGAAAAAUGUCUUUCAUCCAACAACUUUUUCCCAAAAACACUAUCGGUUUCCAUAAACUCAGCAUGAAAUACAUAAUUAUUUCUCCUAAUCCAAAGUUGCCAACAGAUACUACCAAACAGUGUUACCCAACCGCUAGGAAUACAGGCAAAAUAUUCACGAUCAGAUAGAUUUUUAACAAACCAUUCUUCCAAGCUGAGACUCAUGUCUCGUUUCCACCUUAGUAACAGAAAGCCAAGUUUCCACAGCUGGGGUACAAAAUCGCAGUACAUGGUCAGUAUUUUCCAACGCGCUUCCACAAACCAUAUAACUUGCAUCAGUAAUCAUUUUUCUUCUCACUCUGUUCUCAUUGGUUAGAAUUCUAUCUAAAAAAUGAAAACACACGCCUUUUGAGGAACUCGAAUGUGCCAAAUCCGAUGCCAAAUCCCAUCGUAUCUGCUCCUUUCCACCCCCACAAUUAGUAGCGUAGACAGAUCACACUGAAAACAAAUUCUUUUUAUCGUGAACCCAACUUGUAGAGUCAUCAACGUCGUGAUCUGAUGGAGGCUUAUAAGUUGAGAUGUUUAGGAUGACUGGACGUGGCAGAACCGAGUUAAGAAUAGACCAAUUCCAAUCCCCACUCGGCGUAACAAGCUCCUUCAUAGAGACAUGCUUCUUAGGAAUGCCUUCGGGUUGUGUACAACUGUUUACUAGGGAACCUUGUAUAACUUUAAUUAACUUUUAGAUAAAUACAAUUCUUUUAACAUCUACAGUAAAAAUUAAAUUUCCAGCUAAUAUCAUAUAGUUUGGUAAAUACAUCCAACAAAUAAAAAAUUAAUAUGGUGGAUGCGAAUAAUAUUAUAGUAAGAGGAUUUGGAGAGAGAUUUAAAAUUAUAUAAAGAAAAUUAAGACUAAACUUAGAUGAAGCUGAAUAUACCCUAAACGCUAAGCAAAUUAUAUAAAAACCAAGCCAUACAUUGUGUAAGUGAACAUGUCCGUGAUGCUCUUGAUCUCUGGGUUGUCCAUGAAGUGCAGCUGGCCACCUUUCGUCACUUUCAAUAAAUUUUAUUUGGAUCGACCCACUCUAUGUGAAGCAAUAUAGGAUAAUCUUCGAUUAAGGAUAUGAUGGAUCCAUAAUUUUACUUUGUUUAACAAAUAUUCUUAUUCUUGUUUCUUCCUCAUUUAUUUAUCCUAUAAUAUCACCCAUUCCAUGCACGGAUUUAAAAUUGUUGUUCCUCUUCCAUUUUCUUUCUUCUUUAAACAACCAAUGCAACUCUUACAAAUUACAUCCAUCAACAAAUAACAUAUUAUUCUAUUAGCAAUGUAUUUUGAAUUAUGAAUAAAUUAAUAAUUUUAACAACUUUAUUCUAUUAACAUAAAUGAUGCUUUUAACUAGAUUACAAAUAUUUAAUAUAUAUUAAAAAUAUUUGUCGAGAAAUUCUUUGAUUUGAAACUUUAAAGAGUACAAAUAUAUGCUAGUGUGAGUAAAGGCAUGGAGAAAGUCAAAAAUUAGUAUCAUUGAUGGGAAUGAAGGAUUUCCAUUAGAAAAGUAAAUGGAGAUACCAAACUUGGAUGGACUUGAAGUCCUCCAAAGACAAAUAUGGGGAUAAACUAGCAUAUGAUAGCACUAUAAAUAUACAUUUCAGAUGCAUCCAUUCUCCAUUUCAGUUUUCAUAGCUACCAACAUGAAGCUUGUAGCAGCCAUGGACGCCUUUGAUUCUUUCAUGCCAUACUUACUCCACUUGGUGCUUCUAUACGUCUCUGCCGGUCUCUUUUACUUUCUUUACAAAUACAAAUCUAGCGGCGGCGGCGGCCCCACCCCCAACCUCCCUCCUGGUAAAAAGGGUCUUCCAUACAUCGGUGAAACCUUGGAUUUUGUAUUGGCGUCCAGAAGGGGAACUCCAGAGAAAUUCGUGACUGAUAGAACUACCAAAUAUUCACCUGAUGUGUUUCGCACAUCACUGCUUGGAGAAGACAUGGCCGUCUUCUGUGGCUCCGCUGGUAAAAGUUCCUUUUCUCCGGCCAAAACAAAUAUGUCACUUCAUGGUGGCCGGAUUCUAUUAAGAAAGCUUUGACGGACCCAUCUAGUGUUGACUGUUGACAAUUCUUCCAAAGAAGAAUCCACUAAACUUCGAGCUUAUCUGCCUCCUUUUCUCAAGCCUGAGUCCCUGCAACAUUUCAUACCAGUCAUGGAUAUAAUGGCCAAAGAGCACCUAAAUCAACAUUGGUCGCCGUAUAAUGAAGUCCAAGUUUUCCCACUCUCCAAGAAGUACACGUUCGCACUGGCUUGUCGUCUUUUCAUGAGCGUCACGGAUUACGACGAGAUAGAGAACUUCGCGAAGCCAUUUGCUCUUGCCACUGCGGGUCUCAUGUCGGUUCCCAUAGAUCUUCCAGGUACAACUUUCAAUCGGGCAGUGAAGGCCGGCAGACUGAUUCGACAACGGCUUUUAGCCCUCAUUACCCAGAAGAAAAAUGAGAUAUUGGAGAAAGGGAAAACAGUAGCCUCAGACUUGGUUGACAGCAUGCUGAUGGAUGGUAUGACUGAGGUUGAGAUCGGCAAUAAGAUUGUGGGCUUCUUUAUUGCCAGCCAUGACACAACAAGCACUGCCAUCACCUUCAUUGUUAGCUAUCUUUCGGAUUAUCCUGAAGUAUAUAACAGGGUCCUUGAAGGUACGUGAUUUAGCUUGAUUUUAAGCACCCAUGACAUUGGAAUGGGACUAUUCAUGAAUAAAGUAAUGUUUUCAACUAAUUGCUGGGAAUAUGCAGAACAAAUGGAAGUAUUAAGAUGCAAGGAGGCAGGGGAGCCGUUGAGAUGGGAAGAUAUACAGAAGAUGAAGUAUACUUGGUGCGUGGCAUGCGAAGAAAUGAGGUUGGCUCCGCCUGCUAAUGGAUCUUUCAGAGAGGCCAUAACCGACUUCACUUACGCAGGUUAUACAAUCCCAAAGGGAUGGAAGGUAACUAAUACCUAUUUUUUUUAAAAAUAAAAUAAUGCAACCAUAUAUAAUAAAUAUUGAUUUAAUUGUACUAAAAUGGUCAGGCGUUUUGGAUGGUGCAUACAACGCACAAGAAUCCGAAAUACUUUACGGAUCCAGAGAGAUUUGAUCCAUCAAGGUUUGAAGGGAAUGGUCCUGCACCCUACUCCUUUGUACCAUUUGGGGGAGGUCCUCGAAUGUGCCCUGGCAAGGAGUAUGCUCGACUCGAAAUCCUCACUUUCAUCCGCAAUCUGCUUACCACUUUCAAAUGGGUUAAACUCAAUCCCAAUGAGAAGAUUUCCUACAUUCCAUCACCCAUUCCUAAGGAGGGUCUUCCCGUCAAAAUGCAACCCCUUCUAAAUUAAUUGUUCCUAUUUAAUAACUUUUCCACAAGUGAGUUAAAUGUCUCACUCUUAUUUUUAAUUAUCGAUAGGGUUUCAAAACUCUAUAAAUGCUUGAUGUAAUAAUAUCUUUUAGGGUAAACUACACCCAUGGUCACUUUUGUUUACCUUAGGUUACAUUUCAGUCACUUAUGUUUGAAAUGUUACGUUUUAGUCACUUACGUUAUUGUGUUGUAACAUUUUAGUCACUGAGCCGUUAAUUGUCGUUAAUGGUGUAAUGGUAAGCUGACGUGGCACGUUAAAUUAUCAUUUCAAACAAAAACUUUAGGUUAAAUUAUACAAUUGGUCCCCAUAAUUUUUCGUUUUGAGCAAUUUAAUUCUUUUAUGUUCUUUUAACUUUCUUUCUUUCUUUUCUUUAUUUUCCAUUCUCUUUUGCUUCUUCCUCUGUUUUCCUACCUUCUUUUUUUUCUUUUAACAUACCAGGAAGUCGAAUUGGUAGUGAAGAAAGAAGCAUGGUAUGGGUUUAUGGAUUUUGGUUAUAGGCAAAUGAUGACAGUCGACUUCCUACUUAUUUUUUCACUGCCAAUUCGACUUCCUAAUAUGUUAAAAGAAAUGGGAAAGAUAUGAAAACAGAGGGAGAAACAAAAGAGAAUGGAAAAAAAGAAGAAAGUUUAAAAAACAUAAAAGAAAAAAAUUAAAUUACUUAAAACGAAAAAAAUAUGGGGAUCAAUUGUAUAAUUUAAACUAAAAUUUUGUUUGGAAUGAUGAUUUAACGUGCCACGUCAGCUUACCGUUACACCAUUAACGACGAUUAAUGGCUCAAUGACUAAAAUGUUACAACAUGAUAACAUAAAUGACUAAAACAUAACAUUUCAAACAUAAGUGACUAAAACGUAACCUAAGGUAAACAAAAGUGACUAUGGGUGUAAUUUAUCCUAUCUUUUAAAUAAAUUAUACAAUCAGAAAUAAAUGGCCAGUGCCUCGUUUGGGAAAACUAUGGGUUACUAAUUUGUCUCUAGUCAGCUUUCAUCCCUUUGGAAACCCACAGGUAAAAUCCAAUUUACAGGCUUAGGUCUUAACUACUUUAUUGUUUCCUUGCAUUAUAACUCUGAUUAGGAUUAUGUUAUGUUAUACAAAAUGGACCAUAGUUUAUUGGGGUCAUUUUCUUAUUGUGUGCAAAUGGGAGUCGAACCUUAGGGCAUCUACUGCUACAAUUUCCUAUGUUGCAGUUUGGUUAAAAUUAGGAGUGAGCAAAAUUUGAUUUGAUUCGAAAAGCUCGAUAAAAAAUUCAAAAUUUAAAUUAAAUAGUUUGAGUUAUUUGAAUUAAUCGAGUUAUUCGGAUCAACAUGAAUAAGAAAUCAAAUUUUUCGGCUUAACUCGAAUAGGAAUUACAUAAUUCGAGUUAUCUGAAAAUCUGAAUAAGAAAAGGAAAAACUACGUCGUUUUGAUAAAUGUUUACCUUUUCUAAAGUUAAAAGUCAAAACCAUUAAGUCAAAAGGCAAAACUACGUCAUUUUGAUAAAUGUUUACCUAUUAAGUUAAAAGCAAAACCAUUAUAUUUUUUAUAUAGUUAAAUAAUAUUGUACGUUGUCUACUAGUUAAAUAAUUGGUCCAUGUAAAUGCAACAUUGAGUAUAAUUAAUAGGAUUCGUUAACUUGAUUUGACUUGGCCCGAAAAUUUUUGACUCGAUUUGAUUUGAUUCGAAACGAUUUCAAAUUGAGUUCAAUUGCUAAAAUAGAAUUCGUCAACUCGACUAACUAGAAAUUUUUUGACUCGAUUGACUCAACUCGAUCGAAUGUUCACCCCUAGUUAAGAUCACCAGAAUUACCAGUUCAAUACUUUGAUGUGGAUAUUUUAAGAAAAUUGGUAGAGGUAUUGGAUCUCCCCUAAGAGUUGAUAGUCACACACUUGCUAAAGAAAAGGAUAGAUAUGGUCAUUUAUACGUUCAACUAAAUCUCCGUAAACUUCUUCCUCGUUUUGUUACUAGCGAAGGAUAUAAACAAGCUAUUUUUAUGAAGGUUUGAAUUCUCUCUUGUUGGAAGAUCAACCACUCUAUCGAAAAAUUUCAUGCUUCUACUUCUCCAUUUGUUAAUGCUAUUAACCAUUUAGAUCCAUCGCACUUGGAUGUUCAUACCACUAGUCCCUCUACUUUUGAUGGCUACGGUCCGUGGCUCAUUAUUCAAAGGAAAAACAAGCCAAAGCCGAAAGUAAUUGAUCUCAAGCCUACAACUAUUGAUCAAUUGUGAAGAAAAAUAUCUUGAAUAAAAAAGUGAAGGGCAAGGGAAAAAUUAUCUCAAACUCACCCAACUAUAAAUAUCCUUAAUCCCACUUUGCUUCCCCCAACAAAGCAAAAAGCUAUUAGCUUCCCCUAUGACACCAACAUCAAUUUUGAAUGGUCUAGUGGGAUACUACUGGCGAUUUGUUAAAGGAUUCUCGAUGAUAGCUCUCCCAUUGACUAAGUUACUACAGAAGAAUAUCAAUUUUGAAUGGUCCAAGAAAUGUCAGAAAUGUUUUGAGAAGUUGAAGACAAUGUUAACUAAGGCACCAAUACUAACACUGUAACAUCUCAUACCUGACCCGAUCAUUAGAUCCAAACUAUAGAAUGUCACAUUCGUUGUCGGAGUAAUUAUGAUUAAUCACAUGAAAAUUUCAACUUUAAAUGCCCAAAUGCUAAAAUUUCAACUUUAAACACGAAAACUAACCAUUUUUGGGUCAAAUAUGAGCUUAAGAAAGCUCAAUACCAUCCAUAGGUUGAACUAGGACCAAACUAAAAAGCUUUUAAAAUAUUUCAAGUGGGUGUUGCGACUUCCAAAGCUUGGUGUCACGUCAUUGAAGACAAUAGCCAAGCUUCCCAAUUUGAGGACCAAAUUACAAUUUUUUUAAAAUAAAACAGAGUCGACAUCGCGACCUCAAGCAGGAGCUGCUACGAUGAGAUGGCCUGAGGUUGCGGCAUUCAGGAUGUGAAGUUGCAACAUUGCAAGCAGACCACUAGGUUCCUGUUUCAAAUGUUUUCUACCUAGCAUGUUUAACAUCAUUUUGCAUCAAAGCCCUAAUUUCAUACUAUUAAAACAUGUACAAAAUAUGGUUAUCAAUCUAUUAACAUCACCUUCAUGCUUGACUAUAACCAAAAUCACAAAUCACAACCUUUAUACAAGUAUUUUGGACCAUUUCUAACAUUUGAUAAUAAUAAUAAAAACCCUAGGUACAUGUCAGUAGUAACAUAAUGAAAAAGGGCUAUAAAAACUUAGGUUGAGUUGAUUAGUGUCGCGUGGAUGCGGACUUCACUUUCCUGGGGAUUUGAGAAUACUUGAACUUGCAUACAGAAUAAAUAAAUCGUAUGCUGAGCAAUGGGGCUCAGUGGUACUUUCAUGAUUCAAGAUAACAAAAACAUUCAUAAAUUUUUAUAUAUAACACAUUUACAUAAUGUAUUCAAGUCUCAUCUAUCAAACCAAAUAAUUCACAUAUUUGAUACAAAUAAGAACAUAGAUAUGCCAAGUAACCAAUCCAUUCAUCAAUAUAUGCAUGACAAAUGAACUAUGCAUACCAUUUGACAAAUCACUUAUAUCUUUCUAGCUAUCCUUAUCAACUAUGUGGUCACAUAUAUCUAUAUGCAAUUUACAUUAUGGCAUUCAUGUUUCAUAGUACUAUUAUUUUCUUACCAUUCAAACUCAUUUAUGGAUUCUAUCAACUCAUUCGUACUCGUUUUGGCCCCCAAGGCUCGUUCUCAAAUAAUUUGCUCAAUAGCUUACAUGAUCUUUCUAUCACAUUCCACAUAGGAAUACAAGUGAAACGAUUUCAUCAUACAAUAUUACUUAUCAAGUUUGUCAUUUAUAAAUCUAUUAACAUGACUUAGACUCGGAAAUAUACACGGAUCGUCCAUCCAACACACCAAACUGGCACCAAAGUACAUCGGAUAAGCCAAAGUAAGGUAAACUGGCAUGUAAGGUGCAUAUUGGCACAUAAAGUGCAUCUUGGCGCACAAAUCGCAUACUGGCACAUGAAGUGCAUCCUAGAAAACAAAGUGUAUAUCUGGCAUACGAGGUGCAUCCUAGAGCAUAAGCGUAUAAUCUCAUACACAAACCAAUCCCAUGACAUGCCAAUUAUAUCCAACACAGCCCGAACAACUAAUAGGGUACCAACAUUUAAUCUAUUUUUAUGAUUUAAAUCAUAUAACAUUCCUUAAUCGUAAUCAUAAUCCAAAUCAUUAUCAUUAUCAAACCCAUACAUUUCAUAUUAUAUAACAUAUUCUAUUUCAAUUUCCAUAUCAAAUAAUAUAAUUCAUGUUUUUCAUUUCAUUUUCCAUUUUAUUCAUUUUAGUCCUCUAUCCUGAUAAUCCCUACCAAACUUGAUCAAAACAUGACAUACUAUCAACAUAUACUCACCUCAAUUAUUCACCAAUCAAUAAACAUGCAUACGCAAGCAAAUAUUUUUAUCUCAAAUCAUAAAAGUACAAAUCGUGGUCUCGUGUCACUCAUCGACUACUCUCGCUUUCCCUUUCUCUCUCAAAGUUUCUACGUCAACGUUAGCUAUGAAUAGUCAUGAAACAUAACACACUAUCAAUUUCCCACCAAUCCAUAACAAAAUAUCAAUGUAUGCAUAUUUUUUAAUUUAUUCAAUUUAGUCCCUACAACUGGAACAAGCAUAACUUUCAAUCUAAAGUUUCGGAUUAAAAUUCGAUUUCACAUACAUUCAUUAGGAACCCUCUACUUUCUAUUCCUACUAAAAUUUCAUAAUAAUUUUUCAUUUUAUUCAAUUUAUUCCUUAAUGUGCGAAACUAAUAAUUAAACUUUACAAUUUAUUAUUCAAUUUAUUCCUUAAUGUGCGAAACUAAUAAUUAAACUUUACAAUUUACUCAUUUUCUUAAUCUAAGCUUAAUUUUUUAACAAUUCCACACCUAAUUUAUUCAAUUCUCAAUAAUGGCAACUUAUCAAAAUUUAACCAAUUGGUCAAAGUGAUCCAUGGGUUAGCUUGGUCAAGCUUCCAUGACAAAAAAAAUCUAUAAAAACCAAAGAAAAAUUACUAAGGACUUACUUGUAAUAUUGAUCGAAUAUCAAACUAGGUUUUAAGCUUUCUUCCUUCUUCAAAAAUGGUGGAUGGUGGUUCUUGAAAAGAAGAUGAUAACUUAAUCAUCUUUUUCCCACUUAUUUAACUUAUAUAGCAUGAUUAAUUUUAGUUAAACUUAAUUAAUUUGCUUAAUCAUGAUUAAUUAAACCUUAAUCCUUAAUUAACUUAAGUUAAUGAAAUUUAACAUCACAUCCCACUAUGAUCCAUAUAAAAUAGGUCUGUUGGCCAUUUUAUUCUCUUGGAUAAUUACUAUUUAAGUCCUCAAGCCUUAUCCUAAUAAAAAUCUAUAGUGAUUAAAAUUUUACAAUUUAGUCACUAGGUCUUAAUUAACCCCAUUUUUUUUUGCUAAAUUACCUAAACAAAUUUCAAUUCAUCAAUAUACUAACUUCAUAAAUAUCACUAUUUAAUAUUUACAAACUCGAUUUACGAUAACGAGGUUCUGAAAUUGCAUUUUCCAACACCACUAGAAAUUAGGUUGCUACAAACAUAACCUGAAUUAGGAAAGGAUUUUGUAAUAUUCAGUAAUGCAUCUCAUAAUGGUUACCGAUCAUAGGAGUUUGACGAAUUUUUUAGUGUUCAAUGACGCGUCUCAUAAAGGAUGUGGAUUGAUGCAAUAAGGCAAAGUAAUUACAUACGUUUCUCAACAACUCAAACCUCACAAGAAGAAUUAUCCUACUCACAAAUCUGAACUUGUAGCCAUAGUUUCUGUUUUAAGGAGAAAAUACCUUUACGGUAAGAGAUGUCAUGCCUUUAUCGAUCAAAAAAGUUUAAAGAAUUUGUUCACGCAAAAAUUAUUGAAAUAUCUCUGUAAUUCAAACUUUUAAUCCAACUAUUCGGUUACUUAGAGAGCUCUCAAGAAUUCUUAACACAUUAUUGAGAAAGGUGUCCAAUGGAUUAUAAAAUAUGGUUCCCGAAUUAGUUUCUGGCAUGAUAAUUAAACGAGCAUGGGUCCUAUUCUUUUUUUUUCAUUACCCCUUUCUACCCAAGGAAGAUUGUUUCUUGGUGAAAAACUUUUAUGUUGGCUCUUAUAACUCUUCCUUUGCUAUUUCAAACAACAUCAAUGAUUGUAUUCUUAUGCACCCCACUUCUUUUUUUUUUAAAAGAUGGUUUUGAUGUUUUGUGUUGGAAAGCCACUUCUAAAAUACUCUUUUUCAUGAAAUUACCUUAUCAUAUUGCCUCCAACCUUAUCAAUGCUCUUCUUGAUUCUAGUAAUUGGUUAUUGUCAGGGGCGAAUUUAGGGGGGCUGGUAAGGGCCUUGCCCCCCUAAAUUUGUAAAAUUUCAAUUGUGCAACACCCUAGACCCGGCUUAGAUGUCCAGUCCAAGUUUAGAGAGUUACAUUAUAAAUACUCAAAUACUACUCAAGCCAUAAUAAUACCAAACCAUGAUUCACAUAAAAAUUCAACACAAAGAUUAGUUAAAUAUAUAAUCUUCCGAAGUCAUACACUAUUAUAGUUUAAUGAAAAUCCUAUCAAAAUAUUUUAAAGAAAGCUAAUAGUUCGACUAAGCUCCCACGGCACCAACCCAUUCAAGUCUGUGAACGACCUGAAAUUCAAGCAAUAACAGAAUAAGUUGUGAAAUCAGUGCGUAAAAGAAAUUUAUUCAAUUAAUGCUCAUUUAAAAAGUAGUUCCAAAUUCAGAGAUUCAGUUCGAUAUAGAAGUAAUUUCAGUUUAGAUUCAGAGCAAAUCAGCUACAAAUGUACAUAUAUGCAAUUACAGGUCAUACACGAUACAAAUCAGAUUCAGAUGCAAUAUUCUCAUCCUCGCCCACUGCACACCAUCUUCGGCCAUCCCAAUACACCAUUAAGGAUAUUCAAUGCUCAGCCAACCCUAUACACCUUAAACUGUUCGUUGACACUUUUACAGAAAUGCAGCUUAGCUAUUAAUUCAAUAUUCGACAAGCGCCAGAAUCAGAUUUAUACACAUUGUGGCGUAGCCACGAUUUAGAACAGAUUUCUUCCUCCUUCACAAUAUCCCAGCCCAUGUCGGUGCAGAACACAAAUACCCAUAUGAUGUAUUCAGUCAUUCUAAUUCAUUUCACAAUCAAAUAAGAUAGUUCAACAUCAAAAUAAGCAUUCCAGUGUACUUAUAACUAAGUUGUUCACAGAUCAAUCUCAGGGUAUCAGACAGUUCUAAUAUAAUUAAUUUCAAUCAUUCGUAAAUCGAAGAGGCCAGUAUCAGUGUUAAGUAACAUUUUUAGCCUCGAAAAUAGAUUUUGGGCCUCAAUAACAUGCCACACGACCAAGUGGCACACCCAUGUGCCUUGCUCGUUUAUUUUCGAAGCAUAAACAAUGAAUUACAUGGUCUGGACACACACCUGUGUCCCUGGCCGUGUGGCUUUGUACCCAACACAGUGAGUUACACUGCCUGGGCACACGUUCGUGUCCCUGGCUGUGUGGUUUUGUACCAGAAAUAGUAAGUUACACGGCCUGGGCACACGCCUGUGUCCCUGGCCGUGUGGUCUUGUACCACAAACAGUAAGUUACACGGCGUGAGCACACGCUCGUGUCUCUGGCAGUGUGAGCUCUGCACUAAUAUGGCCAUACACGCUCUAGACACACGACCGUGUGCCUUGUAAAAUUAAGGUUUUCGGUACACACCUAAUUUUGCUUUGACGGAGAAACAACACGAAGACUAUCCGGAACCUAAUUAAUCACUCAAUAAUCAAUUACACCAUCGAUUUCAAAAUUUUAGCAAAAUCAACCUACCGCCAAGAUUAUGUCGAAAGUUUUGAUGCAAUCCCAAGUCAAUUUGUAUACUCACCUCGCACGAAAUAGAGGAAAUCAGACUAACACGGCGAAAUAACGUCUCUUGUAAUAUUCUCGCCUAAAAAGAUAACCAAUCAAAUGAUUAAACAGAAUGUUCAAGCAACCGAGAAAAAUCCCAUUUCAAUAGAAUAUUGUUAACACCACAAAACUUGCAAAAUGAGAGAAAAUUGACGACGAAACUUGCUAAAUACUCGCACAAUCAACCUUACAAGUAACAAAGAACUUCCAAUUAAUGCAGAAUUGAAUAAUUUAAAAGGAAAAAUAAAAGAACAGAAGAACCAGAAAAGAAAACAACUUUUAAAAAACAAAGAAGAAGGUACGAUAGAAUUUCUUUAGACUAUCUUAAGUUAACCACCAUCCCACAUUCUUGCAUUUGCAAAAAAUAUUUCCUAAUGCAUAUGAUGGGAUUCGAACUCACAACCAAACAGAAUAUAGACAGAUGCUUAACCAGUGAACUAGCAGGCUCAUUCUUGAUACCGAUUUACCCAGAAUUGGACUUAACUACGAAACACAUGGAUGAAGGUUGUUUUAAAAAUAAUAACAAAACUUUUAACGAUGCUACUGAAACUUCAGACCUUAAACACAGAAGCAUAGCACAGAACCACAUAUACGAAAAUUUAAUUACUGUAAUUUCUCACAAUUAAAUUCUUAAAAAUUUGGGGCAUUACAACUCUCCCCCUAAAAGAAAUUUCGGCCUCAAAAUUUUACCUAAGUCAAACAGAUACGAAUACAGUCAUCGGAUUGAUUCUUUCGAUUCCCACGUGGCUUCCUCAGUACCAGGGUUCCAUCAUAGGAUUUUCACUAGAAGAAUAGUUUUCUUCCUUAGCAUCUGAACAUCACAUUCUAAGAUCUAGACAGGUUCCUCUUUGAAUGCUAAGUUCGGCCGCAAUUUAAUCUUGUCGACAGUAACAAUAUGUGACGGAUCCAACCGAUACCGUCUCAGCAUCGAGACAUGAAACACAUCGUCAAUCUAAUUUAGCUUCGACGAUAAUUCUAACUGGUAUGCAACAAGUCCGACACGCUUUAAGAUACGGUAAGGCCUAUUGAACCUCGGGUUUAAUUUGCCAUUAUGUCCGAAACAGAGGACCUUUUUCCACAGUAAUACUCUCAAGAAGACUUAAUCACCAACAGAAAACUCGAUGUCUUUUCUUUUUAAAUUAAUAUAGGACUUUUGCUGAUCAGAUGUGGCUUUCAAACGGUCCCGAAUUACUCUCACAGUGUUCUCAGUUUUAGAAACCAGCUUAUGACCCCAUAUCUGACGUUCAUUUAAUUCUAUUUAACAUAGCGAAGUACAACACUUACGACCAUAUAAGGCCUCGUAGGGUGCCAUCUGAAUACUAAACUGAAAGUUGUUAUUAUAUGCAAACUCCGCCAACGGUAGGUAGUCCUCCCAACUACCCCAGAAAUCUAUCACACAAUCUCGAAACAUAUCCUCCAAGAUCUGAAUAACUCGCUCCGACUAUCCAUCGGUCUAAGGGUGAUACGCAAUACUGAAUUUAAGUCAGGUGCCUAAGGCCUCAUGGAGUUUCUUCUAGAAUCGAGAUGUAAAUCGUGGAUCCCUGUCAAAGAUGAUUGAGAUCGAAAUUUUGUCUAAUCUCACAAUUUAGGUGAUAUAUAGUUUAACUAACUUCUGUUAGGAGUAAUCUGUCCGAAUGGGUAUGAAGUGGGCUGAUUUGGUCAAUCGAUCCACCAUGACCAAAACCGUUAGUAGGGAUUAGAGGCAACCCACUAACAAAAUCAAUCGUUAUCUUCUCCCACUUCCACUAAGGAAUUUUAACUGGUUGAACUAACCCGGAUGGCAGCUAAUGUUCCGCCUUAACCUUUUGGCAUGUCAGACAGUGGGACACAAAAGCGACUACCUCUCAUUUCAGUUCGGGCCACCAGUAGAAUUCUCGAAGAUCCUGAUACAUUUUGUUCCCAGUAAAAUGCAUAGCAUAUGGACUACUAUGCGCCUCCUGAAGGAUCGAAUGCCUCGACUCUUUGUCAUUAGGUACACAAAUCUGACCUUUAAAGCACAACACGUUAUCGCUAUUCAAGCCAAAAUCGAAAGUCUCAUUCGAAUCAACAUGCUGCAGACGCUGAACUAAGGACUCAUCGCUCAAAUGUUUUGCUCUAAUCUACUCUACCAAAUCGAUAUUACCUGUAAUUUAGCCAACAGCCCUCCAUCCUCGACCAAACUCAGACGAGCUAACAUUGCUCUCAGAUCAGUCACCUCUCUACGGCUAAGGGCGUUAGCUACCACAUUAGCCUUACCUGGAUAGUACUCUAUCGUGCAAUCGUAAUAUUUAAGUAACUCAACCCAUCGACGCUAUCGAAGAUUUAAUUCUUUUUGGGUUAGUAAAUAUUUAAGACUCUUGUGAUUGGUAUAAAUAAUACACGUUUCACAAUAUAGAUAGUGUCUACAGAUUUUUAGAGCAAAUACAACCACAGCUAGCUCAAGAUCAUGCGUAGGGUAAUUACCCUUGUGUGUCUUAAGCUAUUGCGACGCAUAAGCGACCACUUUACCAUCUUGCAUAAGCACACACCCAAACCUAACAUGUAAAGAAUCACUGUACACCAUAAACUCUCGGGCUGAUAUUCGGUUGAACUAAGUCAAAAGCUUGUGUCAAAACGGACUUGAGUUUAUCGAAACUAAACUGUUGUGCCUCAGACCACACGAAUGGAGUAUUCUUAUGCAGCAAUUUCGUCAGAGGUGACGCAAUUAGAGAAAAUCUUUCGACAAACCUUCAGUAGUAACCGGCUAAUCCCAGAAGCUACGAAGUUCAGAUAUAUUUUUUGGUCUUUCCACUCAACAAUAGCUUCUAUCUUCUUAGGAUCAACUAGGAUCCCUUCCACCAUUACUACAUGACCCAAAAAAGUGACUUCUUGCAACCAAAACUUGCACUUAUUAAACUUGGCAUACAACUAUUUUUCUUGGAGUAUCUGAAGUACAAUACGAAGAUGAUCAUCAUGCUCAGCUUCAAUUUUAGAUUAGAUCAGGAUAUCAUUGAUAAAAACCAUUACGAAUGGAUUCAAGUACGGUUGGAACACCAGAUUCAUUAAAUUCAUAAAUGCCAUCGGGGCAUUCAUUAAACUGAAAUGCAUUACCAGAAACUUGUAAUAUCCGUAAUGAGUCCUAAAGGCAGUUUUGUAAACAUCAGUCUCUUUGACCUUGAGCUGAUGGUAAUAAGAGAAUAAAUCGAUUUUGGAGAAAACGGAUGCUCCUCGAAACUGGUUGAACAAGUCGUUAAUCCUCGGUAGCGGGUACUUAUUUGUUAACUUGGUUAACAGCUACUAAUCUAUGCACAUCCUCUUUGACCCAUCUUUCUUCUUAACAAACAACACCGGCACCCCCCAUGAAGACACACUCGGCCGAAUAAAUCAUCUAUUAAGGAGUUUCUGAAGCCGUGCUUUUAACUUGGUCAGCUUUUUUGGACACUAGAGCAAUACUUGAUAACAAAUCAAUUCCAAACUCCACCUCUCUAUCUAGAGGUACUCCAGUCAAUUCCUCAAGAAAGAUGUCUGAAAACUCCCUCAUUGUGCGGAUAUCUCCCACUAAAAGUUUCGCGAGAACAUAAUCGGAUACGUAAACAAGGUAUACCUUGCACCCCUUUUGAACUAACUUGUCUGCUACAAGAGCGAAGAUUAAAUUAGAGAGGUAAUUUCGACACUCACCAACCAUGACCACCUCGUCAUUCUCAUUUGACCUCAAAGUAACUCUCUUGGUUGCACAAUCUAGACUGACCCGAUACUCAAUGAGCCAAUCCAUUCCCAAAAUUAGAUCAAACUUAUUAAAGGGUAAUUCCAUUAGAUCAACUGAGAAUACCAUACCCUAGAGCUCUAGGGGUACCCAUCUGUAUACUGUAUCAACUCAAAUUGACUGACCCAAAAGACUAAUCAUAGAAAACUCUUUAGCAGUAUUCUCAGCGGUUAAACCUAGAUUUACAGAAACAUCACUAGCUAUAUAUGAAUGAGUAGAGCCAAUAUUAAUGAGAGCAUAAUACGGAACAGAAUGAAUAAAGAAGGUACCUACUAUGACAUCAGCAUCAUCGCUCUCCUCGCAGUGUCUCGCUUCAUAAAUUAAUACUGAUUGACGAGCCUCAGCCUGACCUGCACCUCUACACAGUAUUCUCUGUCCUCUCCUAGAUCCAUUACCACCGAUACCAGUACCCAACCUCUGAAUGGUAAUUGAACCUCUCUCGGAAGCCAAACAAAAUUUGGCCCCGGAGUCUAUACCGCAGUUAGCACUGAAUCUGGUCGUCGAGGGCAAUCCCUAACUCGAUGCUCCAUUGACCCGCAAAGGAGGCAUGCUCUUAACUUCCUCCUGCACUUGCCCGGACGACGCUUCCCAUAACGACUACACAGCUGAAUCUCAGUCGCAACAGUUAGUGUCUCAACUCUCAGAGGUCUGUCAAACCUCAUCCGCUUCUUAGGGCAUUGACCCGAACUAGAUGAGCCUAAAUCCCUCUUAAUCUUAUUAUGAUCCUUCUCAUGAUCACGUCACUCGCACUCAGUACACUUCACUUCUUCCAAUACAUUUGCUUUGUCAAAUAAGACCGCAAAAACCCGCUCCUUCUAAGGAGCUACCAGAACUUGCGGAUCAUAUCUCAAUCCCUCCUCAAAUCGCACACACUUGUCGUAGUCGGACGCUACCAAAGUCCAUAUAUACGUACUCAGUUGCAGAAACUCGACUUCAUAUUUAGCCACAGAUCGGUCACCCUGAACUAGGCUCAUAAACUUACGUUGGUAGCUUCAACAUAAUUCCCCCACAUACUUACCCUAGAAGGCGUUCUUGAAAUAAUCCCCAUUAACAUGUUCAGGAUGAGUACCUUGUUCAACUGUCAACCACCACCAAUAGGCUUCAUCCUAGAGUAGAGACGCAGCACCCUCAAUAUCUAAGUGGGAGUACAGUCGAGAUCAGUUAUUAUACGCUCAGUAGCCUCGAGCCAAUAUUCAACAACAGUAGGAGCGACUCCUAUGACACUCUUUAAUAAUUUAGGCUCAUUCUACGGCAGUCGUUUAGUGAUCAACCCUCGACCUCUCGAUCUCGAAUGCGUCUCUGUAACCCUCUCUAAUGCUCGAAUCAUGGCCUGAGACAGUCUGUCAUCCCUAGCCAUUAGAGUAUGGGACUCCGUUUCAGUAGUAGGUGAACCAACCGUCUCGCUGGUCUCUAGAUUGGUCAUACUACCCAUAGAGGAUGACUCUACUCGAGCUCCUCCUCAAAAUCCUUAACGCUCCGGCAUACCACGUCCAUGACUACCACGCAAACUCAUUAUGGUAAUCUAGCUAGAAUAUCAGAAUACACAGAUCAAUUCACACAUCCAGCAGGAUGAUUUCACCAAUUCAUAUCAAAACAUUUUACCCAUAACAGUUUAAGUAUUAUAAUCUUUAUAACAGAAUGGAAAUACUUAUAGGGUCAGUGUCGGAAGCUCGGCCAUUCACUAAAAUGUCAGUGUUUCUAUAUUAGUUCAGAUACUAAAUUAUCACUAAGCUACUUUUCUCAUACAUUAUGAGCCCAAACACAAUUCGAGUGUUGACAUGUUGAUGCAGAACACAAAUACCCAAAUCAUGUAUUCAGUCAUUCUAAUUCAUUUCACAAUCAAAUAAGAUAGUUUAACAUCAGAAUAAGCAUUAUAGUGAACUUAUUAUAACUAAGUUGUUCACCAAUCAAUCUCAGAGUACCAAACAGUUCUAAUAUAAUCAAUUUCAAUCAUUUUUACUUCGAAAAGGCUAGUAUAAGUGUUAAGUAACAUUUUCAGCCUUAAAAAUAUAUUUUGGGCCCUAAUAACAUACCACAUGGCCAGGUCACAUGCCCAUGUACCUUGCCCGUGUGGUUCCAAAGCAUAAACAGUGAGUUACACGAUCUGGACACACGCCUGCAUCCCUACCCGUGUGACUCACACGGGCUGGGUACACGUCUGUGUAGCUUUGUACCCUAAACAGUAAGUUACACAGCUUGGGCACACGCUCGUGUCCCUGGUCGUAUUGUCUUGUACCACAAAUAGUGAGUUACACAGCUUAGGCACACGCUUGUGUCCCUAGCCGUAUGGUCUUGUACCACAACUAGUGAGUUACACGGCCUAGGCACACGCACGUGUGCCUAGAUGUAUGAACUUUGCACUAAUAUGGCCACACACGGCCUAGACACAUAAUGGUGUGCCUUGCCUAUGUGGCCCUAAAUCGAAUGAACAGUGAGUUAUAUGACCAACCACACGACCUGGGCACACGCCCUUAUGCCUGGCCGUGUAGCACCGACAACCACCAUUUUUGGUGACCUGAAACUUGCAAAAUUAAGGUUUCCGGUACGCACCUGAUUUUGCUUUGACGGAGAAACAACACGGAGACUACCCGAAACCUAAUUAAUCACUCAACAAUCAAUUACACCAUCGAUUUCAAUAUUUUAUCAAAAUCAACCUACCGCCAAGAUUAUGUCGAAAGUUUUGAUGUAAUCCCAACUUAAUUCACAUACUCACAUCACACGAAAUAGAGGGAAUCAGACUAACACAACAGAAUAACAUUUCUUACAAUAUCCUCACCUAAAAAGGUAACUAGUUGAAUGAUUAAACAGAACGUUCAAGCAACUGAGCAAAAUCUUGUUUCAAUAGAAUAUAGUUAACACCACGAAACUCACAAAACGAGAGAAAAAUAACGAUGAAACUUGCUUAAUACUAGCACAAUCGACCUUACAAGUAAAAAAGAACUUCCAAUUAACACAGAAUUGAAUACCAUAAAAGGAAAAAUAAAAGAACAGAAAGAGAACCGAAAAAGAAAAUAACUUUUGAAAAACAAAGAAGAUGGUACGAUAGGAUUUCUUCAGACUAUUUUAAGUUAACCACCAUCCCACUUUCUGGCAUUUGCAAAAAAAUAUUUCCUAACGCAUACGAUAGGAUUCAAACUUGGAAGCAAACAGAAUAUAGACAGAUGCUUAACCAGUGAACCAGCAAGCUCAUUUUUAAUACUGAUUUAUCCAGAAUUGGACUUAACUAUGAAACACAUAGAUGAAGGUUGUUUUAAAAACAAUAAUAAAACUUUCAACGAUGCCACUCAAACUCCAAACCUUAAACACAGAAGCAAAGCAUAGAACCACAAAUACGAAAAUUUAAUUACUACAAUUUCUCACAAUUAAAUUCUUAAAAAUUUGGGGCGUUACAAAUUGAGUCCUUUUGAAUUUCAAAAGAUUUUUUAUUUUGACCUUAUAACUAGUACUUAAAAUAAGAUAAAUUAUUUUGGCCCCCAAGUUUUUUCAUUGUUUCUUUUAAUUUGAUUUAUUUUAUAUAAUCUAUAAAUUUUUAUGAUAAAUUUAGUAACACUUUUAGUUUAAUUUGAUAAAUUAAUAUAAAGUAGUGUUUAAAUAUUUAUUUGCUAAAAUAGUCACAUAAUUUCAAUAUCUAAUCAUAAAAUAGUAUCUAAAUAUUAAUUAGGUAAAAAAAUAAACUUAAAUAAUUAUAAUAUUUCAUACAAAUUGAGUAUUUAACUUAAUUUGUUUUUUUCUAAAUGUUAAUUUUGGUGAUCAAGAUUAUCUAAAAUUUAAAAAUACAUUGUUUUAUGGGCCAAGCUUACUUUCAACAUGUCUAUUUUAUAUAAAUACUUCGCCUCCCUCAUUAUCAAUAUUUCUGGCUUCGCCCCUAGUUGUAGGUUUGGAACCUCAAACUUCCACUUACACUCUCCUUUUCUCAUUUUGGAAAUUGUGGCCCUCUUCUCCCAAUUUGAUCUUUUCUUUGUUUUAAAGGUCUUGACAUCUCUGUUGUAUGCACUUUCUGCAACUCUUACCCUGGGACAAUUGAACAUGUACUUCGAGAUUGUUCAUUCACUUAUCAUCUCUAGAGCCUUUUUUCCUUAUCCCCCUUCAACUAUAGGUAUGUUCUCCCUUCCUUUAAUGGAUUGGCUCAAUGCUAAUUUGACAUUUAAAUCCUCCUUUCCCCAUCAUCUCAUUCAUUAGCCAACCAUGUUUGCUUUCUUCCUUAAUGGGUUUUGGAUUGCUAGAAAUGCAAUCAUCUUUGACAAACCCAUAAGUGAAAAUGAUAUUCGAUCUAAAUUUAUCACUCUUGCUAUAGAGUACUUUGUUAUUUUACAUAAACCAAAUUUCGAGUAUAUUCUACCUCACUUCACGUCAAAUGGAACCUUCCUUUAAAUGGAUGGUUUAAAGUUAAUUAUGAUGGUUCCUCAUUAGGAAAUCCUGAAACUGUUGGUUUGGAGCCAUUAUUCGUGAUCAUAAUAGUAAUUGGAUUGUCGAUUUUCAUUGUUAUCCGAGCAUGACUACUAAUAUUAUGGCUUACCUUUGGGCUCUUAGUGAUGGCCUUGUGCUUGCUCACAAUGUAACAGCCCAAUUUCAGUAAUGUCGAAAAUGGUGGUUUUGAGACCACAACUCUGACAAGUGAGUUGUUAUUUUGAUAUAUAUUUAAUGUUUAUAGGGUUAGUUUAAGGUAUUAUUAAAUUUUUGUCAAGAAAUUUUGAAGAUUAAAUGGUUAAUUAAGUAAAAAGGACCAAAUUGUGAAAGACACAAAAGUUGGUCUUUAAUAGGUAAAUGGAUUAAAUGGCUUUUGAAAUGCAAAUUAAAGGACAUAGAUGGUAUUUAUACCAUAUGAAAGUUAAUAGACAAUUAUGGGUUUAUUUUUGUCAUUUUGUAAACUAAUAAACUAAGGAUAAAUUAAAUUAGUAAUUAAUAAACAAAUCUUAAACUAAAUUAAGCAAAUAGUGUCAUCUUCCUAAAAUUCUUCUCUUUCACCGAAAUUGAAGAAAUAAAACACCAUUUUUAUGGCUUUAAGGUUCGGCCAACAUAGGAGUAUUUCAUGGUAAGAUUUUGUGACUCGUUUUUAGUAAUUUUUAUAUUUUUGAGCUCGUUUCAACUUAAUCUACCUAGCCCAGGGGUUAAUUUGCAAAGUUGUUAAAUGUUGAGGAACCUGCAAAGUUGAUAGAUUAUUAAUUUUUAUUGUUAAAUUAACAUGAUUUGUUAAGUGAAUUUAGGAUUUAGCGAUUAAAUAGCUUAAAUGGUAAAUUCUAUGAAUUUUGAGUGAAAUGAGUAAAAAUGUGGAUUGAUAUAAGUAUAGGGAAGAAUCAGAUAACAUGUUUUGGGUUAGGAAAAUGGUGAAUUUUCAAGUUAUGGGCUUAAGGACUAAGUUAUAUAAAAGUUAAACUAUUAGGGGUAAUUUUGUAAUUUUAGAUUAAUAUGAAUUAUAGGUUGAAUUGAAUACUUGAGAUUAAUUGAAGUACUUAGUUGAAUUAAAUUAGUUAAUUGAAGUACUUAGUUGAAUUAAAUUAUCUUAGAUCAGGAUAAACAACAAUCGGACUUAAAUUGAGGAAAGGCAAAAGCUUUGGAUUAAUCUCCAACUCUACUUUUGUGACUAUGGUUAUCGAGGUAAGUUUGUAUGAACUAUAAUCUUAUUAAUGAUAGUUGAUUGAUUAUAUACUAUAUUAUGUUGGUUAUAAAUUGACUUGAAUAUAUAAAUAGAUUGACGUUUUGAGUAAUUGAUGGAUAAAUAAUAUCGUUUGAACCUUAAGAAUUCUUAAGAUACGAAUGACAUGUCAUUAGGGAUUUCAUGUUUCAAGUGUUGGUCUUAAAUGUCCUACUGAUGGUUGAGGUCCUGCAUUUGUUGCAGAUUCUCCACAGCUCGUGUGAGCAGCAUCGUGUAGCUAACAUUCUGACCUACAACUCGUGUGAGUACUAUUGAAAAGGAAAGGUUACGGUUAUAUGGAAAGGCACACUAUGUGUGAGCAUUCCCAAGUAUCCAAUGUAAUUCUAGAUGGUUCAAUGGGUAAGCAAAGGUUAAUGGCAAUGUAUGUAUACAAUUGUAUAAUGGUACAUAAUCUUAUGAAAAGGUUAAUGUAAUAAAUGGUGUGUACAUGUAAAUCUACUUAUGAUAUGGUUGAACUUAUAUAUAUCAUGUAUGAACUUACUAACUUGUAAAUUUGGUGGUGCUUAUAUAGGAUUUUACUAAGCUUAUGAACAUGGUAAUGUUGUUAUGUAUAAUUUACAAAUUGAGCUUAAGAAUGGUAAGUUAUGUUUGAGUUUAUACGAGCUUACUAAGGACUAGUUGUUUACGUAGUUAUUUUCCUUUGUUUCAUAUAUUAUCAGAAGCUCGAUCGAUUGGAAGCUUCUCAGAGAUUUAUCACACUAUCCAGCAAUCACUUUGGUAGUUUUUGAGUUAUUUUGGCUAAGGUUAUAAAUGGCAUGCAUAGGACCUUUUUAUAAUGAAUGUCUUUGAGUAUGUUAAUGAAAAUUUUGGUAUGAGUAUGUCUUUUAUGUAUUCACUUUGUUUGUGUGGACUUAUAAUGUUUUAGCAAAUUUUAUACCCUUAGGUAUUUUGUAAUAUAUGGUGUGGGUGGUUGUUUAUAUAUUAAAGCCAUAUGAUUAUGGUCAUUUUAGUAUGUUUUAAUGAAAGGUGAAUGGUUUGACAAUUGAUGUCAUUAGGUAGCUUAUUUGACUAUGUUUUUGUGUUUGAGGUAUGGUAUUAUAGCCUUUUUUUGAUUGAAGUUGUUUUUGUACAAAUGUGGUGCUUUUGAAUGGCAUAUUAGUUAGGUGAAAUAGGUUGAUUGAAUUUGUAACAACCCGAUUCUAGGCCUAGUCGGAACAGUGGUUUCGGGACCACAAAUCCGACAAGGGAAAAUAUGAUUAUUAUUAUAUUUUUAUGGUCUACAAUUUCACAGAAAAUUUUCGUAAAAAUUUCGUUCAAAAAUUUCGACGUUUGGGCACUUAAUUUAGUCAAAAGGACUAAAUUGUAAAAAGUGCAAAAGUUGAGUUCUACAUCUUAGAGGUGUCUAAUUGUUAUGAAAUUUUAAAUUGGAGGUCUUUAUAUGGUAAUUAGACCAUUAGUUAGUUGAUGGACAAAAAUGGGCAUAGAAUUAGUGAAAUAGAUUUUUUUUAAAGUAAGGGCAUUUUAGUCAUUUGGUUAUUAAAUAGAAUUAAAUGGGAAAAAGAUGGAAAAAUAUGCUCAUCUUCUUCAUGGUGAACGAAAUCAGCAAGGGGGAAGCCAUAUUUAGGGUUUUUAAGCUUUCAAGCUCCAUAGUAAGUGAUUCCAAGCCCCGUUUUUAAUGUUCUUUACGUUUUUAGAGUCUCUGUAACUUGGUUUAGCUUAUUCCACCAUUAAUUCGUGUUAGGGUUUAUAUUUGGAAAAAUACCCAUAGGUGAAAUGUGUUUAUUUUGAUGUUUAAUGGUAGAAUAUGAAGCUAAAAAUUAUGUUAAACAAUUUUUGCUAAGCGAUUUUAAACGAAAACUGGUAAAUUGACAUAAUCGGUAAAAAUACCUAAUGUUCAAAAGUGUGUGUUAGAGUGAGAAUUUGAUGUUGUCAUAGAAGGGAAAAAUGUUCAGCAUGUCAUAAAACAUAAGAAUAAGAGAUGAAUUUUAAUUUUCGAGCUUAGGGACAAAAGUGUAAAUAUGUAAAAGUUUGGGGGUAAAAUUUUAAUUUUUCAAAAAGUUGGGUGGAGGACUAUUUUAUUAAAUGUGAACAUUUAAUGAGUUAAAUUUGCUAUUAUAGAUCAAGAAAGACGAGAAGACUACCUCAAACGGGGAAAAAAGAAGAUAGUGGAGUAAAUUACAAAAUUACGAUAUUUUGCACCAAGGUAAGUAAACAUGUGAUUUAAUGCAUUAUUUUGACAUCAUUCAAUAUAUGUUGGGAUUUAAUAGAACAUAGAAUAAAUAUUCGGCAAGAUUCUAAAAAUGUGGUUAAGUUGGGAAAGGUGGUAAAAUGUUGAAAAUAUGGGUUCCGGUUGAACACUCGGAAUAAGCCGAAGUAUUUUAAAUGUGAAGGGGGUUGCUAAGUGCUGAUUCCCCCAACGGGUUGCUAAGUGCUGAUUCCCCGACUCAUUGGUGGUUGCUAAGUGCUGAUUCCACCGUAUCUUGAAUAUAAAGGGGGUUGCUAAGUGCUGAUCCCCCCAAGGGGUUGCUAUGUGAUGAUUCCCCGAAUCAUUGGUGGUUGCUAAGUGCUGAUUCCACCAUAUCUUUGAAUGUGAAAGGGGUUGCUAAGUGCUGAUUCCCCGAAUCACUGGUGGUUGCUAAGUGCUGAAUCCACCGAUAAUGGUUAAUAUUCCGAGUGUCCAACGAGUAAACUGGGAAGGUGAAUAUUUAUAUGUGGUGGACAAGCUUAUAGGAGGAAUAUUGGGUUUGAUACUUAAUCGACCAUGUAUAAGGUGGGAUGAAAUAUCAAAAAUACAACAGGAACAAUUUAAUUACAAAACUGUUUUGAACAACAGCAGUUGGGCAACUUUGAAAAAUCACCAUAAAUGGUGGAAAAUGAAUUAGAGGUUGAAUAAUAUAUGUAAUUGAAGCUGAAUGAGUCUAUUUUCAUACGAAAGAAACAUAGCAAGCAAAAGAGUUGUAUAUUUGGGGAUAUUUGAAUUUAUUUGAGACAGGGUUGGAUUGAUUCGAAAUCCCCUGUUCCAACUUUGGAAAAUCACUAAAAAUUGUAAAAAAAUAAUUUUGGCCUGAAAUUUAUAUGCCUGGAUUCUUUAAUGAGUCUAUUUUUAAUAUAAACAAACAAAAACAUUUUUCGAAUUUUUUACAGGGAGUUAAUUAAAGUUUAAUAAAGGGAUGUCAGAACCGUCAGGCAGUGAAACAUGAGAAUCUUUAAAGAAUAAACUGUACUAAUUGGAUAAAUAAAAAAUUCUGAAAAUUUUAUGGUGGAAAGGUAUAUGAGUCUAGUUUCGGGGAAAAUUUACGGAAUCCAAUUUGGAGCCCUGUAGCUGCAGAUAAAAAUAAAUUGGUGACUGUGACUCAGAAAAACAGCUUGCUGGAAAUUGAACAGUUGAUGAAAUUUAAGUGUGAUUAAAAUUAUGUUACUAUGUAAUCAUGUGAGGAAAUUAUUUAUUUGUCAUAUGUUUACUUACUAAGCUAUAUGCUUACUCGUUUUUAUUUUCCCUUGAUUAUAGUGACAUCAAUCAGCUCGGAACUUGAACGACGUCAGAUAAUCAUCCACACUAUCAUCAAUUUUUUGGGUGUUUUGCAACUAAUACUUUGGAAACAUGGCAUGUAUAGAUGACUUUAUGUAUUGCGGUUUAAAUAUGUAUAUAUAUAUAGUAUGGUUCGGUUUAAAAUGUUGGUGUUUGUUAAUGGAUAAAUUGUGUUUGAACAUACAACUGUAUUUGGUUGGAAUAUUGAAUAUGUUUGGGAUUGUGUUCGAAAAUUUGCAGGGGAUUUUAUGUAAAAAUAAGCAGAAAUGCUGCCGAAAAUUAAAAAAAAAAUAGUAAUAUCUCAUACUCAGUUCCGUUAAGGAAUACGGGUAAGGGGUGUUACAGAAUUGGUAUGUUUAUGUGUAUUUGAAAGAUGUUUUGGUCUAUUGAAUGUAUGCAUAAAUGGAGUGGGUGAUUGGGUAAAUUUUGGUCUUAAAAUGGCUUGUUUAGGGUCAAAUUAUGGAGCAUACUGCCUGGGACACGAGUUGUCACACAGCCUGGCUACGCGGUCGUGUGUCACUUAUUAUUUAAAUUCAAGACUCUGUUAAGCAUAUUCCUAAGUAGUCAGCUUCAACAUACCUACAAGGAGGGUACUUGUUGCACUAAUGCUUUGGCUAAUGCUAGAAUUCAUGUUAAUCCUAACCUUUUUGUCUCAUGUUAAUACCUCUAAUGACUUUUAUGUUGUGUAUUUUGAAAUCCCAGACUUUAUGCGUACUCUUGUGAAUGCCAACUUAGUUGGCACACCUUUAUAUCAUACUCUUUAUAACUAAAUAAAACUCUCCUUUUAUAACAAAAAAGAAAAGGACAGAAAGUGGAUAAAAAAAGAAAGAAAGGAAAAACGAAAAGGAGCGGAGAGGGUUGAGGAAAUAGCUGACUGAAUGUUGGUAGGCUUUUAUCUAGCAUGAUAAUCCAUUAUUCGAAAGGAGGGCAUUCAGGAGAGAGGGGAGGAGAUGAAAGAAAAAGAGAAUAAAAACGGGAUGAAGAGGGAGAAAAGAUGAGGAAGAGCUUAGCCAUCUACUAUCUAGUUGUCCUAAAGCAAAACUGCCACUUGUUUGUCUUAUCUAAUUGGGCUAUGGUUGAUUAUAGACUUGUCUAAUGACUAGGCCACUUAAAGGAAGAGGAAAAAAAACACUUUUUGUAAUAUUUGGAAAAACGAGUUUAGGGGGGGGAGAGAGAGAAUGUCCAUUUAGAAAAUGGUUUGAACUUGGAUUUCAAUAUUCAAUGCCCAAGCACAACCCAUUUUCUAACUUUAUAAUAUAAUAUAUUAACUUUAUUUUAUUGUUAUAUACUACGUAAUAAGAAUUAAAUAUAUAAUACUAUAAUGAAUAUAUAUUUUUAAAAGAAAAGUAAAAAAGAAUAGGUCUAAACAAGCUUGAAUUAGCUAUUUAUAAAUAUAAGUAAGUUUGGACAAAAUUUUAAGUUCAUAUUUCGGACCGAGUCAAACUUGUCCAAAUAUUUAUGAUAUUAUUAACAUGCAUAAAUUUGACUUGACUUAACCCAAGAGCACAUCUAAUUGAGCACAACCUCUCCUCCUUUCUUUUACUAUUUUUUUAUAGUUUAAAAUCUAAAAAAAAUCAUAAUAUUUUUUUAGCAAAAAAAUUAGAAUUUCUUUUUUUGAAUUCCUAUAUAAUUUUUUUAAAAAAAUUUCAAUAUACAUUAAACUUUUAAUAUUAUGCUUUUAAAUCUAUAAUAUUUUAUAACUUUACAAUAUGUUUGGGUAAAUAAUUAUAAAAUAUGUUUGAAUCUAUAUGUUUACUGCAAUAUGGUUAUUAAGAGGUUGAGUACUGCUUUAUCUCGUAGAAGAAGGAUUUGUACUAGAUGAUCAUAGGUUGGGUCAAUGUAAAAAUUUUAAAUUUGUUUUUCAGGUCCGGACUCGGCUUAACUAAACAAAUGGGCCUAAAAUUUUAUUUAAGUUCAACCCAGAUAAAAAAUACUAAAUCUGGACCCGUAUUAAAUUUUUUAGAUUUUUUAUAUAAAAAUAAAUUUAAAAAAUAUAAUACAUCAAAUACUCUAAACACAUUAAAAUAAAUAUUUCUCAACAAAUUGAAAAUAUAUUUUAAAAAAAUUCUUUAUAUUUAAAUAACACUAACAUAGUUAUAACUUAGCAAACAAAUGUUUCUAAAAUAAUUGAAAAAUUAAAAAUAAAAUAAGAGUUAUACAAUAUCUAAAUAAUAGUAGUAAAAUAGUAAUAAUAUAAUAGUGAAACAGUAGCAAAAUAACAACAUAACAGCAAAAAAAUAACAACAUAAAAUCAGUAAACAGCAGCAAAAAAAUAAUUAAAUUCGAGUAAGGUCCAAACUAAAAAAAAUCUUGUCUGAGGCUCAGCCCAUUUAAAACGCGAAUCUUAUUUUUUUCGAAGUUUAUUUUUUGGGUUUAUGUUAUUACCUAAACUCUUUGUGUUUUGAAUGGACUUUGUAAUUCGACUCAUGAUCAAGUCUACUUUAUAAUAAACGCUAUAUAUGAUUGGAAAGAUGGUUUGAUAGGGUACUAAAAUUAAAUGAAAAAUCAUUUAAAAACAAAUUAAAUAUUCAAACAUUAAAUAUAUAUUUUAUAUAUAAUUGGUUUGAACUAAAUUAACAAAUACUUUGAUAAUUUUCAGAAAAUUCCUGUAACGAGAGAAUUAGUCACUGUUGCUAGCGGUUAAUAUCUUUGAUUUCAAUUAAAAAAAUUAUCAAAAUACUUUUUUGAAUAUGAUUUAGUGCAAGUUGCACAAGUAGUUUAAAAUUUGAAGACAUUAUUACUAUUUAAGAUGUAAAUAUAUUUUUUAAAUUGAAACAUUUAAUAUACUUUAUUAUUUUCUAUUUUUUUUUUAAAAAUGAACUAAAUUAAAAAAUGUGCAACAAACUAAAUAGUUAGAAGUUUUAAAUUUAAAUCAAAUUUGAAAUAUAUGAUCUACAUGAAUAUACCAUAAAAUAUAAUGAUUGUAUCAUUAAAAUAUUAAUCAUAUAAAUAGUUACGGAAGUGUGUAAAAUUACUUUAAUUUUUACAUUGUGUAAGUAGAUCAUUCCCCUUAAUAUUAAUAAAUUUUCAUUUUGUUAUAACAUAAUAUUUAAAAUAUGAAUUAAGAUUAAAAAAUAAAUUAUAAAUAUGAAUAUAAAUAGGGUGAGGAAUUAAUACCUUUUUUUAUUCCACAAAUAACUUUAAAAAUUGACAUGUCUCUCUUUCCUUUAAAUAUUUUAUUAUACCAUUAUAAAACACUUGUCAAUCUCUUGGUACUGUUAGUGGAGUCUAAAAACUCCAUUGGCAGUGAACUAAAUGAUUUCUCAUAACUUAUUAUUGAAGUUAUUAAAUUCCACAAGUAAAGUCAAGAGGUUGAUAAAUACCUUUUAAAAGUAUAAUAAAAUAUUUUAAAAAUUAAAUAUUUUAAUAUUGCUUGUAGAAUAAAUAAAUAAAACAGUAUAAUUUUGAAUUAGUUGAAAAUAAUUUAAAUAAUAAUUAGAAAACUAUUUUUUAAAAGAUGUGUUGUAAAAUUUAUUCAAAGUGUAAAACACAAAUUAUUCCUUCAAUGCUUUGCAAAAAAAAAAAAAAAUUUCCUUCAAAAAAAGAUAAUUAUUAAAAAAUAUAGUUAGAUAUAUGUCUAUAUUAAUAAAAGAUUAUCUAUUAACAAAAUUACUUUACUUUAAUUGUCAUAAAGUAAAACAUUAAUCUCAUAUUUAUAUUUUUAAGAUUAUGCAAAUGAGUUCUUUUUAAAAAAAUAUAUAAGAUAAUUCAAGUUUUGGUCUUUGUUGUCGCUGUGGUUACUCAGUUUGCUCUCUCAAUGGAGUUUGUUAUUGCCAUCGUUGGCUCUAUUGUCGCUAAAGCUGUAGAGUAUACGAUCUCUCCUAUCAAAAACCAUGUCAAAUACCUUUCCAAUCAUCAGCAAUAUGUUGAGACCCUCAAGGACCGAGCUGAGAGGCUGAAAGAUGCAAGGGUCAGAGUGCAGCAUUCUGUUGAUGCAGCUAAACGAAACGGUGAGGAGAUCGAAGGUGAAGUUGACAAAUGGCUGUCUGCAGUCGACAACAAGAUCCUUGAACAAGUAGAGAAAGUGAUGCAAGAUGAAGAAAAAGCAAAGAAAAAGUGUUCCAUUGGUUUGUGUCCUAAUUUCAGGACUCGUUACAAGCUUAGCCUGAGAGCUGAAGAGGAGGCAAAGGCUGUUGCCGAGUUACUUGAACAUGGUAAGUUUGAAAGGGUUUCCUAUCGUGCAGCUCCGCAAGGUAUCGUGGUUGCACCAGUUAAAGGUUAUGAGGAAUUCGAGUCAAGAACGUCGAUUUUGAACGGAAUAAUGGAGGCACUAAAAGAUGAUAGCGUCAGCGUUGUUGGGGUGCAUGGUACGGGUGGGAUUGGAAAAACAACGCUGGUCAAAGAAAUCGCUAGAUAGUUCAAGGACAAGUUGUUUGAUUCGGUUGUCAUAGCAACCGUAACUCAAGUCAUCGAUGUUGAGAAGAUUCAGAACCAAAUUGCAGACUUCUUGGGCUUGAAAUUUGAGGAACAGAGUAUGGUUGGAAAGGCAAUUCGACUACGAGAAAGAUUGAAGAAAGAGAAGAGUAUUCUGGUUGUCUUGGAUGACAUUUGGGAAAAGGUUGAUAUUGAGGAAGUAGGGAUUCCUUUGGGAGAUGAACACAAGCGCUGCAAAUUACUAUUAACUUCUAGAGAGCUCAAUGUUUUAUCAAAUGAGAUGGAUGCUCAGAAAAUUUUCCCGUUGGGUUUUUAAAGGAAAAGGAAGCCUGGGACCUGUUCAAGAAGAUGGCUGGCAACUGUGAUGAACGUUGCGAUUUGAAGCCUAUAGCUAUGAAGGUGCAGGACUGCCGAUAGCCAUUGCGACAGUUGCAGGGGCUUUGAGAAACAAAAGAUUGUUUGAAUGGAAGAAUGCUUUACGAGAACUGGGGAGGCCUUCGUCAAGCAACUUCACGGGGAUAACUGCGGCAUAUUCAGCUAUAGAGUGGAGUUUUAAUUAUUUAGAAAGCAAGGAAGUUAAGCUGACUUUCUUGCUUUGCAGUGUAAUAGGCCAUAAUGGUCUCGUUGAGGACUUGGUAAGAUAUACUCUAGGUUUGGGUUUAUUUGAUGGUGUCCACACUAUGGAAGAAGCUAGAAAUAAAGUAUUGACGGUUGUGGCUAAUCUCAAAGCGUCUGCCUUGUUGCUUGAUGGUUAUAAUGAUAAGCGCUUUGAUAUCCAUGAUGUUGUUUGGGAUGCUGCUAUUGCUAUUGCAUUGAAGGACUACCGUAUGCUUGUUUUGAGAGAUCAUGCUCCAAAGGAGUGGUCCGAUAAGGAGAAAAUGAAGACGUGGAAUGUGAUCAGCUUACGUUGUCCUCAUAUUAUAGCUAACCUUCCUAAGGAGAUGGAGUGUUCAGGACUUUCCUUUUUCCAUAUGGCCUAUGAUGGCGCGGUUAAAAUUCCUCUCAAUUUCUUCAAACAAACCGAAGGCCUCAAAGCCUUAGAUUUGGUCGGAAUGCAGUUUCAAUCCCUCCGUAAAUCAAUUAUUCACCUUGCAGACCUUCGCAUGUUGUGUCUGAAAAAAUGUGCAGUUGAUGACAUAACCAUCCUUGGAGAGCUCAAGAGUUUACAAGUACUCAACCUUUCUCAGUCAGGUAUCAAAGAACUACCUAAGGAGAUGGCACAAUUGACUCAAUUAAGGUUGUUAGAUUUGAGUUGGUGUAGAGAACUCAAAAUCAUCCCACCGAAUGUCUUAUCAGGUUUGUCUAAAUUAGAAGAAUUAUAUAUGGAUGAAAGCUUUGUUGAAUGGGAAAAGGGAGGAGUAGUUGAAAAUGAGAGGAAAAAUGCAAGCCUUGAUGAAUUAGAACAAUUUGCCUUGUCUAACUACUUUAUAUGUUCAUAUUCUUGAUCUCCAAAUGAUACCAAAACACUGGUUUGUUGAAACAUUGGACAGAUUCAGGAUUUUCGUGGGUAAUUAUGGAAUAUUUGAUUGUUGCCUUAAUUAUGAAUCUCCGAAAGCAUUGAAGCUCAAGUUAUAUACAAACAUUGAUUUGGACAAUGGGAUGAAAAAGUUGUUGAUAAAGACAGAAGAUUUGUGCCUAGAGGGACUUAAAGGCGUCAAGAAUGUACUUGUGAAGUUAAAUAAUAGGAAAGAUCUUCUAAAUUUAAAGAGACUUCAUGUCAAAAAUGGUAGGCAUGUCCAAUAUAUUAAAACGAACAAAAUUGGAUUUUCUGAAUUAUGCUUCAUCACACUUGAAAAUCUACCGCAACUCGUUAGCUUUUGCUCUCCAGACGAAAGGUGUUCCACUAUGCCCUUCCUACUUUUCAAUAAACAGGUAUUUGUUUGGCUUUACUUAUAUUUCCUUAUACAACUUUUAUUUAUAUGCCCAUUAAUACUUCUAAUAAUAGAAAUAAAUAAUAUUGUCUAAUGGUUUUUCCGAGCUCAAAAAUAAAUUUCAAAUCCAAAACAAAUGAAAAUUUAAUUUUUAAUCCAAACCGAUUGAAAGUACAAAGUCAAUUCAAUAAUCUAAAUUUAAACCUAACAUUUUUUUUUAAUUCUGAAAAUGAAAUUUGAGCCCACAAAUCGAGCUAAAAUUAUCUUUAAAAUCGAAAAUCAUAUUUUCAAAUUAUGUUACAUACUAUCUUUCCCUAUCGAAAAAGAAUUGUGUGUAAAUAUGUGCAAUUUAUUUUCCCUCACUUGGAAAGCUUGUAAUUGUGUUCCAUUAACACCAAAAUAAUAUGGCACAACCAGACAUGUCAUUGGGUUACGAAUUUGAGGAGCUUGAUCAUCAAAGGAUGCGGCAAGUUGGAGCAUCUGUUAUCACUUUCUCUCGCUAGAAGUCUGGUGCAGCUCCAAUGCUUUGAGAUAAAGGAUUGCAACUGCUUAAGGGACAUAAUACUUACAGAGGAAAUUGAAGAAGAAAGGAAAGAUGUGAUUUGUUUCCCUCGAUUAAACUCCCUGCAUAUAGUGGGUCUUCCAAACCUCAUCUUCUUCAACUCAGGAAACCACAAUAUUGAGUUCCCAUUGUUGAAAGUGCUAAAGAUUGAGCGUUGCCCCAAUUUUAUAGAAUUCAUUAGUCAGAGUAGUAAUCAGUCUGGCAUGCACGCUCUCUUCAGUGAGAAGGUGAUUUAUUUCAGUAGUCUUACACUCUUGCAUAAAUCUGUUGAUUUGUCCUUGUUAUUUUGUCUGGCAUUAUAUGAGCUAACUUUUGUACUGGCACGAAUUUUAAAUAGGUUGCAUUUCCUAGGUUGGAAAAGAUGACAAUCAAAAAGUUGAGAAAUGUGAAAAUGAUGUUUCAUAAUAACUUUGCACCAGGUUCUUUUCAAAAUCUACGAGUAAUAAGAGUUGAGGGAUGUGGGAGUCUGAAAAAUCUAUUUCCAGUGUCAAUAGCCAAAGAUCUUCCACAACUUGAAGAUUUAUGCAUCACUAAUUGUGGAGUGGAGGAGAUUGUAUCGAAAGGGGAAGGAGUGGAGGAGCAGCCUGUGAGGUUUGAGUUUCCGCAAGUGUCUUCCCUUGAGGUUACAUCCCUAAAAGAGCUCAAAUGUUUCUAUGAAGGGCAACAUACAAUAGUCUGGCCCCUGUUGAAAAAAUUGAAAACAGAUUGUUCUGCUUUGCUAAAGAUAGUGGCUUCGGAACAUCUUAGAUUAAUCCAAGGAAAUGAGCAGCCAGUUUUGUUGGUUGAAGAGGUAUGUAUAUCAUUACAACUAUAUUUCUUUUUAUGAUUUAAGCCACCGUCACAUCCAUCUCUUGUUGAUAUAUAUAUUAUUUGAAACGGUGGUUGCUUAUCCAUUUUAAUUCGGAUUUUUUAUGCACUUCUUUCAGCUUAUUUUUAUCAUUUUUUUAUUUCUAAGGUAUUGUGCUUUCUUAAAACAAAAUAUUCAUCUAUUUUGGAUUGGUUUGAUUUAAUAUUGAUUUUGUUGAGAUUUAAUCAUCGAUAUCAAACACCAAAAUUGUAGAUCUUAUGUUCUUUUUAAGCAUAUAGAUCAACAUUGUGCCUAACUUGUUUAUGUUUAAAUGGUUUCAAGGUCAUUCCCAAUUUAGAGGAACUUGAGUUAUUAAAUUGGGUAAACUACACCCAUGAUCACUUUUGUUUACCUUAGGUUACGUUUUAGUCACUUUUGUUUGAAAUGUUACGUUUUAGUCAUUUACGUUAUCAUGUUGUAACAUUUUAGUCACUGAGCCAUUAAUCGUCGUUAAUGGUGUAACGGUAAGCUGACGUGGCACGUUAAAUCAUCAUUUCAAACAAAAUUUUAGGUUAAAUUAUACAAUUGAUCCCCAUAUUUUUUUCGUUUUAAGUAAUUUAAUUUUUUUUCUUUUAUGUUCUUUAAACUUUCCUCUUUUUUUCCAUUCUCUUUUGUUUCUCCCUCUGUUUUCAUACAUUUCUCAUUUCUUUUAACAUAUUAGGAAGUCGAAUUGGCAAUGAAAAAGAAGUAGGAAGUCGACUGUCAUUAUUUGCCUAUAACCAAAACCCAUAAACCCAUACAAUGCUUCUUUCUUUACUACCAAUUCGACUUCCUGGUAUGUUAAAAGAAAUAAAAAAGGUAGAAAAACAGAAGAAGAAGAAGAAGAGAAUGGAAAAGAAAAAAGAAAAAAAGAAAGAGAAAGUUAAAAGAACAUAAAAGAAUUAAAUUGCUCAAAAUGAAUAAUUAUGGGGACCAAUUGUAUAAUUUAACUUAAAGUUUUUGUUUGAAAUGAUGAUUUAACGUGCCACGUCAGCUUACCAUUACACCAUUAAUGACAAUUAACGGCUCAGUGACUAAAAUGUUACAACACGAUAACAUAAGUGACUAAAACGUAACAUUUCAAACAUAAAUGACUGAAAUGUAACUUAAGAUAAACAAAAGUGACCAUGGGUGUAGUUUACCCUAUUAAAUUUUGGUGAUAUGGACCAGUUUCCACCAGCCUUGUUUCAAGAUAUUAAAGUUUUUGUUGUGUGUGGUGGCUCUCGAUCUUCUAUAUUUCCUUUCGUCCGAAGAUUUUACAAUUUGGAUAGUUUUUGGCUUUUUGGUUUUGAUUUCAAAUACGUAGUCCCUUGUAAAGGAGACGUUGGGACUCUCACACCAAUUAGAAAUCUGAUGCUGGAUCGUGCAAUGAAUCUUUAUCAUAUAUGGAGGAAAGAUUUGGAGUUUGACCAUAUUCUUUCUAAUCUCCAAAAACUCGAAGUUUGGGAAUGUGAUGAUUUGAUAAAUAUUACAGUCUCCUCCUCAUCUUUGCAAAAUCUCACAACUUUGGAUGUGUCAUUUUGUCAAAUGAUGACAAACUUAGUUACACCCUUAGUGGUUAAGAAUCUUGUGCAAUUAACGAGAAUGAGUGUGGCGGGGUGCAGUAAAAUGACAGAAAUAGUGGGAAAUGGGGGAGACUGCCAUCAGACAAUAGUUGUGAGUAAAUUGAAAUGUUUAGAACUAAGCUAUUUAGAGAGCCUCACAAGCUUUUGUUCAAGGAAUUACACCUUCAACUUCCCUUGUUUGGAAGAAUUAGUUGUGGAACGCUGUCCUAGAUUAAAGACCUUUACUGAAGGAGUUUUAAGCACCCCACAGUUACAAAGAGUAAUACAGUCGCGUUACCCUGAGAAAUGGAGUUGGGCAAGUGACUUAAAUACCACCAUACAACAGCUCUACACGGAAAAGGUACUAAAUUAAUAAGUUCAUAAAACUAGUUAGCUUCUUCCUGUCCUAAUAAAAUUAAUUUUAUUAAUACUUCAUUAAUCAUUGAAGAGUGUUUAUCGUUAUUUUGUUAUUGUUUGCAUUUUCUAUUUGUGAUUGCUAUCUAGUGGAAUAAUAUUAUAAAUUUUUUUUUAGGAUGGAUUCUAUGACGGAUACAAUUUGGACAUCUCUGACACAAUUCCCAAGUCAAUAGAAAUAUGGAUUAGAAACCCUCAAGAAAUUUUGGGCUUCAAAAACCUUGUUUCGUUGCAUUUUUAUAAAUGUAGUAGCUUGAAGUACGUAUUUACUUCGUCUAUGCUUUUGAGCCUCAAUCAACUACAAUGGAUAAAAGUAAAAGAAUGCAGUUCAAUGGAACAAGUGAUUAGGGAGGAAGCAAUGACAGAUAAAUUCACAUUUCUUGCACUCUUCUCCAUAAGAAUUGAGUUGUGUUCCAACUUGACAAAUUUCUAUUUGGGAAGUCAAGCUCUUGAAUUUCCAGAGUUGUAUGAAAUCGCAAUAUUUGAGUGUCCAAAAAUGACUACAUUUUCUUCCUCGGUUUCAAGAGGAGGUGGUGAUGCAAGUGAAAACGUGGUUGGCGAGGGGGGCGUCUAUGAUAACCCUGCAAUUUUUUUCAGCAAUAAGGUAAGUUUAGUAUUCAAUAUUUAUCUGCACAACUUAUUUCACAUUUUCCUUUUAUUUGAUUAAUUUAUAUGAGUGUGUCUGGUCUAUAUAUAUAUAUAUAUAUUAGUGUUAAUGUCACGUGAUACGUGUUGAAAAAAAUUAAUAUAAUAAAAUCCAUAAAAAUAUUAAUAAAUAAGAUAAUGUUUUUUAAUUUGAAGUUUAAAGUAUAAAUAAAUAUAUAAAAUAAGAAUAAAGGAAAAACUUGAAAGUGAAAUACUAAUAAACAAUAAGAAUUUAAGAGAAGUUUUAAAGUUAAUACUAAUGGACAAUAAAUAAUAAAAUAAUAAUAGAAAAUAAAAUAAAAAACUAAUCUUCAUCUAUUUUAAUUUGAAGAAUAUUUGAUGUAUUGGUGGUACACAAGUUUCAUGUAUCAUCGGUGAAUAAAAACAUACAAUUAUCAUUAAAUACCACAAAAAUAUAGUAAAGGGUUAUAAAUAAAUACUAAUAAAUUUAUGUAAACAUAAUUAAAUAAAAAUUAAUUAUAAUUAAAUGUUAAAACCCUAAAUCCUAAACUUGAAAUUCUAAGCCCUUAAACAUAAGAUCUUAAAUCCGAAAGUUAUUAAUAUUUAUUUAUAAUAGCUACGACUAGUGUUAAAUAAAUUUUUCAUCUUUUUUAACUUUUGAACUUGCAUUUUUGUCAAAUCACCUUAAAAUGAAUGAAAAAGUUUAUGUUUGUUAACUUCGCUUAUGUGGCAAUCCAUGUGUAUGCAAAAUUAGCAAUUAAUUAAUUUUAAAAUAUUUUAUAUAUUUUUAAAUAUUUUUAUAAAAUUUUCAAAAUAAAAUAAAAAUUAAUUGUUGACAUGUCAUCUACGGGCAAUCCAAUGUAUAUAACAUCAGCAAAGUUAACAAAUGUCAAUUUUUUUUCUCUGCUUUGAAUGAUUUGACAAAUAACACAAGUUCAAAGGAUAAAAGAAAUAAAAAUUAAAAUAGAGAGCUAAAAUGAAAUUUUUUUAGAAAGUUGGAGGGUUAAAUAAAUUAUCUAUGCCUAACUCUUAAAAAAGGUAACUCAUUAAAUAACUUAAGUAAUUAAUGUAAAUCGUUAAUGGAAACUACAUAAAUAUGUGAGUCCAACUUAAUUAGAAACAAGCAUAUUCCCCUGUCGAAUUGCAUCAAUAAUAAUCAUUCAACAAUCAUUAUAGUAUAUAUGAAAGCUCUAAGUUGUAUAGAAAAAGGCUUCUUUCUUUAAAAAGAAAAAAAAACAAGUUUUGCUUUAGGUUAGAUUUAUGCUGCUGAACAUUUUAUCUAAAUAAAAAAGGUCCACGUCUGCUAGCUAUAUUUAUCAGUUUAUAAAUCUUCAUACUCAUCUACUCUUUUUGAUUGUGUUUGUAAGUAAAGAAGGAAGAGUUAUGGUGUUAUCUUAUAAUGAAAUUUAUGUCAACAGGUUGUCAUUCCUUGUUUGCAGCAUCUGGAAUUGUCCUUCGUUAACAUUCAUGAGAUAUGGCACCACCCAUCCUCCCCAUCCAUCAGAUUCCUAAAUUCCUUGCAAGUGAAGAGGUGUCACAAUUUGAAAUACCUGUUCCCAUCUUUCUUGGUAAAAGAUCUUGUGCAACUCCGACGCCUUGAAAUUUUGGACUGUAAUAUGAUGGAACAAGUAAUAUUCACGGAUGGAUUGGUUGAAGAACAUCAAGGGAGGAAUCAGAUGUUUUUCUCUGAACUAGAAUUGCUGUGGCUAAAAGACCUUCCCAAACUCACAAGUUUCUGCUUUGAGAAUUACUUUGAAUUCCAAUGUUUGACAGAUUUAGAACUAACAAAUUGUCCAUUGCUAAAAACAUUGAUCACUAAAUGUGUAUCCGAAGGUGAACCUGAAAUUGGCCAACAUGUACAAGCGAGUAACUUGGAGGUUCAUAACUCAUCUCUCCUCAAUGAAAAGGUCAUUUCUUUACGGGUUCUCCUUUUAAUUUAUGUUGCUUCGAUUGAUCUUAUUCAUUUGAAGUUCUUUCUUUUCCAUGCAUAUUUCAGUUAUUAACCUAAUGAAAUUGUAAUACCCAAUUUUAGCCCGGGCUCACAUAUGGAAACAUAAUUUUUGAGGAUAUGCAAUCUUAUAUAUGAUAUGCAAUCCUAGACAUUAUAUGCAAUCUUAGAUAUGAUGUAUAAUCUUUGAUAUGACAUGCAAUCUUAGAAGAUAUGAUUUUGUAAUCUUAGAGAUACCCUUUAAUUUCAGCCAUUGAUGUAAUUGAUCUGUACCGUUGGAUUUGGGGAGACUCAACUAUAAAUAGAGGCCUCUCCCUUCAUUGUAAAAGUGGGGGGAAGAGAAAAAAAGGGAAGAGAAAAAAAGAGGAAGAGGAAUAAAAAAGAGAAUGAUUGGCAGUUUUUAAAGGUGGCUUACUAUUUUUUUUCUUUCGAUUAUUUUUUUACUUAUUUACGAUUUUAAAAAGGAGAAGAAGGUGAUACCACUGUGAAUUUUAUUUAUUUAUUUUAUUUAGCCCCUCCGCCUUUUAAUGUUUUUGUAAUUAAGUUUUUUUUCUUAAUUUAUCCUUUUAUUUAUUUUUAUUUCAAUUGGGUCUAAGUUGAACGGCGUCGUUUUAGAGGAGAAGGGAAAAUUUCCCUUCCAGCCCCUCUAUGUAAUUCGCGUGUUCAAAUUAAUCCUUUUACUUUUAUUUAUUUGCGAAUUUACCCCAGUUUUUUUAUUGCAAUUCAAUUUAGUUUUUCUUUUCUUUCUUUUCAUUUAUUUUAUUAAUUAAUAACGUAAUCAUCUUUUUUAUUUUUAUUUUUUUAAAAUCUAUACAUGUAUAUUUUUAUGCACAUUUUUUUAAACUUAUAUUUUUCUCAGAUUUAUAUAUAUAUGUACGUAUAUAUAUUUUUUAAUGUACUCAUUAUUUAACUGUUUUUUAUCUAUAUAUAUUCCUUUUAUAUGUACGUGUAUAUAUUUAUUUUUAACGAAUAUUUUUCCUAUAUUUUUUUAAAUGAAUAUUUUCAUCUUUAUAUGUAUAUAUUUAUGAUUUUUUAAAAUGAUUAAAUACUCACUUUUCCUUUUAAAACACACCCUUUUUUAUUAUUUUAUAUAUGUACGUAUAAUUAUAUUUUUCUUUAUUUUCAUAAGUAUAUUAUGUAUUAUAUAUAUGUAUAAAUUCUAUAACCCAAAAUUUUAUUUGUAUAUUAUAUUUAUAUUUUUAAUCUUCAUAACUUUCAUGUGUAUAUUAUAUGUCUUCUAAUCUUUAUUUAUUUUGUUUGCUAUCCCAUCCAUUGUAUAAUUGUCUUUACAUUUAAUAUUUUGCAUGUCAUGGAUUACCUUUUUUUAUUUCGUUUAUUCAUUUGCUUAUAUUAUUUUUAUGUCGAUGAUGUAUUUAUUAUUAUUAUUAUUAUAGCAUUUGUAUGUAUAAAAUCACGUUACAUCAUUUUUUACUCAAAUUUAAAGAUAGAAAAUUUUUUAAAAUUGAGAUAAUGUUCGUAUUUGAGAUUUUCAAGGGAAUUGAGCCCUAACGUAUUGGGUUCUGAUUUUCUUCGUUAAAUCCGACAAUCGAGCAUUUCUCUUCAAUCAAGAAAAUAAUAAAAACUCAUUAUUGGGAAUUCAACACGUUGUGUCCUAACGUAUUGGAUGUGACGCAUUGAUUUCUCGAAAUGAAGAUUUUUUUUUAAAAUCAUGAAGGAAAUAUUCCGAGUUUGAGAUUCUAAAGGAAUUGUGCCCUAACGUAUUGGGUGUGAUUUCUUAAAUCUUGGAUAAGUGGAUGUUCUUUUAAAGUAAAGGAAAUAUUCCGAGUUUGGGAUUCUAAAGGGAUCGUGCCCUAACGUAUUGGGUGUGAUUUCUUAAAUCUUGGAUGAGUGGAUGUUCUUUUAAAGUUUUAUUGUAUAAGUAUUCUGACCUAAUUCAUUUUGGAGGAAAUUAGAAUGUUGUGCCCUAACGUAUUGGGUGUGGCAUUUUUGCUUCUCUGAAUUGAAAAGGGUCUUAAUAUGUAACGUUUUAAGUUUUUAAAGAUUAUAUUUUUAAAAUUUUCGACCUUAAGGCAUUAAUUAAUUAACUAGGUACCAAUUUUUGGGCGUAAUGAGGGUGCUAAUCCUUCCUCAUGCGUAACCGACUCCCGGACCCGUUCUUCUAAAAUUCGUAGACCAAAGUCGUUUUUAGGUGACCCAAUCACACCUUAAUAAAAGAUUGGUGGCGACUCCCAAUUUCAUUUUUUUUUAAGUCGACAACCUAAAAUUUUUGUUUUUCAAAAAUGGUUUCGACAGAAAUGAUUUAGCAGGUUGUUUUCCCUAGUUUGGAGAAGUUGCGGAUUCAGAAUUGUGAUUCGUUAGAACAAAUUAUUGAGCUGCAAGGAGUCAUUGCUGAUGAGUCACAGUCAACAUCAGCUACUCAGUCUAUUAUGGCUGAAACAGAGACGACCAAGUUUGUAUUUCCCAAACUAAUAAACCUCGGAUUGGAUAAGGUGCCGAGAUUGAAAAGUUUCUACUCUAGGAUGCAUACCACCCAGUGGCCUUCAUUGAAACAAAUGGACAUUAUUGAAUGUCCCAAAGUACAGAUAUUAACUCCACAAUGUCCUGAGUGUCAGGUUGGAAUCUCAAACCAACAACCCUUGUUUUGCGUCAACGAGGUGAGCUCACUAAUAGUUUCAUACUCCAUGUUCAUUACUUGAGAUUACCUAUAAAAUGCCUUUUGAAAUAACUAAUAUUCUCACCUUCCUUUUAAAUUUAUGAGAAAUAAAAUGGAAAUGAUAUCCAUUCUGUAGUCUAGUUCUUACCAAUUCAAAACUCUUUGAUCAAUGUUUAAUAUAUUCGUUGCCAUCCAGGACACUUUCCCUAUAUUAGAAGAACUGACACUAAAGACGAAUGAUAUGGUGAAGGGGAUAUGUGAUGGACAGCUCUCAUUGCAGUGUUUCCAAAACCUUAAACUUCUUAACCUCCAAUUGUUUCCUGAGGCAUCCACUACUCUUCCAUAUUCAUUCAUUCGGUCACUACCAAUGCUUCAUAAGCUUGUUAUAGACAAUGCUUCCAUUUGUCAAAUAGUACAAUCUGAAGGACUCAGCUACGACGAAAGGAAUACAUCAGUGUUCUAUCAGCUAAAGGAAUUAAGUUUGUGUCAACUUCCAGAGUUGACGUUAAAGACUUUUGAACCAUCUUUGCUGUCUUUCAAAAAUCUAACAACACUGGAAGUUUCAAGCUGCCAUGGGUUCAUCAAUUUAAUCGCAUGCUCAACAGCUAAGUGCCUGACGCUACUGGAAAGAUUGAGCAUAGAUGAUUGUGGGAUGAUUGAGGAAAUCAUAGCGUGUGAGGCUGAAGAAAUGCAAGGCGGCAUUGUAUUUCCCAAACUGCAGUAUUUGCAACUAAGCUGUCUGCCAUGUCUAGCAAGCUUUUCCUUGGCCCAUCACUUGUUGGAAUUCCCAGUCUUGCUAAUGGUGAAGGUGACAAAGUGCUCCAAAAUGAGGAAUUUCUGCCAAGGAGAUUUAAGCACACCAAGGCUGGAACAAAUGCACUUAACAAGAGAUGAGGAAGGUGAACUGCAGUGGGAAGGCGACCUUAACACUACCAUAAAACAUAUGUUCGAUGAAAUGGUACAAAUCAUUUAAAGGAUUUAAAUUCAUGUGUUUUUACAUACAUACAUAGUUAACUGAAUAAUUCUUGGUUUGUUAUGAUCAUGCACAGAAUGUGCAAAAUUUGGAGGUGACGGAGGUUACUGAUCAGUUGCCCAAGCUGGAAUAAGGAAAUAUGUUUGGGUGCUUAUGCGAAAAGCUCAGUUUCGUUUCAAAUAAAAACAAAUGGUAAUUGACUUCUAUUUCAUUAUGGCUUAACUAAUGCUUUAUAAAGUGACCAUAGAGACGCCCUUUCUAUUGUAGGUUGAGUUGCUCUACUGAAGCACAUGGCUGCAUCUGUUGGUAGAACGUGAAAGGUUAUUUCAGUUUUUGUAAAACUACAAUUUGAACUGUUCCAUUUCACAACAUAACCUCAAUAUUGAAUUUCAAGUGCAUCAUGCAUGACAUUGGGAACUACAAACAUGCAAACUUUUACUAGUAAGGUUGACCCCUGUUUUAAUAUUCGAAUUCUUCUUAAAGGUGGAUGGAUUUGCCAACUUUUGAUGGUUACCAUAUCAAUAUCAGCUUGGGGUUUAGACGAUGUGAUUAAGAUUGCUAUACAUACUGUGUUUGUGCUUGUGUCAUCUUUCUUGUUCUCUCUAUAAAGAUUAUUACGUACUUAUUUCUAUGCAAUCUCACAAUUUUCUGAUGAAAAAAGUUAAAGCUAAUAACUCCAUUCCCAAGUUUCCCAUAUUCAUCCUCACAAAAACAUAAAUGAUAAAAACCCCAUUUCUCUUUUAGUCAAUAGGAGAAACAAUCUAAAGUUAGAAUAAAACAAACCAAUGCCAUGUUUAUAUUGAAUUAAAUCGCAUGCAUACAUGUAUCAAUUGUUCUGUAGUGAACAGCAGUCACGUUAUAUUCAACUAUGGCAUCUCCAUCUUAUUAAACCAAGCUACAAUGUGAUUAUUCAAGUGCUAUCCAUGUGAUUAUUCUUAUAUUUAAAUAUAAUAAGUUCAUUUAAUAAUUUUUAUAAUAAAUAUAAUAAUUCAAUCAAUAUCAAUUAAGCGAAUUUUUAAUCAAUCAAUUGAAUUUAAUCUGAUUAUAAAAAGUCAAUAAUCCAAACUUAUUCAAUUCGGAUUCAAAUGAACUUGAAAGGGAUUUAUUGGAAAAUUCAAUCUUCAAACUCAAGUGAUUUGAAUUUUGUUAGGGAUUGACCCGGUUAAGCAACGAACAAGUAAAAAUAAGGAAAGAAAUUAAGAAAUUGAACACACAAAUUUAACAUGUUAAAACCCCUCCAAAGAGGAUAAAAAAUCACGAGUAAAGAUAAUUUUACUAUGAUGGCAAAAGAAUGAAGAGUAUAGAAGAUGAAGAUAAAAACUAAAUCCCAAAAACCAAAUUCAUAGGUCAAAUAAUAAUAAAAUAAUCUAGAUUAAUCAGAGUUUGAUUAAAAUAAAUAAAUACAAUCUAACUAUUGAUAACAAGUGCUAUCCAUGUGAUUAUUCUUAUAUUUAAAUAUAAUAAGUUCAUUUAAUAAUUUUUAUAAUAAAUAUAAUAAUUCAAUCAAUAUCAAUUAAGCGAAUUUUUAAUCAAUCAAUUGAAUUUAAUCUAAUUAUAAAAAGUCAACAAUCCAAACUUAUUCAAUUCGGAUUCAAAUGAACUUAAAAGGAAUUUAUUGGAAAAUUCAAUCUUCAAACUCAAGUGAUUUGAACUUUGUUAGGGAUUGACCCGGUUAAGCAAUGAACAAUUAAAAAUAGCAAAAGAAAUUAAGAAAUUGAACACACAAAUUUAACAUGUUAAAACUUCUCCAAAGAGGAUAAAAAAUUACAGGUAAAAAUAAUUUUACUAUGAUGGCAAAAGAAUGAAGAGUACAAAAGAUCAAUAUAAAAACUAAAUCCCAAAAAUCAUAUUGAUAGGUCAAAUAAUAAUAAAAUAAUCUAGAUUAAUAAGAAUUUGAUUAAAACAAAUAAACACAGUUUAACUAGAAUAUUAUUUCUCAAAUUUGACUGAAAUAGGAGUUAUACUCAACAAACUCAAACAUAAAAUUAUUACUUGGAUGUGAAUGAUUUGAAUUGAAAUGGUGUGAGGCCCCAUUAUGCUGUCAGCGAAAUCUAAAGAUUGGGGCCCCAAACCAUUCAAAUUCCAGGACUGUUGGAUGCAAGCUAAAGAGUUAGAUCGACUUAUUCAUGAUCGAUGGAAGGAAAUGGAGGUUCACGGCCAGGCAAAUCAGGCCUUGAGAAUGAAACUAAGUCCUUUAAAGUGUUCUCUGAAAAUGGAACAAAAAUUUCUUUUGGUAGUUUGGAUCAUAGAAUCCACUUGAUAGAAAAUGAAGUGGAGGAUGUUGAUAAAAGGGGCGAUAUUUCGGUCAUGACCGAGGAGGAUGUCAACCGUGGAAAAGAGACUACGGGUGAAUUAUGGAAACUUAAUCGUUCUCGAGAAAUCUUAUGGAGACAAAAAUCUAGAGUAAAGUGGAUUGGGGAAGGCGACCGUAAUGCAAGUUUCUUCCAGUGCAAAGCCAAAUUUAGAGCUAGGAGUAAUUGCAUUGAAGGUCUGUUUGCGAGCGGAUUUCUUGUCCGAACUUAGUCAAAAAUGCAAUUUGGGAAUACUUCCGAAAACAGUUCUGUGGCGUUCAUUGGGACAAACCUACUUUAAGGGGUUCGGAUUUUACGAUAUCUUUGCUUCUUCCCAAUGGUCUCAAAGCAUGUUUUGGUGUUUGAGUCUGAUUCAAUGGUUGCGUUGACAGGCCUGCCUCCUAUGUGGCUUGGCUGUUGUUUAUUGCACCUUUGUACUUCAAAAUAAUUUCAACUCUUUCAAUCCGAAUUAAAUUGAUUCGAACUUUAAAUAAUGAGUGAUAAACUUAAAAUUAUCUUAUUAGAAAAUUUAAACUUCAAAAUAAAUUGAGUGACUUAAACUUAAAUUUAACUUUAAUAUGAAACUGAUUUGAAUCCAAAUGAUUUUAAAAUUUCUAAUUUCGAAUUAAUCUAUCUAGAUCAAAAACCAACUCUAGUUAUAGCUUGACCCAUCACAAAAAUAUAAAAGAUAAUUUGAGAACAUAUGAGGCAACUUGUAGGUAUGGUGUAUAUGUAAUUGGAUAAUUACCCUCUCCCUAAAAAAUUAUGUCGCAGCGUACUCAAUUAUAUAUCUAGGGGUUUUUUUUCCCUUUUUGAUGUGGGAUUAAUGACUUUAAUCAUGUGUCCUUAAAUGACUCAGAGUUCGGAAUCACGAGUGAUAAAAGGCUCUGGUGUUUAACAAUCAACUAGACUCAACCAGAGCUCGGUAAUCAGCUGGACGAACAGAGUAAGCGAUAUCAAACAUUAAGCGCAUAAUUUCAGAUUCUUUGGACUCCAGCCGAGCUAAAGCUAACAUAAGCGAAAGCUAUCAUAUCAAACGGCUCGAUGCAUUUGCCGAAGUAUAAUUUGGAAAAUGUUUUGGACUGUUUUGAGGAGCUUGGGUGAUGUUGGCCAUUCAUAACAAAUAUAAAUUUCCCAUGGUUUAAGUGCAUUUGUCCUUUUGUUUCUAUAGCAUGCGAUCUAGGGAGAGGUCGUGUUGAUACAUUGAAUCAAUGGAUGUGAAGAUGGAAGGGAAUGAAUUCUAAGAAAACACACCAAAGUUAUUGAUUUGAUGAAAAAAUAAAAAAAAUGUUGUAUAAUUAUAUUAAAAAUAACCCGACUCGAAAUCUGACCUAGGAUCCGACCCUAUAUAAUAGAAUUCUACAAACAUCCCAUAAAAAAAGAAGAAUCUUCUUCUUUAUGGCUAGACAAGAAUUCUCUCUUCUCCAUCUCCACAUCCGUUGAUCUAAUGAAUCAACAAUCAGCAGUAUUUUAGACUGUAUAUUUGAUUUAUAAUGUAUUAAUUAGUUCAAAUGAUUAAUAUAAUUUGAAAGCAUAUUUUUAAAUCUAAAAAGUAGAAUGGCUAAAUUCUUGAAAAUAAAAAUAGAGUAACUAAGUUUUAAAGGUACGAAAUAAGACCUUCAAGUAUAUUUUAACCUUCAAUUUUUUACUUUAUAAUUUGAUACAAAUAAAUAACCAAUCCAAUGUGAAACAUAAAUGGAUUAUACUAAUUAUUGUAAUAAUUAAAUUUUUUUUAAUGUCGUUUGUGAAAUUAAAUAACAACGUUAAAAGGCUAAUCCUUUUCACAACAUGCCUAUAUCCUCAUUUAAUAAAUGAUUUUAAUUUUGGGUAAACUACAAAAAUAGUCACAUUUGUUUGUCUCAGAUUACAUUUUAGUCACUUAUGUUUGAAAUGUUACGUUUUAGUCACUUACGUUAUCGUUUUGUUACAAAGUGAUCACUCUAUUGUUAAGCUCCGUUACCUCCCUAACGGCGGUCCUACGUGGCAGUCCAAAUGAGUUUUAAUUGUCAACUUGGAUGUCCUAUGUGACAGUCCAAAUUGAAUUUUAUUUAAGUAAAAACCUAUUUUCAUCCCAACAACUAGACAUCCAAGUUGGCAUUUAAAACCCAUUUGGACUGCCACGUAGGACUUCUAUUAGGGAGGUAACGGAUUUUAACAGUAGUGUGACCGCUUCGUAACAAAACGAUAACAUAAGUGACUAAAAUGUAACAUUUUAAACAUAAGUGACUAAAAUGUAAUUUGAGGUAAACAAAAGUGACUAUUUUUGUGGUUUACCCUUUAAUUUUUAUAUAAUUCUUCAUUCAACUUAAUGUAGUUCAAAGUUGAUUAUAGAGGUGAAACUAGGAAUUUUUUUUUUGGAUCAGGGUUAAAUUGUACGAUAGUAAAAAUAUAAUUUUAUCAUUUUAAUAGUCUAUAUUUUUAUAAUUUUUAAAGGAUUAACCAAAAUUUUAUUAUUUGGGGGUUAAAAUAUAAUUUACUAUUAUUAGUUUAAAAAAUUUUAAAGGAUUAACCAAUGUUUGACAGAUUUAGAACUAACAAAUUGUCCAUUGCUAAAAACAUUCAUCACUAAAUGUGUAUCCGAAGAUGAACCUGAAAUUGGCCAACAUGUACAAGCGAGUAACUUGGAGGUUCAUAACUCAUCUCUCCUCAAUGAAAAGGUCAUUUCUUUAAGGGUUCUCCUUUUAAUUUAUGUUGCUUCGAUUGAUCUUAUUCAUUUGAAGUUCUUUCUUUUCCAUGCAUAUUUCAGUUAUUAACCUAAUGAAAUGAUUUAGCAAGUUGUUUUCCCUAGUUUGGAGAAGUUGUGGAUUCAGAAUUGUGAUUCGUUAGAACAAAUUAUUGAGCUGCAAGGAGUCAUUGCUGAUGAGUCACAGUCAACAUCAGCUGCUCAAUCGAUUAUGGCUGAAACAGAGACGACCAAGUUUGUAUUUCCCAAACUAAUAAACCUUGGAUUGGAUAAGGUGCCGAGAUUGAAAAGUUUCUACUCUAGGAUGCAUACCACCCAGUGGCCUUCAUUGAAACAAAUGGACAUUAUUGAAUGCCCCAAAGUACAGAUAUUUACUCCACAAUGUCUUGAGUGUCAGGUUGGAAUCUCAAACCAACAACCCUUGUUUUGCGUCAACGAGAUGAGCUCACUAACAGUUUCAUACUCCAUGUUCAUUAGUUGAGAUUACUUAUAAAAUGCCUUUUGAAAUAACUAAUAUUCUCACCUUCCUUUUAAAUUUAUGAGAAAGAAAAUGGAAAUUAUAUUCAUUUUGUAGUGUAGUUAUUACUAACUGAAAACUCUUUGAUCAAUGUUUAAUAUAUUCGUCGCCAUCCAGGACACUUUCCCUGUACUAGAAGAACUAAUACUGAAGAUGAAUGAUAUGGUGAAGGGGAUAUGUGAUGGACAACUCUCAUUGCAGUGUUUCCAAAACCUUAAGCAUCUUAACCUCCAGUUCUUUACUGAGACAUCCACUACUCUUCCGUAUUCCUUCAUUCGGUCUCUACGAAUGCUUAAUAAGCUUGUUAUAGACAAUGCUUUCAUUUGUCAAAUAGUACAAUAUGAAGGACUCAGCGACCAGGAGAGGCAUACAUCAGCAUUCUAUCAGCUAAAGGAAUUAAGUUUGUGUCAACUUCCAGAGUUGAUGUUAAAGACUUUUGAACCAUCUUUGUUGUCUUUCAAAAAUCUAACAACACUGGAAGUUUCAAGAUGCCAUGGGUUCAUCAAUUUAAUCGCAUGCUCAACUGUUGGAACAUUGGCAGCAGCAAAAAUUAAGCAAGCUUACACAACAAAAUUUGCAAAACUGAAGCAAGAAGAAUCGAAGCAAAAAGAAACAAAGCAAAGCAAAGCAGUGAACAAAGUUGAAUAUUCAACAGAAUUGUAACUGAACAUCAUUAUUUUUCAUUUAAAAUUUGAAAUAUAAAAGUGUUACAAUUUGGUUUAAUUUGACAGUUACCUAAUAAUCUAACUACCUCCACUAAUGUUUAACUAAUACAAGCUUAAGUCACAUACAAAAUAAAUUGACAUAUCAGCUUUUACAUCAUCAAUCUAAUCACUAGCUUAAUCCUACUUGCUUUGUAAGCUAGUUAGAAGAGAACUAAACUAAAUAACAUUAAAACAAAACAACAAAAACUGGUUGCUUCAUUCGGUCCAAAAACCAAGCUUGCGCACCAAGCAAAAUGAGCUGAGCUCGAUAGCUGCUGCUGGUCUCGACAGUAGCUCGCUGCUGGCUUUAUGUUGCACUGCAGUCCAGCUCUCAACACUCCUCCUUGGACUGUAUGCAACACAUUCCAAUUGCACCUCUCAAUGAUUCAAAUCGAGCAGCCCCUAAGGGCUUGGUCAGUAUAUCAGCCAAUUGUGACCCUGAGCUGCAAUGCACAAGGCUGACUUCCUUUGCUUGUUCAGCCUCUCGAACAAAAUGCAGUUUAAUUUUAAAAUGCUUGGUUUUACCAUGAAACACAGGGUUCUUGGCUAUGGCAACUGCUGAUUUGUUAUCCACCCAAAUUUCAGUUGCAUCAGCUUGUGUUUCAUUUAGAUCCUGAAGCAGCUUCCUAAGCCAAAUGGCCUGAUUGACUGCUGUUGAUGCAGUAAUGUAUUCAUCUUCAGCUGUGGACUGAGCAACUGUUUGUUGCUUCUUUGAACUCCAGCAAAACAUGCCCGAUCCAAGUGUGAAGAAGUAUCUAGAGGUACUCUUCAUGUCAUCGAGGGAUCCUGCCCAGUCACUAUCAGAGUAGCCUUCUAGUUUCAGUUUCUUCCCAUUUUCAAACAUCACACCAAGGCUAGCUGUGCCUUUGAUGUAUCUAAGAACCCUUUUUGCAGCCUUCAAAUGUGUCUCAUUACAGCAAUGCAUGAACCUCGAUAGCAGACUAACACCAAACAUGAUGUCUGGCCUGGUUGCUGUUAGAUACAACAGACAACCUACUAGGCUUCGAUAGUGUCUCUCAUCAACCCUUUGCUGAUCACCACUACUGGUCAACUUUUCUCCAUGAGCCACAGGUGUACUGACUACUUUACAGUUAUGCAUGCAAAAUUUGCCUAGAAUCUUCAAAGCAAAUGUGUGUUGGCUGAUGAAGAUACCUCGAUCAGACUGGUGAACUUCCAUGCCAAGGAAGUAGUCAUGAUCCCCAAAUCUGUCAUCUCAAACACUUGCUGUAUUUGAACCUUGAACUCAUUAAUGAGCUCAACUUGGCUCCCUGUCACUAACAAGUCAUCUACAUACAAGGAGACAAUCAGCAAGGUUUCAAAUUCUGACCUCUUAACAUAUAGAGUAGGUUCACUAAGGCUCUUUACAAAUCCAAUCUUGGUCAGGUAAGCAUCAACUCUGUCAUACCAGGCCCUUGGUGCCUGUUUCAGGCCAUAGAGGGCCUUUCUCAACUUGUACACUUUAUCUUCAUGUUCAGCAACUUCAAAACCUUCAGGUUGCUCGAUGAAGAUCUCCUCCUUAAGAAAGCCAUUUAGAAAUGCUGACUUUACAUCCAAUUGAUGAACCCUCCACUGCUUCUAAGCUGCUAAAGCAAGCAGUAGCUUGAUUGUGUCCAGUCUUGCCACUGGAGCAAAAGUCUCCAAGAAGUCCACACCAUACUGCUGACUGUAACCUUUCACUACAAGCCUGGCCUUGUGCUUGUUCAGUGAGCCAUCAGUAUUGUACUUGGUCCGAUACACCCAUUUAACCCUAAUAACCUUCUUAUGUUCUGGUCUGCUCACCAAUUCCCAUGUUUCAUUCUUAUUGAUCAUUUCCAGCUCAGCUUCCAUAGCUUUCAUCCAACUUCUGUCCUUGGCAGCCUCUUCAAAGUCUGAGGGCUCAAUCACAGCAACAUUACACCUCUGAUAGACAUCAGCCAAAGUCCUGGUGCCCCUCACUGGUGCAUUAUCAAUAGCAUCAUCACUUGGUCCUUCUUCUGCAGGUUCAGCAACCAAGUCUAACUGGUCCAUUUCAGACCAACACCAUUCCAAUUCCACACCUUUUCCUCAUCAAACUUUACAUCACUGCUGACUAAGACCUUCUUUGCUGUAGGAUCAUACACUCUAUAACCUUUCUUGUUGCUGCUAUAGCCAACAAAGAUUCCUGGAGUGGCCCUGCUCUCGAGCUUGCUUCUCUUUUCCACUGGUAUAAGUGCAAAACAUACACAACCAAACACUUUCAAGUGUGUUACCAUAGGUUUGACUCCAUGCCAAGCCUCAAAAAGAGUCUUAUCCUUAACUGCUCGAGUUGGCAGUCUGUUGAGCAGAUACACUGAGGUGUUGACUGCCUCAGCCCAAAACUAGCUUGGAAGCUUGCCUUGAAACAAGAGGCACCUGGCCAUGUUCAGCACAGUCCUAUUCUUUCUCUCACAGACUCCAUUCUGUUGAGGAGUAUAGACUGUUGUAAGCUGAUGGUGAAUCCCAGCACUGUCACAAAGCUUCUGGAAUCUCUCAGACAUAUAUUCAGAGCCAUUAUCAGUCCUCAAGGCUUUAAUUUUACAGCCUGACUGAUUUUCAGCAUAUGCCUUGAAUUUACAGAAGGCCUCAAACACAUCUGACUUCUGCUUCAAGAAGUAGACCCAGCACAACCUUGUCAAAUCAUCUAUAAACAGGACAAAGUACCUGUUCUCAUUGAUUGAAGGUGUUCUCAUAGGACCACAAACAUCAGAGUGCACCAAUUCGAGCUUAUUUUGAGCUCUCCAAGCAUUGUCAGCAGGAAAAGGCAGUCUAGCCUGCUUACCAAGCUGACAAACCUCAAAAACAUUCCCACUAACCUCAAUUUUUGAAAUGUCUUCAACUAAAUUCAGCCUAUGUAGCAGAUCAAGAGAUCUGAAAUUGGCAUGGCCUAGUCUCCUAUGCCACAAGUCAGUGCUGUCAGCAAGGCUGGUGUAUGCCUUUCUUUCUACUUGGCUAACAUCCAGCAUGAAGCAUCUAUCAGUCAUAGAGACUGAGAUUAACUCCAGACCGUUCAUGUCUUGAACAGUACAGCAACCAUCCUUAAAUAACAAUGUAUAGCCCUUUUCAACUAAUUGGCCUACACUAAGCAAAUUCUGGUCUAAAUCAGGUACAAAAAGCACGUCUGAGAUCAGCUUGUUACCUGAACCAGUGCUAACCAGCACACUGCCCUUACCCUUAGCCUCAAUCAGCUUACCAUCUCCAAUUCCAAUCCUCGAGUGAAAGCUUCUGUCUAGGCCCUUGAACAACUUCUCAUCUGCUACCAUAUGGUGUGAGCAGCCACUAUCUAGUAGCCAAUCAUUCCUGGCCUUUGUUGUGCCAAAAAAAUAGGUUACUGUGAACACAUGCUCCACUUGAGCUUGCAUGUCCUCAGCUGGUCUAGGUUGUUGCAGAACAGCCUCCCUUGGUUUGCCCUUGCACACCUUUUCCACAUGGCCAAACUGCUUGCACUUUCUGCAUUGUAUGUCUGGCCUAAACCAACAAUACUUUUCUGAAUGUGUUGUCUUCUUGCAGUGAACACAUGGUGGGAACACCCUUUUUGCUUCAUCUCUUCCUGACUUGACCCUUCUAUUGUGCCAAGGCUUCUUACCUUUUGCAUUCACACUCGAGCCUUCACUGGCUUUAGCCUGUAAAACAGCUUCAGAAUUCUCUUCCUGUCUAUUUGCCCUCCUUUGCUCAAGUGCAUACAGGGAGUUUAUCAGCUCAGACAAAGAAAUGGCUGAUAAGUCCCCCGAGUCCUCAAGUGAAGAGAUUUUUGACUUGAAUUUCUCAGGGAAAGUUGUGAUGACCUUUUCAACAACUCUACUCUCUGUGAAGUCCACUCCCAGGAGCCUUAUGCUGUUGACAAUGGCCAUUAUCCUGUCUGAGUACUACUUGAUGGUCUCAGACUCUUUCAUCCUCAAGUUCUCAAAGUCUCUCCUGAGGUUGAUCACCUACUGUUGCCUUGUUUUGUCAGUCCCCAUGAACUCCUCCUUCCGCUUGUCACAGGCCUGCUUAGGUGAGUCACAGGCCAUGAUGCGAGUGAAUAUCACAUCAGACACUCCAUUCUGCAGACAGGCCAUAGCCUUGUGCUUCUUGGCUCGCUCCUCAACAUGCUGCCUCAUCUGUGCAAUGGUGGGAUUGGCUCUCAAUGGAGGUGGCUCAGCAUCAUUCUCGAUCACACUCCAAAGAUCAUGUGCCUGGAGGUAAGUCUUCAUUUUAACUAUCCAAAUGUGAUAGUUCUCUCCAGUGAACACUGGUGAAGGUGGUUGAGUGAAACUCAUCCUGCUAAACUGAGUUUAAGUGCUUCGAUCCUUUUAGUCUUAGGCUUUGCUGUUGGUUUUGAUUUAAACACAAUAGAAUGCAGAGGCCCCUCAAAGAUUCUGGCUCAUGAUGCCAUUUGUUGGAACAUUGGCAGCAGCAAAAAUUAAGCAAGCUUACACAACAAAAUUUGCAAAACUGAAGCAAGAAGAAUCGAAGCAAAAAGAAACAAAGCAAAGCAAAGCAGUGAACAAAGUUGAAUAUUCAACAGAACUGUAACUGAACAUCAUUAUUUUUCAUUCAAAAUUUGAAAUAUAAAAGUGUUACAAUUUGGUUUAAUUUGACAGUUACCUAAUAAUCUAACUACCUCCACUAAUGCUUAACUAAUACAAGCUUAAGUCACAUACAAAAUAAAUUGACAUAUCAGCUUUUACAUCAUCAAUCUAAUCACUAGCUUAAUCCUACUUGCUUUGUAAGCUAGUUAGAAGAGAACUAAACUAAAUAACAUUAAAACAAAACAACAAAAACUGGUUGCUUCAUUCGGUCCAAAAACCAAGCUUGCGCACCAAGCAAAAUGAGCUGAGCUCGAUAGCUGCUGCUGGUCUCGACAGUAGCUCGCUGCUGGCUUUAUGUUGCACUGCAGUCCAGCUCUCAACAUCAACAGCUAAGUGCCUGAUGCUACUGGAAAGAUUGAGCAUAGAUGAUUGUGGGAUGAUAGAGGAAAUCAUAGCGUGUGAGGCUGAAGAAAUGCAGGGCGGCAUUGUAUUUCCCAAACUGCUCGUAUUUGCAACUAAGCUGUCUGCCACGUCUAGCAAGCUUUUCCUUGGCCCAUCACUCGUUGGAAUUCCUAGUCUUGCUAAUGGUGAAGGUGACAAAGAGUCCCAAAAUGAGGAAUUUCUGCCAAGGAGAUUUAAGCACACCAAGGCUGGAACAAAUGCACUUAACAAGAGAUGAGGAAGGUGAACUACAGUGGGAAGGCGACCUUAACACUACCAUAAAACAUAUGUUCGAUGAAAUGGUACAGAUCAUUUAAAGGAUUUAAAUUCAUGUGUUUUUACAUACAUACAUAGUUAACUGAAUAAUUCUUGGUUUGUUAUGAUCAUGCACAAAAUGUGCAAAAUUUGGAGGUGACGGAGGUUACUGAUCAGUUGCCCAAGCUGGAAUAAGGAAAUAUGUUUGGGUGCUUAUGCGAAAAGCUCAAUUUCGUUUCAAAUCAAAACGAAUGGUAAUUGACUCUUCUAUUUUCAUCAUGGCUUAACUAAAGAUUUAUAAAGUGACCAUAGAGACGCCCUUUUCAUUGUAGGUUGAGUUGCUCUACUGAAGCACAUGGCUGCAUCUGUUGGUAGAACGUGAAAGGUUAUUUCAGUUGUAAAACUACUAUUUGAACUGUUCCAUUUCACGUUAUAACCUCACAAUUGUAUUUCAAGUGCAUCAUGCAUGGCAUUGGGAACUACAAACAUGUAAACUUUUACUAGUAAGCAAAAUAAAUAAAAAAAAAUCAUAAAUUAGAGUAUGAAUGUAAACAUAUUAAAGCAUACUUUUUGGUUUCACAAUUUAAAUGAUUUGAGUUAAUUUGAAGCCAUAAAAUAAGAUAAAUUCAAUUAUAAAUUCUGAUGUUUGAAAAUUUUUCAAUAAUAAUAAGUAAAUGCUUAAUGUAGUAAUUAAGAUUAUAAGGCAACAAGCUUAAUUAAGAGGAGUAUUUGUAAAUAUUAGUAAAAUUUACUGUAAAUAUUGUAUGAAAUAAGCAAAUUUAUUUAUUAAUUAACCAAAUUUAUCUACGGUAAAUAUUGUAUGAAAUAAGCAAAUUUAUUUAUUAAUUAACCAAAUUUAUUUACGGUAAAUACUGUAUGAAAUAAGCAAAUUUAUUUAUUAAUUUAAAAGAAAAUUAAUUUCCUGAUAAAAAAUUUAUAUUUCAAAAAAAAAUUAGAAAGAUUUAAUUUUUAAAUAAUAGUUCAAAACAAAUUUUGAAAAAAUGUGUUGUAAAAAUAUUCAAAGUGUAAAAAGACAAUUUAUUCCUUCAAUGCUUAGGAAAAAAUAUUCCUUAAAAAAAGAUACUUAUUAGAAAAUAUCAUUAGAUAUAUGUUUAAUUGUUUAUAUUAAUAAAAAGUUAUCUAUUAACAAAAUAAAAGUAAAACAUUAAUCACAUAUUUAUAAUUUUAAAAUUUUAACUCUUCAAUGGUAGUUUAGAUUAUGCAAAUGAGUUUUCUUUUUUUUUUUCUUUUUUAAAUAUAAGAUAAUUCAAGUUUUGGUCUUUGUUGUCGCUGUGGUUAUUCAGUUUGCUCUCUCAAUGGAGAUUGUUAUUGCCAUCGUUGGCUCUAUUGUCGUUAAAGCUGUAGAGUAUACGAUCUAUCCUAACAAAAACAAUGUCAAAUACCUUUCCAAUCAUCAGAAAUAUGUUGAGACCCUCAAGAACCGAGCUAAUAGGCUGAAAGAUGCUAGGGACGGAGUGCAGCAUUUUGUUGAUGCAGCUAAACGAAACGGUGAAGAGAUCGAAGGUGAUGUUGACAAAUGGCUGUUGAAGUAAUGGUCAGCAUGCAGCAACCAAGACUGUCAAAGGCACUACAUGCAGAAGCUGCUGGUUCACCUAGUCAGCAAGCUGUUUAUGUUUCAUUUUGUAAUUUUAAGUUAGAGUAAUGUAACUUAGUUGCUUUAUAACUAUGUUAGGUUUAUGUUUGAUGUAAUUUUGAUGUUGACUGAGCUGAUAAAUCAGCUUUGUUUGUUUGUUCAAGCUAAUUAGCACAAGUUACUAUGUGUAUUAGUGGUAGUAGGUGAAGUUUAGGUCAACCUACUGUUUUGUCAAGAUUGUAAACUUGUUUUAUGUAUUGGCUUUGUGCCAUAUUUAGUUUAUGAAAUGAAUUCAACAAGUUAUCAUCCAUAUGCUCUUCAUUUUUAGUUUUGCUUAAAAAUCCAUUUGAGUUUUCUGCUUUGUUUCUCCUACAAGUCACGAGACUUGCUCGACAAGUAUCCUGUUGAAGCUUGCUGCUGCUGCCUCUUGAUCCAACAAUUGGUAUCUAGAGCCACAUUCUUAGAGGACCUGUUGUAGUUUAGUAUCAAAAUGAUGGCAUCAUCAGGUUUUUCACCAGCUUCACCACCUGUCUUCAAUGGAGAGGGCUUCAACAUUUGGGCAGUUAAGAUGAGGACUUACCUGCAGGCAUUCGACCUAUGGGAAGUUGUUAACUCAGAUGCUGAGCCAGCACCUCUUCGAGCUAAUCCAACAGUUGCUCAAAUAAGGCAACACACUGAUGAAAGAACAAAAAGGCACAAGGCCAUGUCAUGCAUACAGAAUUGUGUGACAGAUGUGAUCUUUAUGAGGAUCAUGGCCUGUGAAACACCAAAGGAGGCUUGGGACAAGCUGAAAGAAGAAUUUCAGGGGACUGAGAAAACAAGGCAACAACAGCUGCUCAACUUGAGAAGAGAUUUCGAAAAUCUAAAAAUGAAAGAGGAAGAAACAGUUAAGCAGUACUCAGAUCGGAUUAUGGCUGUUGUAAACAGCAUAAGGCUCCUAGGAGAGCAAUUCAGUGAAGCUAGAAUGGUUGAGAAAGUCAUGUCCACUCUACCAGAGAGGUAUGAAGCUAAAAUUUCAUCCCUCGAAGACUCAAGGGACUUGACAACUAUCUCCUUAACUGAGCUAAUCAAUGCCUUGUAUGCACAAGAGCAAAGAAGAGCCAGCAGACAAGAGGACCACCAGGAAGGUGCUUUUCAAGCCAAAGAAGCCUCGAGCAUCAAAACUCAUAAAGGCAAAAAGUUCUGGAAAAACAGGCCUAAGCCUGAUGCUGCUAGGAGCAGUGACCAACUCUGCAGACAUUGUAAAAGAGCUGGUCAUCCAGAAGAUAGAUGCUGGUUUAGACCAGAUGCAGUAUGCCAACACUGCAAGAAAAAAGGCCAUGUUGAAAAAGUUUGCAAGAAUAGAAGCAAACCAAGACAGAAUCAAUUUCAGCAACAAAAGGUAGAAGCUCGAGUAGCUGAAGAAAGCAGUGAUCAAGAAGAACAUGUUUUUGCUGUGUCAUGUGCAGCAAAUCAGAAGAAGGGUUCAAAGGGCUGGCUUCUAGACAGUGGGUGCACAAACCACAUGUCACCAGAUGCAACUAUCUUCAAAACCCUAGACAGAACCUGCAAAACCAAAGUAAAAAUUGGAAAUGGUCAGUUAAUCAAUGCUGAAGGAAGAGGAGAUGUGAUGAUUCAUACUUCUACAAGUGGCAAAAUCAUUUCAAAUGUACUUUUGGUACCUGAAAUCGAUAGGAACCUUCUCAGUAUAACUCAACUACUUGAGAAAGGUUACUCAGUUAUUUUCAAGGAGAAAGAAUGUCAAAUUUUUUAUCCAAGUGGAUCAAACCUUAUAACAGUCACCAUGACUGAUAAAUGUUUUGAAGUAGACUGGCCAAAUGACUCACAUUCAGCCUGCACAGCCUCCACUGAUGACUCAAGACUCUGGCAUCAGAGGCUUGGACAUGCAAACUACAAAUCCAUAGCCCGCAUGGUCAAUGAAGGUCUGGCAGAAAAUUUCAUCGACUCAGUGAAGAAUGAUGAGCUUUGUGAGAUAUGUCAGCAAGGAAAAUUGACAAGAUUGCCAUUUCCAACAAGCACAACAUGGAGAGCAUCAGAGAAGCUCCAGCUUGUGCAUACAGAUGUGUGUGGACCAAUGAAGACUGAGUCUCUCAAAGGAAGCAGGUACUUUAUUCUAUUUGUUGAAGUAAUGGUCAGCAUGCAGCAACCAAGACUGUCAAAGGCACUACAUGCAGAAGCUGCUGGUUCACCUAGUCAGCACGCUGUUUAUGUUUCAUUUUGUAAUUUUAAGUUAGAGUAAUGUAACUUAGUUGCUUUAUAACUAUGUUAGGUUUAUGUUUGAUGUAAUUUUGAUGUUGACUGAGCUGAUAAAUCAGCUUUGUUUGUUUGUUCAAGCUAAUUAGCACAAGUUACUAUGUGUAUUAGUGGUAGUAGGUGAAGUUUAGGUCAACCUACUGUUUUGUCAAGAUUGUAAACUUGUUUUAUGUAUUGGCUUUGUGCCAUAUUUAGUUUAUGAAAUGAAUUCAACAAGUUAUCAUCCAUAUGCUCUCCAUUUUUAGUUUUGCUUAAAAAUCCAUUUGAGUUUUCUGCUUUGUUUCUCCUACAAGUCACGAGACUUGCUCGACAAGUAUCCUGUUGAAGCUUGCUGCUGCUGCCUCUUGAUCCAACAAUUGGUAUCUAGAGCCACAUUCUUAGAGGACCUGUUGUAGUUUAGUAUCAAAACGAUGGCAUCAUCAGGUUUUUCACCAGCUUCACCACCUGUCUUCAAUGGAGAGGGCUUUAAUAUUUGGGCAGUUAAGAUGAGCACUUACCUGCAGGCAUUCGACCUAUGGGAAGUUGUUAACUCAGAUGCUGAGCCAGCACCUCUUCGAGCUAAUCCAACAGUUGCUCAAAUAAGGCAACACACUGAUGAAAGAACAAAAAGGCACAAGGCCAUGUCAUGCAUACAGAAUUGUGUGACAGAUGUGAUCUUUAUGAGGAUCAUGGCAUGUGAAACACCAAAGGAGGCUUGGGACAAGCUGAAAGAAGAAUUUCAGGGGACUGAGAAAACAAGGCAACAACAGCUGCUCAACUUGAGAAGAGAUUUCGAAAAUCUAAAAAUAAAAGAGGAAGAAACAGUUAAGCAGUACUCAGAUCGGAUUAUGGCUGUUGUAAACAGCAUAAGGCUCCUAGGAGAGCAAUUCAGUGAAGCUAGAAUGGUUGAGAAAGUCAUGUCCACUCUACCAGAGAGGUAUGAAGCUAAAAUUUCAUCCCUCGAAGACUCAAGGGACUUGACAACUAUCUCCUUAACUGAGCUAAUCAAUGCAUUGUAUGCACAAGAGCAAAGAAGAGCCAGCAGACAAGAGGACCACCAGGAAGGUGCUUUUCAAGCCAAAGAAGCCUCGAGCAUCAAAACUCAUAAAGGCAAAAAGUUCUGGAAAAACAGGCCUAAGCCUGAUGCUGCUAGGAGCAGUGACCAACUCUGCAGACAUUGUAAAAGAGCUGGUCAUCCAAAAGAUAGAUGCUGGUUUAGACUAGAUGCAGUAUGCCAACACUGCAAGAAAAAAGACCAUGUUGAAAAAGUUUGCAAGAAUAGAAGCAAACCAAGACAGAAUCAAUUUCAGCAACAAAAGGUAGAAGCUCGAGUAGCUGAAGAAAGCAGUGAUCAAGAAGAACAUGUUUUUGCUGUGUCAUGUGCAGCAAAUCAGAAGAAGGGUUCAAAGGGCUGGAUUCUAGACAGUGGGUGCACAAACCACAUGUCACCAGAUGCAACUAUCUUCAAAACCCUGGACAGAACCUGCAAAACCAAAGUAAAAAUUGGAAAUGGUCAGUUAAUCAAUGCUGAAGGAAGAGGAGAUGUGAUGAUUCAUACUUCUACAGGUGGCAAAAUCAUUUCAAAUGUACUUUUGGUACCUGAAAUCGAUAGGAACCUUCUCAGUAUAACUCAACUACUUGAUAAAGGUUACUCAGUUGUUUUCAAGGAGAAAGAAUGUCAAAUUUUUGAUCCAAGUGGAUCAAACCUUAUAACAGUCACCAUGACUGAUAAAUGUUUUGAAGUAGACUGGCCAAAUGACUCACAUUCAGCCUGCAUAGCCUCCACUGAUGACUCGAGACUCUGGCAUCAGAGGCUUGGACAUGCAAACUACAAAUCCAUAGCCCGCAUGGUCAAUGAAAGUCUGGCAAAAAAUUUCAUCGACUCAGUGAAGAAUGAUGAGCUUUGUGAAAUAUGUCAGCAAGGAAAAUUGGCAAGAUUGCCAUUUCCAACAAGCACAACAUGGAGAGCAUCAGAGAAGCUCCAACUUGUGCAUACAGAUGUGUGUGGACCAAUGAAGACUGAGUCUCUCAAAGGAAGCAGGUACUUUAUUCUAUUUAUUGAUGACUUAACAAGAUACUGCUGGAUUUAUUUUUUAAAACAGAAAUCAGAAGUUCCAUCUGUGUUCCUGAAGUAUAAAGCUGCUGUUGAAACUGAGUCUGGUUGCAAACUUAGAGCAAUGAGGUCAGAUAAUGGAACUGAGUACACCUCAGCUCAGUUCCAAGCCUACUGUGAAGAAGCAGGUAUCAAACACCAGUUGACUAAUGUAUAUACACCCCAACAGAAUGGGGUCAGUGAAAGGAAAAACAGAAGCUUGAUGAACAUGGCAAGAUGUCUUCUGUUUGAGAAGAAUUUGCCCAAAAGUCUGUGGGCUGAAGCUGUUAACACAGCAGUUUAUCUCCAAAAUAGGCUCCCAACCAAGGCUCUGGCUGAGAAGACUCCAUUUGAAGCCUGGUUUGGGUUUAAGCCAUCACUGGCUCAUCUCAGAACCUUUGGUUGUCUGUGCUACACACAAGUUCCAGCUGAGAAGAGAAGCAAGCUAGAUAAAAGAGCUCAAGCAGGGAUCCUGAUCGGCUAUAGCUUGGUUAAGAAGGGCUACAGAAUCCUAGAACCUGCUACAAACAAGAUAUUGGUUAGCAGGGAUGUUGUUUUCAAUGAAAAAGGACACUGGAAUUGGGAGAAGGCUGAACCAGAGGCAGUGGCUGAAGAUCUCGCAGUGGACCAAGUUGAAAAUGUUGAAAACACAUCUGAAAUGGAUGUAGAUGAUGUUCCAAUCAGAGGCACUCGAUCACUGGCUGAUGUUUAUGAAAGAGCACAAGUGGCUACUGUUGAACCAAGUUGCUUUGAAGAAGCAGAAAGCCAGGAGGACUGGAAGCAAGCAAUGAUUGAAGAAAUCAGAAUGAUUGAAAAGAAUCAGACCUGGAGUCUGGUUGAUAAACCAACAAACAGGAAGAUUAUUGGUGUCAAAUGGGUUUAUCGAGUAAAGAACAAUGCUGAUGGUAGCCUAAACAAGUUAAAGGCUAGAUUGGUUGUGAAAGGCUUCAGUCAAAGGUAUGGAUCAGACUACCUGGAAACCUUUGCACCAGUAGCCAGGCUAGACACUAUUAGACUGCUAGUUGCCUUAGCAGCACAAAAACAGUGGCUGAUACACCAACUUGAUGUAAAAUCAGCAUUUCUGAAUGGAUUCCUUGAAGAGGAGAUUUAUGUGGAGCAACCUCAAGGUUUCAAGGUGUCUGGCAAAGAAGAAAUGGUGUACAAGCUCAACAAAGCCUUGUAUGGCUUGAAACAGGCUCCAAGGGCCUGGUAUAGCAGAAUAGAUGGCUAUCUGAACCAGUCAAGGAUUUGAAAGAAGUCUCAGCGAGCCAACUCUGUAUGUUAAAUCAACUAGUGCUGAAACUCAGCUCAUUGUCUCAAUAUAUGUCGAUGACCUACUGGUGACAGGAGGAGAUCAUGAGAUGCUAAGCAACUUUAAAGUCAAAAUGCAACAGCACUUUGAAAUGUCAGACUUGGGAUUGAUGUCUUACUUCUUAAGCAUGGAAGUAACUCAAGCUAAGAAUGGGAUUUGGCUAAGUCAAAAGACCUUUGCUAUGAAGGUUCUCAACAAAUUCUCAAUGGAGAAUUGCAAAGCAACCAGCACACCAGUUGCUGUUGGAGAAAAACUCUCAAGCCAAGACAAGCAUGAAAAGGUUUGUGAAACAACCUAUCGAAGUCUAGUUGGAUGUUUGUUGUAUUUGACUGCUACUAGACCUAAUGUAUGCUGUGAGUCUACUCUCGAGGUUUAUGCAUUGUUCAAAUGAAAGUCAUUUUAGAGCUGCAAAAAGGGUUCUAAGAUACAUCAAAGGAACUUUGUCCUAUGGAAUGCAGUUUACCAAGGCUGAGAACUUGAAGCUAGUUGGAUAUUGUGACAGUGAUUGGGCUGGUUCCUUGGAUGACAUGAAGAGCACUACAGGCUAUGCAUUCAACAUAGGCUCUGCUAUGAUUUGCUGGAGCUCAAAGAAGCAGGGAGUAGUGGCUCAGUCGACUGCAGAAGCAGAAUAUGUGGCUGCUGCUGCAGCAGUCAAUCAAGCCAUAUGGCUUAGAAAAAUUUUGAAAGAUAUCAAUCAUGAGCAAAAGGAAGCAACUGAGAUAAUGUGUGACAACCAAUCAGCAGUUGCUAUUGCAAAGAAUCCUGUUUUUCAUGGAAGGACCAAGCACUUCAACAUCAAACUUCAUGCAAUUCGGGAAAUGGAACAAGCUCAUGUUGUUAAGCUGAUACAUUGCAGUUCUGAAGAGCAAAUUGCUGAUAUUUUAACAAAAGCACUAAGUGUUUCCAAGUUUCAACACCUGAGAGCUAAUAUGGGAGUUUGCAACAUGCUAACCAAGGAGGAGUGUUGAAGUAAUGGUCAGCAUGCAGCAACCAAGACUGUCAAAGGCACUACAUGCAGAAGCUGCUGGUUCACCUAGUCAGCAAGCUGUUUAUGUUUCAUUUUGUAAUUUUAAGUUAGAGUAAUGUAACUUAGUUGCUUUAUAACUAUGUUAGGUUUAUGUUUGAUGUAAUUUUGAUGUUGACUGAGCUGAUAAAUCAGCUUUGUUUGUUUGUUCAAGCUAAUUAGCACAAGUUACUAUGUGUAUUAGUGGUAGUAGGUGAAGUUUAGGUCAACCUACUGUUUUGUCAAGAUUGUAAACUUGUUUUAUGUAUUGGCUUUGUGCCAUAUUUAGUUUAUGAAAUGAAUUCAACAAGUUAUCAUCCAUAUGCUCUCCAUUUUUAGUUUUGCUUAAAAAUCCAUUUGAGUUUUCUGCUUUGUUUCUCCUACAAGUCACGAGACUUGCUCGACAAGUAUCCUGUUGAAGCUUGCUGCUGCUGCCUCUUGAUCCAACAAUGGCUGCCUGCAGUCGACAGAAAGAUCCUUGAACAAGUAGAGAAAGUGAUGCAAGACGAAGAAAAAGCAAAGAAAAAGUGUUUCAUUGGUUUGUGUCCUAAGUUCAGGACUCGUUACAAGCUUAGCCUGAAAGCUGAAGAGGAGUCAAGAAUGUACUUGUGGAGUUGAAUAAUGGGAAAGAUCUUCCAAAUUUGAAGAGACUUCUUGUCAAAAAUGGUAUGCAUGUCUAAUAUAUUAAAAUGAACAAAAUUGGAUUUUCUGAAUUAUGCUUCAUCACACUUGAAAAUCUAUCGCUACUCGUUAGCUUUUGCUCUCCAGACGAAAGGUGUUCCACUAAGCCCUUCCUACUUUUCAAUAAACAAGUAUUUGUUUGGCUUUACUUAUAUUUUCUUAUACAACUUUUAUUUAUAUGCCAAUUAAUACUUCUAAUAAUAGAAAUAAAUAAUAUUGUGUAAUGGUUUUUCCGGAGCUCAAAAAUAAAUUUUAAUUCCAAAACAAAUGAAAAUAUAAUUUUUAAUCCAAACCGAUUGACAGUACAAAGUCAAUUCAAUAAUUUAAAUUUAAACCCAAUAAUUAUUUUUUUAAUUUUGAAAAUGAAAUUUGAGCCCACAAAUUGAACUAAAAUUAUCUUUAAAAUCGAAAAUCAUAUUUUCAAAUAAUGUUGCAUACUAUCUUUCCCUAUCGAAAAAGAAUUGUGUGUAAAUAUGUGCAAUUUAUUUUCCCUCACUUGGAAAGCUUGUAAUUGUGUUCCAUUAACACCAGACAUGUCAUUGGAUUACGAAUUUGAGGAGCUUGAUCAUGAAAGGAUGCGGUAAGUGGGAGCAUCUGUUAUCACCCUCUCUCGCUAGAAGUCUGGUGUAGCUCCAAUGCUUUAAGAUAGAGGAUUGCAAGUGUUUAAGGGACAUAAUACUUACAGAGGAAAUUGAAGAAGAAAGGAAAGAUGUGAUUUGUUAAUUUCCCUCGAUUAAACUCCCUGCGUAUAGUGGGUCUUACAAACCUCAUCUUCUUCAGCUCAGGAAACCACAAUAUCGAGUUCCCAUUGUUGGAAGAGCUAUGGAUUGAGAAUUGCCCCAAUUUCAUAGAAUUCAUUAGUCAGAAUAGUAAUCAGUCCGGCAUGCACGCUCUCUUCAGUGAGAAGAUGAUUUAUUUCAGUAGUAUUACACUCUUGCAUAAAUCUGUUGAUUUGUCCUUGUUUUUUUCUUUUUUCUGCCUUCAUUAUUUGAGGUAACCUUAUUAUGGGCAUGGAUUAUAUAUAUAUAUAUAUAUAUAUGAAUAGGCUGCAGUUCCUAGCUUGGAAGACUUGAGUAAUGUGAAGAUGAUAUUUUAUAAUGAUCUAGCACCAGGUUCCUAUAAAAAUCUACGAAAAAUAAGUGUUGGGGGAUGUGGGAGUUUGAAAAAUCUAUUUCCAGUAUCAAUAGCCAAAGGUCUUCCACAACUUGAACAUUUACGCAUCACUAAAUGUGGAGUUGAGGAGAUUGUAUCGAAAGGGGAUGGAGUGGAGCAGCCUGUGAGGUUUGAGUUUCCGAAAGUGUCUUACCUUGAGGUUACAGGGGUAGUAAAGCUCAAAUGUUUCUAUGAAGGGCAAGAUACAAUAGUCUGGCCGAUGUUGAAAAAAUUGAAAACAGAUAGUUCUGCUUUGCUAAAGAUAGUGGCAUGGGAACAUCUUAGAUUAAUCCAAGGAAAUGAGGAGCCAGUUUUGUUGGGUGAAGAGGUAUGUAUAUCAUUACAACUAUAUUUCUUUUUAUGAUUUAAACCACUGCCACAAGCAUCUCAGGAUGAAAUAUGCCACGAUAAUGCAUUUCUAAUUAUUAUAUUUUCAUUGAUUUGAAUUUUUUUUUCCUAUUUUUGAAUUUUUAAUAUAUAUUUUUACAAUUUUUAAAAACAAGACUGAAUAAAUAUAAUAGGUAAAUAUUGAGUGUUAAUCUUAACUUUUUAGAAUGUAGUUCAAUUUGAUAAAAUGUAUAAAUGUUGAGGGUUAAAUUUAUUAUUAUGCAAAAAAAAAACUAUAACAUCCCGUUAGGGACUUUGAAGCAUAGCAAUUAAGAUAUUCAAUUUCUGUAACAACAUUGAUUAAAUUGAAAUUUUAUUUGUUUUUAAAUGGCCAAUGAAAAUAUUUUAACACUUAAGUGACUAUAUAUGUAAUUUACCCUGCAUUUAAGUAGUGGGUAGAAACUAAAUAGAAUGUUUAAUUUAUAAAAAGUCAAAAUUUUAAAAGUUAGUUACACUAGACAUCUCAAACUAUGACCUCCAUUUUAAAUUAGUCCCAAAAUUUAAAAUAUUCUAAGUACAUUCUUAAACUAUUGAUAUUAUAUCAAUUAGGUCUUUCUAUUAUUAAAUUCGUUAAUUUAACCAUCAAAUUAAAUCAGUGUAAUAUUUUAAAACCUUGGUGUUUUAUCUACACUGUUCUGCUUAUAUUUUUUAUCGUAGAAAUAUAUAUAUAUAUAACACAAUGGUUGUUUAUCUAUUUUAAUUUGCUACUCUUCUUUCGACUUUCAUGUUGUGUAAUUUUUCAGUUUUUAUUCUCAAGGUAUUGUGUUUUCUUAAAACAAAAAAUUCUAUCUAUUCUGAAUCCGUUUGAUUUAAUAUUGAUUUUGUUGGGAUUUAAUCAUCAAAAUCAAACACUAAAAUUAUAAAUCUUUUUUUUUUUGUUUGUUUUUUUAAAGCAUAUACAUCAACAUUGAGCCUAACUUGUAUAUAUUUAAUUGGUUUCCAAGGUCAUUCCCAAAUUAGAGGAACUUGAGUUACGAACUUUUGGUGAUAUGGACCAAUUUCCACCAGACUUGUUUCAACAUGUUAAAGUUAUUGCAGUGAGUGGUGGCUCUCCAUUUUCUUUAUUUCCUUUCGUCCGAAGAUUCUACAAUCUGGAAAGACUUGAGGUUUCUUAUUCUGAUUUCAAACAUGUAGUCCCUUGUAAAGGAGACGCCGGAACUCUCCCACCAAUUAGAAAUCUGAAAUUGGUUUCUGCCAGAAAUCUUGAGCAUAUUUGGAGGAAAGAUUCGGAGCUUUACCAUAUUCUUUCUAAUCUUCAAACACUCACAGUUGAGGAUUGUGAUGAUUGGAUAAAUAUUAGAGUCUCCUCAUCAUCUUUACAAAAUCUCACAAAUUUGAAUGUGUCAUUUUGUUAAGAAUCUUGUGCAAUUAACGACAAUAAAGGUAGAAUACGGCACUAAAAUGACAGAAGUAGUGGGAAACGAGGGAGACUGUCAUCAGACAAUAGUUGUUAGUAAAUUGAAAUGUUUACAACUAUGCAAUUUGAAGAGCCUCACAAGCUUUUCUCCACGGUAUUACAGCUUCGAGUUUCCUUGUUUGGAAGAAUUAGUUGUGGAACAUUGUCCUAAGUUAAAGAUCUUUUCUGAGGGAGUUUUAAGCACCCCACAAUUACAGAGAAUAAAACAGUCGAGUUACCGUGAGAAAUGGAGUUGGACAAGUGACCUUAAUACCACCAUAAAACAGCUAUACACAGAAAAGGUACAAAGUUAAUAAGUUCAUAAUGCUAGCUAGAUUCCUCGUGUCCUAAUACAAUUAAUUUUAUUACUACUUCAAUAACCAUUGAAGAGUGUUAAUCGUUACUUUGUUAUUGUCUGCAUUUUCUAUUUAUGAUUGCUAUCUAGUGGAAUAAUAUCAGAUUAAUUUUUAGGAUGGACUCUAUAACCCAUAUGAUUUCAACAUCUCUGACACAUUUCCGGAGUCGAUAGAAAUAUGGACUAGAAACCCUCAAGAAAUUUUGGGCUUCAAAAACCUUAGCAGCCUGCAGUUUUAUAAAUGUAGCAGCUUGAAGUACAUAUUUACUCCGUCUAUACUUUUGAGCCUCAAUCUACUGCAAAGGAUAGAAGUGCAAGAAUGCAGUUCAAUGGAACAAGUAGUUAGGGAGGAGGAGGAAGCAAUGACACAUAAAUUUACAUUUCUUUCGCUACUCUCCGUAACAAUUGAGUCGUGUUCCAGCUUGACAAAUUUCCAUUUGGGAAGUCAAGCUCUUGAAUUUCCACAGCUGAGGAAUAUCAGGAUAGCUGAGUGUCCAAAAAUGACUGCAUUUUCUUCCUCAGUUUCAAGAGAGAGUGGUGAUGCAAGUGAAAACGUGGUUGGCAAAGGGGGCAUCUAUGAUAACACUGCAACUUUUUUCAGCAAUAAGGUAAGUUUGGUAUUCAAUAUUUAUCUGCACAACUUAUUUCACAUUUUCUUUUGAUUUGAUCAACAUGAGUGUGUCUGGUCUAUAUAUACAUACUAGUGCUACACCUUGUCAAAACUGAAUAUAAUAAAAUCCAUAUAUAUAAAUAAAUAAGAUAAUAUUUAAAAAAAAACUGGAGUUUAAAGUGGAAAUUAAAUAAAUAUAUAAAAUAAGAAUUGAAAGGAAAACUUAAAGUGAAAUACUAAAAAACAAAAAGAAUUUAAGAGAAGUUUAAAAUUAAAUAGUAAUAGACAAUAAAUAAUAAAAUAAUAAUAGAAAAAAGAAAACUAAUCUUCCUUUAUUUUAAUUUGUGGGUGUAUAAGAAGGAGAUAAUUGUGGAAGACCUUCACAAAUGUCAUUUGAGAUCAAAAUAAGGAGAAGAAGCAAGAAAACAAAAGGUGAGGAGUUUGAAGAAGAAAGAACCAAAUAUAUGGAGGAGAAUUGAAGUGAGAGAGUGGAUGGGUUUUAUUUAAAGAUUUAAUGCUUUUUUUUUAAUUUCAUAUAUAGAAAAAAUCAUUGAAAGAAAAAUAAGUUCAAUAUAAUUAUUUAAAUUUACUUGUCGGGUUUUUAUAAAAUUAACUCAAAUUUUUGAUUAAUUAUGAAAAUAACUCAAUUUAAAAAUUAUGUACAUAAAUUAUUCGAUUUCUAUAGUGUCUGUCGGUGCCUCCAGACACAAUGGCAGCACUGACCUGCCAUCAUCAACCAAUGAUUGUAUUUUAUUUAAAAAAUAAUAGUUUUUUAGUAGUGUCAUUGGAAAAAUUGACGAUAUCAAACUGAAGUGUGAUAAUAUAAAAUGUUCAUGUACUUGACGAAGUAAUUACCCUUUUUUAAUUAGAGGAAAAAGGGAUUUGGUCUAUUUUCAUGUUAGGUCCAUCACCUUUUGAAAUUAAAUUUAAAUAACCCUUAAAAAUAUAAGAAUAACAAAAAUAAAUCAUUCUCAUUUAUAUUUAAAAAAUAACCUUUAAAAAUUAUAUUAAAUUCUUAUUUAAAUUAUCCAAAUAUAUCCCUCACAGAAUUUCCUCAAGUUUAUCUAAAUUCAAGCAUUUUCAAUUCAUUCCCUAGCAUAUUUAAAUUUAGAUAAAGUACUUAAGGAAAUUUUUUGAGGAAUAUAUUUGGGUAAUUUGAAUAAGAAUUUUAUAUAAUUUUUUAAGUAUUUUUUCAAAAAAAAUGAAAAUGGUUUAAUUUUGUUAUUAUUAUAUUUUUUUAACUGCUAUUUAAAUCUAAUUUUAAAAAAGGACAAACGUAACAUGCAAAUAGGUCAAAUGUUGAAAAACAUUUAAUUUGGUCCAGAUACCAACGACACCCCUUUUUCAACCAAUCUAAAAACGUUAACCGCUUCAAAGGAUCCCUGCACGUUUUAUAUAAUCACAUUCAUUCUGGUGCCGUCAAUUUAUUAGGCAACACCACUAUGAUUUUUUUAAAUAAGCAAUCAUUGGGUAAUGAUGUGCAGCGGUGCAGUAAGCACUAUAGAAAUCAGGUGGCCUUCAUUGAAACAUUUCUACUCUAGGAUUGUGUAAGGUGUAGUAACCUUAGAUUGUGUAAGGUGCCAAGAUUGAAAAAUUUCUACUCUAGGAUGCGUACCACCCAGUGGCCUUCAUUGAAACAAAUGGACAUUAUUGAAUGCCCCAAACUACAGAUAUUUACACGACAAUGUCCUGUAAGUCAGGUUGGAAUCUCAAACCAACAACCCUUGUUUUGCGUCAAUGAGGUAAGCUCACGAAAAGUUUCAUAUUCCAUGAUCAUUACUUGAGAUUACCUAUAAGAUGCUUUUUGAAAAACCUAAUAUUCUCUCCUCUUUUAAUUUUAUGAGAGUCUAGUUCUUACUAAUUUAAAACUCUUUCAUCGAUGUCUAAUAUAUUCUUUUUUUUUUUUUUGAAACAACGAUGUCUAAUAUAUUCAUUGCCAUCCAGGACGGUACUUUCCCUGUAUUAGAAGAACUAACACUGAACACGAAUGAUAUGGUGAAGGGGAUAUGUGAUGGACAGCUCUUAUUGCAGUGUUUCUAAAACCUUAAACUUCUUAACCUCCGAUUCUUUCCUGAGACAUCCGCUACUCUUCCAUAUUCCUUCAUUCGGUCGCUACCAAAGCUUCAGAAGCUUGUUAUAAACAAUGCUUCCAUUUCUGAAAUAGUCUGGUCUGAAGGACUUAGCAAAGAGGAAAGGCACACAUCGGUAUUCUAUCAGUUAAAGGACUUAAGGUUGUCUCAACUUCCAGAGUUGACGUUAAAGACUUUUAAACCAUCUUUGCUGUCUUUCAAAAAUCUAACAACACUAGAAGUUUCAAGAUGCCAUGGGUUCAUCAAUUUAAUCGCAUGCUCAACAGCUAAAUGCCUAACGCUACUGGAAAGAUUGAGCAUAGAUGAUUGUGAGAUGAUAGAGGAAAUCAUAGCGUGUGAGGCUGAAGAAAUACAAGGUGGCAUGGUAUUUCCCAAACUGAAGUAUUUGCAACUAAGUUGUCUGCCAUGUCUAGCAAGCUUUUCCUUGGCCCAUCACUCGUUGGAAUUCCCAGUCUUGCUAAUGGUGAUGGUGACAAAGUUCCCCCAAAUGAGGAAUUUCUGCCAAGGAGAUUUAAGCACACCAAGGCUGGAACAAAUGCACUUAACAAGAGAUGAGGAAGGUGAACUGCAGUGGGAAGGCGAUCUCAACACUACCAUAAAACAUAUGCUCGAUGAAAUGGUACAAAUCAUUUAAAGGAUUUAAAUUCAUGUGUUUUUACAUACAUUAAUUGAACAAUUCUUGGUUUGUUAUGAUCAUGCACAGAAUGGGCAAAAUUCGGAGGUGACGGAGGUUACUGAUCAGUUGCCCAAGCUGGAAUAAGGAAAUAAGUUUGGGUGCUUAUACGAAAAGCUCAAUUUCGUUUCAAAUCAAAACGAACGGUAAUUGACUCUUCUAUUUUCAUCAUGGCUUAACUAAUUCUAUUUUUCUUCACUGUAAGCUAUUUUUCUUCACUUACUAAAAUGCUUUCCACUCAAAUUUCAUUGCAAGAAACCUGAAGUUCUUCAAACAUUUGACCUUAUAUGUUAAUAGAUGGUAAUUGCGUUGCAAACUAAUGGUUUCUACUGUUGUCAUGGUGUAGUAUAUUAUGGAAUCUGAAUCAACCAUUGUAAUCAAAAGAAUGGGAGAACUUAAUCCAGAACCUUUUUUAGACGAAUGCAAGAAGAAAUUUGCUGUUUGACAACUGGUGUUUGAACUGUGAAUUUGAUUUUUUUUUUUGCCAUUUUUGCUGGUCAACAGUGCUAAUAUUCUGAUAUAUUGGCCAGAAUUGAAGGAAGAAGGUCCAAUUUUGCUUUUGAUCCUUCUACUAGUAUCUUAAGAUUUAAAAGAAAUUCAAUUAAACAAUUUCUUCCAAUAAAAUUAAACAAGAAGGCCCAGAAAUUGACCCGCACACUUAGACAUGUUUCUCUUUGAAAAAAUUCAAACAGGGUUUUAAAAUUUGCAAUGUGUUUUAUGUAAAUCAAAUGAUAUCCUGAAUUUUGCUAAGGGUGUUUCAUAUCCUUGAAUCCUUCUUUUGCUUGGCAAGUGAUUCAUUGAGCUUUUGUGAUCAAAUUUCAUGUUUCUUUUUUAGUAUGGGAAUUUGUGGGAAAAUACUUGACAACAAGCCUCAAUACUUGCUGUUGGGAGCUUCAAUAUAAUGUAACUGUUGGUGUUGAAAUCAAAGAACAGAUAAGCUCAGCUUGUAUCUUGUGCAACAAGCCUCGAUACUUGCUGAGUAAACAAUCAGAUUUGAAGCAAAAGAAAGAAGAAAAAAGCAAAGAAAAAUGAGAGAGUUUUGAUGGAUUUGAACUAGCUUUCAUUCAUACUCAAAAUAAUGGCAUAAUGCCAAUACAUAAACCAAGCAAUUUGCUUGUCAAAAAACAAUAAGCAGUCACCUAAACAAUACCUACCACCACUAAUUAUAUUGAAACUUGAAAAACAAAACUUGUAAGCAUGGACAAAGCUGAGUUUACAGCUCAUACACCAUCUAAUUACAUCAAUCAUAAGAUUAGCUUAGUUCAAAUUGAACUAAGGUACAUUACAUUAACUUAAAAAUACAAAAUGAACAAAAUAGGAACAGUUGAGCUUGUUCCAGCAGCACCUGCAUGGCACGAUCUUCAUGGCCUACUUGCUGUCUGCUUCUUGCUUCAUGCUGACCAACAUUCAUCACUCCUCCUUGGUUAGCAUGUUGCAAACUCCCAAUUUGUUUCUUAAGUGUUCGAAUCUUGUUGCAUUAAGGGCUUUGGUCAAAAUGUCAGCAAGUUGAUCCUCUGAAUUGCAAUGAAUCAGUUUUAGCUCCUGUGCCUGCUCCAUUUCUCGAACAACAUGAAGUUUAAUGCUGAAAUGCUUUGUUCUUCCAUGGAACACUGGAUUCUUUGCAAUUGCAAUAGUAGAUUGAUUGUCACAAAAGAUCUCUGUUGUUUCCCUUUGAUGCACAUUUAAAUCAGCCAUGAUUUUCCUUAGUCAAAUGGCUUGGUUGACAGCACUUGUUGCUGCAACAUAUUCUGCUUCAGCAGUAGAUUGAGCCACCAAAGUUUGUUUCUUAGAGCUCCAACAGAACAUGGCUGAACCAAGAUUGAAAGCAUACCCUGAUGUACUUUUCAUGUCAUCAAUCGAACCAGCCCAGUCAUUGUCUGUGUAGCCAACUAACUUCAGACUUUUAGCUUUGCUAUAAAUCAAGCCAUGGUUCAAGGUACCUUUGAUAUACCUGAGCACCCUCUUUGCUGCUUGAAAGUGCUUUUCAUUACUACAAUGCAAGAACCUUGAGAGCAAACUUACAGCAAACAUUAUAUCAAGUCUAGUGGCUAUUAAGUAUAGAAAACAACCAACUAAAAUUUUGUAGGUGGUUUCACAAGCCCUUUCAGAAUUAUCAUGGCUCGAUAACUUUUCUCCAGCAGCUAUUGGAGUCUUUGUUGCUUUACUAUUUUGCAUUGUGAAUUUGGUCAGGAUCUUGGAAGCAAAAACUUUCUGACUUAGGAACAUUCCCUGGUGUGUUUGUGUCACUUCCAUCCCAAAAAAGUAGCUCAUCCUUCCUAGAUCAGACAUCUCAAACAUCAGCUCCAUUUUGGUUUUAAAGUCAGUUAGCAUUGUUUGGUCUCCUUCUGUCACUAGCAGGUUAUCAACAUACAAAGAUACUAUGAGCUGAUUUAGUGUCCCUUCCUUUUUGACAAAUAAAGUUGGCUCACUCUUGCUUCUGUCAAAUCCCAAACCAGACAAGUAGUUAUCAAUCCUGCUAUACCAGGCCCUUGGAGCCUGUUUUAAGCCAUACAAGGCUUUCGUUAGCUUGUAGACCAUAUGCUCAUUACAAGCUGUCUCAAAGCCUUGUGGUUGUUCAACAUAAAUGUUUUCAUCAAGAAAUCCAUUUAGAAAGGCUGAAUUCACAUCGAGCUAAUGGAUUUUCCAUUCCAUUUAAGUUGUUAAGCCAAUCAGCAGUCUGAUGGUAUCGAGCCUGGCUACUGGUGCAAAGGUUCCAGAUAGUCCAGGCCAUAUUUCUGGCUAAAUCCCUUGACAACCAGCCUUGCUUUUAGCUUAUUCAAGCUUCCAUCAGCAUUGCACUUGGCUCGAUAAACCCAUUUCACCCCAAUGACCUUCCUUUUGGCUGGUCUUCCAACUAAUUCCCAAGUCUGGUUCUUCUCAAUCAUGCUAAUUUCAUCAGCUAUUGCUUGCUUCCACCCUUGCUGAGCUUCAGUUUCUUCAAAACAGCUUGGUUCUGCUAUAGCCAUAUGAGCCCUUUUAUAAAUCUCGGCCAAAGGUCUGGUGCCCCUGACUGGUUCAUCAUCAAUAUCUAUUUCAAGACCAUUUUGAUCUGGCUCAGCUUGAUUUGCUGCAAGAUCCUCUGAAACUGCCUGUGGCUUAUUCCUUUCCCAAUUCCAGCAUGACUUCUCAUCAAACACUACAUCUUUGCUUACUAACACUUUGUUCGUUGAAGGAUCUAAGAUCCUUUAGACCUUCUUGACUGAGCUAUACCCUACUAGUAUACCAGGUUUAGCUUUUCUGCCAAAUUUGUCUCUCUUCACUGCUGGUACAUGAGCAUAACAUAUGCAACCAAAGACCCUCAAGUAAGCCAGUGAAGGUUUGAACCCGAACCAGGCUUCAAAUGGAGUCUUAUGAGCCAGGGCCUUAGUUGGAAGCCUAUUCUGAAUGUACACAGCAGUAUUGACUACCUCUGCCCAUAUGGUUUUGGGCAGAUUCUUCUCAAACAGUAGGCACCUGGCCAUAUCCAUCAAGCUCCUGUUCUUCCUCUCACUUACUCCAUUUUGUUGAGGAGUAUAGGUGUUGGUGAGCUGAUGCUUGAUGCCAGCCUCAUUGCAAAAGACUUGGAACUAAGAUGAGGUGUACUCAGUCCCAUUGUCAGACCUUAUAGUCUUAAGUUUGCAGCCUGUUUCAGUUUUAGCAACAUUCUUGAACUUUUUAAACAUUGAGCCUACUUUUGAUUUUUGUUUUAAGAAAUAAAUCCAGCAAAACCUUGAGAAAUCAUCAAUAAACAGAAUGAAAUACCUACUUCCAUUCAAUGACUCAGUCUUUAUGGGGCCACACACAUCAGUGUGCACAAGCUGUAGUCUUUUAAAGGCUCUCCAGGCUUGAUUCGAGGGAAAUGGAAGUCUGGCCUGCUUUCCUAGCUGACAUACCUCACAAACCUCCUGUUUUUGAACUGAACUGAUGAAGUUUUCAGGCAAAUCAUCUCUGCAUAACUGAUCCAUUGAUCUGUGGUUGGCAUGACCAAGUUUUUGAUGCCAAAGCUUAGAUUCAUCAGUUGUAGCUGUAUAGGUAGUGUCUAAGUCCUUUGUCCAAUCAACUACAAAGCUUUUGUCAGCCAUAGUGACUGCCAUCAAUUUGGAUCCAUUUGGAUCACUAAUUUGGCACUGCUUGCCUUUGAACACUACAAAAUACCCUUUUUCUAGCAAUUGAGCUAUGUUGAGCAGGUUUCUGUCAAUCUUAGGCACCAAUAGCACAUUCGAGAUGACCUUGACACCUGUGGGAGUGCAUAUCAACACAUCACCCUUACCUUCUGCCUUUAUAAGGUGACUAUUACCAAUCUUAACUUUAGUUCUGUAGCUUCUGUCCAAGGACUUGAAGAUGGCAGCAUCUAGUGUCAUGUGGUUGGUGCAUCUACUGUCUAGGAGCCAACCAUUUGAAAGCCUCUCUUAAGCAGCUGAGCAUGACACAGCAAAAACUUGCUCCUCUUGAUCACUGUCUUCCUUGGCUACUCGAGCCUCAGCCUUUGACUGUUGAGGUUGAUUCUGCCUUGGUUUGCCUCUGUUUUUGCAGACCCUUUCAACAUAUCCCCUCUUCUUGCAGUGUUGACACAAUACAUCUAGUCUAAACCAACAUUUUUCUUCUGGAUGACCAGGCCUUUUACAAUGCCUGUAGGUUUGUUCUCAUUUUCUUACAGCAUCAAACUUUGGCUUGUCUUUCCAGAUCUUCUUGCCUUUGUAGGCAAUAUUAGUCUUUACUUGAAAGGCACCUUCUUGAUGCUCCUCCAGUCUGCUAGCUCUUCUCUGUUCUAGUGCAUAGAGAGCAUUAAUCAGCUCUGUUAGGGAGAUGCUGGUCAGUCCCUUGAGUCUUCGAGGGAUGAGAUUUUUGCCUCAUACCUCUCAAGCAAAGUUGAAAUAACCUUCUCCACUAUCCUUGCUUCAUUAAAAUUCUCACCAAUGAGCCUUAUUCUGUUUACCACAACCAUAAUCCUAUCUGAGUACUGUUUGACAGUUUCUUCUUCCUUCAUCUUCAAAUUCUCGAAGUCCCUUCUCAAGUUUAACAACUGUUGCUGCCUUGUCCUCUCUGUCCAUUGAAACUCAUCUUUCAACUUGUCCUAGGCCUGCUUUGGUAUUUCACAUGCCAUAAUCCUUAUGAAGAUCACAUCUGACACUGAGUUCUGGAUGCAAUACAUGACCUUGUGCCUCUUGGUCAUUUUAUCAGCAUGUUGCCUGAUUUAAGCUACUGUUGGAUUGGCUCUGAGUGGAUCUGGUUCAAAAUCAGAGUUGACCACCUCCCACAGAUCGAAAGCCUGCAGGUAGGUCUUCAUUUUGACCACCCAUAUGUGAUAGCCUUCUCCAUUGAAGACUUGUGGUACAGCUGGUGAGAAGUUUGAUGAGGCCAUCUUUUUAUACAACAGAUCCCUUAAGAUUAAGGCUCUAGAUACCAAUUGUUGGUGUUGAAAUCAAAGAACAGACAAGCUCAGCUAGUACCUUGUGCAACAAGCCUCGAUACUUGCUGAGUAAACAAUCAGAUUUGAAGCAAAAGAAAGAAGAAAAAAAGUAAAGAAAAAUGAGAGAGUUUUGAUGGAUUUGAACUAGCUUUCAUUCAUACUCAAAAUAAUGGCAUAAUGCCAAUACAUAAGCCAAGCAAUUUGCUUGUCAAAAAAUAGUAAGCAGUCACCUAAACAAUACCUACCACCACUAAUUAUAUUGAAACUUGAAAAACAAAACUUGUAAGCAUGGACAAAGCUGAGUUUACAGCUCAUACACCAUCUAAUUACAUCAAUCAUAAGAUUAACUUAGUUUAAAUUGAACUAAGUACAUUACAUUAACUUAAAAAUACAAAAUGAACAAAAUAGAAACAGUUGAGCUUGUUCCAGUAGCUCCUGCAUGGCACGAUAUUCAUGGCCUGCUUGUUGUCUGCUUCUUGCUUCAUGCUGACCAACAUUCAUCAGUAACUGUGAGACAGUUGAAGGGCAAGAAUGCUGCGUUGCGCCUUGCGUUUGCUAAAGGUACUUUAUAUUAUAUAUGUGUAUGUAGUGAGCAGAAUACUAUGUGUUAAUUGAAUCGUUUGGUACCCUUUGAUUGAUCUUAGGGAAGGGGAUAUAAAUGUCGGGAUUUGAACCCCAAACUUAGCUUUUAUUACAGGAAGAGGAUCAAUUUUGGCUCGGUUAAGCUUAAUGUGUUAAGAACCAGAUAAGAACAUAAUAUAUGGGAACACUUUGGCCAUACGAGGCUAAUGCUUAUAUGAUUCGCUUUACAGACUACAUGCUCCUAGGGAUAACUCUUCUGUAAGUACUAUUAGUUGAAUAGCUUUAUGAUGUAUUAAUCUAUAAAAUCUGGGUGUCAUAUUAUGAGUUCCAUUGCUAUGUUAAUCUAUGUACUAACAAUAUUAUGAAGUAAGGCAAUUUUGUGUACAUUACAUUGGGAUGCAAGCUGAAUUACCUUUAAUCAGCUUCAACCAUACAUACAUAUACAUAUAUAUAUAUGAAGUUAAGAACGUAAGUGCUGUUAAAUGGUACAUUACUCAGAUUGGUAAUAUAAUGGUGCCGAAUGUUCUAAAAUUUAACAAGUAUUACUGGUAAUAUAUUAAUGAAGAUAAAGAUAAAAGUUUUCUCGGGAAAACAAGUGUUAUCCUUCAUUUAUCUUGAUGAUUCUCUAACGCCGCCAAUUUCCCCCCUAAGUUUACAGCAAGAAGAAGAAGAAAAAGAAGACAAACGGCAACGUUAAGCCAUUUAAUUUCAUCCCAGGUUAAUUUUUUUUGUAAAUUAAACAUUUUUUGUAUACAUUUUGUUACCUAUUUAUUUUAUGUUUUUGAAGUUUCCAUUGCCAUUUCUACCUUUCCAAAAUGGUGUCUUUUUACUUGUUUUUUACUGGGUUAUUGACAUUUGUUCCAUAGAAUAAAUUUCUUUGAUUUUAGGGUUCUAUAUGUAUUUUUUUUAUUUAUGAAUUUGAACUUGAGUUAUCCAUAAAAAUUCGACCUUUAAUCUCAAUAUAUUUAUAGUCUAUAAAUUUUGACUUUUCUUCCAAUAAUAUAUCUCCAAAAUUCUAACUUAACCUUUUUAAACUUUGUCAUGUCAUUAUUAUUAGAGUUAAUUGCACCAAAUAUCUCCAAACUAUGGUUCUUCUUCUAAAAUAGUCCUCAAACUCAAAAUAUUGUAAAUUACAUUUCCAAAUUAUCAAUAUUAUAUCAAUAAUGUUCUUCUAUUGCUAAAAUCAUGAAAUGAGACGUCAAAUCUUAUCAGACAUAAUUUAAAAUAAAAAACUUAAAAAAAAUAAUUAUUGUAAAAAUAUUGAUUUCAAGGUUUUCGAAGUUAUUACAAAAACUAUCAUUCAUUUUCUCUUUCACUUUAUUUUUAAUUUUUAUUUUUAAAAGUUGUAUCAACAACAUUUUACUUUUCUCUAAAAAUAUCAUUUUUCAUUAAUAGUUUCAAUAAUAAAAGGAUGAGAUAAAUAGUUUAAAAUAUUUUAAAGUUGGGAGAAUAAUUUAAAAUAAAGAUGCAAUAUUGUUAAUCUAGUACUAUUUCAUAAUAUCAUUUUAUCGUUUCAAGUUUUAAAGACAACAUUUUUUUUUUGAAAUAUUUUAAAGACAACAUUUAAAGAUUGACUAUAAUAAUAUUGUUACAUGGAAAAAGAAUCCCACGUCAGCUAAAUGGCUUACGUCUGACGUGUGCUUAGUGUUAUUAAAAAAGUCAAAGGUUGAGAAAGUCUGAGGCGAGUCACACAUAUCACACGCCAUGCACAGGUUUCCUUAUUUCGAGGCUAAAAUACCAAAAUACCAUCACAUUUCUCGUUAAAUUUACCACUUAAUCAACGAUCCUCUAAAAAUGAUGUAAGGACAUAUUAGAAAUUUUAAUCACAAUAAUAUCACCAAAUCUGAAAAAUUACAAAUGAGGCAAAAAAAAAUACGAGUAAUAUUUAGCCAUAAAAUGUAUAUAUUCAUUCCCUCUAAACCAGGUGGUUAAGCCUCACAAUCCAACGUAACUGUAAACCUUUCUUGGCAGCCAUGAAAUCAGUUCUAAAAUCCCUUGCAAACUCAAUCUUCCUUGUUCUUUCCAUCAUCUUUUCAUCUUCUACUCCACUUGUAUUGGCUCAAUGUGAAGCAGAGACCAAGACUAAUGGAUGCCAUAACUACAGAGAAUCCAUGAAGCUAAAAAUCAUUGCCAUUGUCGCAAUUUUACUAUCCAGCAUGAUUGGCGUGAGUCUGCCAUUGUUUUCUGGUCAGGUUCCGUCACUUAAACCCGACAGGGACUUGUUCACCAUUGUCAAGGCAUUUUCCUCCGGUGUUAUUCUAGCGACUGGGUACAUGCACGUGCUACCGGAUUCUUUUAACGACCUUAUGUCCGGGUGUUUGCCUGAAAACCCAUGGAGGAAGUUCCCUUUCACAACCUUCGUCGCAAUGCUGUCGGCUGUGUUGACCCUUAUGUUGGAUUCAUUUGCAAUGAGUGUAUACAAGAAACGUUGCGGUAAAGCUCUAAUGGCGGAUGCUAACAAUGGUGGUGGAUUGGAAAAUACGAACGUUGUACAAAUCGAUAAUUUUGAACACGGCCAUAGCCAUUCACUUGAGAUGAAUGACGACGUAUCAUCACAAUUGUUAAGGCAUCGAGUUAUUGCUCAGGUAUAUAUACAUGUUUGAAUCCUCAAAUUCGAUGGUUUUGCUUUUCAAGUCUUUACAUUAUAUAUUUCCUAAAUGUAGGUAUUAGAGUUGGGAAUUGUAGUUCAUUCAGUGGUGAUUGGCCUUGCCAUGGGAGCCUCUGGCAACCAAUGCACCAUUCGAUCACUCAUUUCUGCCCUUUGCUUCCAUCAAAUGUUUGAGGGGAUGGGACUUGGUGGAUGCAUACUGCAGGUAACCCCCAACAUUGCACUAUUUUCUCAUUCAAACAUCCAUUUAGUGUACAAUAUUGAUUAACAUUAUGUUUGAUAUGUGCAGGCUGAAUAUGAGAUAAAAAUGAAAGCAAUCAUGGUAUUCUUCUUUUCAGCCACAACGCCACUUGGAAUAGUUCUGGGAAUUGGUUUGUCCAAGGUUUACAGUGAGACGAGUCCAACUUCACUUAUGGUGGUGGGACUACUUAAUGCUUGCUCAGCAGGGUUGCUGAAUUACAUGGCACUGGUUGAUCUCCUUGCAGCUGAUUUUCUGGGCCCUAAGCUUCAAACAAAUAUGAAGCUCCAGGCUUGGUCAUAUGUUGCAGUUUUACUUGGUGCUGGAUUUAUGUCUUUGAUGGUAAAAUGGGCUUAGUCAUGUCAACAUAUACAUGUCUUUUUGUAGUUUUUUAAUCUUAUUCUUCUUCUUCUUCUUUUUUUUUGUUUCAACAGAUGAGUUUAUAGUGAAUCAACACUUAUUCAAUCAAUUAUAAAAUUUAGGCAAAGAAUUUAGGCAACAAGGCUUGAACAUUGAUCUUUAAGAUCGUUUACUCCAUAUUGCAGGGCUCAUCACAAAGUAUAUAUAUCAGAAAAGUAUGCAAACUUCAAUUUUGUGUCAAUAUCAUUAUAAUUUAAACUGUUUAAUGUUACAUCAGAUGUAGAUGUCUUUAAGCCAAUGCUUAUAGCCACAAAGUCUCUUUGGUGCAAGCUAUAAGUACAGAGUUAUGCUAUAAAUAAACAAUUAAAUAAUUUGUAUUUAAAAUAUCAAAUACUAAAAACCAAUAAAUAAGAUUAGAAAACCAAAAAUCGGAUAAAGAAUCAAAUUUUUCUAGAUGUUGGGGCUUGUUUUACACAGUUUCCUUAAGAUAGAUUUGUCUACUCCUACUGUACUUGGUGAAAUGUUGGGAGACUAUCUAAUAGGAUACAACAAAACAAUGAUCGAAAUAAUAGCAUCUCUACAGAGACCAAUGAACAACCUUGCCUUUUUCUAUCACCAGAACAUUGGAAAAUAUAGAGAGAAAAAGAGAAGAAUUUUCGAGAGCAAAAUAAACUUGGUUUUAGAGAGUUUUUUAGUGUAAAAAAAUUUGAAGAAUUCUUAAGCAUUCAAGAUGGAGGAAUUUUGGAAAUAUCCAUAAUUAAAUAUACAAAAUCUGUAUUAAAUGAGCAAUUAAAUCAUAAUAUAUGUCCUUUUUAAAUUAGAUUUUAUAUAUAUUUGUUGAGAAAAUUAAAUUUUGUGUUGGGCUUAAAAUAUCCACAGGCCCAAUUGACUGGUCUAGACAUUUCACAUCGCCCAUGUAGUGCGAGUGCGCUUCAACCCCGAUGGGUUCGGAUCUACACCCCCCUCGCGUGGGACAAAGUUUCAAACUUAGUCAUUCAAUUAUCCUUCAAGUGGGUUCUCAUAUAUAAACACAUCUCACAUUUGGUAUUUAAUCAAUGUGAGAUCUAAGCUUUUCUUUUCCUCAACAAAUAUUCACAACUUACUUUGAGCAUUAAUUUCUCGCUCAUCACUCAACCAUUUUGAGCAUACGAUAUACUAUUGUAAAGGUAUCAUGGAGUAGAAUAUAAAAUCAUAAUUUUAUGAUUCAAUUCUCCACUUAUACCAAUUGAGAAUAUGCUUCAAAGUUUCUAAAAGUUACAAUUUUUUCAACAUUUUAUACAUCUACUUUAAAGGUAUAAUCAAGCCCAGCAGAGCCCGAAUAAUGACAAGCUUGAACUUGACUCAAACAUCACUUUUUAAGCUCAAUCUUGAUUCAAAACAUAAUUGAGCUGAUUAAGCUCGUUUAUCAAUUUUUAUAAUCAAACUCAUUUAUAAUUAAGCUCUUUUUAUAUAUCAAGGAUAAAAAUGUAAUUUUAUAAAUAAAAAAUAUUUAAAUGGAAUGCUUAAUUAGGUUUGUGGGCUACUUGAAUCAAGUAUUACAAUAUUUAAAUUCAGCUUAAUCAAUAGCUCGAGCUCUACUCAAUAAUUUUUGAUAAAAUUUUAAGAUUUUUUGAAUCCAAUUAGAAUAGCUUGCAAAUAUAAUGUAUCAUUGUACUCUUAAUUUUAAGUUUACAUUUUUAAUUCUUAAAAUAAUAUUAAAAAGUUCUUUCUUUCUAAAAAGAAACACCCAAUCAAUUGAAGGCUUUUUAGAAAGUGGUGGCAAAGUGCAUCCUUUACUUUAAGUCUCACUAUAUCUAAAAAGAAAUUAAUGCGAACUGUAGAAAGUGGUAGGAAUGUGCAUCAUUAUUGCUUUAAAAGAAUUUCAAUCUUUAAACGGAUAGAAUUAAAUUUUCAUAAUUUGGAAGAGUUAAAGUGUAAUUUUUUUAUUUUAAAAUUUUAAAAUUUUUUAAAGAGUUCAAAUAAUAAUUUUUUAUUUUAAGAGAGCCGGGCUCCUGUCAACUCCUGGAUUCGCCUCCGUAAUUUUCAAAAUUCAGUUAAAUUAUGUUAUUUUGAAUAAAAAGUUAAUUGAUAAAGAAAUUCUUUUAGUUUCGAAAAUUCAAUUUUUUUGUUUUAAAAAAAUAUUAAAAUUUAAAAAUUAAAAGAUUAAAGUAAUAAAAUUUCUCCCAAUAUCAAUGACUUUUUGAUACAUGCACGAAUGAAGUGAAAUUUAUUAGAUUCCAAUCAUCAAAACUACUAAUUUUCAGGCUUGGGAAAUUAGCAGACUUGCAAUGACUUUUUGGAUGGGAUUCUGGCAUUUUUGGGUUGAGAUGUCUCAUGGCAUUUGAAGAUCAAUCUCUUAGCUUUGAAACGCAUUUUGUAUCACUCGAUUUUGAGUUCGGGAGCUCAAGUUAUGACUGUUUUAGUGAAGAUUGCGCGAGCAAAAUUUCUGAACGAGAUUAUGACGGGAAUUACGAAUUUUGGGCUUUUAAUUCGUGUUUAAAUCAUAUUGAGUUCAGGUUUUAGACUUAAUUUUUAUUAUUAUAUAUGAGCCUAAUAUUAUAGUUGUUAGAUCUUAUUAUUUUAUUCCAAAAUUUUGAUAAUUAUUAAGUAUUUUAAGUUAUUUAGGAGUUUUAUAUUAACAAGAAAAUUCAAUUUAAAACUCCUUCUUAUUUAGAUUAAAUUAGAGUUCUAGUAUACUUAAAAGUUUUAUUUAGAUUUAUUUAGCUAGUCUAUAUGUAGGCCUUAUUCAUUAUUAUUCUAUUUCUCUUUUAAGUUAAUAAAUUCUCUCUGGGUUUUUUUUUUUCAAGAAUUUCUCUUGAGUUUCUUUUAGAAGAGUUUUAACAAUCAUUUUAGAUUGUGAGGAUCAUUUUCAAACUUUUUGUUGCCAAGGUUUCUAUCUUGAAGGGGAAAUUAGAGCCGCUUGAAGGAGGUUAUGAAUUAUUCGUGUUUCCAAGGCUUAUUAGGACUUCUACACGUCACGUUCUAUCUUUUCAUUUAUCUUCUUUAUUUGCUUCCUUAAUCUUUAAUUUAUUAUUUUAUUUUAGUUAUUUAUUUUAAUUGUUUUAUCUGACUUGGAUUCAAUUUCGUUUCAGGUUGUGUCAAAAUCAAAUUUCUUUUCGAACGUUUAGAACCCUAAGUCAAAUCCGUGAUUUUGACAAAUUUUAUGAUCCACUUUCGCGUUCAUCCUUCUCAUCCUUUAUCACUUUUGCUACUUUUCUUGCUUCUGUCGAUGCAUAUCCUGACAAGCCUUUAACUAUCAUGAGAAGCAAAGGAGAGAAGCAAAGGAUAAAUACACUACGUAUGAUAUAAAUAUGAUUAAUUUUCCUUGAAAUAUUAAUUAUUAAAUACAUAUUAAAAUAUAGAUAUGGGAAUACAAUCUUUUAUAAUAAUCACCCACUAUGACACCAUUUCGUUGUAAUUAUUAAUUUUUUACUAAAAUCGAUAUUAAUAUUUUAUUUUAAUCUUCUAUAACAACUUUUCACUUAUAAUAGCAAUAUCCAUAUACAUUCUUUAUUAAACUAUUUCUCUAUAACAUCGUAUUGUUUAAAUCUUUAAGUAAUAUAACGACCACCAUUUUAUAAAAGAUAAAAUCUAGACAGACAAGUUAAGUAAUUUUAGUUUAGUAAAUUGUAUUUUUUUUCUGAAUGAUUUAGAUUAAUUGCUUUUUUCCAACACCAUGAAAAGCUGAUUUCAAACACAAUAAUUGGCGAUAGUGUGUUCCUUCUUUUGUCACCUUUACCAAAAGGGAAAAUAAUUGGCGAUAGAGUGUUGCUUUCGUUUGUCAACUUUUCAGCUGUAGCCACCAAAUGAUAAGAAUCCAUGAAGCUCCACUCUCAAGUAUUUGUGUUUCUUUAGGAUUCUAUUGUUUACAUUUCAAAUUUUGUUUAGAUUGAGCUGCCCUUUGUCAAAUUACUUCUCGCAUUACUCCGUUAAGAAUAUUAUCUUUUCGCUCGUUCGUAACUGCGACAACUAAUCGCUGAAUCCUUCUCUUAUACGUUGGAAAGGUACGCCAUCUGCUUUCAUUUUGGUUGAUUUGGUCUUACUUCUUGGUUUACGGAAGCUUUACUUUUUGCUCGUUUUAUUUGUAACUUUUUCUUCUGAUUUUGUUUUGGUCUUUGUUGUCGCUGUGGUUAUUCAGUUUACUUCUUGUUUGAUCUCUCAAUGGAGUUUGUUACUACCCUAGUUGGCUCUAUUGUCACUAAAGCUGUAAAGUAUACGAUCUCUCCUAUCAAAAACCAUAUCAAAUACCUUUCCAAUCAUCAACAAUAUGUUGAGACCCUCAAGGACUAUAUGUUUAGUUGGUAAAAAAAGGAGAAAAAAAGAAGAAAGAAAACCACUUUGCUUAGUUGGUAAAAGCCAAAGUUGUGAGUAUUGAAUAAUCAGAUUCGGAAUUUAGAGUGAUAGCAUAUAGAAUAUUUUCCCAUUAAAAUAUGUUUUGGUAUACGACAUUUUAGGGUUGUUGGCUAGUCAUUACUGAGCUGCUUCCUUUCUUUUAAAGUAUGAUGAAGUCAUCUUUCUCAAAUCACUACUUUCUGGGUUUGCUCUGUUAAGAACAAGAAAAAAAGAAAAAAAUUGGAAGUUAUCGAUCACAGCCAAAAGGUACGCCAUCUGCUUUUCUUUUCCCUGCUUUGCUCUUACUCUUCUGAAAUACUUGUCGGUAUAAAUAAGCUUAGGCAGGCAGUUUUAACCAUGAAAAUGGACUUCUUUUAUGCUUUAAAUCUAUUUAGCCCUUCUAUUUUAGCUUUAGGAUUUCGAGUCCUGUACUUUUUCGAUUUAAAAUCUUCAUCUUUCCAUUCAAAUUUACCCUUAGUGUUGUUGACCUGACAUAUAUAAAAAGAUCAAAUAAAUUUUUUAGCCUUAAUUUGAUCUUUACUUUAUAAAAUUACAUAAAAAUUCAGAAUUAAAAAGAAAACAUAUUUCCACUAAAAUCCAUUAAAAAAUUGUGGAAAACACUCUUUAAAGUUCGUGGAAAAAAGGGAUAAGAAGGGGUGACUAUUAGGAAAGCUGCAUAAGCACUUUUGUUUGUGAUCUAUCAACAAAUUGUGGCUUCCACAUACUGCAAUAUGGUUAUUAAGAGGUUGAGUACUGCUUUAUCUUGUAGAAGGAGGAUUUGUAGUAGAUCUAAUCAUAAGUUGGGUUAAUAUAAAAAUUUUAGAUUUGUUUUUAGGGUCCGGAUCGCCUCAACUAAAAAAAUGCGCUAAAAUUUUAUUUAAGUUCAACCCAGAUAAAAAAUACUAAAUCUGAACCCGUCUGUAUUAGAUUAUUUUUAUAUAAAAAUAAAUUUAAAAAAUAUAAUACAUCAAAUACUCUAAAAAUAUUAAAAUAAAUGUUUCUCAACGAAUUGAAAAUAUAUUUAAAAAAAUUCUUUAUACUUAAAUAAAACUAACAUAGUUGCAACUUAGCAAACAAAUGUUUCUAAAAUAAUAGUAAAAUUAAAAAUAAAAUAAGAGUUAUACAAUAUCUAAAUAAUAGUAGUAAAAUAACAACAUAACAGCAAAAAACAACAACGUAAAAGCAGUAAACAGCAGCAAAAAAAUAGUUAAAUUUGGGUUAGGUCCAAACUAAAAAAAUCUUACCUGAAGCUCAGCCUGUUUAAAACGAGAAUUUAUUUUUUUCGAAGUUUAUUUUUUGGGUUUGUAUUAUUACCUAAAAUAUAAUGAUUGUAUUAUUAAAAUAUUAAUCAUAUAAAUAGUUACGGAAGUGUGUAAAAUUACUUUAAUUUUUACAUUGUGUAAGUAGAUCAUUCCCCUUAAUAUUAAUAAAUUUUCAUUUUGUUAUAACAUAAUAUUUAAAAUAUGAAUUAAGAUUAAAAAUUAAAUUAAAAAUAUGAAUAUAAAUAGGGUGAGGAUUUAAUACUUUUUGUUAUUCCACAAGUAACCUUAAAAAAUUGACAUGUCUCUCUUUCCUUUAAAUAUUUUAUUAUACUCUUAUAAAACACUUGUCAAUCCCUUGGUCCUGCUAGUGGAGUCUAAAAACUCCAUUGGCAGUGUACUAAGUGAUUUCUCAUAAUUUAUUAUUGAAUUUUUUAAAUUCCACAAGGAAAGUCAAGAAGUUGAUAAAUGUCUUUUUAGAAGUAUAGUAAAAUAUUUUAAAAAAAUUAAAGAUUUUAAUACUGCUUGUAGAAUAAAUAUGUACAAGCCCAAAUUUACCAGGGGCCCAAAAACCCAAUUACAACCAAAACCAAACCCAAAAGACCUAGCCCAAUACCCCUAACCCAACCCAAACAACAGACCCUAAACAUUUAAAAACCAAGCCCAAUUACAAUACCCGACCCAAUAACCCUAAGCCCGAUUAACAGUAGCCUAAAGCCUAACAUCAAAUCAGAAACAGACCCCCUGCUGCCGCUGCCGCGCCACUUGCUCUGCCACCGCCGCGCCUACUUCACCCACUUGCCUACAGAGAAAUGACAAGCAAAAAAUAUUGUAAAAAAUGGCUAUAAAGCCAUAACAACUAUUGUAAACGGGGUCUUCUUCCCCCCUUUUUUUCCACGAGCAUGAAAUAAAAAAACACAACACUUUCAAGGUUUUUUCUUUUUUCAUUUUAGGUACUUAUUUUGGUUAUAUAAUCCUUUUAUUUAUUUAUUUUACAUAUAUGAAAAUAUAAAAAAAAAGAGAGAAAAGGGAAAGAACCUACCGGAGUCAAUCCGCGUCUUUGUCGUCGGAGACCUCUUCUCUGGUGCCUAAAAUCAGUCGUUGAGAAUGUUGAUGGCCUCUUGCCCUUUGUUUUUUUGGUUGUUUUGAGGCCGGAUCCGAACUCAGUGGGUUAGUAUCUAAAAAAAGGACACUUUUUUACCCUCGUCGGCCUCCGUGCACGGUGGCAUCGAUGCUGGCGAUCGACGGCCGACACAGUGGCCUUUGAUUGAACGCUCGGCCGGAGUGUGGGGGAGUAGAGAGGAUUUUGCUUAGUUGUUUUAAGGGGGAGGGUGAAAAUGAAAAAAUUCUAAAAAUUUUGGCUUUUAUAGCCUAUGGGAAACGGCGCCGUUUCAUCCGGCCUCCACAGGCGCCAAAACGGUGUCGUUUUGGGGAGGCCGACCCGAACCUAACCUGUCUGCUCUAAGAUCCGCGCGUUUUAAGAUGGAAGGGCUAAUUGCACUUUUAGCCCUUCCGCCUUCUUUAUGUUUUUAAUUAAGUAUUUUUGUUUUUUCAAUUUUGCACAGUGAUUUUUUUGCGAUUUCGAUUUAGUCCUCGCUAAAACGAUGUCGUUUUGGGGGAAAGAGAAAAUUACCCUUUCAGUCCCUCCAUGUUAUUCGCGUGUUCAGAUUGGUCCUUUCCUUUUAUUUUACUUUUGAUUUUGCCCCAAAUCUUUUCCUUAUAAUUCAAAUUAGUCCUUUUUUGUUAUUUUAUUAUUUUAUUAAUUAACUCAAUUAUUUUAUUUAUUCCUCAUUAUUGUACUAUUAUGUUGUGUUAUUAUUGUUAUUAUAUUUCCAAUUUGUUUAUUGAUCUAAGUUUAAAUAUUUUUAAUCUCAUUAUUAUUAUUAUUAUUAUUAUUAGUUACUCAUUUGUACCUUUUUAAUUUUAGAUUUAAUUAUAUACAUACAUAUCUUUGAUUUAUAUAUAUAUAAAUACUUAUAUAUAUAUUUUUUACAUUUUAAAAUAUGUAUAUUUUUAUAUUUUUAUUUUUAUUUUUUUUAUGAUUCACAUAGAUAUAUAUUUAUAUUUUAUAAUUUUUAUCGAUAUUCUUUGUUGUUAUAAUUGCUUCACUUGGUGUUCACUUAUUUAUUUAUUUACAUGUCCAUUAUUAUUAUUAUUUUUAAAUGCUUUAGUUUUUAUUUGUUUAUUACUUGUUAUUGUGUAUACAUGAUUGAUUUUUUUAUAUAUAUAUUUGUCUUCUUAUUUAUUUAUCUUUUUGUUUUUGCUCGUAUUAUUUUUACUUACAUUAUCAUAAUUGUUAUUCCAUUACAUCAAUUUUUACCAGAUUUGUAAAAGAGAAAAUUUUGAAAAUAAAGGCAAUACUCAGUAUUUGGGAUCUUCGAGAGGAUUGAGCCCUAACGUAUUGGGAUCCAAUUUUCUUCGUUGAAUCUAAAUAAUCGAGAAUGCUCUUUAAUAAAAAACAUAAAUAAAAAGCUCAUUAUCGGGAAUUCAAUACGUUGUGUCCUAACACAUUGGAUAUGACAUGUUGUUUUCUCGAGAUGAGGAUUUUUCUAAAAAAAUAAUAAAGGCAAUAUUCAAUGUUUAGAAUUUUGAGAAAUUGUGCCCUAACGUAUUGGGCUGCGAUUUCUUCAUCUGACUUAAACAAUUGAAUAUCCUUUUAAAUUUUAUUGCACGAGUUUUUUGGACAAGCUCAUUUUUGAGGAGGUGAAAUGUCAUGCCCUAACUCAUUGGGUGUGACAUUUUAUCUCUCCGAAAUGAGAGGGUCUUAAUGGGUAAUUUGUUUUAUAUAAGUUUUUUUUUUACAAAAGAUCGUAUUUUUAAAUUUCUUUAAAGUUUUUAAUUCUCAACACUAAGACACUAAUUAAUCAACUAGGUACCAAUUUUAGGCGUUACGAGGGUGCUAAUCCUUUCUCGUACGUAACUGACUCCCGAGCCUAUUUUUUUGAAUUUCAUAGAACAAAAUCGUUGUUUUAAUAAAAUUAAAUUGUUUAUAAAAAACAACCAUUUUUCGAGGUGUCCCGAUCACACCUCAUCAAAAAGGAUUGGUGGCGACUCUAGUGUUCUUUUUGCAUUCAUUUCGUGCAUUUGCAUUACAUUACGUCAUGAACAUUAAAGUCCACCAAAGAGCCUAAUUGAUUAAAAUUAUUUCAGUUAAUAUGGAAAACCAACACCCUUGCGGUACCCGAACAGAAACUAAAGGAAUAGACCAAAGGUUGGAGAGGUUAGAGCAGAUGCAAAUAUAGAUGCUAGAGCAAUUGACCAAAUUUCAACAAGAUAUGAAGGAUCAGAUGCUAAAAGUCCAAAGAAAUCUGAUGAGCCAGUUAACCCAGUUAUUGGAUAAAGGGUUAGAAAAAGGAAAAAACCAAACGGUCUACUUUAGAGAUGAUAAUGAAGACCCUGCUCAUUUUCCAGACUUUACCCCAACAAACAUCCAAGCACAACCGAAUACAUAUCCACAAAGGGUAACUGUUAACAUCCGACCACAAUACCAGACUAGUACCUCGACACCGGUGAAUUUCGCGACAGGCUCAGGUUCCAACCUUAAGGGCAAUUUAACUAAUCCCGUUGUCCUUGAUGAUCUAGCGGGAGUAAAACAGGCGAGAGUGGAGUUCUCAAAACAAUUUGGAGAUAGUUACAAACAGAAAGGGCAAAAAUGGAGCCCCCAAAUCAAUACUUCGAAAGCACCGAAGAAGAGGAAAAAUGAGGUGAAUGAUGCGAGUAGGUAUAACGAGGGUUAUUCAAAGGCGAUUACUGCAAGCCAGCCAAGGACGGUUGCUUCUAGCCAUUAGAUCCCCCAGAGACAAGAAUCCGGCACAAAGCAAAACAUUGAGAAGUCCCAAUUUACACCAAUCCCAAUGUCAUAUCGGGAGCUGUAUCAGAGUUUAUUUGAUGCACACGUUAUUUCUCCUUUCUACGUGAAGCCUUUACAACCUCCGUACCCCAAAUGGUACGACAAAAAUGUGCAAUGUGACUACCAUGCGGGAAUUACGGAGCAUUCUAUAGAAAAUUUCCCUACCUUUAAAAGGUGGUUGAAAGGCUCAUCAGUAUGGGCAUUGUUAAGUUCGAUACAGAAAAUUUGUUGCCCAAUCAUAUUGAUAAUCGGGGUGAAUGCGAUGAAUGAAGAAAUGUUGGGAAAUGUUCACAUCAACGUCGUAUACAAAGAAACAACUGAAGAAGAGACCUUGUUAGAUAUCCACCUUUAUAAACUUGGGAGUCUUCUAAAUAAAUCGGACUGUAGAAGAAAUCUCUGUAUCAUUUAAAGCUUAUUUAGAGUAAUGUUCAAAACACUUUUGUUGCUUUUGGCCUAGAUGCAGUAAGAAUGUCUAUGUGAAAUAGGCUCAUGUCUGAAUAUUAUCAUUUUAAUGAAAUCCAUUAUUGUGAUUAUUUUGAGCUAGUAUUCUUUCAUUCUUUACAAAUAAUUAUGUUUGAUUCUUUCAUUCUUUUGGAUUUUCUUCCACAUCAUUCUUUCAUUUAUAAUUAUAUUGUACAAAUAAUUAUUCAUAAAUUCAUACAUUCUUUUUAUAUUCUUUUGUACCUACAAUGGGUCCCUAGAUAUCAAUGACAUGAGUGACGCUGCUACAGACUCAGAAUUUCCUUUUGAGCGAGACAUGUGUUUAAAGGGAUCUCAUUACUUUAUUAAAAUUUUUUUGGGUGCAGCCUGACCAAUGGGCAACACUAGACUAAAAUGUGAUGAUCUAAAAACUCUAGGGGCCUUAUAUGUCAAAUUUUCGUUUUUAUUGGCAAUUGAUUCAAAGGGUGUCGCAUGACAGGCGGCACCAAACUUUAAAAAGGAUAAAUUCACCCUAAAUCCCCCUUAUUUAUUAUUUUUCUUUAACACCAAAAAUAGAUUGCCUUUUAUAAAUUAGUCUAAAUUUUUUUUACCAAAAAGUAUUUUUGUAAGUAAACCGUUUCCAUUUGGAAAUAAUUUUAUUUCUUUUUAGAAAAUAUUUAUAAUUUUAUUAUCAAAUUGAUUUAUGUACACGGUAUAAAAUUAUAAUUAUAAAAGCUUUAGAAAAAUCUUAUUAUGUAUAAAUUAUAAUUAUUAGUUAAAUUUAUAGUUUCAAAUAUAAUGAGAGAAAAAGAAAACUACUAUAAAUAUAGUUAAUUGUAAUGUCAAACAUAAUGUGAAUUUUUUGUUUGAAAAAUAAAUAAAAGUUAUUUUGAGUUGGAAUCGACUUACUUUCAAAAAUACUUUUGGUAAAAAAAAAUUAGACUAAUUGAUAAGAGGCCAAUUUAUUAUUGGUGUUAAAAGAUAAUAAAAAUUAAUAAUAAAUAGGAGGUUUAGGGUGCAAUUUACCCUUUUAAAAUUUGGAGCCGUCAUACAGGCGGCACCCUUGAAGAGUUUUUCGACUGUCAAUUAAAAUGGAAAAUUUCCAUAUAAGGUCCCUGAAAUUUUUAGAUCAUCUCAUUUUAGCCUGGUGUGGCCGAUUGCUCAGGCUGCACCUGAAUUUUUUUUAAAUAAAGUGAUGCUGUCGAUUGGUUAGGCGGCACCGAUAUUUCACCGUUUCAUUUGACUAUUCUCAUAAAUAUUAAUCUCUUUAUCCUAUUUUGUAUUUAUUUAUUUAUUUUAUAUUAUUAACGUAAAAAACCCUAUAUUGUGACUUGCGGAAACGUGGAAUGAAAACCAAUUAGGUUUUUUUUUUAAGUUUUUCUUGAAUUAAAAUGCAACCAAUAAAAAUAAUUGAUAUUUUAAUUUAAUAAAAAUAAAAUUAAUUAAUAUUUGAGUAUUUAAUUUUAAAAAUUAUCAAGAUGUAAUUACAACAAUUAAUUUUAAAAGUUAUUAAAGAUAUUUAUAUAUGUCAAUUUUUUAUAAUUAUUAAUGACAUACAUAUAAAUUAAUCAAUUAAUAGUGUGUCUCUCAUAGAUGAUAUUGACAGUAGCGGAGUCAGAAAAUGUUUUUGAAAGACCGGAAUUAAUGUAAAAAUAUAUAAUUUAAAUAAUUUAAUAGCUUUUAUAAUAUUUAAAAUAUUAAAUCAAAAUUUUUUAUCAUUUUAAAGAAGAACAAAGUAUAAUUUUACUUUUAUUAAUUUAAAAUUUUAUAAAUUAUAAAAAUUAUAUAUGAAACCGGAUACUGUCAGCCCCUAUGACUAUGUAAGCCUUGAAAACAUCCUUCCUUAUUGAAUGUCUUUUUCUACUUUGGCAGUGGUGUGCUUUCUUUGAUUCUAGCAGCUCCUUUUAAAUAAAAUUUCCAAAAAUAAUAGAUAUUAUAUGAGGAAUAGUUGGUUGAAGAAAGAAACAGCAAAAAAAUAAAAAAAUUGGCAAAUGACCUUUCAAGAGCUGCAUUUAAUACAUGGAUACUUAAUAAUUCAUUUAUUUAAGGGUAAACUAUAAAAAUAGUCACUUUUGUUUACCUCAGAUUACAUUUUAGUCACUUAUGCUUGAAACGUUACGGUUUAGUCACUUACGUUUUCGUUUUGUUACGAAGCAGUCACUCUACCGUUAAGCUUUGUUACCUCCCUAACAGUGGUCCUACAUGGUAGUCCAAAUGAGUUUUAAAUGCCAACUUGAAUGUCCUACAUGACAGUCCAAAUUAAAUUUAUUUAAUUACAAACUUAUUUUCAUCCCAGCAAAUAGACAUCCAAGUUAACAUUUAAAACCCAUUUGGAUUGCCACGUAGGACUAACGUUAGGGAGGUAAUGGAGUUUAACGGUAGAGUGACCACUUCGUAACAAAACGAAAACGUAAGUGACUAAGACAUAACAUUUCAAACAUAAGUGACUAAAAUGUAAUCUGAGGCAAACAAAAAUGACUAUUUUUAUAAUUUACCCUUUAUUUAAUAAAUUAUUUUAGGGACCGAACAUAUAUCUUUUUCAUUUCGUCGAAAAUCAAUUUUACAGUAUAAACUCCUACGACCUCCCCUCCUAUACCAUGUAGUAAUGAUUCCUCUAACAAUUUCUCAAUUCAAUAAAAGAAAAAAGAAAAGAGGGUCUUAAAUAAUGAGAGAUAUGUAAAAAGGAACUCCUUUUUUACUUUCUAGUUUAUUUUCUAUUUUAGUAUUUUUUUUACAUCUAAAUUAUAUAGAAUUUUUUAUAUAGAUAUAAAUUUUAAAAUGAAUGAUUAAAAUAGGGAAAUGCUGUUGAGCAAAUAAAAUAUUUUAUGAUUGAAGUUAUUGAAUACUCAAGUAGUGUUACCUUAUAAAUCUCUCAUGUCUUCUGAGAAACAAAAUAACAAAUUAUAUUUCUAAUCUCAUUCCAAAGCAGUCUUAAUCAUAAACUUUGUUCCCACUUUGUUUGUUUUCUUUCAAAAGUUAGACAGAAACUAUGAACUUCUCCACUCUUCAUAAUUCACAAAACAAAUCCCAGUCUACCAUUAUUAACUAAAUCUGUAUUAACUAAUCUCAAUUUCCUAAUCCAACACUGUUUUCUCUUUUUUCAUUUCUUUAAAAACUGUUCCAUUUUUAUACUAUAUUACUCCAUUAUAUUGUGGUCAAGUGAAACAAAAGUAAAAUGUAGUGUAUUUUAAAAAUAAUAUAUAUUUAUUAUAAUUCGGGCCGGCCGGGCUGGGCCCAGGCCAAAAAAGUUUUGCUCAAGGCCCAGCUCAUUUUCUAAAUGGGCCCCUUUUUUUAUCCAAACUCAUACUUCGGGCCUAUAUUUUUACCCGAACCCUCCCAGAACACCUCUAAUUUGCACCAAUUCAUCCCAUUUAAUGCAAACAUAUUAAAUAUUUAUAUGUCCAUAAAAGAGUAUGGUUGGAAAGGCAUUUCGACUACUAGAAAGAAUGAAGGAGAAGAGGAUUCUGGUUGUGUUGGAUGAUAUUUGGGAAAAGUUAGAUAUUGAGGAAGUAGGGAUUCCUUUGGGAGAUGAACACAAGGGAUGCAAGUUGCUGUUAACUUCUAGAGAGCUCAAUGUUUUAGUAAAUGGGAUGGAUGCUCAGAAAAAUUUUCCCAUUGGGUUUUUAAACGAAAAGGAAGCCUGGGACCUGUUCAAGAAGAUGGCUGGAAACUGUGAUGAAAGUUGCGAUUUGAAGCCUAUAGCUAUGGAGAUAGCCAAAAAUGUGCAGGAUUGCCAAUAGCCAUUGCGACAGUUGCAGGGGCUUUGAGAAACAAAAGGUUGUUUGAAUGGAAGAAUGCUUUACGAGAACUGGAGAGGCCUUCUUCAAGCAACUUCACGGGGAUAACUGCGGCACAUUCAGCUAUAGAGUGGAGUUUUAAUUAUUUAGAAAGCGAGGAAGUUAAGCUGACUUUCUUGCACUGCAGUGUAAUAGGCCAUAAUGGUCUCGUUGAGGACUUGGUAAGAUAUACUCCAGGUUUGGGUUUAUUUGAUGGUCUCAAAACUAUGGAAGAAGCUAGAAAUAAAGUAUUGACGGUUGUGGCUAAUCUCAAAGCGUCUGCCUUGUUGCUUGAUAGUUAUGAUGAUGAGCGCUUUGAUAUCCAUGAUGUUGUUUGGGAUGCUGCUUUAGCUAUUGGAUUGAAGGACUAUCGUAUGAUUGUUUUGAGAGAUCAUGUUCCAAAGGAGUGGUCCGAUAAGGAGAAAAUGAAUAGGUGGAGUGUGAUCAGCUUACGUUGUCCUCGGAUUAUAGCUAACCUUCCAAAGGAGAUGGAGUGUUCAGGUCUUUCCUUCUUCCAUAUGGCCGGUGCAGUUAAAAUUCCUCCUAAGUUUUUCAAACAAACCGAAGGCCUCAAAGUCUUAGAUUUGUUCGGAAUGCAGUUUCCAUCCCUACCUGAAUCAAUUAUUCACCUCACGGACCUUCACAUGUUGUGUCUAAAAGAAUGUGCAGUUGAUGACAUAACCAUCCGUGGAGAGCUCAAGAAUUUAGAAAUCCUCGACCUUUCUAAGUCAGGUAUCAAAGAACUACCUAUGGAGAUGGCACAAUUGACUCAAUUAAGGUUGUUAGAUUUUAGUUGGUGUACAAAACUCGAAAUCAUCCCACCAAAUGUCUUAUCAAGUUUGUCUAAAUUAGAAGAAUUAUAUAUGGGUGGAAGCUUUGUUGAAUGGGAAAAGGAAUGAGUAGUUGAAACUGAGAGCAAAAAUGCAAGCCUUGACGAAUUAAACAAUUUGCCUUGUCUAACUACUUUAUAUGUUCAUAUUCUUGAUGCUUAAAUGAUUCCAAAGCAUCAAUUCGUUGAGACAUUGGACAAAUACAAUAUUUGUGUAGGUGAUUAUAAUAGGUUUGUAUGGGUCCAAAAUAAUGAAUUUUCAAGAACAUUGAAGCUCAAGUUAUGUACAAACAUUUAUUUGGAGAAUAGGUUGAAAAUGUUGCUGAUAAAAACAGAAGACUUGCGCCUAGAGGGACUUGAAGGCAUCAAAAAUGUAUUUGUGGAGUUAAAUAAUGAGAAAGAUCUUCCACAUUUAAAGCGACUUCAUGUCAAAAAUGGUAUGCAUGUCCAAUAUAUCAAAAUGGACAAAAUUGAGUUUUCUGAAUUAUACUUCAUCAAACUUAAAAAUCUACCGUAACUCAUUAGCUUUUGCUCUCAAGACGAAAGGUGUUCCAUGAGUUCCAAGUUACUACAACUUUUCAAUAAACAGGUAUUUGCUUGGCUUUAUUCAUAUUUUCUUAUACAAUUUUUAUUUAUAUGCCCAUUGUUUCAUAAUACUUCUAAUAAUAAAAAUAAAUAAUAUUAUGUAAUAGUUUUCGGGGCUCAAAAAUAAAUUUCAAACUCAAAACAUAUGGAAAUUUAAUUUCUAAUCCAAACUUAUUGAAAGUCCAAAAUCAAUUCAAUACUCAAAAUUUAAACCCAACAAUGUUUUUUUUUUAAAUUCUGAAAAUGAAAUUGGAACCCACAAUUCGAACUGAAAUUGUCUUUCAAAUCGAAAAUCAUAUUUCCAAAUUUAUGUUACUAUCUUUCCCUUUCCCCUCCUUUUAGAUUUUUAAGAGAAAAAAAGAAUUGUGUGUAAAUAUGUGCAAUUUGUUUUCCAUCACUUGGAAAGCUUGUAAUUGUGUUCCAUUAACACCAAAAUAAUAUGGCACAACCAGACAUGUCAUUUAUUGGAUUACGAAUUUGAGGAGCUUGAUCAUCAAAGGAUGCGGCAAGUUGGAGCAUCUGUUAUCACCCUCUCUUGCUAGAAGUCUGGUGCAGCUCCAAUGCUUUAAGAUAGAGGAUUGCAAGUGCUUAAGGGACAUAAUACUUAUAGAGGAAAUUGAAGAAGAAAGGAAAGAUGUGAUUUGUUUCCCUCGAUUAAACUCCCUGUGUAUAGAUGGUCUUCCAAACCUCAUCUUCUUCAGCUCAGGAAACCAUAAUAUCGAGUUCCCAUUGUUGGAAGAGCUAUGGAUUGAGCGUUGCCCCAAUUUUAUGGAAUUCAUUAGUCAGAGUAGCAAUGAGUCUGGCAUGCACGCUCUCUUCAGUGAGAAGGUGAUUUAUUUCAUUACUCUUAGGCUCUUAUAUAAUUCUGUUGAUUUGUCCUUGUUAUUUUGUCGGGCAUUAUAUGAGCUAACUUUUGUACCGGCACGAAUUAUAUGUAGGUUGCAUUUCCUAGGUUGGAAAAGAUAACAAUCAACAAGUUGAGAAAUGUGAAAAUGAUGUUUCAUAAUAACUUUGCACCAGGUUCUUUUCAAAAUCUACGAGAAAUAAGAGUUGAGGGAUGUGGGAGUCUGAAAAAUCUAUUUCUAGUGUCAAUAGCCAAAGAUCUUCCACAACUUGAAGAUUUAUGCAUCACUAAUUGUGGAGUGGAGGAGAUUGUAUCGAAAGGGGAAGGAGUGGAGGAGCAGCCUGUGAGGUUUUAAUUUCCGCUAGUGUCUUCCCUUGAGGAUACAUCCCUAAAAGAGCUCCAAUGUUUCUAUGAAGCGCAACAUACAAUAGUCUGGCCCAUGUUGAAAAAUUUGAAAACAGAUUGUUCUGCUUUGCUAAAGAUAGUGGCUUCGGAACAUCUUAGAUUAAUCCAAGGAAAUGAGCAGCCAGUUUUGUUGGUUGAAGAGGUAUGUAUAUCAUUACAACUAUAUUUCUUUUCAUGAUUUAAGCCACCGUCACAUCCAUCUCUUGUUGAUAUAUAUAUUAUUUGAAACGGUGGUUGCUUAUCCAUUUUAAUUCGGAUUUUUUAUGCACUUCUUUCAGCUUAUUUUUAUCAUUUUUUAUUUCUAAGGUAUUGUGUUUCUUAAAACAAAAUAUUCAUCUAUUUUGGAUUGGUUUGAUUUAAUAUUGAUUUUGUUGAGAUUUAAUCAUCGAUAUCAAACACCAAAAUUGUAGAUCUUAUGUUCUUUUUAAGCAUAUAGAUCAACAUUGUGCCUAACUUGUUUAUGUUUAAUUGGUUUCAAGGUCAUUCCCAAUUUAGAGGAACUUGAGUUAUUAAAUUUUGGUGAUAUGGACCAGUUUCCACCAGCCUUGGCAAACUCGACAGCAUGCAGGCCAUGAAGACCAAGUCAUGCAGGAGCUGCUGAUACAAGCUUAUUUUGUUUAUUUUGUAAUUCCCAGUCAAUGAAAUGUAAUCUUAGUUCAUUUCUAACUAAGUUAGAUUGUUGACUGAUGUAAUUAGCUUAUGUAUGAGCUGUAAACACAACUUUGUGUAAGUUUACAAGCCAAAAUUUCAAGUUUCCAUGUCAUUAGUGGAGGUAGGUGAUGUUUAGGUAAUUACUUACUGUUUUUGACAAGCUUAGUGCCUGUUUUAUGUAUUGGCAUUGUGCCAUUAUGCAUUUUAUGAAUGAAGUUCAGUUUGUUCAUCAAUUUCUCUAUUCAUUUUUCUUAGCUUUUCUUCCUUUCUCUUGCUCGAAUUCUCUUGUUUGCUCAGCAAGUCUCGAGACUUGCUUAACAAGUUUGCACUGAAUCUGUUAGUUUCAGUUACAGCACCAACAAUUGGUAUCUAAAGCCUAUUUUCUUAAGGGACCUGUUACACAAAUCCAUGGCUUCAUCAAGCUUUUCACCAGCUGCACCUCAAGUCUUCAAUGGAGAAGGCUAUCACAUAUGGGUGGUCAAAAUGAAGACCUACCUGCAGGCUUUCGAUCUGUGGGAGGUGGUCAACUCUGAUGUUGAACCAGAGCCACUUAGAGCUAAUCCAACAGUGGCUCAGAUCAGGCAGCAUGCUGAUGAAAGGACCAAGAGGCACAAGACUAUGUCUUGCAUCCAGAACUCAGUGUCUGAUGUGAUUUUCACAAGGAUUAUGGCCUGUGAAUCACCAAAACAGGCCUGGGACAAGUUGCAGGAAGAGUUUCAAGGGACAGAGAGGACAAGGCAGCAACAGUUGUUAAACUUGAGGAGAGAUUUCAAGAAUUUGAAGAUGAAGGAAGAAGAAACUGUCAAGCAAUAUUCUGACAGGAUUAUGGCUGUGGUUAACAGCAUCAGGCUCCUUGGAGAGCAGUUCAAUGAAGCUAGGAUAGUGGAGAAGGUUAUAGCAACUCUGCCUGAGAGGUAUGAGGCAAAAAUCUCAUCUCUCGAGGACUCAAGGGACCUGUCCACCAUCUCCCUGACAGAGUUUAUCAAUGCUCUAUAUGCUCAAGAGCAGAGGAGAGCAAGCAGACUGGAGGAGCACCAAGAAGGUGCCUUUCAGGCAAGAACAAAUACUACCUACAAAGGCAAGAAGGCCUGGAGAGACAAGCCAAAGAAUGAUGCUGCAAGGAAAGAAGGUCAGACUUGCAAGCACUGCAGAAAGGCUGGUCAUUCAGAAGAAAAAUGCUGGUUCAAUCCAGAUGCUGUGUGUCAGCAUUGUAAGAAGAAGGGUCAUGUUGAGAGAGUCUGUAAGAGCAAGGCCAAAUCAAGGCACAAUCAGUUUCAACAGAUGAAAGCUGAGGCUCGAGUAGCUAAGGAGGACAGUGACCAAGAGAAGCAAGUUUUUGCUGUGUCAUGCUCAGCUGCUCAGGAAAGGUCCUCAUCUGGUUGGCUCCUAGACAGUGGAUGCACCAACCACAUGACACCUGAUGCUGCAAUCUUCAAGUCUUUAGACAGAAGCUGCAGAACUAAGGUCAAGAUAGGAAAUGGUCAUUUUAUUCAAGCUGAAGGCAAGGGUGAUGUGCUAAUAUGCACCCUUACAGGUACCAAAGUGAUUUCAAAUGUGCUGUUGGUGCCUGAAAUUGACAGAAACCUGCUCAGCAUAGCUCAGUUGCUGGAAAAAGGUUAUUCAGUUGUGUUUAAAGACCACCAGUGCCAAAUCAGUGAUCCAAGUGGAUCCAAACUGAUGGCAGUCCCCAUGGCUGAUAAGAGCUUUGUGGUUGACUGGACAAAGAAGUCAGACAUUGCCUACACAGCCACUUCAGAUGAAUCCAAGCUGUGGCAUCAAAGACUGGGACAUACCAACUUCAUAUCGAUGGCCCGAAUGAUCAGAGAAGACCUGGCUGAAAACUUCAUCAACUCAGUGGACCAUGAUGAUGUAUGUGAAGUAUGUCAGCUAGGAAAGCAGGCCAGACUCCCAUUUCCCUCGAAUCAAGCCUGGAGAGCCUCUGAAAAACUCCAACUGGUGCAUACUGAUGUGUGUGGCCCUAUGAAGACUAAGUCAUUAAGUGGAAACAGGUAUUUCAUACUGUUCAUUGAUGAUUUCUCGAGAUAUUGCUGGAUUUACUUCUUAAAACAGAAAUCAGAGGUGGCCACUGUGUUUUGGAAGUUCAAAACUGCUGCUGAGACUGAAACAGGCUGCAAGGUAAAGUCCAUAAGGUCUGAUAAUGGGACUGAGUACACCUCAGCUCAGUUCCAAGCCUUCUGUGAUAAGGCAGGCAUCAAACAUCAACUUACCAACACAUAUACACCUCAGCAGAAUGGGGUAAGUGAAAGGAAGAAUAGGAGUUUGAUGGAUAUGGCCAGGUGCUUGAUGAUUCAGAAGAAUCUGCCUAAAGCACUAUGGGCAGAAGCAGUUAACACUGCAACAUACAUUCAAAAUAGACUUCCAACCAAGGCUUUGGAUCAAAAGACCCCAUUCGAGGCCUGGUUUAGCUUCAAGCCAUCACUGGCUCAUCUGAAGGUCUUUGGAUGCAUCUGUUAUGCACAUGUACCUGCUGUUAAAAGGGACAAAUUGUCUGAAAGGGCUCGACCUGGUGUUUUGGUGGGCUAUAGCACUGUUAAUAAGGGCUAUAGGAUUUUAGAUCCUUCAACAAACAAAGUGUCAGUAAGCAGGGAUGUGGUAUUUGAUGAGAGGUCAUGUUGGAACUGGGAAAGACAUGAACCUGAAGAAGUUUCUGAAGAACUUGCAACAGACCAAGCUGAGCCAGACCAAAAUGUCCCUGAAAUGGAUAUUGAUGAUGAACCAGUCAGAGGAACAAGGCCAUUGGCUGAAAUUUAUGAAAGGGCUCAUGUAGCCAUAGCUGAACCAAACAACUUUGAAGAGGCUGAGGCUCAGCAAGGGUGGAAGCAGGCAAUGGCUGAGGAGAUCAGCAUGAUUGAGAAGAACCAGACCUGGGAAUUGGUUGAAAGGCCAGUCAAAAGGAAGGUGAUUGGGGUGAAAUGGGUGUACAAAGCCAAGCAGAAUGCUGAUGGUACCUUGAACAAGCUGAAAGCAAGGCUAGUUGUCAAGGGGUUCAGUCAGAGGUAUGGCUUGGACUACCUGGAGACCUUUGCACCAGUGGCCAGGCUCGACACCAUCAGACUGCUGAUUGCCUUAGCAGCACAGCUCGAAUGGAAGAUCCAUCAACUUGAUGUGAAAUCAGCCUUUCUGAAUGGUUUCUUAGAUGAAGACAUCUAUGUUGAACAACCACAAGGGUUUGAAAUAGCUGGCAGAGAGCAUAUGGUCUACAAACUGAAGAAGGCCCUAUAUGGAUUAAAACAGGCUCCAAGGGCUUGGUAUAGCAGAAUCGAUGGCUACUUGACUGAUCUGGGAUUCGAUCGAAGCAAGAGUGAGCCAACAAUGUAUGUCAAGAAACAAGGGACACAAAUACAACUCAUUGUGUCCCUGUAUGUUGAUGAUCUUCUGGUGAUAGGAGGAGAUCGAGUAGUGCUGGCUGAUUUCAAGACCAAGAUGCAGGAAGUGUUUGAAAUGUUUGAUCUUGGGGAGAUGUCAUACUUUCUUGGAAUGGAAGUGUCUCAAGUACAGAAUGAGAUAUUUCUAAGCCAGAGAAGCUUUGCCACAAAGAUUCUGACCAAGUUCUCCAUGCAAAACAGCAAGGCAACUAAAACACCUGUUGCUGUUGGAGAAAAACUAUCGAGCCAAGGUGAUUUUAAGAAAGUUUAUGAAACAACCUACAGGAGUCUAGUUGGUUGCUUGCUAUACUUGACUGCCACUAGACCAGACAUCAUGUAUGCUGUAGGAUUACUCUCAAGGUUCUUGCAUUGCUGCAAUGAGAAGCAUUUCCAAGCUGCAAAAAGAGUGCUGAGAUAUGUCAAAGGCACUUUAAACUAUGGUUUGAAGUACAGCAAAGAAGGAAAUCUGAAGCUGGUUGGCUACACUAAUAGUGACUGGGCUGGCUCGAUAGAUGACAUUAAAAACACCUCAGGGUAUGCUUUUAACCUUGGUUCAGCCAUGUUUUGCUGGAGCUCAAAGAAGCAAAGUCUAGUAGCUCAAUCUACUGCUGAAGCAGAGUAUGUGGCAACAGCAAGUGCUGUCAACCAAGCCAUAUGGCUAAGGAAAAUAUUGGCUGACUUGAAUGUGCAUCAAGAGGAAGCUACUGAGAUCUUCUGUAACAACCAAUCUGCAGUAGCAAUUGCUAAAAAUCUAGUGUUCCAUGGAAGAACAAAACAUUUCAGCAUCAAGUUGCAUGUUGUUCGAGAAAUGGAGCAAGCUCAGGAAGUAAAGCUGAUCCACUGUAAUUCAGAGGAUCAACUUGCAGACAUUUUAACCAAAGCCCUUAGUGUCACAAGGUUCGAAUGUCUAAGAAAGAAGCUAGGUGUUUGCUCUAUGCAAACCAAGGAGGAGUGAUGAAGUUGGUUCAGCAUGCAGCAAACUCGACAGCAUGCAGGCCAUGAAGACCAAGUCAUGCAGGAGCUGCUGAUGCAAGCUUAUUUUGUUUAUUUUGUAAUUCCUAGUUAAUGAAAUGUAAUCUUAGUUCAUUUCUAACUAAUUUAGAUUGUUGACUGAUGUAAUUAGCUUAUGUAUGAGCUGUAAACACAACUUUGUGUAAGUUUACAAGCCAAAAUUUCAAGUUUCCAUGUCAUUAGUGGAGGUAGGUGAUGUUUAGGUAAUUACUUACUGUUUUUGACAAGCUUCGUGCCUGUUUUAUGUAUUGGCAUUGUGCCAUUAUGCAUUUUAUGAAUGAAGUUCAGUUUGUUCAUCAAUUUCUCUAUUCAUUUUUCUUAGCUUUUCUUCCUUUCUCUUGCUCGAAUUCUCUUGUUUGCUCAGCAAGUCUCGAGACUUGCUUAACAAGUUUGCACUGAAUCUGUUAGUUUCAGUUACAGCACCAACAGUUUUUGAAGUGCGUGGUGGUGGUGGCUCUCGAUCUUCUAUAUUUCCUUUCGUUCGAAGAUUUUACAAUUUGGAUAGUUUUAGGCUUCCUUCGAAGAUUUUACAGUUUGGAUAGUUUUAGGCUUCGUGAUUUUGAUUUCAAAUAUGUAGUCCCUUGUAAAGGACACGUUGGGACUCUCACACCAAUUAGAAAUCUGAUAUUGAAUCGUGCCAUAAAUCUUAAACAUAUAUGGAGGAAAGAUUCGGAGUUUGACUAUAUUCUUUCUAAUCUUCAAACACUCAAAGUUCAUAAUUGUGAUGAUUGGAUAAAUAUUACAGUCUCCUCAUCUUUACAAAAUCUCACGACUUUGAAUGUGUCAUUUUGUCAUUUUUUUUUAGGAUGAAUUCUAUGAGGGAGACUAUUUGAACAUCUCUGACACAUUUCCCAAGUCAAUAGAAAUAUGGAUUAGAAACCCUCAAGAAAUUUUGGAAUUCAAAAACCUUGUUUCGUUGCAUUUUUAUAAAUGUAGUAGCUUGAAGUACAUAUUUACUUCGUCUAUGCUUUUGAGCCUCAAUCAACUACAAGUGAUAAAAGUAAAAGAAUGCAGUUCAAUGGAACAAGUGGUUAGGGAGGAAGCAAUGACAGAUAAAUUCACAUUUCUUGCACUCUUCUCCAUAAGAAUUGAGUUGUGUUCCAACUUGACAAAUUUCUAUUUGGGAAGUCAAGCUCUUGAAUUUCCACAGCUGAGAAAUAUCACGAUAGCUGAGCGUCCAAAAAUGACUACAUUUUCUUUCUCAGUUUCAAGAGGAAGUGGUGAUGCAAGUGAAAACGUGGUUGGCGAGGGGGGCGCCUAUGAUAACCCUGCAAUAUUUUUCAGCAAUAAGGUAAGUUUAGUAUUCAAUAUUUAUCUGCACAACUUAUUUCACGUUUUCCUUUUAUUUGAUUAAUUUAUAUGAGUGUGUCUGGUCUAUAUAUAUAUUAGUAUUAAUGUCACGUGAUACGUGUUGUAAAAAAUUAAUAUAAUAAAAUCCAUAAAAAUAUUAAUAAAUAAGAUAAUGUUUUUUAAUUUGAAGUUUAAAGUAUAAAUAAAUAUAUAAAAUAAGAAUAAAGGAAAAACUUAAAAGUGAAAUACUAAUAAACAAUAAGAAUUUAAGAGAAGUUUUAAAGUUAAAUACUAAUGGACAAUAAAUAAUAAAAUAAUAAUAGAAAAUAAAAUAAAAAACUAAUCUUCAUAUAUUUUAAUUUGAAGAAUAUUUGAUGUACUAGCGGUACACAAGCUUCAUGUAUCAUCGGUGAAUAAGAACAUACAAUUAUCAUUAAAUACCACAAAAAUAUAGUAAAGGGUUUAUAAAUAAAUACUAAUAAAUUUAUCUAAACAUAAUUAAAUAAAAAUUAAUUGUAAUUAAAUAUCAAAACCCUAAAUCCUAAACUUGAAAUUCUAAGCCCUUAAACAUAAGAUCUUAAAUCCGAAAGUUAUUAAUAUUUAUUUAUAAUAGCUACGACUAAGGUUAAAUAAAUUUUUCAUCUCUUUUUGCUUUUGAACUUACAUUUUUAUCAAAUCACCUCAAAAUGAAAGAGAAAGUUUAUAUUUGUUAACUUCACUUAUGUGACAAUCCAUGUGUAUGCAAAGUUAGCAAUUAAUUAAUUUUUAAAAUAUUGUAUAUAUUUUUAAAUAUUUUUAUAAAAUUUUCAAAAUAAAAUAAAAAUUAAUUGUUGACAUGUCAUCUACAGCCAAUCCAGUGUAUAUAACAUCAGCAAAGUUAACAAAUGUCAAUUUUUUUUCUCUACUUUGAAUGAUUUGACAAAUAACACAAGUUCAAAGGAUAAAAGAAAUAAAAAUAAAAAUAGAGAGCUAAAAUGAAAAUUUUUUUUUUAUAAAGUUGGGGGUUAAAUAAAUUAUCUAUGCCUAAGUCUUUUUUAAGGUAACUCAUUAAAUAACUUAAGUAAUUAAUGUAAAUCAUUAAUGGAAACUACAUAAAUAUGUGAGUCCAACUUAGUUAGAAACAAGCAUAUUCCCCUAUUCAAUCGCAUCAAUAAUAAUCAUUCAACAAUCAUUAUAGUAUAUAUGAAAGCUCCAAGUUGUAUAGAAAAAGGCUUCUUUCUUUAAAAAAAAAUUUGCUUUAGGUUAGAUUUAUGCUGCUGAACAUUUCAACUAAACAAAAAAGGUCCACGUCUGCUAGCUAUAUUUAUCAGUUUAUAAAUCUUCAUACUCAUCUACUCUUUUUGAUUGUGUUUAUAAGUAAAGAAGGAAGAGUUAUGAUGUUAUCUUAUAAUGAAAUUUAUGUCAACAGGUUGUCAUUCCUCCUUUGCAGCAUCUGGAAUUGUCCGUCGUUAACAUUCAUGAGAUAUGGCACCACCCAUCCUCCCCAUCUGUCGGAUGUCUAAAUUCCUUGCAAGUGAAGAGGUGUCACAAUUUGAAAUACCUGUUCCCGUCUUUCUUGGUAAAAGAUCUUGUGCAACUCCGACGCCUUGAAAUUUUGGACUGUAAUAUGAUGGAACAAGUAAUAUUCACGGAUGGAUUGGUUGAAGAACAUCAAGGGAGGAAUCAGAUGUUUUUCUCUGAACUAGAAUUGCUGUGGCUAAAAGAACUUCCCAAACUCACAAGUUUAUGCUUUGGGAAUUGCUUUGAAUUCCAAUGUUUGACAGAUUUAGAACUAACAAAUUGUCCAUUGCUUAAAACAUUCAUCACUAAAUGUGUAUCUGAAGAUGAACCUAAAAUUGGCCAACAUGUACAAGCGAGUAACUUGGAGGUUCAUAACUCAUCUCUCCUCAAUGAAAAGGUCAUUUCUUUAUGGGUUCUCCUUUUAAUUUGUGUUGCUUCCAUUGCUCUUAUUCAUUUGAAGUUCUUUCUUUUCCAUGCAUAUUUCAGUUAUUAACCUAAUGAAAUGAUUUAGCAGGUUGUUUUCCCUAGUUUGGAGAAUGAUGAAGUUGGUUCAGCAUGCAGCAAACUCGACAGCAUGCAGGCCAUGAAGACCAAGUCAUGCAGGAGCUGCUGAUGCAAGCUUAUUUUGUUUAUUUUGUAAUUCCUAGUCAAUGAAAUGUAAUCUUAGUUCAUUUCUAACUAAGUUAGAUUGUUGACUGAUGUAAUUAGCUUAUGUAUGAGCUGUAAACACAACUUUGUGUAAGUUUACAAGCCAAAAUUUCAAGUUUCCAUGUCAUUAGUGGAGGUAGGUGAUGUUUAGGUAAUUACUUACUGUUUUUGACAAGCUUCGUGCCUGUUUUAUGUAUUGGCAUUGUGCCAUUAUGCAUUUUAUGAAUGAAGUUCAGUUUGUUCAUCAAUUUCUCUAUUCAUUUUUCUUAGCUUUUCUUCCUUUCUCUUGCUCGAAUUCUCUUGUUUGCUCAGCAAGUCUCGAGACUUGCUUAACAAGUUUGCACUGAAUCUGUUAGUUUCAGUUACAGCACCAACAAUUGGUAUCUAGAGCCUAUUUUCUUAAGGGACCUGUUACACAAAUCCAUGGCUUCAUCAAGCUUUUCACCAGCUGCACCUCAAGUCUUCAAUGGAGAAGGCUAUCACAUAUGGGUGGUCAAAAUGAAGACCUACCUGCAGGCUUUCGAUCUGUGGGAGGUGAUCAACUCUGAUGUUGAACCAGAGCCACUUAGAGCUAAUCCAACAGUGGCUCAGAUCAAGCAGCAUGCUGAUGAAAGGACCAAGAGGCACAAGACUAUGUCUUGCAUCCAAAACUUAGUGUCUAAUGUGAUUUUCACAAGGAUUAUGGCCUGUGAAUCACCAAAACAGGCCUGGGACAAGUUGCAGGAAGAGUUUCAAGGGACAGAGAGGACAAGGCAGCAACAGUUGUUAAACUUGAGGAGAGAUUUCGAGAAUUUGAAUAUGAAGGAAGAAGAAACUGUCAAGCAAUAUUCUGACAGGAUUAUAGCUGUGGUUAACAGCAUCAGGCUCCUUGGAGAGCAGUUCAAUGAAGCUAGGAUAGUGGAGAAGGUUAUAGCAACUCUGCCUGAGAGGUAUGAGGCAAAAAUCUCAUCUAUCGAGGACUCAAGGGACCUAUCCACCAUCUCCCUGACAGAGUUGAUCAAUGCUCUAUAUGCUCAAGAGGAGAGGAGAGUGAGAAGACUGGAGGAGCACCAAGAAGGUGCCUUUCAGGCAAGAACAAAUACUGCCUACAAAGGCAAGAAGGCCUGGAGAGACAAGCCAAAGAAUGAUGCUACAAAGAAAGAAGGUCAGACUUGCAAGCACUGCAGAAAGGCUGGUCAUUUAGAAGAAAAAUGCUGGUUCAAUCCAGAUGCUGUGUGUCAGCAUUGUAAGAAGUAGGGUCAUGUUGAGAGAGUCUGUAAGAGCAAGGCCAAAUCAAGGCACAAUCAGUUUCAACAGAUGAAAGCUGAGGCUCGAGUAGCUAAGGAGGAGUGUGACCAAGAGGAGCAAGUUUUUGCUGUGUCAUGCUCAGCUGCUCAGGAAAGGUCCUCAUCUGGUUGGCUCCUAGACAGUGGAUGCACCAACCACAUGACACCUGAUGCUGCAAUCUUCAAGUCUUUAGACAGAAGCUGCAGAACUAAGGUCAAGAUAGGAAAUGGUCAUUUUAUUCAAGCUGAAGGCAAGGGUGAUGUGCUAAUAUGCACCCUUACAGGUACCAAAGUGAUUUCAAAUGUGCUGUUGGUGCCUGAAAUUGACAGAAACCUGCUCAGCAUAGCUCAGUUGCUGGAAAAAGGUUAUUCAGUUGUGUUUAAAGACCACCAGUGCCAAAUCAGUGAUCCAAGUGGAUCCAAACUGAUGGCAGUCCCCAUGGCUGAUAAGAGCUUUGUGGUUGACUGGACAAAGAAGUCAGACAUUGCCUACACAGCCACUUCAGAUGAAUCCAAGCUGUGGCAUCAAAGACUGGGACAUGCCAACUUCAUAUCGAUGGCCCGAAUGAUCAGAGAAGACCUGGCUGAAAACUUCAUCAACUCAGUGGACCAUGAUGAUGUAUGUGAAGUAUGUCAGCUAGGAAAGCAGGCCAGACUCCCAUUUCCCUCGAAUCAAGCCUGGAGAGCCUCUGAAAAACUCCAACUGGUGCAUACUGAUGUGUGUGGCCCUAUGAAGACUAAGUCAUUAAGUGGAAACAGGUAUUUCAUACUGUUCAUUGAUGAUUUCUCGAGAUAUUGCUGGAUUUACUUCUUAAAACAGAAAUCAGAGGUGGCCACUGUGUUUUGGAAGUUCAAAACUGCUGCUGAGACUGAAACAGGCUGCAAGGUAAAGUCCAUAAGGUCUGAUAAUGGGACUGAGUACACCUCAGCUCAGUUCCAAGCCUUCUGUGAUAAGGCAGGCAUCAAACAUCAACUUACCAACACAUAUACACCUCAGCAGAAUGGGGUAAGUGAAAGGAAGAAUAGGAGUUUGAUGGAUAUGGCCAGGUGCUUGAUGAUUCAGAAGAAUCUGCCUAAAGCACUAUGGGCAGAAGCAGUUAACACUGCAACAUACAUUCAAAAUAGACUUCCAACCAAGGCUUUGGAUCAAAAGACCCCAUUCGAGGCCUGGUUUAGCUUCAAGCCAUCACUGGCUCAUCUGAAGGUCUUUGGAUGCAUCUGUUAUGCACAUGUACCUGCUGUUAAAAGGGACAAAUUGUCUGAAAGGGCUCGACCUGGUGUUUUGGUGGGCUAUAGCACUGUUAAUAAGGGCUAUAGGAUUUUAGAUCCUUCAACAAACAAAGUGUCAGUAAGCAGGGAUGUGGUAUUUGAUGAGAGGUCAUGUUGGAACUGGGAAAGACAUGAACCUGAAGAAGUUUCUGAAGAACUUGCAACAGACCAAGCUGAGCCAGACCAAAAUGUCCCUGAAAUGGAUAUUGAUGAUGAACCAGUCAGAGGAACAAGGCCAUUGGCUGAAAUUUAUGAAAGGGCUCAUGUAGCCAUAGCUGAACCAAACAACUUUGAAGAGGCUGAGGCUCAGCAAGGGUGGAAGCAGGCAAUGGCUGAGGAGAUCAGCAUGAUUGAGAAGAACCAGACCUGGGAAUUGGUUGAAAGGCCAGUCAAAAGGAAGGUGAUUGGGGUGAAAUGGGUGUACAAAGCCAAGCAGAAUGCUGAUGGUACCUUGAACAAGCUGAAAGCAAGGCUAGUUGUCAAGGGGUUCAGUCAGAGGUAUGGCUUGGACUACCUGGAGACCUUUGCACCAGUGGCCAGGCUCGACACCAUCAGACUGCUGAUUGCCUUAGCAGCACAGCUCGAAUGGAAGAUCCAUCAACUUGAUGUGAAAUCAGCCUUUCUGAAUGGUUUCUUAGAUGAAGACAUCUAUGUUGAACAACCACAAGGGUUUGAAAUAGCUGGCAGAGAGCAUAUGGUCUACAAACUGAAGAAGGCCCUAUAUGGAUUAAAACAGGCUCCAAGGGCUUGGUAUAGCAGAAUCGAUGGCUACUUGACUGAUCUGGGAUUCGAUCGAAGCAAGAGUGAGCCAACAAUGUAUGUCAAGAAACAAGGGACACAAAUACAACUCAUUGUGUCCCUGUAUGUUGAUGAUCUUCUGGUGACAGGAGGAGAUCGAGUAGUGCUGGCUGAUUUCAAGACCAAGAUGCAGGAAGUGUUUGAAAUGUCUGAUCUUGGGGAGAUGUCAUACUUUCUUGGAAUGGAAGUGUCUCAAGUACAGAAUGAGAUAUUUCUAAGCCAGAGAAGCUUUGCCACAAAGAUUCUGACCAAGUUCUCCAUGCAAAACAGCAAGGCAACUAAAACACCUGUUGCUGUUGGAGAAAAACUAUCGAGCCAAGGUGAUUUUAAGAAAGUUUGUGAAACAACCUACAGGAGUCUAGUUGGUUGCUUGCUAUACUUGACUGCCACUAGACCAGACAUCAUGUAUGCUGUAGGAUUACUCUCAAGGUUCUUGCAUUGCUGCAAUGAGAAGCAUUUCCAAGCUGCAAAAAGAGUGCUGAGAUAUGUCAAAGGCACUUUAAACUAUGGUUUGAAGUACAGCAAAGAAGGAAAUCUGAAGCUGGUUGGCUACACUGAUAGUGACUGGGCUGGCUCGAUAGAUGACGUGAAAAGCACCUCAGGGUAUGCUUUUAACCUUGGUUCAGCCAUGUUUUGCUGGAGCCCAAAGAAGCAAAGUCUAGUAGCUCAAUCUACUGCUGAAGCAGAGUAUGUGGCAACAGCAAGUGCUGUCAACCAAGCCAUAUGGCUAAGGAAAAUAUUGGCUGACUUGAAUGUGCAUCAAGAGGAAGCUACUGAGAUCUUCUGUGACAACAAAUCUGCAGUAGCAAUUGCUAAAAAUCCAGUGUUCCAUGGAAGAACAAAACAUUUCAGCAUCAAGUUGCAUGUUGUUCGAGAAAUGGAGCAAGCUCAGGAAGUAAAGCUGAUCCACUGUAAUUCAGAGGAUCAACUUGCAGACAUUUUAACCAAAGCCCUUAGUGUCACAAGGUUCGAAUGCCUAAGAAAGAAGCUAGGUGUUUGCUCUAUGCAAACCAAGGAGGAGUGAUGAAGUUGGUUCAGCAUGCAGCAAACUCGACAGCAUGCAGGCCAUGAAGACCAAGUCAUGCAGGAGCUGCUGAUGCAAGCUUAUUUUGUUUAUUUUGUAAUUCCUAGUCAAUGAAAUGUAAUCUUAGUUCAUUUCUAACUAAGUUAGAUUGUUGACUGAUGUAAUUAGCUUAUGUAUGAGCUGUAAACACAACUUUGUGUAAGUUUACAAGCCAAAAUUUCAAGUUUCCAUGUCAUUAGUGGAGGUAGGUGAUGUUUAGGUAAUUACUUACUGUUUUUGACAAGCUUAGUGCCUGUUUUAUGUAUUGGCAUUGUGCCAUUAUGCAUUUUAUGAAUGAAGUUCAGUUUGUUCAUCAAUUUCUCUAUUCAUUUUUCUUAGCUUUUCUUCCUUUCUCUUGCUCGAAUUCUCUUGUUUGCUCAGCAAGUCUCGAGACUUGCUUAACAAGUUUGCACUAAAUCUGUUAGUUUCAGUUACAGCACCAACAGAGAAGUUGCGGAUUCAGAAUUGUGAUUCGUUAGAACAAAUUAUUGAGCUGCAAGGAGUCAUUGCUGAUGAGUCACAGUCAACAUCAGCUGCUCAAUCUAUUAUGGCUGAAACAGAGACGACCAAGUUUGUAUUUCCCAAACUAAUAAACCUCGGAUUGGAUAAGGUGCCGAGAUUGAAAAGUUUCUACUCUAGGAUGCAUACCACCCAGUGGCCUUUAUUGAAACAAAUGGACAUUAUUGAAUGCCCCAAAGUACAGAUAUUUACUCCACAAUGUCCUGAGAGUCAGGUUGGAAUCUCAAACCAACAACCCUUGUUUUGCGUUAGCGAGGUGAGCUCACUAACAGUUUCAUACUCCAUGUUCAUUACUUGAGAUUACCUAUAAAAUGCCUUUUGAAAUAACUAAUAUUCUCACCUUCCUUUUAAAUUUAUGAGAAAGAAAAUGGAAAUUAUAUUCAUUCUGUAGUCUAGUUCUUACUAAUUGAAAACUCUUUGAUCAAUGUUUAAUAUAUUCGUUGCCAUCCAGGACACUUUCCCUGUAUUAGAAGAACUAACACUGAAGACGAAUGAUAUGGUGGAGGGGAUAUGUGAUGGACAACUCUCAUUGCAGUGUUUCCAAAACCUUAAGCAUCUUAACCUCCAGUUCUUUACUGAGACAUCCACUACUCUUCCGUAUUCCUUCAUUCGGUCUCUACCAAUGCUUCAUAAGCUUGUUAUAGACAAUGCUUCCAUUUGUCAAAUAGUACAAUCUGAAGGACUCAGCGACCAGGAAAGGCAUACAUCAGCAUUCUAUCAGCUAAAGGAAUUAAGUUUGUCUCAUCUUCCAGAGUUGACGUUAAAGACUUUUGAACCAUCUUUGCUGUCUUUCAAUAAUCUAACAACACUGGAAGUUUCAAGAUGCCAUGGGUUCAUCAAUUUAAUCGUAUGCUCAACAGCUAAGUGCCUGACGCUACUGGAAAGAUUGAGCAUAGAUGAUUGUGAGAUGAUAGAGGAAAUUAUAGCGUGUGAGGCUGAAGAAAUACAAGGCGGCAUUGUAUUUCCCAAACUGAAGUAUUUGCAACUAAGCUGUCUGCCACGUCUAGCAAGCUUUUCCUUGGCCCAUCACUCGUUGGAAUUCCCAGUCUUGCUAAUGGUGAAGGUGACAAAGUGUCCCAAAAUGAGGAAUUUCUUCCAAGGAGAUUUAAGCACACCAAGGCUGGAACAAAUGCACUUAACAAGAGAUGAGGAACGUGAACUACAGUGGGAAGGCGACCUUAACACUACCAUAAAACAUAUGUUCGAUGAAAUGGUACAAAUCAUUUAAAGGAUUUAAAUUCAUGUGUUUUUACAUACAUACAUAGUUAACUAAAUAAUUCUUGGUUUGUUAUGAUCAUGCACAGAAUGUGCAAAAUUCUGAGGUGACUGAGGUUACUGAUCGGUUGCCCAAGCUGGAAUAAGGAAAUAUGUUUGGGUGCUUAUGCGAAAAGCUCAAUUUCGUUUCAAACCAAAACGAAUGGUAAUUGACCCUUCUAUUUUCAUCAUGGCUUAACUAAAGAUUUAUAAAGUGACCAUAGAGACGCCCUUUUCAUUGUAGGUUGAGUUGCUCUACUGAAGCACAUGGCUGCAUCUGUUGGUAGAACGUGAAAGGUUAUUUCAGUUUUUGUAAAACUACUAUUUGAACUGUUCCAUUUCGCAUUAUAACCUCACAAUUGUAUUUCAAGUGCAUCAUGCAUGGCAUUGGGAACUACAAACAUGUAAACUUUUACUAGUAAGCAAAAUAAAUAAAAAAAUCAUAAAUUAGAGUAUGAAAGUAAACAUAUUAAAGCAUACUUUUUGGUUUCAGAAUUUAAAUGAUUUGAGUUAAUUUGAAGCCAUAAAAAAAGAUAAAUUCAAUUAUAAAUUCUGAUAUUUGAAAAUUUUACAAUAAUAAUAAAUAAAUGCUUAAUGAAAUAAUUAAGAUUAUAAGGCAACAAGCUUAAUUAAGAGGGGUAUUUGUAAAUAUUAGUAAAAUUUACGGUAAAUAUUAUAUGAAAUAAGCAAAUUUAUGUUAUUAAUUAACCAAAUAGUUGUUUUUGGGUAAAAAAAAUGUAGUAAUAUGUUACAAUUUUUAGGGUGUUAAAUUAAUAUGAUUUGUCUUGAUUAAAUGUAUUAAAUUUAAUGUAACUAUUUUGAAUUUUAUUUCGGGAAUUGAAUUGAUCCGCAAAUCAAUAUAUUAAAAAAAUAAUAUUUUAAAUUUGGGAAGGUUUACUAGUAAUAAUGCUAUCUAUCUAUUGAUAAAAAUAUAUUAUAAUCAAAAUAAUAUUUUCAUGGUAAGCUUAGCUAUCCUUUACCGUCAACAUCCUUUAUGGGUUGCUUAGAGUAUUAUAUAUAGAUGAAGCUUUAGUUCAACACUGAUCUUAAUUUAAUAUUUUGAUUUUACAUAUUGACAGAUUAAAAUUCUUUUUGAAGUUUUAUAAGUCAGAAAUUUUUUUAUUUUGAAUAGUCAACUUACAUUUUAAUUCAUUUAGGGUGAGUUUGGAUGGGCGGUGUAUUUACCUGCGGUUAGUGUAAAAACAACGGUGGCGGUGAGAUUAGAUACUGUAGUGAUACUGUAGCGUGAGACAAAAAGUAUGCUAAACACACCACACCGCACCCAAUCGCCCAUCCAAACCUACUCUUAGUAUGUUUAAUCACUUUAGGUACAAAUAUAUUUCGUGUACCAAUCUAAUCAUGCACUAUAAUAGCUAAUUUUAAUUAUAACUUGAUGGUUGGUGGUUGUUGUUGGAUUUGGUGAACUCUCAAGUGCUCGAGUCUGUUGAUCUAAAGGUUGUGGCCUUUCAUCUUUAAUUUCAGGGUCAGCAAAGGUUUGAGAAGGUUGCUAGUCAUCCUAAUUCCAAGUGUUCUCCCCAUCAAAAAUUACGUCUUGGGUAAUCACAAUUUCUUCGUUAAAGGAUUAAACAGUUUAUAUGCUUUAGAUGUUUCACUUGCACCUAGAAAGACACACUUUUCUCCCUUGUUAUCAAGCUUCUUUCUCUUUGCAUCUGGAAUACGUGCAUAAGCAAUGUAACCAAAAAUUUUGAAGUGAUCUACCGUUGGUGGUCUCCUUCGACACCAAGCUUCUUCAGGUGUCAUGUUUUGAACAACAAAAGUUGGGCUUCUGUUCAAAACAUGGAUGCUCCAAUUUACUACUUCUAGCCAAAAUCGUUUUGGGACCCUUCCACCAGAAAGCAUGCUCCUCACCAUAUUAAGUAUGGUUAUGUUUUUCCUCUUUGAUACGCCAUUUUGUUGGGGGGUAUAUGCAGUAGUAAGCUCUUUUCGAAUGCCAUGACUCUCACGAAAUGCUUCAAAUUCCUUGGAGCAAUAUUCUCCUCCACAUUAAGUGCAAAGAGCUUGAAUGGUUUUCCCGAUUUCAUUCUCAACAAAUGCCUUGAAGCUAGUAAAUGCACUAAAUGCUUCUAAUUUCUCCUGUAAGAACUAAACUCAUGUUUUCCGAGAAUAAUCAUGAAUGAAAGUAAGGAAAUAUUUUUUUUACCUCCAUUAGAUGAUGGUUUUAUUGGCCCUUAGAUAUUUGAAUGAACCAAUUCCAGCCACGUUUUGCUCUCAAAGACUUUCCUUUGGGAAAUUGUUCACGAUUUUGUUUGCUAACAACACAAUCUUCACACACAUGGGAAAGAAUGACAAUCUGAGGAAGGUCGCUGACCAUUUCUUUCUGUCUAAGAGUCUUCAAACCCCCAAAAUUAAGAUGACCAUAGUGGAAAUGACAAAACCACGAGUCAACCUUCACUUUAGCCAUCAAGCAAGGUUUUAAAAUAUCUUUGCUUCUUCCCAAAGGUCUCAAAGCAUGUUAUGGAGUUUGAGUCUGAUUCAAUGGUUGCGUUAUGUGGCUUGGCUGUAGUUUAUUGCACCUUUGUACUUCUUUCUUUUAUGAAUAAAAUCAAUGCUUAUUAGAAAAAAAGAAAACAAAAACAAAUAGUAGAUAGCAACAAACAAAGAAAAAAAAACCUUAUGCCCCACUAACAUUUUUUUUGUACGUUUAGUCAAAAUGAAUAUAAUUAAAAAUAUUAAAUAGAUGCCAAUUGAGUUUUAGUGUAGUUGGUAUUGGUAUUAUUAACUUUGCUUAGUCCAUAUCCCCAUAAUAUGCGAUGGUCAUAUGUGACUUUUAAUCCAUUUAAUCUAAUUUGUUGGCUUUAGUACUGAUUGUACUGACUUUUAUUCUUGUUGUGGUCUAAUGAUUUGAUUCUAUUUUGUAAUUCCUUAUAUCAUUCGUGUUGUAAUAGUUUGAUACUUGUAACAAACAAAUACAAUUUAAAAAAUGGCUAGUAUUUGGUACACUGUUAGAAUAUUAUUAUGAGAUAUUAUCUUUUUGGAAUAUCUAAAUAUAUUGUAUAUUAUUAUAUAUCUUUUAAGCAUAUAUUUAGGAAUAUAUUAUCUAUCUUUCCUAUUUCUACAUGACUAUUGUUAUAUAAAUAUUAUGUAUAUUCUUGAAGCUUAUCAAUAAGAUUGAAAUGAAUUACCCUAUUCUUGUCAUGGUAUCUAAGCUUGGUGUUUAACACAAAAAAAGAGAAAAAUUUAAUCGUUUUCAAUGGCUGGUAGUGAUUCUACUUCUCCACCACCAGGGGCAAGAUAAUCAUCAGGGGAAGGGCGACACUUCUUGGUUUUACUGCUGAGCAAUGACAAUCUCUUCUGGUGGUGUUUGGUAAUACACAAUCCACUACCAAUCAGUUGAAUGGACAUUCAUUUUGAGGGGGUUGAUUAGAGCGGGUGAGAGACGAGAUGGACUUUAUUACUCUGUUGGUUAAUAAGAAUGAAGUUUUCAAGCAGGGGAGAAGGUAGAAAAUUUUUCUAAGAGGGUCGAAAUUAAAUUGUAAUUUUUAAUAGUCUAUAUUUUUAUAAUUUUUAAAGGAUUAAAUCAAAUAUUAUCAUUUUAAGGGGACUAAAGUGUAAUUUUACCUUUACUAAUUUAAAAUGUUAAAAUUUCUAAAGAGCCUAAAUGGAUGAUUUUCCAUUUUAGGGGGAUUGGGGCCUUUGCCAACCCUUUAGAUCCGCCACAGUUUUCAAGAUUUUCAUGUCAUUUAUUACUAUGAUUCAUCGUCAUUUUUCUUAAUUAAUAGAUAAAGUUUGUUAGAAGUGAUAAUGAGACUGAAUUUAAUUGCCUUCGAGAUUAUUUUCUUACAAAUGACAUUAUUUUUUCAAACAUCUUAUGUUGGUACUCCUCAAAAAAAUGGGAGAGCGAAGAGGAAACAUCAACAAAUUUUAAACGUGGCUCGUGUUUUGCGUUUUCAAGGUAAUCUGUCUACAUUGUUUUUGGGGAGUGUGUUUUGCUGCAUAUAUUUAGGAAUAUAUUAUAUAUCUUUCCUAUUCCUACAUGACUACUGUUGUAUAAAUAUUAUGUAUAUUCUUGAAGCUUAUCAAUGAGAAUGAAAGGAAUUACCCUAUUCUUGUCAUGGUAUCUAAGCUUGGUGUUUAACACAAAACAAGAGAAAAAUUUAAUCGUUUUCAAUGGCUGGUAGUGAUUCUACUUCUCCACCACCAGGGGCAAGAUAAUCAUCAGGGGGAGGGCGACACUUCUUGGUUUUACCGCUGAGCAAUGACAAUUUCUUUUGGUGGCGUUUGGUAAUACAUAAUCCACUACCAAUCGGUUGAAUGGACAUUCAUUUCGAGGGAGUUGAUUAGAGCGGAUGAGAGACGAGAUGAACUUUAUUACUUCCGGCAAGUAUCAAUGGUCAAAGUGGUUUCGAUUAAAGCUUUAUCCUCUUUGGAACUUUGGCAUAGAAGAUUGGGUCACCCUUCCGAGAAAGUAGUAAAGUUAUUUCCUUACGUUAGUAACUCUAGAGAUUAUUUGAAUAAAGCAUGCAAAAUUUGACAUCGUGUUAAACAAACAAAAAAUAGUUUUCCAGUUAAUGAACAGAAAGCCACAUGUAUUCUUGAGUUAGUUUAUUGUGAUUUAUGGGGUUUUUAUGAUACUCUUUCAUAUUGUGGAUCUCAUUAUUCUUUUACAUUGGUUGAUGAUUUCUCUUGUGCUAUUUGGGUAUAUCUAUUGGUUAAUAAGAAUGAGGUUUUCAAGCAGGGGCGAAGGUAGAAAAUUUUUCUAGGAGGGUCGAAAUUAAAUUGUAAUUUUUAAUAGUGUAUAUCUUUACAAUUUUUAAAGGAUUAAAUCAAAUAUUAUCAUUUUUAAGGGGACUAAAUUGUAAUUUUACCUUUAUUAAUUUAAAUUUUUAAAAUUUCUAAAGAGCCUAAAUGGAUGAUUUUUCAUUUUAAGGGGCUGGGCCUUUGCUAGCCCCUUAGAUCUGCCACAAUUUUCAAGAUUUUCAUGUCAUUUAUUACUAUAAUUCAUCGUCAAUUUUAUGAAUAGAUAAAGUUUGUUAGAAGUGAUAAUGAGACUGAAUUUAAUUGCCUCCAAGAUUAUUUUCUUACAUAUGACAUUAUUUUUUCAAACAUCUUAUGUUGGUACACCUCAACAAAAUGGGAGAGUAGAGAGGAAACAUCAACAAAUUUUAAACGUGGCUAGUGUUGUGCAUUUUCAAGGAAAUCCGUCUAUAUUGCUUUUGGAGAGUGUGUUUUGCUACUUUUUAUCUUAUUGAUUGAACUCUUUCACCUCUUCUUCAUCAUAAAACACCCUAUGAAAUGUUGUUUGGUAGACUUCCUUUAAUUGAUGAUUUUUGUGUGUUUGGUUGCUUAUGUUUUGUUCAUAAUUAACAUUCUAAAGGUGAUAAGUUCAAUAGUCAGAGUAAAAAAGUAUGUUUUUGUUAGCUAUCAUUUUGUCAAAAAUAAAUAAAAUAUAUUUUAAGCUAUCAUUUUGUCAAAAAUAAAUAAAAUAUAUUUUAAUAUAAGACAUUUUGGGACUGUUGGCAUGUCAUUUCUGAGUUGUUUCCACGAAAUGCAAUCGAUACAUAAAUUAAUCAUUUUGUCAAAGAUGAUAUCUAAACCUUGAAAACAUUUCCUUAUUUCUUGUCUGUUUCUACUUUGGUGGUGAUGUGCUUUGUUUGAUUCUAACUACUCCAUUAAAUAAAUCAUCCAAAAACAUAUAUUAUAUGAGGAAUAGGUGGUUGAAGAAAGAGAAAGCAAAAAUAAUAAUAAAAGAAGGAAAUUAAUUAGGAAAAUGACGUUAUAUGAAAACACUCAUACAAUUGGAUAACUCACUCACUCGACCUUUAAGAGGAGAAAAAGAAAAACCUUGUUUAUGUAAUACAUGGAUACCUAAUAAUUCAUUUAUUUAAUAACUUAUUUAUACUUUGGUAUAAGACAUUUUGGGUUGUCAUUUCUGUGCUGUUUCCAUGAAAUACAAUCCAAACUUCCUUUCCUACUUUUAAAGUAAGUAAGAAGUCGUCUUUCUCAGUUUACUACUUUCUGGCUUUGCUCUGCUAAGAAGAAAAAAACAGAAGGGGGAAAACUAUCGGUUAUUGAUCAUAGCCAAAAGGUACGCCAUCUGCUUUUCCUUUCCCUGCUUUGCUCUUACUCUUUUGAAAUAAGCUUAGGCAGGCAGGUUUAACCAUGAGAAUAGACUUCUUUUAUGCUUUAAAUCUCUAAAAAGCUCUUUAAAAUUCGUAGAAAAAAAGGGGUGAGUAUUAGGAAAGCUGCAUAAGCAUUUGUGUUUGGGAUGUACCAACAACUUGUUGCUUCAUGGUUAUUCAGAGGUUGGGUGAUUUAUCUUGUAGUCGACCACCUUUUUUUUAUUCGAUGCUUUAUUUCCAUUCAAAACUAUAUGUGGUUGGAAAGCUGGUUUGAUAGUCCACUAAAAUUAUAUGAAAAAUCAUUUAAAAAACAGAUUAAAUAUAUAAUUUUUAUAUAUUUAAAAGUGUUUGUUUAUAUAUUAUUUAGAAAUUGCUUUUAUAACAUAAUUAUUAUUUUACUAUUUUAAAUUUUGAAAUUUCAAUAUUUAAAAAUUUAACUAAUUUAAAAAAUGUGCAGCGAACUAAAAAAAACAUUAAUAAACAAAAAAAUUAGCAUAUAUAAAAAUUUAAAAUAGGAUUUGAAAUAUAUUGUUAAUAUUUUCAAUCUAAAUUUUAAAAUAUUUAAAUUAUGAAAAUAUGUUGAUUUAAAAUUAUUAUAGAACUUAUAUUCCAAAAAAAACCAUUAUAAAAAGUAUUUAUUCAAGAAAAAACUUUUUGUUUUGGCCUAUUUAUAUAGUAUUAUAAAAUGUCGAUUUUAAAAAAUUAUUAAAAAGUAAUACUAAAUAACUAAUUUAUAUAUAAAGAAAUUAUAGUUUCUUAAAAUCUGAAUUAAAAUGCUUUAAACUAAAACUAAAACUAAAACCAAAAUUUUCUUGUAUUGUAAAAUUAUUGUUAGAAAUUUUUAGUAUAACAAAAAGAUAUUAUUGAUAUUAGUCACUUAAAAACUAAAACAGUUUUAUAGACUUUAGUAAUUAUUUAUAUGAUUAAUAUUUUAACGAUUUAACCGUUUAAUUUAUCAAUAUAAUUGUACUUGUAAUGCAUGUAAAUUUUCGAACCGAUUCGAUAUCUCUAUCGUAUCGAUCUAAAAUACUCUAUAUACUAAUAUAUAAUCAACGAUUGAAAUUUUUUUACAAAACGAAUAUAGUUAGAAGUUUUAAAUUUACAUUAAAUUUGACAUGUAUAAUCUGCAUGAAUAGACUAUAAAAUAUAACAGUUGGAUCGUUAAAAUAUUAAUUAUAUAAAUAGUUAGGUAAGUGUGUAAAAUUCCUUUAGCUUUUACAUAUAUAUAAGUGGAUCCUUCUCCUUAAUGUUAAUAAAUGUUAAUUUUGUUAUCACAUAAUAUUUUAAUUAUGAAUUAAUAUUAAAAAUAAAUAAUAAAAAAAAUAUAAAUAUAAAUAGGGCGAGUAUUUGGUACACUGACAAUGUACUUUUUUUAUUCCACGAGUAAUCUUAAAAAAUUGACAUAUUUCUCUCUUUUUUAAAUAUGUUACGACACUCUUAUAAGAUAUUUGUCAACCUCCUGACCCUACUUGUAGAGUCUAAAACCUCCACUUACUAAAUAAUUUCCACAAUUUAUUAUUAAUGUUUAUUAGACAAAACACGUUAGCGAACAAAAUAAAUAAAUUAUAAAUAAAUACAUAUGAAAUAAAAUAUAAAUAGAAUGAUUUAUAAUUAAUUUAUUAAAUAUGAAUCAAAUAAAAACAUAAGAAAAAGUUGAAAUAAAGAAGAAUUGAGAUUUUACGAAACGUUGAGGCCUUUGAAACACAGUUUCCUUAAAACAUAUUCGGCCGCUCCUACAGUACUUGGAGAAAUGUUAGUCGAAAUUCUCCCAGGAUACAACAACAAAAGUAAUCAAAGUAGUAGUACAUCUACAACAAUCAACGAACAAAUUUUGUUUUUUUUAUCACCGAUAUGUAUGAAAAAUGGAGAGAAAAAGGAAGAGUUUUGAAAUGAACAGAAUUUCAUUUGAAUAUGUGUUUAAUCCUUUAGAAUACACAGCCUUUUCUAGGCAUUUAGGAUAAGGAGCCAAAAAUCAAUUUGAUUUAAAAAUUAAAUCAAAUUAGAUACUGUCCAUAUAUAAGCAGAUUAUGUCUGCUGAGGAAAAAUAAAUUCGUGUUGAGCUUAAAAUAUUCACAUGGGCCAAACCAGUUUGAACAUUUUGUGUCACCCACGUCAUACAAGUGCGCCCAACCCAAUCAGAUUUAGACCUACACCACCCCUACGCAUGAGACAAGGUUGCAAGCAUAGUUAUUCAAUUAAUUUUAGAGAGAGUUUACAUAUAAAAGCACAUCUCACACUUGAUAUUUAACCAAUGUAGGAUCUAAGCCUUUACUUUUUCUCAACAAUAUUUUCAAGUAGCUUACUUUAAGCAUCAAUUUCUCAUUCACCACUAAACCAUUUUGAGCAUAUGAUAUACCAUUGUAAAAGUCUCAUGGGGUAGAAUAUGAAACCAUAAAAUUAUGAUUCAACUCUCCACUUUUACCUAUUAAGAAUAUGCCUCAAAGUUCCCAUAAAAGUAAUUUUUCAGACAAUGUUUUUAGACUCCAUCAGUAAAGUCAAGGGAUUAACAAGUGUCCUAUAGAAAUAUAGUAAAAUAUCAAAAAAUUAAAUAUUUUAAAAAAGAGACACAUAUAAGUUUUUUAAAACGACUUGUGGAGUAAAUAAAAUAUUGUUAGUAUACCAAAUAAUCACCCAUAAAUUAUUGCUUUAAUCAAAAUAUAAGAACUAGGUAUAAUUUUGAAUUAGUUUAAAUUAAUUUAAAAGAAAUUUAAUUUAAUGAUAAAAAAAUUAUAUUUCAAAAUAAUUAGAAAGAUUUUAUUUUUUGAAUAAUAAUUAAAAACAAAUUUUUAAAAGAUGUGUUGUAAAAAUAUUCAAAGUGUAAAAAGACAAUUUAUUCCUUCAAUGCUUAGCAAAAAAUAUUCCUUAAAAAAAGAUAAUUAUUAGAAAAUAUCAUUAGAUAUAUGUCUAUAUUAAUAAAAAGUUAUCUAUUAACAAAAUCACUUUAAUUGUCAUAAAACUAAAACAUUAAUCACAUAUUUAUAAUUUUAAAAUUUUAACUCUUCAAUGGUAGUUAAGAUUAUGCAAAUGAGUUCUUUUUAAAAAAUAUAUAAGAUAAUUCAAGUUUUGGUCUUUGUUAUCGCUGUGGUUAUUCAGUUUGCUCUCUCAAUGGAGUGUGUUAUUGCCAUCGUUGGUUCUAUUGUCGCUAAAGCUGUAGAGUAUACGAUCUCUCCUAUCAAAAACCAUGUCAAAUACCUUUCCAAUCAUCAGAAAUAUGUUGAGACCCUCAAGAACCGAGCUAAUAGGCUAAAAGAUGCAAGGGACGGAGUGCAGCAUUCUGUUGAUGCAGCUAAGCGAAACGGUGAAGAGAUCGAAGGUGAUGUUGACAAAUGGCUGUCUGCAGUCGACAAAAAGAUCCUUGAACAAGUAGAGAAAGUGAUGCAAGAUGAAGAAAAAGCAAAUAAAAAGUGUUUCAUUGGUUUGUGUCCUAAUUUCAGGACUCGUUACAAGCUUAGCCUGAAAGCUGAAAAGGAGGCAAAGGCUGUUGCCGAGCUACUUGAACAUGGAAACUUUGAAAGGGUUUCCUAUCGUGCAGCUCCGAAAGGUAUCGUGGUUGCACCAGUUAAAGGUUAUGAGGAAUUCGAGUCAAGAACGUCGAUUCUGAACGGAAUAAUGGAGGCACUAAAAGAUGAUAGCGUCAGCGUUGUUGGGGUGCAUGGUAUGGGUGGGAUUGGAAAAACAACGCUGGUCAAAGAAAUCGCUAGAAAGGUCAAGGGCAAGUUGUUUGAUUCGGUUGUCAUAGCAACCGUAACUCAAGCCAUCGAUAUUGAGAAGAUUCAGAACCAAAUUGCAGACUUCUUGGGCUUGAAAUUUGAGGAACAGAGUAUGGUUGGAAAGGCAUUUCGACUACGAGAAAGAUUGAAGAAAGAGGAGAGGAUUCUGGUUGUCUUGGAUGACAUUUGGGAAAAGGUUGAUAUUGAGGAAGUAGGGAUUCCUUUGGGAGAUGAACACAAGGGCUGCAAAUUACUAUUAACUUCUAGAGAGCUCAAUGUUUUAUCAAAUGGGAUGGAUGCUCAGAAAAAUUUUCCCAUUGGGUUUUUAAAUGAAAAGGAAGCCUGGGACCUGUUCAAGAAGAAGGCUGGCGACUGUGAUGAAAGUUGCGGUUUGAAGCCUAUAGCUAUGGAGGUAGCCAAAAAAUGUGCAGGACUGCCGAUAGCCAUUGCGACAGUUGCAGGGGCUUUGAGAAACAAAAGAUUGUUUGAAUGGAAGAAUGCUUUACGAGAACUGGAGAGGCCUUCGUCAAGCAACUUCACGGGGAUAGCUGUGGCAUAUUCAGCUAUAGAGUGGAGUUUUAAUUAUUUAGAAAGCGAGGAAGUUAAGCUGACUUUCUUGCUUUGCUGUGUAAUAGGCCAUAAUGGUCUCGUUGAGAACUUGGCAAGAUAUACUUUAGGUUUGGGUUUAUUUGAUGGUGUCCACACUAUGGAAGAAGCUAGAAAUAAAGUAUUGACGGUUGUGGCUAAUCUCAAAGCGUCUGCCUUGUUGCUUGAUGGUUAUAAUGAUAAGCGCUUUGAUAUCCAUGAUGUUGUUUGGGAUGCUGCUAUAGCUAUUGCAUUGAAGGACUACCGUAUGCUUGUUUUGAGAGAUCAUGCUCCAAAGGAGUGGUCCGAUAAGGAGAAAAUGAAGAUGUGGAGUGUGAUCAGCUUACGGUGUCCUCAGAUUAUAGCUAACCUUCCUAAGGAGAUGGAGUGUUCAGGACUUUCCUUUUUCCAUAUGGCCUAUGAUGGCGCGGUUAAAAUUCCUCUCACUUUUUUCAAACAAACCGAAGGCCUCAAAGCCUUGGAUUUGGUCGGAAUGCAGUUUCCAUCCCUCCCUGAAUCAAUUAUUCACCUUGCAGACCUUCGCAUGUUGUGUCUGAAAAAAUGUGCAGUUGAUAACAUAACUAUCCUUGGAGAGCUCAAGAGUUUACAAGUACUCAACCUUUCUCAGUCAGGUAUCAAAGAACUACCUAAGGAGAUGGCACAAUUGACUCAAUUAAGGUUGUUAGAUUUGCGCUCGUGUAGAGAACUCAAAAUCAUCCCGCCGAAUGUCUUAUCAGGUUUGUCUAAAUUAGAAGAAUUAUAUAUGAGUGGGAGCUUUGUUGAAUGGGAAAAGGGAGGAGUAGUUGAAAAUGAGAGGAAAAAUGCAAGCCUUGAUGAAUUAAACAAUUUGCCUUGUCUAACUACUUUAUAUGUUCAUAUUCUUGAUGUCCAAAUGAUACCAAAACACCGGUUUGUUGAAACAUUGGACAGAUUCAGGAUUUUCGUAGGUAAUUAUGGUGAAUAUAAUUGUUUCCACAAUUAUGAAAUAUCUCCGAAAGCAUUGAAGCUCAUGUUAUAUAUAAACAAUGAAUUGGACAAUGGGAUGAAAAUGUUGUUGAUAAAGACAGAAGAUUUGUGCCUAGAGGGACUUGAAGGCGUCAAGAAUGUACUUGUGGAGUUAAAUAAUGGGAAAGAUCUUCCAAAUUUAAAGAGACUUCAUGUCAAAAAUGGUAGGCAUGUCCAACAUAUUAAAACGAACAAAAUUGGAUUUUCUGAAUUAUGCUUUAUCACACUUGAAAAUCUACCGCAACUCGUUAGCUUUUGCUCUCCAGACGAAAGGUGUUCUACUAAGCCCUUUCUACUUUUCAAUAAACAGGUAUUUGUUUGGCUUUACUUAUAUUUUCUUAUACAACUUUUAUUCCCAUUAAUACAACUUUUAUUCCCAUUAUAUUUUUGGAGCUCAAAAAUAAAUUUCAAAUCCAAAACAAAUGAAAAUUUAAUUUUUAAUCUAAACCGAUUGAAAGUAUAAAGUCAAUUCAAUAAUCUAAAUUUAAACCCAACAAAGAUUUUUUUUUUAAUUUUGAAAAUGAAAUUUGAACCCACAAAUCGAACUAAAAUUAUCUUUAAAAUCGAAAAUCAUAUUUUCAAAUUAUGUUUCCCUAUCGAAAAAGAAUUGUGUGUAAAUAUGUGCAAUUUAUUUUCCCUCACUUGGAAAGCUUGCAAUUGUGUUCCAUUAACACCAAAAUAAUAUGGCACAACCAGAUAUGUCAUUGGAUUACGAAUUUGAGGAGCUUGAUCAUCAAAGGAUGCGGCAAGUUGGAGCAUCUGUUAUCACCCUCUCUCGCUAGAAGUCUGGUGCAGCUCCAAUGCUUUAAGAUAGAGGAUUGCAAGUGCUUAAGGGACAUAAUACUUACAGAUGAAAUUGAAGAAGAAAGGAAAGAUGUGAUUUGUUUCCCUCGAUUAAACUCCCUGUAUAUAGAUGGUCUUACAAACCUCAUCUUCUUCAGCUCAGGAAACCACAAUAUUGAGUUCCCAUUGUUGAAAGAGCUAACGAUUUGGCGUUGCCCCAAGUUAAUAGAAUUCAUUAGUCAGAAUAGUAAUCAGUCCGGCAUGCACGCUCUCUUCAGUGAGAAGGUGAUUUAUUUCAUUAGUCUUACACUCUUGCAUAAAUCUGUUGAUUUGUCCUUGUUUUUUUUUCUGCCUUCAUUAUUUGAGCUAAUUAACCUUAUUAUGGGCAUGGAUUAUAUAUAUAUGAAUAGGUUGCAAUUCCUAGCUUGGAAGACAUGAGUAUCUUCGACUUGAGUAAUCUGAAGAUGAUAUUUUAUAAUGACCUAGCAGCAGGUUCCUUUAAAAAUCUUCGAAAAGUGUGUGUUUGGCGAUGUGAGAGUUUGAAAAAUCUAUUUCCAGUAUCAAUAGCCAAAGAUCUUCCACAACUUGAACAUUUACGCAUCACUGAUUGUGGAGUUGAGGAGAUUGUAUCGAAAGCGGAUGGAGUGGAGGAGCAGCCUGUGAGGUUUGAGUUUCCGCAAGUAUCUUACCUUGAGGUUGCAUUGGUAGAAAAGCUCAAAUGUUUCUAUGAACGGCAACAUACAAUAGUCUGGCCGAUGUUGAAAAAAUUGAAAACAGAUAGUUCUGCUUUGCGAAAGAUAGUGGCAUCGGAACAUCUUAGAUUAAUCCAAGGAAAUGAGCAGCCAGUUUUGUUGGGUGAAGAGGUAUGUAUAUCAUUACAACUAUAUUUCUUUUUAUGAUUUAAACCACUGCAACAAGCAUCUCAAGUUGAAAUAUGCCACGAUAAUACAUUUCUAAUUAUUAUAUUUUGUUUGAUUUGAAUUUUUUCUUGUAUUUUUGAAUUUUUAAUAUAUAUUUUAAAUUUUUUGUUACACUUAUAAUUAUUUUUUCAAUUUUUAAAAACAAGACUGAAUAAACAUAAUAGGUAAAUAUUGAGUGUUAAUCUUGACUUUUUAGAAUGUAGUUCAAUUUGAUAAAAUGUAUAAAUGUUGAGGGUUAAAUUUAUUAUUAUGCGAAAAAAAAUGCAACAUUAGCAUCCCGUUAGGGACUUUGUAGCAUAGCAAUUAAGAUAUUCAAUUUCUCUAACGACAGUGAUUAAAUUGAAAUUUUAUUUGUUUUUAUGUGACCAUAAUAAAAAUAUUUUAACACUUAAGUGGCUAUAUAUGUAAUUUACCCUGUAUUUAAGUAGUGGGUCGAAACUAAAUAGAAAGUUUACCUUGCUAAAAAAAAUCGCCACUCAAUAAAAAGUCAAAAUUUUAAAAGUUAAUUACACUAGACAUAUCAAACUAUAACCUUCAUUUUAAAUUAGUCCCAAAAUUUAAAAUAUUCAAAUUACAUUCUUAAACUAUUGAGGUUAUAUCAAUUAGGUCUUUCUGUUAUUUAAUUCAUUAAUUUAACCAUCAAAUUAUAUUAGUGUAAUAUUUUAAAAUCUUGGUGUUUUAUCUACACUGUUCUGCUUAUAUUUUUUAUCAUAGAAAUAUAUAUAUAUAUAACAAUGGUUGUUUCUCUAUUGUAAUCUAAAUUUGCUACUCUUCUUUCGGUUUUCAUGUUGUGUAAUUUUUAUCGGUUCUUAUUCUCAAGGUAUUGUGUUUUCUUAAAACAAAAAAUUCAUCUGGUUUGAUUUAAUAUUGAUUUUGUUGGGAUUUAAUCAUCAUAAUCAAACACUAAAAUUGUAACUCUUUUGUUUGUUUGUUUGUUUUUUUAAAGCAUAUACAUCAAUAUUGAGCCUAACUUGUAUAUAUUUAAUUGGUUUCCAAGGUCAUUCCCAAAUUAGAGGAACUUGAGUUACGAACUUUUGGUGAUAUGGACCAAUUCCCACCAGACUUGUUUCAACAUAUUAAAGUUUUUGCACUGAGAGCUGGCUCUCGAUUUUCUUUAUUUCCUUUCGUCCGAAGAUUCUACAAUCUGGAAAGACUUGAGUUGUCUUAUUUUGAUUUCAAACAUUUAGUCCCUUGUAAAGGAGAUGCCGGGACUCUCCCACCAAUUAGAAAUCUGAAAUUGGUUUCUGCCAGAAAUCUUAAGCAUAUUUGGAGGAAAGAUUCGGAGCUUGACCAUAUUCUUUCUAAUCUUCAAACACUCACAGUUCAGAAUUGUGAUGAUUGGAUAAAUAUUAGAGCCUUCUCAUCGUCUUUACAAAAUCUCACAAUUUUGAAUGUGUCACGUUGUGAAAUGAUGACAAACUUAGUUACACCCUCAGUACUUAAGAAUCUUGUGCAAUUAACGACAAUAAAGGUAGAAGACUGCACUAAAAUGACAGAAAUAGUGGGAAACGAGGGAGACUGUCAUCAGACAAUAGUUGUUAGUAAAUUGAAAUGUUUACAACUAUGCAAUUUGAAUAGCCUCACAAGCUUUUGUCCAUGGUAUUACAACUUCGAGUUUCCUUGUUUGGAAGAAUUAGUUGUGGAACAUUGUCCUAGGUUAAAGAUCUUUUCUGAUGGAGUUUUAAGCACCCCACAAUUACAGAGAAUAAAACAGUCGCGUUUCCGUGGGAAAUGGAGGUGGACAAGUGACCUUAAUACCACCAUACAACAGCUCUACACAAAAAAGGUACAAAGUUAAUAAGUUCAUAAUGCUAGCUAGAUUUCUCGUGUCCUAAUACAAUUAAUUUUAUUGCUACUUCAAUAACCAUUGAAGAGUGUUAAUCGUUAUUUUGUUAUUGUCUGCAGUUUCUAUUUAUGAUCCUUAUCUAGUGGAAUAAUAUCAGAUUAAUUUUUAGGAUGGACUCCAUGACCCAUAUGAUUUCAACAUCUCUGAAACAUUUCCGGAAUCGAUAGAAAUAUGGACUAGAAACCCUCAAGAAAUUUUGGGCUUCAAAAACCUUAGCAGCCUGCAGUUUUAUAAAUGUAGCAGCCUGAAGUACAUAUUUACUCCGUCUAUGCUUUUGAGCCUCAAUCGACUACAAAGGAUAGAAGUGGAAGAAUGCAGUUCAAUGGAACAAGUAGUUAGGGAGGAGGAGGAAGCAAUGACACAUAAAUUUACAUUUCUUUCGCUACUCUCCUUAAAAAUUGAGUCGUGUUCCAACUUGACAAAUUUCCAUUUGGGAAGUCAAGCUCUUGAAUUUCCACAGCUGAGUGAUAUCACGAUAGCUGAGUGUCCAAAAAUGACUGCAUUUUCUUCCUCAGUUUCAAGAGAAAGUGGUGAUGCAAGUGAAAACGUGGUUGGCAAAGGGGGCAUCUAUGAUAACACUGCAACUUUUUUCAGCAAUAAGGUAAGUUCGGUAUUCAAUAUUUAUCUGCACAACUCAUUUCACAUUUUCUUUUGAUUUGAUCAACAUGAGUGUGUCUGGUCUAUAUAUACAUACUAGUAGUGCUACACCUUGUCAAAAUUUAAUAUAAUAAAAUCCAUGUAUUAAUAAAUAAGAUAAUAUUUAAAAAAAAUUGGAGUUUAAAGUAUAAAUAAAUAUAUAAAAUACGAAUUGAAAGGAAAACUUAAAGUGAAAUACUAAUAAACAAUAAGAAGUUUAAAAUUAAAUAGUAAUAGACAAUAAAUAAUAAAAGAAAAACGAAAACUAAUCUUCCUUUAUUUUAAUUUGUGGGUGUAUAAGAAGGACAUAAUUGUGGAAGACCUUCACAAAGGUCAUUUGAGAUCAAAGGAGAAGAAGCAAGAAAACAAAACGUGAGGAGUUUGAAGGAGAAUUGAAGUGAGAGAGUGGAUGGGUUUUAUUUAAAGAUUUAAUGCUUUUUUUUAAUCUCAUAUAUAGAAAAAAUCAUUGAAAGAAAAAAAAUUUAAUAUAAUUAUUUCAAUUUACAUGUCGGGUUUUUAUAAAAGUAACUCAAAUUUUUUAUUAAUUAUGAAAAUGACUCAAUUUAAAAAUUAUGUACAUAAAUUAUUCGACUUCUAUAGUAUUUGUUGGUGCCGCUAGACACAAUGGCGGCACCUACCUACCAUCAUCGACAAAUGAUUGUAUUUUAUUUCAAAAAUAGUAGUCUUGUAAUAGUGUCGUUGGAAAAAUUGGCGAUAUCGAACUGAAGUGUGAUUCUAUAAAAUGUUCAUGGACUUGACGAAGUAAUUAUCCUUUUUUAAUUAGCGGAAAAAGGGGUCUUCCCGUGAAUUUGGGGCACCAAAUUAAAUGCUUUUUAUCUUUUAGUCUAUUUGCAUGUUAAGUCUAUCCUCUUUUGAAAUUAAAUUUAAAUAACCCCUUAAGAAAUAUAAGAAUAACAAAAAUAAAUCAUAAUCAUUUAUUUUAUUUUAUUUUUAAAAAAUAAACUUAAAAAAUUAUAUAAAAUUCUUAUUUAAAUUACCUAAAUAUAUCCCUCACAAAAUUUCCUCAAGUUUAUCUAAAUUCAAGCAUUUUCAAUUCAUUCCCUAGCAUAUUUAAAUUUAGAUAAACUUAAAGGAAAUUUUUUGAGGAAUAUGUUUGGGUUGUUUGAAUAAGAAUUUUAAAUAAUUUUUUAAGUAUUUUUUCAAAAAAAUGAAAAUGGUUUUUUUUUUGUUAUUCUUAUAUUUUUUUAAGUGCUAUUUAAAUCUAAUUUUAAAAAAGGAUAAACGUAACAUGCAAAUAGGUCAAAAGUUGAAAAACAUUUAAUUUGGUUUAGAUACCAACGACACCCCUUUUUCAACUAAUCUAAAAUGUUAACCGCUUCAAAGGAUCCCUGCACGUUUUAUAUAAUCACAUUCAGUCUGGUUCCGUCAAUUUAUUAAGCAGCACUACUACAUUUUUUUUUAAAAAGCAAUUAUUGGAGGAUGAUGGUGGCCGGUGUAGUAAGCACUGUAGAAAUUAGGUCAUUUAUGUACAUUAUUUUUGGAAAAUUUUUUUAAUUAACCAAAAAAUUUUGGUUACUUUUAACUGUCUAGUUGAUGUAUUAACCUUUAGAUAAGUUUAUAAAUCUUCAUACUCAUUUUGAUUGUCUUUCAAAGUAAAGAAGGAAGAGUGAUACUAUCUUAUAAUGAUAUUUAUGUCAACAGGUUGUCAUUCCUCGUUUGAAGCGUCUGGAUUUGUCCUCCACCAACAGUCAUAAGAUAUGGCACCACUCAUCCUCCCCAUCUAUCGGAUACCUAAAUUUCUUGCAGGUGAAGAGGUGUCACAAUUUGAAAUACCUGUUCCCGUCUUUCUUAGCAAAAGAUCUUGUGCAACUCCAAGUCCUUGGAAUUUCGGACUGUAAUAUGAUGGAACAAGUAAUAUUCACGGAUGGAUUGGUUGAGGAACAUCAAGGGAGGAAUCAGAUGUUUUUCUUUAAUCUACAUUCGCUGUGGCUAAAAGACCUUCCCAAACUCACAAGUUUGUGCUUUGAUAAUUACUUUGAAUUUCACUGUUUGGCAUAUUUAGCACUAAUAAAUUGUCCAUUGCUAAAAACAUUCAUCUCUAAACGUGUACCCGGAGAUGAACCUCAAAUUGGCCAACAUGUACAGGCAAGUAACUUGGAGGUUCAUAACUCAUCUCUCCUCGAUGAAAAGGUCAUUUCUUCAUGGAUCCUCCUUUUAAUUUAUGUUACUUCGAUUUAUCUUAUUCAUUUGAGGUUCUUUCUUUUUCAUACAUAUUUCAGUUACUAACCUAAUGAAAUGAUUUAUUAGGUUGUUUUCCCUAGUUUGAAGACGUUGCGGAUUACGGGUUGUGAUUCGUUAGAAGAAAUUAUUGAGCUGCAAGGACUCAUUGCUGAUGAGUCACAGUCAACAUCAGCUGCUCAAUCUAUUGUGGCUGAAACAGUGACGACCAAGUUUGUAUUUCCCAAACUAAUAAACCUUGGAUUGUAUAAGGUACCGAGAUUGAAAAGUUUCUACUCUAGGAUGCAUAUCACCCAGUGGCCUUCAUUGAAAAAAAUGGACAUUAUUGGAUGCCCCAAAGUACAUAUAUUUACUCCACAAUGUCCUGAGAGUCAGGUUGGAAUCUCAAACCAACAACCCUUGUUUUGCGUCAACGAGGUAAGCUCACUAGCAGUUUCAUAUUCCAUGUUCAUUACUUGAGAUUACCUAUAAAAUGCUUUUUGAAAAAACUAAUAUUCUCUCCUCUUUUAAUUUUAUGAGAGUCUAGUUCUUACUAAUUUAAAACUUUUUCAUCGAUGUCUAAUAUAUUCAUUGCCAUCCAGGACACUUUCCCUGAAUUAGAAGAACUAACACUGAACACGAAUGAUGUGGUGAAGGAGAUAUGUGAUGGACAGCUCUCAUUGCAGUGUUUCCAAAACCUUAAACUUCUUAACCUCCGAUUCUUUCCUGAGACAUCCACUACUCUUCCAUAUUCCUUCAUUCGUUCGCUACCAAAGCUUCAGAAGCUUGUUAUAAACAAUGCUUCCAUUUCUGAAAUAGUCCGAUCUGAAGGACUUAGCGAAGAGGAAAGGCACACAUCGGUAUUCUAUCAGUUAAAGGACUUAAGGUUGUCUCAACUUCCAGAGUUGACGUUAAAGACUUUUAAACCAUCUUUGCUGUCUUUCAAAAAUCUAACAACACUGGAAGUUUCAAGCUGCCAUGGGUUCAUCAAUUUAAUCGCAUGCUCAACAGCUAAGUGCCUGACGCUACUGGAAAGAUUGAUCAUAGAUGAUUGUGAGAUGAUAGAGGAAAUCAUAGCGUGUGAGGCUGAAGAAAUACAAGGCGGCAUUGUAUUUCCCAAAUUGCAGUAUUUGCAACUAAGUUGUCUUCCAUGUCUAGCAAGCUUUUCCUUGGCCCCUCACUCGUUGGAAUUCCCAGUCUUGCUAAUGGUGAUAGUGACAAAGUGCCCCCAAAUGAGGAAUUUCUGCCAAGGAGAUUUAAGCACACCAAGGCUGGAACAAAUGCACUUAACAAGAGAUGAGGAAGGUGAACUGCAGUGGGAAGGCGACCUUAACACUACCAUAAAACAUAUGUUCGAUGAAAUAGUACAAAUCAUUUAAAGGAUUUAAAUUCAUGUGUUUUUACAUACAUACAUACAUACAUACAUACAUAGUUAAUUGAACAAUUCUUGGUUUGUUAUGACCAUGCACAGAAUGUGCAAAAUUCUGAGCCGACGGAGGUUACUAAUCAGUUGCCCAAGCUGGAAUAAGGAAAUAUGUUUGGGUGCUUAUGCGAAAAGCUCAAUUUCGUUUGAAUUCAAAACAAAUGGUAAUUGACUCCUCUAUUUUCAUCAUGGUUUAACUAAUGCUUUAUAAAGUGACCAUAGAGACGCCCUUUUCAUUAUAGGUUGAGUUGCUCUACUGAAGUACGAGGCAGCAACUUUUGGUAAAAUGUGAAAGGUUAUUUCAGUUUUUGUAAAACUACUGUUUGGACUGUUCCAUUUCACAUUAUACCCUCAAAAUUGAACUUCAAGUGUAUCAUGAAUGGCAUUGGGCUACAAACAUGUAAACUUUUACUAGUAAGGUUGACCCCUGUUUUAAGGAUUUGCCAACUUUUGAUGGUUACCAUAUCAAUGUCAACUUAAAGCUAUCAAGUAUCUUCACAAAUAUUGUUGACACCAUUUUUUGGAUGAAAAAAAAACGGGGUCGACUUGGGUUUUGACAAAAACGAAAAAACGGGAGUCGCCACCAAUCCUUUUUAAUGAGGUGUGAUUGGAUCACCUCAAAAACUAGUUGUUUCUAAUAAACGGUUUAAUUUUAUUAAAACAACGAUUUUGGUCCACGAAAUUCAGAAAACGGGUUCGGGAGUCGGUUACGUACGAGGAAGGAUUAGCACCCUCGUAACGCCCAAAAUUGGUACCUAGUUGAUUAGUUAAUGUCUUGAUGUCGAAAAUUGAUAACUUAAAAGAAUUUUAAAAAAUACGAUCCUUGAUUAAAACGUUAAGAGAAAAUUUUUUUGAGAAAAGAAGCACAUUUCACGUUAAUUGAGAAAUAUACGUCAUAUCCAGUGAGUUAGGAUACAAUGUCUCGAAUUCUCGAUGCGUAAAAAUGCUUGUUUAAAAGACAUUUUAGCUAUCUCGGAUUUAAAAAAGGAGAUCACGACCAGUAAGUUAGGACGCGAUUUUUUUUUUAAUUCCCGAUAUCAUUUAAAACUUGAGUUUAAAAAAAAUCGUGUAAUAAAGUUUAAAAGAAUAUUCAAUUGUUUAAAUCAAAUGAAGAAAUCGCAACCCAAUACGUUAAGGCACAAUUUCUCAAAAUAUUAAACAUUGAAUACUGCAUUUAUUUCGGAAAAAAAAAACCUCGUCUCGAGAAAACAACGUGUCACAUCCAAUGCGUUAGGACACAACGUAUUGAAUUCUCGAUAACGAGCUUUUUAUCAUUUUUAAAAGAGUAAUCUCGAUUAUUUAAAUUCAACGAAGAAAAUCAGAACCCAUUAUGUUAGGGCUCGAUUCUCUCGAAGUUCCAAAUACCGAGUAUUACUCAUAUUUUUAAAUUUUCUUCUUUUUUGAAAUCUAGAUAAAAAUAGGUGUAAUGGAAUAACAAUAAUGAUGAUGUAAUUAAAAUAAUACAAGCAAAGGCUACGAAGUAAAAUAAAUACAGAGACGAACUAAUAUAAUAUACAAUCACAAGCAUAUAAGCAAUAAAAUUAAAACAUUCAUUCUAAAUAAUGAAAAUGUAAAUGAAGAAAUGAACAAAGAAAAUGUAUAAAACUAUAAAAAAAUAAAACAUACAUAUGUGUAUAUACAUAAAAUUAUGGAAAUAUAAAAAAUAUAUGUAUGUACAUAUUUUAAAAUCAUUAUAAAAUAUAUAUAAGUAAACAUAUACAUAUAUACGUAUGUAACUAUCAUAAAAUAUAAAAAGUAUAUAUAUAGAUACAUAUAUAUAUAUGAGUCAUAGAAUAUAAAUAACAUAUAUAAGAUACAUAUUUAAAAUAUGAAGAAUGUAAGUAUAAAUAUAUUUAUGAAAAUAGAAUACAUAUAUAGACAUGUAUAUAGAUGUGUAUAAAAUUACGAAAUAUAAAAUAUAAGGGUAUUAGUAUGUGUAUAUAUAUAUAGACAGAUAGAUAGAUCAUAAAAAAAAUAUGGAUAUUAUAUAUAUAUAACAUGAAAACGCAUAUAUGUAUAUAUAACAAAGAUUCCAAAUAAAAAAUAAAUGAACAACUUAAUAAUAACAGUAAUAAUAUUAUUUUAUAAAAAAGGGAAAUAAACAAUAACAAAAGGACUAAAUUAAACAUUGAAACAAGAUUUGGGGUUUAAAAUUGCAAAUAAAAGGUUCAAGGGCUGGAAUGAAUCACGCACAAAGUGCAAAGGACUGAUCGGACAAUAUGCCCAAGUCCUGAAGGCACAACAUUCGUGCGCUGAUUAAAUUGAAUCAUAAAGAAAUUUCGUGGGGCCAAAUUAAAGAAAAUAAAUAAACAAGCAAAAGGACUAAAUUAAAACAAUCAACAACGAGGAAGGGCCAAGGGCAUAAAUAGCCCACUUCAUGAAAACGCGCGGAUCCCCUCCUACCGGGUCGGGUCGCACGCGGGUCCAGAGGCAGAACGAUGUCGUUUCGACGCCCAUAUGCAGUCACAAAACGGCGCCGUUUCUAUUAUGGUAUUUAAGCCCAAUUUUCUACAAAAAAAAUUUCAGCAACUGUUUGUUUUAAGAAAAAUCCAAAAAAAAAAACCUUUCCUCCUCCCCUCUCAAACAUCCGGCCUUUAGGUCUCCUUAGCGCCGCCAUUGCGCCACCGUGGACGGUGGCCGGCGUUGCGCAAAAGGGGCAUUCUAGUCUCGGUUUUGAGACCCGAUCGAAGGCUUUACUCGCAUAGCCUGAAGAUCAAGAGGCAGGACCCCCUAACUCAAACUUUCGGGGCCGAUUUCAACGACGGGCAGACCCCGACGGCAACGCAACCGAAAGACGAAACGGGUAAGUCCUCCUCUUCCUUUUUAUUUACUAUCUUUAUAUAUAUAUGUAUGUAAACAAAAAGAAAAGAGAACAAAAAAAUAACUUCAAAACUGAAAAGAAAAGAAAAGAAACCUUGAAUCUGUUUUUGUUUCCUUUUUCUCUAUUAAUGCCUUUUUUCUUUACAAAAAUCGAAACCCCCUUUACAAAGGUUUUUCAAUCGGUUUUUGAACCAAAAAUAAUACCCCCCGUUGCUUGUUGUUGUUGUUCUCUUUAUUAUUUACAGGUGAAGCAGGUGGCGAUGGGAUAAGGUGAACGGCGGUGGCAGAAGGCUAGGCUGCAAAAGGCGUACGGUGCUGAGCAAGGCAGGGAACCCUAGGGUUCCUUGAUGCUUGUUUAAUUUUUGUGCCCAAUUGGGCCAAUUUAGAUUUUGGGCAUUGGGCCUUGUGUUUUGGGUUGAAUUUAGCUUGUUAGGCUGGGGUAUUUUGGGUUAAUGGGCCCCGGGAAAAUUUAGGCUUCUACAGCUGCCUCUCUUUGCUCGUUGUCGUGUAACGAGAACAGAGCAAAGACUAAGAAAGACCAAAUUUGCCCAGUCUUGCCGAGUCUUGACUUCUCUUGACGCUUCUCUUCUUCACGUAGCCUCAUUCCAGUCUACUGUGUCUUGUCGUUUCGAUCCACUCCACUGCACCUCAGAAAGAUCUGACUUGUAGCUUCAAUCUUCUUCGCAACAACUUCAGAGAGAGAAGAUCGGUGGUUUUGAUCCGCUCCACUGCAACUUCAUAGAGAUAAGACUGGAUGCGGUCUGCUCUACUGCAACUUUAGAGAGAUAAGAUCUGUGGUUUUGAUCCGCUCCACUACUGCUUAAGGAGGAUAAGAUUGAUUUCUUCAAUCUGCUCCACUGCAACCUCAGGGAGAUAAGAUUGGAUGUGAUCUGCCCUACUGCAACUUCAGAGAGAUAAGAUCUGUGGUUUUAAUCCGCUCCACUGCAACUUCAGGGAGAUAGGAUUGGCUUCUUCAAUCUGUUUAACUGCAAUGUCGGGGAAGUAAGACUCGCCGUCGUAGCUUCAAUGUAUUCCACUACACCGUCAGGGAAAGUAAGAUUCGUCAUUGUGGCCUUGAUCUUUUAAUUGCAAUGUUGGGGAAGCAAGAUUCGCCGUUGUAGCUUCAAUGUAUUCCACUACACCGUCAGGAAAAGUAAGAUUCGCCGUUGUGGCCUCAAUAUUUUAAUUGCAAUGUCGGGGAAGCGAGAUUCGCUGUCGUAGCUUCAAUCUGUUCCGCUGCAUCACCUGGGAAGUAAGAUUUGCCUUUGUGGCUUCAAUCUUUUAAUUGUAAUGUCGGGGAAGCAAGAUUCGCCGUUGCAGCUUCAAUCUAUUCCGCUGCAUCCCCUGGAAAGUAAGAUUCGCCGUUGUGGCUUCAAUCUUUUUAACUGCCGGGGAAGCAAGAUCCGCUGUUGUAGCUUCAAUCUGUUCCACUGCAACGCUAGGAAAGUAAGAUCCGCUGUUGUAGCUUCAAUCUUUUUAAUUGCCGGGGAAGCAAGAUCCGCUGUUGUAGCUUCAAUCUGUUCCACUGCAACGCUAGGAAAGUAAGAUCCGCUGUUGUAGCUUCAAUCUUCUUAAUUGCAAUGUCAGGAAGCGAGAUUCGCUGUCGUAGCUUCAAUCUGUUCCGCUGCAUCACCUGGGAAGUAAGAUUUGCCUUUGUGGCUUCAAUCUUUUAAUUGUAAUGUCGGGGAAGCAAGAUUCACCGUUGUAGCUUCAAUCUGUUCCGCUGCAUCGCCUGGAAAGUAAGAUUCGCCGUUGUGGCUUCAAUCUUUUUAACUACCGGGGAAGCAAGAUCCGCUGUUGUAACUUCAAUCCGUUCCAUUACAACGCUAGGAAAGUAAGAUCCACUGUUGUAGCUUCAAUCUUUUUAAUUGCCGGGGAAGCAAGAUCCGCUGUUGUAGCUUCAAUCUGUUCCACUGCAAUGCUAGGAAAGUAAGAUCCGCUGUUGUAGCUUCAAUCUUUUUAAAUGCAAUGUCAGGGAAGUAAAAUCUGCUGUUGUAGCUUCAAUCUAUUCUGCUGCAUCGCUAGGAAAGUAAGAUCCGCUGUUGUAGCUUCAAUCUUUUUAAAAGCAAUGUCAGGGAAGUAAGAUCCACUAUUGUAGCUUCAAUCUGUUCCACUGCAACACUAGGAAAGUAAGAUCCGCUGUUAUAGCUUCAAUCUUUUUAAUUGCAAUGUCAAGGGAGUAAGAUCCGCUGUUGUAGCUUCAAUUUGUUCCACUGCAACGCUAGGAAAGUAAGAUCCGCUGUUGUAGCUUCAAUCUUCUUAAUUGCAAUGUCAAGAAAGUAAGAUCCGCUGUUGUAGCUUCAAUCUGUUCCACUGCAACGCUAGGAAAGUAAGAUCUGAUGUUGUAGCUUCAAUCUUCUUAAUUGCAAUGUCAGGGAAGUAAGAUCCGCUGUUGUAGCUUCAAUCUGUUCCACUGCAAUGCUAGGAAAGUAAGAUCCGCUAUUGUAGCUUCAAUCUUUUUAAUUGCAAACUAUGGUUUCUUCUAUCUGUUUCGCUGUCAGUACAGGAAUGCAAGAUUUGCUAUCUUCAUUCUGCUCCGCUGUCAGUACAGGAAAACAAGGCUGGUGUCUUCGAUUUACUUCACUGCCAGUACAGGAAGGCAUGAUCUGCUAUCUUCAUUGAUCUGUUCUCUGGUGAACAUGACCUUUAUGUUCUAUUUUAUAAACCUAAUUGUGCCUAGUGAUUAGGAUGACAUGAUCAGAACGAAACAAAUGCUCCUAACUAGAUGUGUAUGAAUGACAUUUGAAUGAAUGCAAAAUGUCAUGAAAAUGAUUCUUUAAUGCUUAGGUUAUCAUCACGCAAAAGCUUAUUAAGGUUAUAUCACUGACGUGCUACAAUGCCUUCUUGCUCAGCUAACAUAUCCAAAGAAACACUUAAUCUGAUUGCCCCCCACUGUGAACGUCAAAGUUCAAUCCACAGGGACAUAAAAUUUGUACCAUCAAUCUCCCACUAUAACCCAAGGGUAGAAAGAUAUGGCUUUUCUCAAUCUUCUCCUAUCGCAAUUCAAGGAUACAAGAUCUAAAUCCUUCUGGUCCCUUACACCAUUCCGAGGGUGUCGUAUCAAAGACUCAUGUGCAAAUGAGGGUUCUCUUCCCCGAGGUAACCUCUUCCUAUUGCCUGAUGAUCAUUGCUUUCUUGUUUAUUCAAGCUUUGUCACCAACAUGGCGUCUUGUCAAUCAACGCAUUUGACAACAAAAAAUCUAAAGAAAGUCUAAAUUUAGACUAUUCCUUCCCAAAUUUCCAACUUUAAAUUUGGUGUGUUAUAAACAAUAGUCAUGCUUUAGGCUCCAAUAUUAUUUAGAAACUUUUCAGAGUAAUAUGCAAAACUUCCUUUGUGAAAGUUUUAUUAGUCCAUUAAUCAUUAUUCUAAUACAACAUGCUUUGCAAAAAGGGUCUUAACAAUGAAUAAGAAUAAAAUUGGUUCUGAGCAUAGCUCGAAAAGAAUAAAUUACCAAAAAUAAUAAAGAAGGAUAAUGAAGAAAUUGAUCGGGAAUGUAUAUCUUGGAAAAGAAAAAGGUAUUCCAAGAACAACAAAUUUAAUAUAGAUAAUAUGAUAAUUGGGUGCCCAGACAUCGCAGCUUGAACUUCUCUGUACGAACUUUCUGAAGACCAUUUUGAGUUGGACAUGUGCUUAGGAGAUCUACAAUGCUCUGUCGAUACCCAAGAUGUCGCCUAUCCUUUCUUGUUGAUUCAGGCACAGCAAGAUCACCACAUGCCCCAAUAUGAUCAAAAUUCGAAUCGCUCUGAUCGCCUCAUGCCCCAUUCUGAACAAAUAUUUGAGCCGCCCUUUUCGGGUUUUCAACUCAAAUCCCCUUUGGCCUAAGGCGCCCUUUUUCGGGUUUUCCCCUUAGCCUCUCCAUUUUUCAUUUUCAUUUUUCAUUUUUCAUUUUUCAUUUUUCAUUUUUCAUUUUUCAUUCUCAUUUUUCAUUUUUCAUUUUUCAUUUUUCAUUCUCAUUUUUCAUUUUUCAUUUUUUUUACUUAGAGUGCUCUUUGCAGGCUUUCACAUUAGUCAUCUCUCCUUCUUUAAACGAAGUAUUUCUUGACUAGAUCUGAGUUUAUAGGACUAGAAAUCUCACUCAGGAUCAACGCUCUUCUGAGGAAUGUCUUCUUUACAACGUAGGGACAUUCCCAGUUUGGCAUUCAUUUCCCUCUGGAAUCCUUUUGGAGAGGAAUGAUCUUUUGACAUCCAACCCUCUCGUGGAAUUCUCUGAGAUGACACUGUUCGUUAUGGGCUCGUAUCAUUUGUUUCCGGUACAUCCAACCCUGAAGAAUAGCUUUUAACCUUUUUCCUAGGUUCAACUGAUCGCAUCGCGAUUGAAUCCAUUCUGCUUCAUCCAAUUCUAGCUCAACUAAUACUCGGAGAGAAAGGAUUUCAAUAGGUAAAACUACCUAAACCCUGCAAACCAAAGAGAAAGGUAUUGCCUCGGUAUAGAUGCUCGACAAGCAAGGAAGACAAAUAGUAAUUUCUCAUGCCAGUCUCUGUCAUUUUCCUUCAAUUUUCGAUGUUAAACUCUAGGCAAUUCAGUGGCGAAUCGUGGAGUCCACUUCUGAGUUGAUUUGAGAACUCAGCUAUCGUGAUAUUGUUUAAGCUCAAUGCAUUCUCCAAUACCCUUUUCUCUGAAAUUUUGUAUCGGAAUACGAUGACUUUUGAUCAUGAAGUAGCCUCUCAAAAUGAAGCAAUGCCCAUUAGAAGUCUUCGAUAAUGGUGAUGUCCAUGCCCCAUUGUGCUCGAAAUUUGAGUCGCCUUUUUUGGGUUUUCAACUCAAAACCACAUUUGGUCACAAAGCGCCCUUUACAGGUUUUCGCUUUGGCCUCUCCUUUUUUCUUUUUUAUUCUGAUUUUUUCAUCCAGAUUUCUCUUUUUCAUUCUUCUUUCUUUUUCUCAUUUUCAUUUUGAUCUUGAUUUUGAUUUUUUUCUUUCUUCUUUUUUUUUGAUUUUUUUCAUUUUCAUUUUCAUUUUCAUUUUGACUUUGACUUUGAUUUUGAUUUUUCUUUUUCUUCCCUUUUUGAUCUGAGCCUUUUGGUGGGCAACUUCGACAGAAAACUUUGGAUCUUCCUCUUUAAUCAGGAUGGACCCAACAACAACUUGAAGAGAUAGAAAUUUGACUUCAAAUGGGCAAAGCUAUGCUGACUCCACGUGAAAGGCAUUGCCCCGGCAAAGAAUUACAUCGUUCAUACUGCAAAUUUCUGACAUCGUGCUGUUGUGCAGAUUUCAUUAUCGGCGUUUAACCCGGGGCAUAUCCUGGUAUGAUCAUACGAAGACAUCUAUGAACCUUAGAGGUCACUCAAUAAGGUGUUGCUUCGUCUUUGCGGUCAAGUUAAUUCUAAUCUUCACCAAGUCCACAAUUCCUUAUGAGGUAGGAUCUGUCUAUCCUCUUAUUCUACCAUCCUCAACAAGUUCGGAGCUAAGCUACGAUCUAUGUCAUUUCCAAAGUCGUGAGAUCCGUCUAAACACAUACCUCUCUCAAGAGGAAAAUCUGAGUCUGUAGCAGUAUCACUCAUGUCAUUGAUAUCUGGGAACUCAUUGUAAGUACAAAAGGAUAUACAAAGAAUAUAUGAAGUUGUACAAUAUGUUUAUGAAUGCAAUAGUGAUUUGGAAGAAAGAAUAAAAGAAUACAAAUAAUCAUUGAUAAGAAAUGAAGAAUAUUGAUUCAAAAAAGAUCGCAAAGAUGCAUUCCAUUAAAAUAAUGACAUUCAGACUGAGCCUAUUUCACAAAAGAGUUCUUAUUGCCUCUAGGCUAAAAGCAACAAGUGUGUUCUGAAUAUUACUCUGAGUAAACUCUAAAUACUACAGGGGUCUCUUCUGCAGUCUAAUUAUUCAGAACACUCUCAAGUUUAGAAGGGCGAACAUCUAAUAAGAUAUCUUCUCCAAUUGUUUCUUCAUAUUCGGCACGGAUGUGAACAUUUCCUAACAUUUCUUCAUUCAUCGCAUUCCCUUCAUUAUCCAUAUGAUUGAGCAGCGGGUUUUCUGUACUGAGUGAAUCCUCAAAUUUAACAAUGCCCAUAUUGAUAAACCUUUCGACCAGCUUUUUAAAGGCAGUGCAUUUUUCUAUAGAAUGCCCUGUAAUUCCCGCAUGAUAGUCACAUCGCGCAUUUGUGUCGUACCAUUUGGGAUACGGAGGUUGUAAAGGCUUCAAGUAGAAAUGGGAGACAACAUGUGCGUCAAAUAAACUAUGAUACAACUCCUGGUACGACAUUGGGAUUGGUGCAAAUUGUGACUUUUCAGUACCUGGUUUCACUCCAGAUUCUUGCUUUAAAGGGCUCUGAUGGCUAGUGGUCUUCGUCUUUGGUUUGCCCACAGUGAUUAGUUUUGAGUGGCCCUUGUUAUAUUCGCCUGCGUUUUCCUUUUUAUUCCCCUUCUUCCUUGGGGCCUUUAUAGUAUCUGGGUACUCUACCCCCAUCUGCUUUAUUUCGGCUAGAUUAGCAAUAGGAUUAGCUAAAUCGUUCCUCAAAUUGGAUCCUAAGCCUGUCAGGCAAUUCACUGGUGUCGAUGUACUAGUCUGAUAAUAUUGGGAUCCGAUAGUAAAGAGUGCCCCUUGUGGGCGCCUAUCUGGCUGGACCUGGACACUUGUCGGAGUACAAUCUAAGGAAUAGACAAGAUCAUCAUUAUUAACCCUAAAGUAAACCACUGGGUCUUGCACUUCUUUUGACUUUCCAGCUAGCAAUCGGUUGAACUGGUUUAUCAUAGUUCUCCGUAAUUCUAGCAUCUGAUCUCUCAUCUCUUUUUGAAAUUUAGUCAUUUGCUCCUGCAUCUGGAUCUACAUUCGCUCUAAUUUUUCCAACCUUCGUUCCAUUUCUCUAGCCUUUGCUUGGAUAUCGUAAUGGUGUUUGGUUGUUUGGUUUUCCAAGUUAGCUGAAAUAAAUUUACUCAUUUAGACUCUUUCAAUGGAUUUUAAUGCAUGUAAUGCAAUGUGAUGCAAAUGCAUGAAAUGAAUGCCUAAAGAGACGUUGAUUCUGAUUCAAUUACAUUUAGAAAACUUUUCUAGAAAGCAAAUUCCCUUACAUAAAACAGAUACAUGUACGGCCUCACCCUCAUACUCCAAGAAACAACAUCGGUCUUUUUCUUCAUCCGCUUGUUUGAGGUAAUCUCGCCAAUAGAUGCCAUUGCUAGCUCCUUUUGAUCUUGGUCGUGAUCCAUCAUCUGCCCAUCUUCAUAAGGCUCGUCUGCUUCUUGGAACGUCGAAGGCUCUUAGACAAUCGCUUUGAAUCCUCAGGCCACGAAGCAGGGUCACGAACUCUUCCAUCGCCCUUCUUGCGUUCUUCAGAAUAUAUUUGGGAAGUUGUAUUAUUUUCCACCUUAUCAAGGAAUUCGUAUUCCAUGACAAGCUUUCUAAUUUAGUAAUCGAACUUGAAUCCAUAUCUCUUUCCUAAGAUGCAAAUGCAAUGUAAUGCAAUCAUAAUCAAAACACAACAAUAGGGGUUAGUACAAAACAUAAGCAAGCACAGAAAACAAAAAGUACCUAAUCAGGUAGAUACUAGGGGUUUGGAGUGGCUCUACCUAGGUUAAGUUCCUAAGUCUACUAUAUGAGGGUUGGUUCUAAAGUCAAGGUACCCGAACCAACAGAUUCCUCGAUCUUCACCCAUUAUAGGCUCAUACAGACAGAGUUCGGUUCAAGGGAAUACAUUUCCCGAUGGCUGCACGGAGAUGAAAAUCUCACGAAAGCAUAGGUACAGAUGUAUUCCGGAAGCGAUCCACUAUCCUGCACGAAGGUGAAAACCUCAAGAAGGACUAGUUUCUCACUCCCACCUAAAAGGUAAUAAUCGAGCGAUAAUGUAAUGCAACAUGCAGAAAUAUAUCAAAAUUCAAACCAAUAGAGCAAAUACAAACUGAAGUAAGGAUAAUCGUAACAAAAACGGACAAACAUACAACAAAAUGACCGUAGAUUUGAACCAAGCUUUCGGGUGACCUCUAGGCAUUUGGUGUGGUUCUACCUAGGGUAGGCUCUUAAGGCUCAUUAUAUGCGGUUCGGUUCUAAAGUAAGGGUACCUGAACCAGCAGAUUCCUCGAUCCUCACCCAUUAUAGGCCCAUACGGACUGAGUUCAGUUCAGGGGGAUACAUUUCCCUAUGGCCAUGCGGAGAUGAAAAUCUCACAAAUACAUAGGUACAGAUGUAUCCCGGAAGCGAUUUACUAUCCCAUGCGGAGGUGAAAACCUCACGAAGGCGUAGUUUUUCAUUCCCACUUAAAAGGGUGUGACCAACGGUCAUACAAUGCAAUGUGCUAAAAUAUACAUCUAAACGCAGUAAUUAUAAACAAAAUUAUAAAGACUGAAAUAAAAACGAAUGAAAUGCAACACAAGGAUCGUGUGAAGUUUUCAAUCUUUGACAAAAGACAAAAAGUAAUCAACACAUGGCUUGACUCUCGUAUUUUUCCCCAGCGGAGUUGCCAAGCUGUUGACACCAUUUUUUGGAUGAAAAAAAACGGGAUCGACUUGGGUUUUGACGAAAACGAAAAAACGGGAGUCGCCACCAAUCCUUUUUAAUGAGGUGUGAUUGGAUCACCUCAAAAAUUGGUUGUUUCUAAUAAACAGUUUAAUUUUAUUAAAACAACGCUUUUGGUCCAUGAAAUUCAGAAAACGAGUUCGGGAGUCGAUUACGUAUGAGGAAGGAUUAACACCCUCAUAACGCCCAAAAUUGGUACCUAGUUGAUUAGUUAAUGUCUUGAUGUCGAAAAUUGAUAACUUAAAAGAAUUUUAAAAAAUACGAUCCUUGAUUAAAACAUUAAGAGAAUUUUUUUGAGAAAAGAAGCACAUUUCACGUUAAUUGAGAAAUAUACGUCAUAUCCAGUGAAUUAGGAUACAAUGUAUCGAAUUCUCGAUGCGUAAAAAUGCUUGUUUAAAAGACAUUUUAGCUAUCUCGGAUUUAAAAAAAAUAGAUCACGACCAGUAAGUUAGGACGCGAUUUUUUUUUAAUUCCCGAUAUCAUUUAAAACUUGAGUUUAAAAAAAUUCGUGUAAUAAAGUUUAAAAGAAUAUUCAAUUGUUUAAAUCAAAUGAAGAAAUCGCAACCCAAUACGUUAAGGCACAAUUUCUCAAAAUAUUAAACAUUGAAUACUGCAUUUAUUUCGGAAAAAAAAACCUCAUCUCGAGAAAACAACGUGUCACAUCCAAUGCGUUAGGACACAACAUAUUGAAUUCUCGAUAACGAGCUUUUUAUCAUUUUUAAAAGAGUAAUCUCGAUUAUUUAAAUUCAACGAAGAAAAUCAGAACCCAAUAUGUUAGGGCUCGAUUCUCUCGAAGUUCCAAAUACCAAGUAUUAUUCAUAUUUUUAAAAUUUCUUCUUUUUUGAAAUCUAGAUAAAAAUAGGUGUAAUGGAAUAACAAUAAUGAUGAUGUAAUUAAAAUAAUACAAGCAAAGGCUACGAAGUAAAAUAAAUACAGAGACGAACUAAUAUAAUAUACAAUCACAAGCAUAUAAGCAAUAAAAUUAAAACAUUCAUUCUAAAUAAUGAAAAUGUAAAUGAAGAAAUGAACAAAGAAAAUGUAUAAAACUAUAAAAAAAUAAAACAUACAUAUAUGUGUAUAUACAUAAAAUUAUGAAAAUAUAAAAAAUAUAUGUAUGUACAUAUUUUAAAAUCAUUAUAAAAUAUAUAUAUAAGUAAACAUAUACAUAUAUACGUAUGUAACUAUCAUAAAAUAUAAAAAGUAUAUAUAUAGAUACAUAUAUAUAUAUGAGUCAUAGAAUAUAAAUAACAUAUAUAAGAUACAUAUUUAAAAUAUGAAGAAUGUAAGUAUAUUUAUAUUUAUGAAAAUAGAAUACAUAUAUAGACAUGUAUAUAGAUAUGUAUAAAAUUACGAAAUAUAAAAUAUAAGGGUAUUAGUAUGUGUAUAUAUAUAUAUAGACAGAUAGAUAGAUCAUAAAAAAAAUAUGGAUAUUAUAUAUAUAUAUAACAUGAAAACGCAUAUAUGUAUAUAUAACAAAGAUUCCAAAUAAAAAAUAAAUGAACAACUUAAUAAUAACAGUAAUAAUAUUAUUUUAUAAAAAAGGGAAAUAAACAAUAACAAAAGGACUAAAUUAAACAUUGAAACAAGAUUUGGGGUUUAAAAUUACAAAUAAAAGGUUCAAGGGCUGGAAUGAAUCACGCACAAAGUGCAAAGGACUGAUCGGACAAUAUGCCCAAGUCCUGAGGCACAACAUUCGUGCGCUGAUUAAAUUGAAUCAUGAAGAAAUUUCGUGGGGCCAAAUUAAAGAAAAUAAAUAAACAAGCAAAAGGACUAAAUUAAAACAAUCAACAACGAGGAAGGGCCAAGGGCAUAAAUAGCCCACUUCAUGAAAACGCGCGGAUCCCCUCCUACCGGGUCGGGUCGCACGCGGGUCCAGAGGCAGAACGACGUCGUUUCGACGCCCAUAUGCAGUCACAAAACGGCGCCGUUUCUAUUAUGGUAUUUAAGCCCAAUUUUCUACAAAAAAAAAAUUUCAGCAGCUGUUUGUUUUAAGAAAAAUCCAAAAAAAAAAAACUUUCCUCCCCUCUCAAACAUCCGGCCUUUAGGUCUCCUUAGCGCCGCCAUUGCGCCACUGUGGACGGUGGCCGGCAUUGCGCAAAAGGGGCGUUCUAGUCCCGGUUUUGAGACCCGAUCGAAGGCUUUACUCGCAUAGCCUGAAGAUCAAGAGGCAGGACCCCCUAACUCAAACUUUCGGGGCCGAUUUCAACGACGGGCAGACCCCGACGGCAGCGCAACCGAAAGACGAAACGGGUAAGUCCUCCUCUUCCUUUUUAUUUACUAUCUUUAUAUAUAUAUGUAUGUAAACAAAAAGAAAAGAGAACAGAAAAAGAACUUCAAAACUGAAAAGAAAAGAAAAGAAACCUUGAAUCUGUAUUUGUUUCUUUUUUCUCUAUUAAUGCCUUUUUUCUUUACAAAAAUCGGAACCCCCUUUACAAAGGUUUUUCAAUCGGUUUUUGAACCAAAAAUAAUACCCCCCAUUGCUUGUUGCUGUUGUUCUCUUUAUUAUUUGCAGGUGAAGCAGGUGGCGAUGGGACAAGGUGAACGGCGGUGGCAGAAGGCUAGGCUGCAGGAGGCGUACGGCGCUGAGCAAGGCAGGGAACCCUAGGGUUCCCUGAUGCUUGUUUAAUUUUUGGGCCCAAUUGGGCCAAUUUAGAUUUUGGGCAUUGGGCCUUGUGUUUUGGGUUGAAUUUAGCUUGUUAGGCUGGGGUAUUUUGGGUUAAUGGGCCCGGGCAAAUUUGGGCUUCUACAAAUAUAAUAUAUAUAUUAUUCCUUAAUGUGGGAUAAAAGUAGGCAGCUAUCUAUUAAUGAUACGGCUGAUUCUGAAAAGACGGCUGAAAUUGAAUCAAUGAGUUGUUGGUAUUUGCCUGAUGGAAGAACAGGGCCUAAUGUUACGUGGAUUCUGAUCAAGUUUUAAUUUUUCAGUUGUGGGCAUGACUGAUUGUUGCCAUUUGGUUGUUGAUCCUCUGAUUUUACGGUUGACUAUCUUGCUUAUACGUUGCUAUUGGUUGGCGGGUCUCAAGUAUGAAUUUCCAAGCCGGCUUUCAUCCAUAAUUAACUAGGUGUUCCAAUCCAUGGAGUUUAUGGUUUAUUAGUGUAACUGUCCAUUUGGUUAUGGAUUGGUUCUUAAGGUGUUUUGAUGCUUUGUAUGUUACAGUGUUUGCUCAACACCCUUUAAUUCUAAGGAAUUUUAUUCGUUGAGGAAAAAAAAAAUGAGGAUUACUCUGAUAUUUUAUGUUUGGGUUUAUGAAGAUUUUUGUAUGUUUAAUGAAAGAAAGCAAAUUAAAUAGAGACGUACAAGAUCACAUCCAUAGAUCAACAAAAGGGUUUAAUAUUUCCAUAAAAUAUUGUCCCAAAAAGGCCUUUUAAUGAGAAUUGAUCAUAUAAACUAAUGAAGGCCAUUGAAAAUAAAGCUUGUAAAAAAUUACAAAAGGAAUUGAUGAGAAUUUGUUGUGAUAAGAGUUUAUGGCCCUGUAGGAGCCUCUCCCCAAAUCGCUAGCAAAUGAAACAAAAGGAUUAAUGCACUUCGAUAAUGGCAGAUUUAUAUUUGUUACGAAAGGUCAAGAGCCCAAGCCAUCUCAUGCCACAGCUUUCCCUUAAAGCAUUCGUGGCUGAGUCUAGUAUUAAUUUUUAUUUGUAUCUUUUAUAUCCGUUUUAUAAUUCAUAUUUGGGAUUUGUAUUAUGCACUUAAUAUUUCAUUAUUUAUUGUCUAUGUUGCUCAUUGUUGCAAAAAGAAGAACCAAACACAAUGCAUGCAUAAACCAUAAAAAAGAGAAAAAAACAACAUAAGCAACUAAUAAUGAAAUAUAUUAAAAUGAAGAAUGGCAAUUGAUUUCAGAAUUACCCCAAUUUCGGUAAAUAUAUUAAAACAUGUGUCUCUAAUCUUUUUCAAUUUUGAUAUUGAAAAAAUUGGUAUUUCUAAAAAUAUCAGAGUUAUUCAAUCAUUUUCAUUUUUGAAAGUGAUAAGUCAAAGACAAUUAAUUACAACAUUAAUGUUUUUCAUCAAUUAUACAUAAUUUUCUUGGUAUAAUAAUAAAUUUAGCCCUCAAAGUUGACACAUCCUAUCAAUUUGUUAUUGAUUUAACUAAUUUAACCCACAAUAUUUACACAUUUUGUCAAUUUGAUCAUGAUUUAACAUAUUUAACCCGUAAUAAUUACACAUUCUAUCAACAUUUACACAAAAUAUAUAAUCAUCAAUGAUUAAAUUUAUUUUUCUACUAAUCAAAAUUAUGUAUAAUUAACAGAAACUACUAGCGCUUGAUUAAUUGUUCAUGGUUACUUUCAAAAUUGAUAAGGAUUAAAUUACUCUAUUUCUUUUAGAGUGACCAAUUUGUUCAAUAUCAAAAAGAUAUUUUUUAUUUAUUUUAAUUUCAUAGGUAAGAAAAUCUCAAAAAAGAAAAUCUUUGAAAUAAAAAAAAGUAUGUUUUAUAUAAUUAUUUAAAGUUACUCUCACAUUAUUUUUUACCCAUUCAAAGCUAGCAAGUCUUUUAUGUACAAAUGGUGUAGCUCUGCAAUUUGGAUUAACAUGUUGGUGACCUCCAUGUGAAGUGAAAGAAAAUAGACAAUGUCACACAAUUAUUAUUUUUCCCUCCGUACCCCUAUGCCACCAAAGAAAGUUGAAUUAUCAAGGCACAAAAGCACUAAGGAGUAGGAGCUAGAAAAAGAGGGGCAUGAAAAUAAAAAGAGUCAAAUUAUUAUUUGACGGAAACGUUAAAUUUUGAAAUACAUAUAACAAUCCACGUGUGUUUCAUAUAUAUCUUUUUAAUUUUUAUGAUUUUUUUUGAAAUUUUGAUUUUUGAAUACUAUUAGAAAAUUAUUUGGUACAUUGUUAGUGGAGUUUUUAAACUCCACCAACAAAAUCAAUGGGUUGACAAGUGUCUUACAGAGGUAAAUAAAAUAUUAAAAAAUAAAUAUUUUAAAAAAAAGAUAUAUGUCAAUUUUUUAAAGUUACUUGUGAAAUAAAAAUAAUAUAUUAUCAGCGUACCAAAUACUCACAUUUUUAAUUAAGAUUUAAAAAUAAAAAAUAUAUAGUUACUAAAAUGAAUGGGUUGCAAAUUGAGAAAUUUGAUAUUGAAUAUUAAAAUUUUCUUAAAAAGAAGACAAGAUACAAAAGUUAGUGACUUAUUUGAUUUUAUUUUAAUUUUUAAAUUUAUGCAUUUUAUUAUGAAUUUUUAUUCUUUGUGUACUCUGUAAAAUUUGUCUGAAAUUUCUAAUUUUUAAUUUUUCACAUGAGUUUAAGAUAGAAAAAAUUUACUCUUAGGAUUGGUGAAACAAGGGUUACAAUCGAUACAAGAGUUCAGUUUACGAUAUGUAGAUGAUUUUGUUCUUCGAAAUAUUGUCUACAGGUAGGAUAUCGGAAAUCUAUUAUCAUAGUUUUGUUAAAAGGUCGAGAGUUCUAUUUUGGCCUAAGACUCUAGGAAUUCUAUUAUCGAUAUUCUAAUUAUGAUCAUGAUCUGUAAAAGAUAUGAGUAACAUGUGAUAUGUAAAUGAAGAGUUUUAUGGUAUGAUAAGCCAUAAAUUAAGUGAAAAUGUAAGGAAGUGUAUGAUUAUAUGAAAGACAAAAAUAAUUAAUUUAGUUUAAUGAUCUGUAAAAUUGAAAAGUGAAAUACAUGAAUUAUAUAAGAGAAUGUUCAUGAUCGACAUGCGGUGUGUAAAUGAUAAGGAAAAAAUUAUAUGACCAAAAUAGUAGAAAUGAAUAAUGAAAUUAGUUAAAUACUUUGUAAGUUCAAAAGUAGGUUGCAUUAAAUAAAUAGAUUUAUUAGUCAGAAUAGUAAUCAGUCCGGCAUGCACGCUCUCUUCAGUGAGAAGGUGAUUUAUUUCAUUACUCUUACACUCUUGCAUAAAUCUGUUGAUUUGUCCUUGUUUUUUUUUCUGCCUUCAUUACUUGAGCUAACCUUAUUAUGGGCAUGGAUUAUAUAUAUAUAUGAAUAGGUUGCAGUUCCUAGCUUGGAAAAGCUGAAUAUCUGGGACUUGAAUGUGAAGAUGAUAUUUUAUAAUGACCUAGCACCAGGUUCCUUUAAAAAUCUACGAGAAAUAAUCGUUUGUGGAUGUGGGAGCUUGAAAAAUCUAUUUCCAGUAUGAAUAGCCAAAGAUCUUCCACAACUUGAACUUUUAUGCAUCAGGGGUUGUCGAGUUGAGGAGAUUGUAUCGAAAGGGGAUGGAGUGGAGGAGCAGCCUGUGAGGUUUGAGUUUCCGCAAGUAUCUUUCCUUGAGGUUAGAUGGGUAGCAAAGCUCAAAUGUUUCUAUGAAGGGCAACAUACAAUAGUCUGGCCGAUGUUGAAAAAAUUGGAAACAGAUAGUUCUGCUUUGCUAAAGAUAGUGGCAUGGGAACAUCUUAGAUUAAUCCAAGGAAAUGAGGAGCCAGUUUUGUUGGGUGAAGAGGUAUGUAUAUCAUUACAAAUAUAUUUCAUUUUAUGAUUUAAACCACUGCCACAAGCAUCUCAAGUUGAAAUAUGCCACGAUCAUGCAUUUCUAAUUAUUAUAUUUUGUUUGAUUUUUUUUUUUUGAAUUUUUUGUUACAUUUAUAAUUAUUUUUUCAAUUUUUUUAAAAACAAGACUGAAUAAACAUAAUAGGUAAAUAUUGAGUGAAUGCAGUUCAAUUUGAUAAAAUGUAUAAAUAUUGAGGGUUAAUUUUAUUAUUAUGUAAAAAAAAUACUAAAAAUAAAAAUAAAAAUAUUUUAUCUGUUUUUAAGUAACCAAAAUGAAAAUAUUUUAACACUAAGUGACUAUAUAUGUAAUUUACCCUGCAUUUAAGUAGUGGAUCGAAACUAAAUAGGACCUUUAAUUUGCUAAAAAAAAAUUGCCACUCAAUAAAAAAAUCAAAACUUUAAAAGUUAAUUACACUAGACAUCUCAAACUAUGACCUUCAUUUUAAAUUAGUCCUAAAAUUUAAAACUAUUGAGGUUAUAUCAAUUACGUCUUUCUGUUAUUAAAUUCGUUAAUUUAACCAUCAAAUUAAAUCAGUGUAAUAUUUUAAAACCUUGGUGUUUUAUCUCCACUGUUCUGCUUAUAUUUUUUAUCAUAGAAAAUAAAUAUAUAUAUAUAUAACAAUGGUUGUUUAUCUAUUUUAAUCUAGAUUUGCUACUCUUCUUUCGGCUUUUAUGUUCUGUAAUUUUUAUCAGUUUUAAUUCUCAAUGUAUUGUGUUUUCUUAAAACAAAAAAUUCAUCUAUUCUGGAUUUGUUUGAUUUAAUAUUGAUUUUGUUGGGAUUUAAUCAUCAAAAUCAAACACUAAAAUUGUAAAUUUUUUUUUGUUUGUUUGUUUGUUUAAAGCAUAUACAUCAACAUUGAGCCUAACUUGUUUAUAUUUAAUUGGUUUCCAAGGUCAUUCCCAAAUUAGAGGAACUUGAGUUACUAAAUUUUGGUGAUAUGGACCAAUUUCCACCAAACUUGUUUCAACAUAUUAAAGUUUUUGCAGCGAGUGAUGGCUCUCCAUUUUCUAUAUUUCCUUUCGUCCGAAGAUUCUACAAUCUGGAAAGACUUGAGUUCACUUGUUUAGAUUUCAAACAUGUAGUCCCUUGUAAAGGAGACGCCGGGACUCUCCCACCAAUUAGAAAUCUGGAAUUGUUUUCUGCCAGAAAUCUUAAUCAUAUUUGGAGGAAAGAUUCGGAGCUUGACCAUAUUCUUUCUAAUCUUCAAACACUCACAGUUCAUAGUUGUGAUGAUUGGAUAAAUAUUAGAGUCUUCUCAUCAUCUUUGCAAAAUCUCACAAUUGAAUGUGUCAUUUUGUAAAAUGAUGACAAACUUAGUCACACCCUCAGUACUUAAGAAUCUUGUGCAAUUAACGACAAUAAAGGUAGAAUACCGCACUAAAAUGACAGAAGUAGUGGGAAACGAGGGAGACUGUCAUCAGACAAUAGUUGUUAGUAAAUUGAAAUGUUUACAACUAUGCAAUUUGAAGAGCCUCACAAGCUUUUGUCCACGGUAUUACAGCUUCGAGUUUCCUUGUUUGGAAGAAUUAGUUGUGGAAGAUUGUCCUAAGUUAAAGAUCUUUUCUGAGGGAGUUUUAAGCACCCCACAAUUACAGAGAAUAAAACAGUCGAGUUACCGUGAGAAAUGGAGUUGGACAAGUGACCUUAAUACCACCAUAAAACAGUUAUACACAGAAAAGGUACAAAGUUAAUAAGUUCAUAAUGCUACCUAGAUUCCUCGUGUCCUAAUACAAUUAAUUUUAUUACUACUUCAAUAACCAUUGAAGAGUGUUAAUCGUUACUUUGUUAUUGUCUGCAUUUUCUAUUUAUGAUUGCUAUCUAGUGGAAUAAUAUCAGAUUAAUUUUUAGGAUGGACUCUAUAACCCAUAUGAUUUCAACAUCUCUGACACAUUUCCGGAGUCGAUAGAAAUAUGGACUAGAAACCCUCAAGAAAUUUUGGGCAUCAAAAACCUUAGCAGCCUGCAGUUUAUAAAUGUAGCAGCUUUAAGUACAUAUUUACUCCGUCUAUGCUUUUGGGCCUCAAUCUACUACGAAGGAUAAAAGUGAGAGAAUGCAGUUCAAUGGAACAAGUAGUUAGGGAGGUGGAGGAAGCAAUGACACAUAAAUUUACAUUUCUUUCGCUACGCUCCGUAACAAUUGAGUCGUGUUCCAACUUGACAAAUUUCCAUUUGGGAAGUCAAGCUCUUGAAUUUCCACAGCUGUUGAAAAUCACGAUAGCUGAGUGUCCAAAAAUGACUGCAUUUUCUUCCUCAGUUUCAAGAGAGAGUGGUGAUGCAAGCGAAAACGUGGUUGGCAAAGGGGGCAUCUAUGAUAACACUGCAACUUUUUUCAGCAAUAAGGUAAGUUUGGUAUUCAAUAUUUAUCUGCACAACUUAUUUCACAUUUUCUUUUGAUUUGAUCAACAUGAGUGUGUCUGGUCUACAUAUCCAUACUAGUGCUACACCUUGUCAAAAUUUAAUAUAAUAAAAUCCAUAAAAAUAUUAAUAAAUAAGAUGAUGUUUAAAAAAAAAUUGGAGUUUAAAGUAUAAAUAAAUAUAUAAAAUAAGAAUUGAAGGAAAAACUUAAAGUGAAAUACUAAAAAACAAUAAGAAUUUAAGAGAAGUUUAAAAUUAAAUAGUAAUAGACAAUAAAUAAUAAAAUAAUAAUAGAAAAAAGAAAACUAAUCUUCCUUCAUUUUAAUUUGUGGGUGUAUAAGAAGGAGAUAAUUGUGGAAGACCUUCACAAAGGUCAUUUGAGAUCAAAGGAGAAGAAGCCUGAAAACAAAACGUGAGGAGUUUGAAGAAGAAAGAACCAAAUAUAUAGAGGAGAAUUGAAGUGAGAGAGUGGAUGGGUUUUAUUUAAAGAUUUAUUGCUUUUUUUUUAAUUUCAUAUAUAGAAAAAAUCAUUGAAAGAAAAAAAAGUUUAAUAUAAUUAUUUAAAUUUACUUGUCGGGUUUUUAUAAAAGUAACUCAAUUUUUUGAUUAAUUAUGAAAAUGACUCAAUUUAAAAAUAAUGUACAUAAAUUAUUCGAUUUCUAUAGUGUUUGUCGGUGCCUCCAAACACAAUGGCGGCACCGACCUACCAUCAUCGAUCAAUGAUUGUAUUUUAUUUAAAAAAUAAUAGUUUUUUAGUAGUGUUGUUGGAAAAAUUGGCGAAAUCAGACUGAAGUGUGAUUAUAUAAAAUGUUCAUGGACUUAAUGAAGUAAUUACCCUUUUUUAAUUAGCGGAAAAAGGGAUCUUCCCGUGAAUAUGUGGCACCAAAUUAAAUGAUUUUCAUCUUUUGGUCUAUUUGCAUGUUAGGUCUAUCCCCUUUUGAAAUUAAAUUUAAAUAACCCUUAAGAAAUAUAAGAAUAACAAAAAUAAAUCAUUCUCAUUUAUUUUAUUUUAUUUUAAAAAAAUAAACUUAAAAAAUUAUAUAAAAUUCUUAUUUAAAUUACCCAAAUAUAUCCCUCACACAAUUUCCUCAAGUUUAUCUAAAUUCAAGCAUUUUCAAUUUAUUCCCUAGCAUAUUUAAAUUUAGAUAAACUUAAGGAAAUUUUUUAAGAAAUAUAUUUGGGUAAUUUGAAUUAGAAUUUUAUAUAAUUUUUUAAGUAUUUUUUCAAAAAAAAAAAGGGAGGAAUUGGUUGAAGAACAUCAAGGGAGGAGUCAGAUGUUUUUCUCUGAACUAGAAUUGCUGUGGCUAAAAGACCUUCCCAAACUCACAAGUUUCUGCUUUGAGAAUUGCUUUGAAUUCCAAUGUUUGACAGUUUUGGAACUAACAAAUUGUCCAUUGCUAAAAACAUUCAUCUCUAAAUGUGUACCCGGAGAUGAACCUCAAAUUGGCCAACAUUUACGAGCAAGUAACUUGGAGGUUCAUAACUCAUCUCUCCUCAAUGAAAAGGUAAUUUCUUCAAGGAUCCUCCUUUUAAUUUAUGUUACUUCGAUUGAUUUUAUUCAUUUGAAAUUCUUUCUUUUUCAUACAUAUUUCAGUUAUUAACCUAAUGAAAUGAUUUAUUAGGUUGUUUUCCCUAGUUUGGCGAAGCUGCAGAUUCAAAAUUGUGAUUCGUUAGAAGAAAUUAUUGAGCUGCAAGGACUCAUUGCUGAUGAGUCACAGUCAACAUCAGCUGCUCAAUCUAUUGUGGCUGAAGCAGUGACGACCAAGUUUGUAUUUCCCAAACUACAAAACCUUGGAUUGGAUAAGGUGCCAAGAUUGAAAAGUUUCUACUCUAGGAUGCAUACCACCCAGUGGCCUUCAGUGAAACAAAUGAGCAUUAUUGAAUGCCCCAAAGUACAGAUAUUUACUCGACAAUGUCCUGUGAGUCAGGUUGGAAUCUCAAACCAACAACCCUUGUUUUUCGUCAACGAGGUAAACUCACUAGCAGUUUCAUAUUCCAUGUUCAUUACUGGAGAUUACUUAUAAAAUGCCUUUUAAAUUUAUGAGAAAGAAAAUGGAAAUUAUAUUAAUUUUGUAGUCUAGUUCUUACGAAUUGAAAACUCUUUGAUCGAUGUUUAAUAUAUUCGUUCCCAUCCAGGACACUUUCCCUGUAUUAGAAGAACUAACACUGAAGACGAAUGAUAUGGUGAGGGGGAUAUGUGAUGGACAACUCUCAUUGCAGUGUUUCCAAAACCUUAAGCAUCAUAACCUCCAUUUCUUUCCCGAGACAUCCACUACUCUUCCGUAUUCCUUCAUUCGGUCUCUACCAAUCCUUCAUAAGCUUGUUAUAGACAAUGCAAGAAACUUAAAACAAUUGAGCCGUGUUCCAACUUGACAAAUUUUGUUGAAAAUGGACUGUAAAGCAACAAAGGAGCAGCUUGGUGCAUUUUUGUUUCUUUAUUUUGUUUAUUUUGUUUACUUUUAAUAUUUGUAAUCUUUUGUAAUUGAAACAAGUUGGUGUGCAACUUGGUUUCAUAAUGAUAGCUAUAAUUGAAACAACAUAAUGAUAGCUAAUAUGCUUUCAUAAUGAUAGCUAAUAUGCUUUCAUCUUUUUAAUUAUUAAUUGGCAAGUUGCCAAAUUUAGUGGAAAUUGUUAGGUAAACAUUCCACUUUUGUAACUCUAUAUUUUGAAAUGAAAUGAAAAUGGUAUUAUCAUUCGGUUUCAAUCAAACAUAUUUUUUUUCCUUUUGCUUGUUAACCGAGAGCUUAUGCUCUUGAUGCUUUGUGUUUUUCUGCUUGCUGUUUGAAGAGCUUAUGCUCUUAGUGUUUCAUUGUUUGGUUGUUGCUGCCAUUUUAUCCAACAAAUGGUAAUCAGAGCAUCCUAUCUUUGAGGACCUUUGUGGUUUUGUUUUAGUUUUCAAAACAAAGUCAGUUUUGUUUUUGCAAAAUCAGUUUUCAGCAGCAUGAGUUUUUCUCCUCCUCCACCACCAGUUUUUGUUGGAGACAACUACCAUAUUUGGAUUGUCAAGAUGAAGACAUAUCUUCAAGCACUUGACCUCUGGAGUGCAGUUGAGAGUAAUGUUGAGCCAAAACCAUUAAGAGCAAAUCCUACCAUUGCUCAGAUCAAGCAACAUGGGGAGGAACGAGCCAAGAAACACAAAGCAAUAGCCUGUUUGUAGAAUGGAGUGUCAGAUGUUAUCUUCACUCGCAUUAUGGCCUGUGAUUCCCCUAAGCAGGCAUGGGACAGGCUUAAAGAGGAAUUUAUGGGAUCGGAUAAGACCAGGCAGCAACAGGUCAUUAACCUGAUAAGGGAAUUUGAAAACUUAAAAAUGAAAGAGUCAGAAACUAUUAAGCAAUAUUCUGACAGAAUUAUGGCAACAGUGAACAAUAUAAGACUCCUAGGAGAAGAUUUCAAUGACAGCAGAGUGGUUGAGAAGGUGAUUACAACUCUUCCAGAGAGGUUUGAAUUAAAAAUCUCCUCAUUGGAGGACUCAAGGGACCUUACAAAGAUUUCUUUGUCUGAAUUGGUCAAUUCUCUCUAUGCACUCGAGCAGAGGAGAUCUACCAGACAGGAGGAGAACCCUGAAGGAGCUUUCCAAGCAAGGACCAGAGAAGGAUCUAGCUUAAACUAGAGAGCUAAGAAACCUUGGCUUGAAAGAAAGGACAAAGCAAGGAGAGAAGCAUAUAGAGAAGCAGGCAGAAGGAGGUUUCCACCAUGUUUUCACUGCAAAAAGACCAAUCACCUGGAGAAGUUUUGCUGGACCAGACCAGACAUACAGUGCAAAAGCUGUAAAAAGUAUGGCCAUCAUGAGAAAAUUUGCAGGAGUCAUGAUAAGGCACAAGUACAGCCAGUUCAAGCCAAAACUACUGAGGAUGUGCAAGCUCAGGAGGAGCAUGUGUUUACUGCUUCAUGUUUUGCAGUUAACAGCAAGUGCAGCUGGCUUGUGGAUAGUGGUUGCUCACACCACAUGGCUGAAAAUGUAAGCCUUUUCAAGAACCUUGACAGGAGCUAUGUCUCAAAAGUCAGGAUAGGUAAUGGCAACCUGAUUGAGGCAAAAGGCAAAGGUGAUGUGGUGAUUCACACUGGUUCAGGUAACAAAGUUAUUUCUGAUGUACUCUAUGUGCCAGAAAUAGACCAAAAUUUGCUAAGUGUAGGCCAGUUAGUUAGGAAAGGCUAUUCACUAGUUUUCAAGAAUGAUUCUUGUGUUAUAAGUGAUGCCUAUGGUAGGGAGAUAGUCUCGGCACCUAUGGCAGACAAAUGCUUCAUGUUGGAUGUUAGUCAACUUGACAAAAGAGCUUACACAAGCUCAGUGGAUGAUACUGAUCUUUGGCAUAAGAGAUUUGGCCAUGUUAACCUCAAAUCACUUGAUUUGCUGCACAAAAUGAAUAUGACAGAGGACAUGGUGAAGGUAGACACAAGUGAAGGUGUUUGUGAGGUGUGUCAGCUUGGUAAGCAGACCAGGCUACCAUUUUUAGCUAACCAGGCAAGGAGGGCUCGAGACAGACUUGAGCUGGUGUACUCAGAUGUCUGUGGACCAAUGAAGACACCUUCAUUGAAUGGCAGUAAGUACUUUGUUUUGUUUAUUGAUGAUUUGACCAGAUGUUGUUGGGUGUAUUUCAUGAAACAGAAGUCGGAAGUGUUUGACAUGUUUGUGAAGUUCAAGGCUUGGGCAGAAAAUCAAGCAGGCUGCAAGAUUAAGGCUCUAAGGACAGACAAUGGCACAAAAUACUUGUCUGAGAAAUUCCAGAAGCUAUGUGAGCAGGCUGGAAUCCAUCAUCAGUUGACUACAGUCUACAUUCCUCAACAAAAUGGAGUGAGUGAGAGAAAGAACAGGACUGUGAUGAAUAUGACAAGGUGCUUGCUGUUCCAAAGCAAACUNNNNNNNNNNNNNNNNNNNNNNNNNNNNNNNNNNNNNNNNNNNNNNNNNNNNNNNNNNNNNNNNNNNNNNNNNNNNNNNNNNNNNNNNNNNNNNNNNNNNNNNNNNNNNNNNNNNNNNNNNNNNNNNNNNNNNNNNNNNNNNNNNNNNNNNNNNNNNNNNNNNNNNNNNNNNNNNNNNNNNNNNNNNNNNNNNNNNNNNNNNNNNNNNNNNNNNNNNNNNNNNNNNNNNNNNNNNNNNNNNNNNNNNNNNNNNNNNNNNNNNNNNNNNNNNNNNNNNNNNNNNNNNNNNNNNNNNNNNNNNNNNNNNNNNNNNNNNNNNNNNNNNNNNNNNNNNNNNNNNNNNNNNNNNNNNNNNNNNNNNNNNNNNNNNNNNNNNNNNNNNNNNNNNNNNNNNNNNNNNNNNNNNNNNNNNNNNNNNNNNNNNNNNNNNNNNNNNNNNNNNNNNNNNNNNNNNNNNNNNNNNNNNNNNNNNNNNNNNNNNNNNNNNNNNNNNNNNNNNNGCUAGAUAAAAGAGCUCAAGCAGGGAUCCUGAUCGGCUAUAGCUUGGUUAAAAAGGGCUACAGAAUCCUAGAACCUGCUACAAACAAGAUAUUGGUUAGUAGGGAUGUUGUUUUCAAUGAAAAAGGACACUGGAAUUGGGAGAAGGCUGAACCAGAGGCAGUGGCUGAAGAUCUGGCAUUGGACCAAGUUGAAAAUGAUAAAAACACACCUGAAAUGGAUGUAGAUGAUGUUCUAAUCAGAGGCACUCGAUCACUGGCUGAUGUUUAUGAAAGAGCACAAGUGGCUACUGUUGAACCAAGUUGCUUUGAAGAAGCAGAAAGACAGAAGGACUGGAAGCAAGCUAUGAUUGAAGAAAUCAGGAUGAUUGAAGAAAUCAGGAUGAUUGAAAAGAAUCAGACCUGGAGUCUGGUUGAUAGACCAACAAACAGGAAGAUUAUUGGUGUCAAAUGGGUUUAUCGAGUAAAGAACAAUGCUGAUGGUAGCCUAAACAAGUUAAAGGCUAGAUUGGUUGUGAAAGGCUUCAGUCAAAGGUAUGGAUCAGACUACCUGGAAACCUUUGCACCAGUGGCUAGGCUAGACACUAUUAAACUGCUAGUUGCCUUAGCAGCACAAAAAUAGUGGCUGAUACACCAACUUGAUGUAAAAUCAGCAUUUCUGAAUGGAUUCCUUGAAGAGGAGAUUUAUGUGGAGCAACCUCAAGGUUUCAAGGUGUCUGGCAAGGAACAAAUGGUGUACAAACUCAACAAAGCCUUGUAUGGCUUGAAACAGGCUCCAAGGGCCUGGUAUAGCAGAAUUGAUGGAUAUCUGACCAGUUUGGGAUUCGAGAGAAGUCUAAGUGAGCCAACUCUCUAUGUUAAAUUGACUAGUACUGAAAUUUAGCUCAUUGUGUCAAUAUAUGUCGAUGACUUACUGGUGACAGGAGGAGAUCGAGAGAUGCUAAUCAGCUUUAAAGCUAAAAUGCAAUAGCACUUUGAGAUGUCUGACUUGGGAUUGAUGUCUUACUUCUUAGGCAUGGAAGUAACUCAAGCUGAAAAUGGAAUUUGGCUUAGUCAAAAGACCUUUGCUAUAAAGGUUCUCAACAAAUUCUCAAUGGAGAAUUGCAAAGCAACUAGCAUACCAAUUGCUGUUGGAGAAAAACUCUCGAGCCAAGAUAAGCAUGAAAAGGUCUGUGAAACAACCUAUCGAAGUCUAGUUGGAUGUUUGUUGUAUUUGACUGCUACCAGACCUGAUAUAAUGUAUGCUGUGAGUCUACUCUCAAGGUUCAUGCAUUGCCCAAAUGAAAGUCACUUUAGAGCUGCAAAAAGAGUUCUAAGAUACAUCAAGGGAACUUUGUCCUAUGGAAUGCAAUUUACCAAGGCUGAGAACUUAAAGUUAGUUGGCUAUUGUGAUAGUGAUUGGGCAGGUUCUUUGGAUGAUAUGAAGAGCACAACAGGUUAUGCAUUCAACCUAGGCUCUGGUAUGAUUUGCUAGAGUUCAAAGAAACAGGCAGUAGUAGCACAAUCUACUGCAGAGGCUGAAUAUAUAGCUGCUGCAGCAGUUAAUCAAGCCAUAUGGCUUAGAAAAAUCUUAGCUGAUCUUAACCAUGAGCAGAAUGAAGCAACAGAGAUAAUGUGUGACAACCUAUCUGCUGUUGCAAUUGCAAAGAACCCUGUCUUUCAUGGAAGGACCAAGCAUUUCAACAUCAAACUUCAUGCAGUUCGAGAAAUGGAGCAAGCUCAUGUUAUCAAAUUAGUUCAUUGUAGUUCUGAAGAGCAAACUGCUGACAUUUUGACAAAGGCACUCAGUGUUUCCAAGUUUCAACACCUAAGAACUAAGAUGGGAGUUUGCAACAUGCUAACCAAGGAGGAGUGUUGAAGCAAUGGUCAGCAUGCAGCAACCAAGACUGUCGAGGGCACUACAUGCAGAAGCUGCAAGUUCAUCAAGUCAGCAAGCUGUGUUUUUACUUAUUUUGUAUUUUUAAGUUAAUGCAAUGUAACUUAGUUGUAUUUCAACUAUGUUAGGUUUAUAUUUAAUGUAAAACUGAUGGUGAUUGAGCUGAUUAAUCAGCUUUGUUGAUUUGUACAAGUUAAUUAGCUCAAGUUACUAAGUUUGUUAGUGGUAGUAGGUGAAGUUUAGGUUAACCUACUGUUUUGUCAAGUUGUAAGCUUGUUUAUGUAUUGGCUUUGAGCCAUAUUCAGUUUUUUGAAUGAAUUCAACAAGUUUUCAUCCAUAUGCUCUCCGUUUUUAGUUUUGCUUCAAAAUCUAUUUGAGUUUUCUGCAUUGUUUCUGCUGCAAGUCACGAGACUUGCUCAACAAGCAUUCUGUUGAAGCUUGCUGCUGUUGCACUUAGAUCCAACAAAACUACAUAAAUAUGUGAGUCCAACUUAAUUAGAAACAAGCAUAUUCCCCUGUCCAAUCGCAUCAAUAAUAAUCAUUCAACAAUCAUUAUAGUAUAUAUGAAAGCUCCAAGUUGUAUAGAAAAAGGCUUUUUUCUUUAAAAAAAAAAACAAAUUUUGCUUUAGGUUAGAUUUAUGCUGCUGAACAUUUCAUCUAAGUAAAAAUGGUCCACGUCUGCUAGCUAUAUUUAUCAGUUUAUAAAUCUUCAUACUCAUCUACUCUUUUUGAUUGUGUUUGUAAGUAAAGAAGGAAGAGUUAUGAUGUUAUCUUGUAAUGAAAUUUAUGUCAACAGGUUGUCAUUCCUCGUUUGGAGGAUCUGGAAUUGUCCUCCAUUAACAUUCAUAAGAUAUGGCACCACCCAUCUUCCCCAUCUGUCGGAUGCCUAAAUUCCUUGCAAGUGAAGAGGUGUCACAAUUUGAAAUACCUGUUCCCGUCUUUCUUGGUAAAAGAUCUUGUGCAACUCCGACGCCUUGAAAUUUUGGACUGUAAUAUGAUGGAACAAGUAAUAUUCACGGAUGGAUUGGUUGAAGAACAUCAAGGGAGGAAUCAGAUGCUUUUCUUUGAACUAGAAUUGCUGUGGUUAAAAGACCUUCCCAAACUCACAAGUUUCUGCUUUGAAAUUUGCUUUGAAUUCCAAUGUUUGACAGAUUUAGAACUAACAAAUUGUCCAUUGCUAAAAACAUUCAUCACUAAAUGUGUAUCCGAAGGUGAACCUGAAAUUGGCCAACAUGUACAAGCGAGUAACUUGGAGGUUCAUAACUCAUCUCUCCUCAAUGAAAAGGUCAUUUCUUUACGGGUUCUCCUUUUAAUUUAUGUUGCUUCGAUUGAUCUUAUUCAUUUGAAGUUCUUUCUUUUCCAUGCAUAUUUCAGUUAUUAACCUAAUGAAAUGAUUUAGCAGGUUGUUUUCCCUAGUUUGGAGAAGUUGCGGAUUCAGAAUUGUGAUUCGUUAGAACAAAUUAUUGAGCUGCAAGGAGUCAUUGCUGAUGAGUCACAGUCAACAUCAGCUGCUCAGUCUAUUAUGGCUGAAACAGAGACGACCAAGUUUGUAUUUCCCAAACUAAUAAACCUCGGAUUGGAUAAGGUGCCGAGAUUGAAAAGUUUCUACUCUAGGAUGCAUACCACCCAGUGGCCUUCAUUGAAACAAAUGGACAUUAUUGAAUGCCCCAAAGUACAGCUAUUUACUCCACAAUGUCCUGAGAGUCAGGUUGGAAUCUCAAACCAACAACCCUUGUUUUGCGUCAACGAGGUGAGCUCACUAACAGUUUCAUACUCCGUGUUCAUUACUUGAGAUUACCUAUAAAAUGCCUUUUGAAAUAACUAAUAUUCUUACCUUCCUUUUAAAUUUAUGAGAAAGAAAAUGGAAAUGAUAUUCAUUCUGUAGUCUAGUUCUUACCAAUUCAAAACUCUUUGAUCAAUGUUUAAUAUAUUCGUUGCCAUCCAGGACACUUUCCCUGUAUUAGAAGAACUGACACUGAAGACGAAUGAUAUGGUGAAGGGGAUAUGUGAUGGACAGCUCUCAUUGCAGUGUUUCCAAAACCUUAAACUUCUUAACCUCCAAUUCUUUCGUGAGGCAUCCACUACUCUUCCAUAUUCAUUCAUUCGGUCACUACCAAUGCUUCAUAAGCUUGUUAUAGACAAUGCUUCCAUUUGUCAAAUAGUACAAUCUGAAGGACUCAGCGACGAGGAAAGGCAUACAUCAGCAUUCUAUCAGCUAAAGGAAUUAAGUUUGUUUCAACUUCCAGAGUUGACGUUAAAGACUUUUGAACCAUCUUUGCUGUCUUUCAAAAAUCUAACAACACUGGAAGUUUCAAGAUGCCAUGGGUUCAUCAAUUUAGUCGCAUGCUCUACAGCUAAGUGCCUGAGGCUACUAGAAAGAUUGAGUAUAGAUGAUUGUGAGAAGAUAGAGGAAAUCAUAGCGUGUGAGGCUGAAGAAAUUCAAGGCGGCAUUGUAUUUCCCAAACUGAAGUAUUUGCAGCUAAGUUGUCUGCCAUGUCUAGCAAACUUUUCCUUGGCCCAUCACUCGUUGGAAUUCCCAGUCUUGCUAAUGGUGAUGGUGACAAAGUGCCCCCAAAUGAGGAGUUUCUGCCAAGGAGAUUUAAGCACACCAAGGCUGGAACAAAUGCACUUAACAAGAGAUGAGGAAGGUGAACUGCAGUGGAAGGGCGACCUUAACACUACCAUAAAACAUAUGUUCGAUGAAAUGGUACAAAUCAUUUAAAGGAUUUAAAUUCAUGUGUUUUUACAUACAUACAUACAUACAUACAUACAUACAUACAUACAUACAUACAUACAUACAUACAUACAUACAUACAUACAUACAUACAUACAUACAUACAUACAUAGUUAAUUGAACAAUUCUUGGUUUGUUAUGAUCAUGCACAGAAUGUGCAAAAUUCUGAGGUGACGGAGGUUACUGAUCGGUCGCCCAAGCUGGAAUAAGGAAAUAAGUUUGGGUGCGUAUGCGAAAUGCUCAAUUUCGUUUGAAUUCAAAACAAAUGGUAAUUCAUCUUCUAUUUUCAUCAUGGCUUAACUAAUGCUUUAUAAAGUGACCAUAGAGACGCCCUUUUCAUUGUAGGUUGAGUUGCUCUACUGAAGUACGAGGCUGCAACUUUUGGUAAAAUGUGAAAGGUUAUUUCAGUUUUUGUAAAACUACUAUUUGAACUGUUCCAUUUCACAUUAUACCCUCAAAAUUGAAUUUCAAGUGCAUCAUGCAUGGCAUUGGGCUACAAACAUGUAAACUUUUACUAGUAAGGUUGACCCCUGUUUUAAGGAUUUGCCAACUUUUGAUGGUUACCAUAUCAAUGUCAGCUUAAAGCUAUCAAGUAUCUUUACAAAUAUAAUAUAUAUUAUUCCUUAAUGAGGGAUAAAAGUAGGCAAUUAUCUACUAAUGAUACGGCUGAUUCUGAAAAGACGGCCGAAAUUGAAUCAAUGGGUUGUUGGUAUUUGCCUGAUGGAAGAACAGGGCCUAAUGUUAAGUGGAUUCUGAUCAAGUUUUAAAUUUUCAGUUGUAGGCUUUAUUGAUUGUUGCCAUUUGGUUGUUGAUCCUCUGAUUUUACGAUUGACUGUCUCGCUUAUACGUUGCAAGGUUGGCAGGUCUCAAGUAUGAAUUUCCAAGCCGGCCUUCAUCCAUAAUUAACCAAGUGUUCCAAUCCAUGGAGUUUAUGGUUUAUGGUUUAUUAGUGUAACUGUCCAUUUGGUUAUGGAUUGGUUCUUAAGGUGUUUUGAUGCUUUGUAUGUUACAGUGUUUGCUCCAAGCAACACGCUUUAAUUUCUAAUGAAUUUUAUUUGUUGAGGGAAAAAAAUAUGAGGAUUAAUCUGAUAUUUUUAUUUGUAUAUUUUAUAUCCAUUUUAUAAUUCAUAUUUGAGAUUUGUAUUAUGCCCUUAAUAUUUCAUUAUUUAUUGUCUAUGUUACUCAUUGUUGCAAAAAAGAAAAAAAAACAAACACAGUGCAUGCAUAAACCAUAAAAAAAAACAUAAGCAACUAAUAAUGAAAUAUAUUAAAAUGAAGAAUGGCAAUUGAUUUCAGAAUUACCCCAAUUUCGGUAAAUACAUUAAAACAUAUGUCUCUACUCGAUUUCAAUUUCGAAAUUGAAAAAAUUGGUAUUUCUAAAAAUAUCUAAGUUAUUCAAUUAUUUCUAUUUUUGAAAGUGAUAAAUUAAGGACAAUUAAUCACAACGUUAAUAUUUUUCAUCAAUUAUACAUAGUUUUCUUGGUAUAAUGAUAAAUUUAGCCCUCAAAGUUUACACAUUCUAUCAAAUUGUCAUCGAUUUAAAAAAUUUAACCCACAACAUUUACACAUUUCGUCAAUUUAAUCAUGAUUUAACAUAUUUAACCCGUAAUAAUUACACAUUCUAUCAACAUUUACGCAAAAUAUACAAUCAUCAAGGAUUAAAUUUAUUUUUAUACUAAUAAAAAAUAUGUAUAAUUAACAUAAACUAUUGGCGCUUGAUUAAUUGUUCGUGGUUACUUUCAAAAUUGAUAAGGAUUAAUUGUUCGUGGUUACUUUCAAAAUUGAUAAGGAUUAAACUAUUCUAUUUCUUUUAGAGUGACCAAUUUGUUCAAUAUCAAAAAAAUAUUUUUUAUUUUUUUUAAUUUCAUAGGUAAGAAAAUCUCAAAUCACACAAUUAUUAUUUUUCCUUCCAUACCCCUAUGCCACCGAAGAAAAUUUACAAUGUCACACAAUUUGGCUUUAAACCCUUAAAAAAGAGUUGAAUUUAAUCAUCAAUUUUUUAAAAAGAAUUAAAUUAUUAUUUAACGGAAACAAUAAAUUUUGAAAUACAUAUAAUAAUUCACGCGUAUUUCAUAUAUAUUUUUAAUUUUUAUGAUUGUAAUACCAAUUUUUUCUGCCCGGGCCUAUACAAAAUAAAAUACAGCAGGCCCAUCUACAGACCAAACCCAUAUUCAAAAAAAACCUAGCCUAAGAAGCAGCAAGCUUCAGCCGCAUGCCCAACAGCAGCCUCCCUAACUGCCGUCGCAUCCUCCGCGCACGUACACCUCUUCCACGGCCUCCAUACCUACGAGAAAAGCGGAUCCAAACAGCAAUAGACGCAACAAAUAAUGAAAUAGGAUUUUUUACUUUUAUUUUGCUGUAAUUUUGGCUAUAAAAAGCCAUCAAAAAUCUGUAAAAUGGGGGGAACCAAUAUUGUAUUGAGAGAAUACUGAAAUACAAAAAUAGGGAGAAAAUAUUGAGAUUACAAAGAGAUUUUUGAAGGUGAAUCGUGUUUAUUUUUUUCCAUUUUUUCCAUUCUUUUUUAUUUUAUUUUUUAUUUAUUUUUAAUUUAAAAUAUAAAGAAGGGAGGAAGGACUUACCUCUCUCGCCGGAUUCGUAUAUAUAUUUAUAUAUAUAAAAAAUAUUUCUCUAAUACAUAUACAUAUUUUUAUAUAUAUAUUGUUAUUAUUUCUUUUUUAGCUUUUAUAUACAUAUAUACGUAUAUACAUUUAUAUUUCUAUUAUAUUUAUAUAUACAUUCUUUUAAAAUUAUUAUAAACAUUUUAUUGUUCUACACAUUCCAUUAUUUUCAUAUUGCACCUAUAUAUAUAAGUAUCUAAAUAAGUACAUAUUUUCAUGAUUGACCUACUUAUAUACUCAUACAUUUUUAUUUUGUAAAUAUAUGCACGUAUACAUAUGUUUUUUUAUUUUUAUCUUCACAAUUUUCACAUACAUAUGUACAUGCAUAUUAUUAUAAGUUUUGUUUUGUAUAUUUCAUUCCCUUUUAUGUACACUUAUAUUUUUUAAAAUGUAUGCAUAUACAUGUUUUCAAAAUUCAUUUAUGCUUUAUACUUAUAUUUUGAAAACACAUAUAUACAUAUAAUUUAAAUUAAAAUAUUUGUAUCAUAUUGUACAUUACCUUUUUAACGUACCCUUUUUGAAAAUAUGUUUUGGUUUUAACCAUACAUCAAAGUUAUUUUCUCGCUCCAAAGGUUUUUUUUUUUGAAUAAAAGCAAUGUUCGAAGCUUGAGAUUUUCGAGGGAAAUUGAGCCCUAACGUAUUGGGUUCAGAUUUUCUUUGUUAAUCUUAAAUAACCGAGGAUAUUCUUUAUUCAAAAUGCAUGAGCAUAAAAAUCAUUUUUGGGAACUUAACUUGUCGUGCCCUAACGUAUUGGGUGUGGCAUGUUACUUUCUCGAAAUAAAUAUUUUCGCAUGAAAUAAAAGUGAUAUUCAAAGUUCGGGGAUUAUGAGGAAUUGUACCCUAACGUAUUGGGACUCGAUUUCUUUACAUGACUUGAACAAUUUGUUAUCCUUUUACAAAUUUCAUCAUUCAAGCUUAUUUUAAAAUCUUUUUAACUUUCGACACUAAGACAUUAAAUGAUCAAUUUGGUACCGAUUUUGGGCGUCACGAGGGUGCUAACCCUUCCUCGUGCGUAACCGACUCCCGAACUCGUUUUCUCAAAAUUCGUAGACCAAAAUAAUUUUUAAGGUGACCCGAUCACACCUUAAUAAAAGAUCGGUGGCGACUCCAGUUUUGUUUUAAAAGUCGACAACUAAAAUUUUUGUUUUUCAAAAAACGGUUUCGACAGCUUGGCGACUCCACUGGGGACACUAAAGAGUCGAGCCAUAAAUUGGUUAUUUGUUCGUCUUGUGAUCGAAAAUCAAAUUUGGGUUUUAAAAUCAUGAUUUCCCUUCAUUUUUUUUACCAUGGAAUGUUGGUAACCUUGCAUUUGCAUUUUGCAUUUUACCCUUAAGUGGGAGCGAGAAACUAGUCCUUCGUGAGGUUUUCACCUCCGUGCAGGGUAAUGGACCGCUUCCGGGAUACAUCCGUACCUAUGUCUUCGUGAGAUUUUCAUCUCCGUGUAGCCAUAGGGAAAUGUGUCCCCCUGAACCGAACUCGAUCCACAUGAGCCUAUAAUGGGUGAGGAUCGAGGAAUCUGCUGGUCGGGUACCUUUACUCUAGAAACUAAACCUCAUAUAGUGAGCUUUAGGAACUUACCUUAGGUAGAAGUACUCUAAACCUUAGGAGAUACCUGACUAGGAGUUUUUAUUAUUUCUUGCUUAUAUUGGAUUUAAUGUUUAUACCCGAUACUAACUCGUUGCAUUUUGUUUUGAUUGCAUGACAUCAUGAUCGCAUUGCAUUUUCAUCAUAAAAGAGGUGUUGAUUCACGUUCGGUUGUUAAUAGAGAGCUUGUCAUAAGGAAAUGGGUUUCUUGAUAAAAUAGAAAAUAAUACGGUUGCCCGAAUAUGUUCCGAGAAAACACAACAAGAGAAAGAUGAUAGUUUAAUGGAGGACUACAUAACCAUUGCUUCGUUGCCCGAAGACUCAAGCUGAUGAAGGCUAUUCGAGAGCCGCUGAACUUUUUGUUUAAGGGAAGCCAACGAGCAUCACGACGAUAAAGGAGCAACGAAGAACAGUCCGGAUCAAGUAAAAUGGAGAUAGAAGAGACAUCUAUUUUGAAGAAUUCACAAGAUUUAUCUUAGCAUCCAGAUGAAGAAGGAGAAGAUGUCCUCGCUUGGAGCAUGAGGGCAAAGCCGUAUAUAUAUAUCUGCUUUAUGUAAAGAAAUUUAUCUUCUAGAAAAGUUUUCUAAAUAGAAUUGAAUCAGAAUCAACGUCUCUUUUUGCAUUCAUCAAAUGCAUUUGCAUUACAUAGCAUCAUAUGCAUUAAAAUCCAUUGAAAGAGCCUAAUUAAUUAAAAUUAUUGCUUAGUUAACCUGGAAACCAACCAACCAACCCGACACCGAUACGGCACUCGAGCAAAGACAAAAGAUAUGGAUCAGAGAUUAGAGAAGCUCGAACAGUACCAGAAGGAGAUGCAAGACCGGCUUCAGCUACAAAUGCAGGAACGGUUAGACAAGAUGAAACAGGAGAUGUCUGAGAAGAUGCGGAAUCUCAAGAGGACAUAGUGGCAAAGUUAACCCGAUUGAUAACUAAAGGAGGUGAUAAAGGAAAGGGCCCCAUGGCAGAUGUCGAUGAGGGAAAUGAUGAUGAACUUUUCUAUCCUCCAGGUUUCAUCCCUCCACAUGAGCGAACUCAAGCUGAAUACCCGUGCAAAUCUACUGUCACCAUCAUGCCUCAGCAAUUUCGAGCUGGUAUUUCGAACCACCAAACUGGGCCGAGCUUUAAUCCUGAAAAUAAUCCUAUUAACUCUGCCAUUCCUGACUUUGAUGAAGUGGUUGAGAAGGAAAGAAUGAAGGAAAAGUUACCGAAACAGUUGGAAGAAAGAUACAGGUGGCUCGAAGAGAAGUUCAAGGCGAUGGAAGUCACUGAAAGUUAUCGAGGCAUUGACGCAAAAAAGCUGAGUUUAGUGCCAAAUUUAGUACUCUCUCAUAAAUUUAAGAUGCCUGAAUUUGAAAAGUACAAUGGGACAAGCUGCCCAGCAGCUCACAUCACCAUGUUCUACAGGCAAAUGGCUGGAUACGUUAACAAUGACCAACUAUUGAUACACUGUUUCUAAGAUAGCCUAGCAGGGGCAGCAUCUAAGUGGUACAAUCAGUUGAGUCGUGCCACGGUUGGUUCAUGGAGGGACUUGGCGCAAGCAUUCAUGAAACAAUAUAGUCAUGUGACAGAUAUGGCUCCUGAUAGAAUCACCCUUCAGAAUAUGGAGAAGAAGCCGAGCGAAAGCUUUAGGCAGUAUGCACAGAGAUGGAGGAAGGUCGCAGUCCAAGUUCAGCCACCACUCUUGGAAACGGAAAUGGCCAUGCUAUUCAUUAACACCCUAAAAGCACCUUUCAUCACACAUAUGUUAGGAAGUGCCACAAAAAGCUUUCCUGACAUAGUCAUGAAUGGUGAAAUGAUUGAGAGCGCUAUAAGGAGCGGGAAAAUUGAGACAGAUGAGAGUAAUAAGAGGUCAAUCUCAAGAAGAAGAGAAAAUGAGGUGGACAACACGGGUUACUCUAAAUCAGUUACUGUGAGUCAAACAAGAAAGGUGGUUGGUAAUCAACAGAAUUCAUCGAGGCAAGAUUCCGGCAUAAAGACUGAGAGGCCCCAAUUCACGCCAAUUCUGGUACCGUAUAAGGAACUGUAUCAAAAUUUGUUUGAUGCACAUGUUGUUUCCCCUUUUCAUGUGAAGCCUCUACAACCGCCGUAUCCUGAAUGGUAUGAUACGAACACACAAUGUGAAUAUCAUGCGGGAAUUACGGGACACUCGAUUGAGAAUUGCACUGCCUUCAAGAAGCAAGUUGAAAGACUUAUCAACAUGGGUAUUGUCAAGUUUGGUGACUCGUCCAGCGCAGGAAAUCCGCUACCCAAUCAUGAUUGAGGAUGGAGGGACUGCAAUAUAUGAAGAAGUGGUGAGAAAUUUGCACAUCGAUGCGGACACAAUUAAAAGGGUCCUUGUUAGAUAUUCGCCUUAGAGGUGUUCUAAAUAAUGGGACUGCAAAGGAAACCCCUAAAAUAUUUAGAGUCUGUUAGAGUAAUGUUAAGAACACACUUGUUGCUUUCAGCCUAGAAGCAAUAGGAGUUUCUUUGUGAAAUAGGCUCACGUCUGAACAUUAUUAUUUUAAUGAAAUACAUUAUUGCAAUCAUCUUUGAGCAAAUGUUCUUUCAUUCUUUACGAUUUCUUUAUUUUUUUUCCUUUCAGAUUUUUUCUGCCAAAUUAUUCGUUCAUUCGUUCAUAUUAUUCAUACAUUCUUUUGUAUAUUCUUUGGUACCCACUAUGGGUCCCCAAAUAUCAAUGACAUGAGUGACGCUGCUACAGACUCAAAUCGCCUUUUGAGUGAGACAUGUGUUUAGAGGGAUCUCAUGGCUUUGAAGAUGUCAUAAAUUGCAGCUUAUCUCCUAACUUGUUGAGGAUGGUAAAGCAAUAAGAGAAACAAAUGAGACAGCAGAGACUACGACCUUGAGAAAACAUGCAUGACCGAAGAAUAAAGCAAGACGUUGCUGAGUUACUUCAAGCAUCCAAAGAUGCCUUCGCAGGGUCAUACCAGAAUGUGCCCGGUUUAAGCGAGGUCAUUACAAUCUGAACAACAGCACGAUAUCAAAAGUUUGCAACAUGUUCAAGGUGAAUAUCAUGAAUGGUGCAAUGAAAACUCUACCGGGGCAAUGCCACUCUUUCCAGUUUAUCACGUUUUUUCAUUGAAGUUGAAAUUCUUUCUAUUCGAGUUUUGGCUGAGCUAAGGUAGGAUGAAGAUCCAAUCCCGAUACGAUUAGUUGAACUUAGUUGAAGAAAAAGGCUAGAAACUAUUCAUCAGGCUCAGAUGCACCAAGAAAUGAAUGAUGCGAGCCUAUAGCAAAAGGUUUGUCCCAGAGAAUUCCACGAUGGCAACCUAAUGCUAAAGAAGAUCCUCACUCUACAAAAAAAUAUAACGGAUGCCAAAUUGGGAAAAAAAUUAUGUUAUAGAGAAGGUCUUUUCCAAAGGAGUUUUGAUUUUGGGCGAGAUGGAUGAUAAACCUGCAAAGUCCUGUAAACUCAGGUUCAGUCAGGAAAUACUCCGCUUAAAGAAUGAGAUGACCAAGGUGAAAACCCACAAAGGGUGCUUUGAGUCCAAAAAAAUAAAAAUAAAAAAAGAGAAAAAGAGGAAAAUGGAGAGGCUAAGGUGAAAACCCGUAAAGGGCGCCUUAGACCAAAGGGGAUUUGAGUUGAAAACCCGAAAAGGGCGGCUCAAAUAUUGAUUAGAAUGGGGCACGAGAUUAUCGGAGUAGCUCAAAUACUGAUCAGAAUGGGGCAUGCAAUGGUCUUGCUAUACCUAAAUCAACAAGAAAUGGUAGGCGACAUCUUGGGGCAUCGACAAAGUAUUCCUAAACGCAUGUCAAACUCAGAAUGAUCUUCAGAAAGUCUGUACAGCAAAGUUCAAGCUGCGAUAUUUGGGGCACCUAAUUCUUAUAUUAUUUUUUGUUAUUCUUGGAACACUUCAUUCAUUUCCAAAAUACGCAUUCCUAAAUCAAUUUCUUUAUUAUCCAUCUUUAUUAUAUUUGACAAUUUAUUCAUUUCGAGCUUUGCUCAGAACCAACUCUAUUCUUAUCCAUGGUCUUUUUGCAAGCAUGUUUCAUUAGAAUAAUGAUUCAUAGACUAAUAAAACUUUCACAAGGGAAGUUUUGCAUAUUACUCUAGAAGUUUCUAAAUAAUAUAGGAUCCUCAAACAGGACUAUUGUUUAGAAUGCACUAGGUUGGAAAUCUGAUAAGGAAAAGUCUAAAUUAAGACUAUCCCUUUGAAUUUUCUUGUCUAAAGUAUUAAUUGAACAAAAUGGCAAGAUGUCGUGUUGGUGACAAAGCUUCAAUGAACAAGCAAGCAAUGAUCACCGGAUAAUAAUAAGAAGUUGUUCUUGGAGAAGAUUACUUUAUUUGUGCAUGAGCAUUUGGUACAACACCCUGGGAAUGGUGUAAGAGACCAAAGAGUUUCACAUCCUUGAAUUGUGAUAGUGGAGGAUUAAGAAAAGGCCAAAACUUUUUACUCUCGGGUUACAACGGGAGGAAGAUGGUACAAAUUUUCGCAUACCAUUGAAUCAAACUUGGAGGUUUACAGUGGGGGCAACCUGGUCAAGUGUUUCUUUGGAGACGCCAGCCGAGCAAAAGGUGCUAUAGCACAUUAGCGAUGAAACUUUAAAUAAACUUUGAGUAAUGAUAACCUAAGUGAAAAUGAGGGAUCAUUCUCGAAAAAAUGACAUUCUGCAUUCAUUCAAAUGUCAUUCAUACACGCCUAGUUAGGAGCAUUUGAUUCAUUUGAUCAUGACAUCCUAAUCAUUAGGCAUAGUUAGGUUCAUAAAGUGAAUUAUACAGGUCAUGUUCCCUAGAGAACAGAUCGGUGAAAUCAUAAAGCCUUAUCUCCCUGAACAAUAGUGGAGCAGGUUGAAAAGCAGCAGGUCUUGUCUUCCUAUAUUGGUAGCGAAGUGGAUCGAAUAUACAGAUCUCGCCUUCCCAUACUGGUGGCGAAGCAGAUCGAAGGAAAAAACAGAUCUUGUCUUAUGGCGUGAAGUAGAUCAAAGAUAACAGAUCUCGCCUUCCCAUACUGGUGGCGAAGCAGAUCGAAGGAAUACAGAUCUUGUCUUCAUGUACUAGCGUGAAGUAGAUCGAAUAUACAGAGCUCGCCUUCUCAUACUGGUGGCGAAGCAGAUCGAAAGAAAGUAGAUAUUGUCUUCAUGUAUCAGCGUGAAGUAGAUCAAAGUCAACAGAUCUUGUCUCCCCAUACUGGUGGUGGAGUAGAUCAAAGAAAGUAGAUCUUGUCUUCAUGUAUCGGCAUGAAGUAGAUCAAAGUCAACAGAUCUUGUCUCCCUAUACUGGUGGUGGAGUAGAUCAAAGAAAGCAGAUCUUGUCUUCAUGUACUGCAUGAAGUAGAUCAAAGAAACAAAUAUUGUCUCCCCAUACUGGUGGUGGAGUAGGUCGAAGAAAACAGAUCGUGUCUUCAUGUACUGGCGUGAAGUAGAUCAAAGAUAGUAGGUCCCGUCUUCCUAUAUUGGUAGCGAAGUGGAUCGAAUAUACAUCUUCCCAUACCGGUGGCAAAGUAGAUUGAAGAUUACAGAUUUUGCCUCCCUAAGCAGUAGUGGAGCAGAUCGAAGAUGGCGGAUUUUACCUCCCUGAAGUUGCAGUGGAGUAUAUUGAAGCCAGUAAUUCUACCUCCCCGGUCGGCAGUGGAAUCGAUUGAAAAAGCAGAUCUUGUCUUCAUGUAUUGGCGUGAAGUAGAUCGAAGAAAGUAGAUCGAAGAAAGCAUAUCUUGUCUUCCCAUACUGGUGGUGAAGUAGAUCGAAGAUACAAGUCUUAUCUCCCUGAAGUUGCAGUGGAGCAGACUGAAGUAACCAAUCCUAUCUCAUUGAAGUUGCAAUGGAGUUGAUUAAAACCGCAGAUCUCAUCUCUCUGAAGUUGCAGUGGAGCAGAUCGCGCCAGAUUUAUCUUUAAGUUGCAGCAGACCAAAUUGAAACUAUAAGUCUUGUCUCCCUGAAGUUGUAGUGGAGCAGAUUAAAGAUAGCAAAUUUAGUUCUUUUGAGAAGCUACAAUGUAUGAAUCCUAUCUCUUCGACAUUACAGUAGGAGUGGAUUGAAGCACCAGUUCCUAUACCUCUGGAGAUGUAGUGGGAAGGAACGAGGCUACUAACGCUAAGGUCCAUAUGGCCGGGCAAAAAUUGGUCUUUUUAAGUCAUUGCUCUAUUCUCGUCACACGAUAACGAGCAAAGAGGGGCAGCUGUAAUACCAAUUUUUUCUGCCCGGGCCUAUACAAAAUAAAAUACAGCAGGCCCAUCUACAGACCAAACCCAUAUUCAAAAAAAACCUAGCCUAAGAAGCAGCAAGCUUCAGCCGCAUGCCCAACAGCAGCCUCCCUAACUGCCGUCGCAUCCUCCGCGCACGUACACCUCUUCCACGGCCUCCAUACCUACGAGAAAAGCGGAUCCAAACAGCAAUAGACGCAACAAAUAAUGAAAUAGGAUUUUUUACUUUUAUUUUGCUGUAAUUUUGGCUAUAAAAAGCCAUCAAAAAUCUGUAAAAUGGGGGGAACCAAUAUUGUAUUGAGAGAAUACUGAAAUACAAAAAUAGGGAGAAAAUAUUGAGAUUACAAAGAGAUUUUUGAAGGUGAAUCGUGUUUAUUUUUUUCCAUUUUUUCCAUUCUUUUUUAUUUUAUUUUUUAUUUAUUUUUAAUUUAAAAUAUAAAGAAGGGAGGAAGGACUUACCUCUCUCGCCGGAUUCGUCGAGUCGGCGCUAUCUCCGUCACAGUCGGAGCCUUGGCGCGAGGCUGAGCGACGGCGUUCGAGGGUUGAGGAAACCCUAAAAGGGUCUGGUUUCUCCUCUGGAAAGGGAAACCCAAAAGAACAAAUAAAUGUUCUUGUUUAAUUUUCUUUUGUUCUUUUAGAAGCUAAAAGAUGGACAAAGCAGGCCGUUUGGUUUUUGGGGUGGGGUCCGCGCAUAUCAACCUUAAAUGGGAGAUUUGCGCUACUAAUCCCUCUUUUUUUUGUGACGUGUUUUAAUCAAGUCCACUGUUUUUUAAAAUUUGGCCCAAAUAUUUUGCUCGCGUGACGAUUUAAUCCAUGUCACUGCACAGUGCUUCAGCGAUUUGGGAAAAUUACUUUUUAAGUCCUCCUCUCAUGGCGCGCGUAUCAUUUUGGUCCUUCCUGGUGUUUUCUAUUUUUAAAUUUGGCCUUUUAACUUCGUUUAGCUCUCAGUUUAAUCCUUAAUGGUGCUUUUUAAGGUUUUUUUUUGUAGUUUAUUUUUUUAGUUUUUGUUAUUAUUAUUAUUAUUAUAUUAUAUAGUAUUAUAAUUAUACUUACAUAUAUACGCAUAUGUAUGCUAAUAGAUAUAUAUAUAUAUAUAAAAUAUUUCUCUAAUACAUAUACAUAUUUUUAUAUAUAUAUUGUUAUUAUUUCUUUUUUAGCUUUUAUAUACAUAUAUACGUAUAUACAUUUAUAUUUCUAUUAUAUUUAUAUUUUUUUUUUCAUAUUUUAUAAUAUAUAUACAUUCUUUUAAAAUUAUUAUAAACAUUUUAUUGUUCUACACAUUCCAUUAUUUUCAUAUUGCACCUAUAUAUAUAAGUAUCUAAAUAUGUACAUAUUUUCAUGAUUGACCUACUUAUAUACUCAUACAUUUUUAUUUUGUAAAUAUAUGCACGUAUACAUAUGUUUUUUUAUUUUUAUCUUCACAAUUUUCACAUACAUAUGUACAUGCAUAUUAUUAUAAGUUUUGUUUUGUAUAUUUCAUUCCCUUUUAGGUACACUUAUAUUUUUUAAAAUGUAUGCAUAUACAUGUUUUCAAAAUUCAUUUAUGCUUUAUACUUAUAUUUUGAAAACACAUAUAUACAUAUAAUUUAAAUUAAAAUAUUUGUAUCAUAUUGUACAUUACCUUUUUAACGUACCCUUUUUGAAAAUAUGUUUUGGUUUUAACCAUACAUCAAAGUUAUUUUCUCGCUCCAAAGGUUUUUUUUUUUUGAAUAAAAGCAAUGUUCGAAGCUUGAGAUUUUCGAGGGAAAUUGAGCCCUAACGUAUUGGGUUCAGAUUUUCUUUGUUAAUCUUAAAUAACCGAGGAUAUUCUUUAUUCAAAAUGCAUGAGCAUAAAAAUCAUUUUUGGGAACUUAACUUGUCGUGCCCUAACGUAUUGGGUGUGGCAUGUUACUUUCUCGAAAUAAAUAUUUUCGCAUGAAAUAAAAGUGAUAUUCAAAGUUCGGGGAUUAUGAGGAAUUGUACCCUAACGUAUUGGGACUCGAUUUCUUUACAUGACUUGAACAAUUUGUUAUCCUUUUACAAAUUUCAUCAUUCAAGCUUAUUUUAAAAUCUUUUUAACUUUCGACACUAAGACAUUAAAUGAUCAAUUCGGUACCGAUUUUGGGCGUCACGAGGGUGCUAACCCUUCCUCGUGCGUAACCGACUCCCGAACUCGUUUUCUCAAAAUUCGUAGACCAAAAUAAUUUUUAAGGUGACCCGAUCACACCUUAAUAAAAGAUCGGUGGCGACUCCAGUUUUGUUUUAAAAGUCGACAACUAAAAUUUUUGUUUUUCAAAAAACGGUUUCAACAAUGAUUUUUUUUCAAAAUUUUGAUUUUUGAAUAUUAUUAGAAAAUUAUUUGGUACAUUGUUCGUGGAGUUUUUAAACUCCAACAAAAUUAAUAGGUUAACAAGUGUCUUACAGGGGUAUAAUAAAAUAUUAAAAAAUAAAUAUUUAAAAAAAAGAUAUAUAUCAAUUUUUUAAAGUUACUUGUGGAAUAAAAAUAAUAUAUUAUCGGCGUACCAAAUACUCGCCUUUUUAAUUAAGAUUCAAAAAUAAAAAAAAGUUAGUAAAAUGAAUGGAUUGCAAAUUGAGAAAUUUGAUAUUGAAUACUAAAAUUUUCUUAAAAGAAGACAUAACAAGAUACGAAAGUUAGUGACUUAUUUGAUUUAAUUUUAAUUUUUAAAUUUAUGCAUUUUAUUAUGAAUUUUUAUUCUUUGUUGACUUUGUAAAAUUUGUCUGCAAUUUCCAAUUUUCAUUUCUCAUAUGAGUUUGAGAUAUAAAAAAAAUUACUCUUAAGAUUGGUGAAAUAGGGGUUACAGUCGAUACAAGAGUUCACUUUAUGAUAUGUGUAAUGAUUGUGUUCUUCGAAAUAUUGUUUACAGGUAGGAUAUUGAAGUUUUAUUAUUAGAGUUUCGUUAAAAGGUCAAGUGUUCUAUUUUGGCCUAAGACUCUAGGAGUUCUGUUAUCAAUAUUCUAAUUAUAAUCACGAUCUGUAAAAAAUAUAAGUAACAUGUGACAUGUAAAUGAAAAGUUUUAUGGUAUGAUAAGCCAUAAAUUAAGUGAAAAUGUUAGAAAGCGUAUGAUUAUAUUAAAGACAAAAAUAAUUAAUUUAGUUUAAUGAUUUGUAAAAUUGAAAAGUGAAAUGCAUGAAUUAUGUAAGAGAAUGUUCAUGAUCGAUAUGUGGUAUGUAAAUGACAAGGAAAAAAUUAUAUGACCAAAUAGUAGAAGUGAAUAAUGACAUUAGCUAAAUACUUUGUAUGUUCAAUAGUAGGUUGCGUUAACAGGCCUGCCCUCUAUGUGGCUUGGCUGUAGUUUAUUGCACCUUUGUACUUCUUUCUUUUAUGAAUAAAAUCAAUGUUGAUUAGAAAAAAAAGAAAACAAAAACAAAAACAAAUAGUAGAUAGCAACAAACAAAGAAAAAGAAUCUCAUGCCCCACUAACAUUUUUUUUUGUACGUUUAGUCAAAAUGAAUAUAAUUAAAAAUAUUAAAUAGAUGCCAAUUGAGGUUUAGUGUAGUUGAUAUUGGUAUUAUUAACUUUGCUCAGUCCAUAUUCCCAUAAUAUACGAUGGUCAUAUGUGAGUUUUAAUCUAGUUAAUUUAAUUUGUUGGCUUUAGUUUUGAUUGUACCGACUUUUAUUCUCGUUCUGCUCUAAUAAUUUGAUUCUAUUUUGUAAUUCUUUAUAUAAUUCGUGCUGUAAUGUUUGAUACUUGUAACAAACAAAUACAAUUUAAAAAAUAGCUAGUAUUUGGUACACUGUUAGAAUAUUAUUAUGAGAAAUUAUCUUUUAGGAAUAUCUAAAUGUAUUGUAUAUUAUUAUAUAUCUUUUAAGCAUAUAUUUAGGAAUAUAUUAUAUAUCUUUUCUAUUCCUACAUGACUACUGUUGUAUAAAUAUUAUGUAUAUUCUUGAAGCUUAUCAAUAAGAUUGAAAGGAAUUAUUACCCUAUUCUUAUCAUGGUAUCUAAGCUUGAUGUUUAACAAAAAAAAAAAAUCGUUGUUUGGUAGACUUCCUUUAAUUGAUGAUCUUUGUGUGUUUGGUUGCGUAUGUUUUGUUCAUAAUCAACAUUCUAAAGGUGAUAAGUUUAUUAGUCAAAGUCAAAAGCGUGUUUUUGUUAGCUACCAUUUUGUCAAAAAUAAAUAAAAAUAUAUUUUAAUAUAAGACAUUUUGGGACUGUUGACAUGUCAUUUCUGAGUUGUUUCCACGAAAUGCAAUCGAUACAUAAAUUAAUCAAUAGAAUAGCAUCGACUCUCAAAGACGAUAUCUAAACCUUGGAAACAUUCUUCCUUAUUUCUUGUCUUUUUCUACUUUGAUUGUGAUGUGAUUUGUUUGAUUCUAACCACUCCAUUAAAUAAAUCAUCCAAAAACAUAUAUUAAUGCGAGGAAUAGGUGGUUGAAGAAAGAGAAAGCAAAAAUAAUAAUAAUAAAAGGAAAUUAAUUAGGAAAAUGACCUUAUAUGAAAACACUCAUACAAUUGGAUAACUCAUUCACUCCACCUUUAAGAGGAGAAAAAGAAAAACCUUGUUUAUGUAAUACAUGGAUACCUAAUAAUUCAUUUAUACUUUGGUAUAAGACAUUUUGGGUUGUUAUUUCUGGGCUGUUUCCAUGAAAUAGAAUCGAAACUUGCUUUCCUACUUUUAAAGCAACUAAGAAGUCGUCUUUCUCAAUUUAUUACUUUCUGGCUAUGCUCUGUUAAGAAGAAAAACACAGAAGGGGGAAAACUAUCGGUUAUUGAUCAAAGCCAAAAGGUACUCCAUCUGCUUUUCUUUUCCCUGCUUUGCUCUUACUCUUUUGAAAUAAGCUUAGGCAGGCAGGUUUAACCAUGAGAAUAGACUUCUUUUAUGCUUUAAAUCUCUAAAAAGGGAUGAGUAUUAGGAAUGCUGCAUAAGCACUUGUGUUUGGGAUGUAUCAACAACUUGCUGCUUCAUGGUUAUUCAGAGGUUGGGUGAUUUCUCUUGUAGUCGACCACCUUUUUUUUAUUCGAUGCUUUAUUUCCAUUCAAAACUAUGUAUGGUUGGAAAGCUGGUUUGAUAGUCCACUAAAAUUAUAUGAAGAAUCAUUUAAAAAAACAAAUUAAAUAUAUAUUUUUUAUAUAUUUAAAAGUGUUUGUUUAUAUAUUAUUUAGAAAUUGCUUUUAUAACAUAAUAUACUAUUUUGAAAUUUGGAAUUUAAUAUUUAAAGAAUUAACUAAUUUAAAAAAUGUGCAGCGAACUAAAAAAAAAGAACAUUAAUGAACAAAAAAUUUUUUCUUAUAUAUUGUAAAAUUAUUGUUAGAAAUUUUUAGUAUAACAAAAAGAUAUUAUUGAUAUUAGUCACUCUUAUAUAAUGUAAAAACUAAAAUCAAACUUCCGUAAUUAUUUAUAUGAUUAAUAUUUUAACGAUUUAACCGUUUAAUUUAUCAAUAUAUAUAUAAUUGUACUUGUAAUGCAUGUAAAUUUUUGAACUGAUUCGAUAUCUCUAUCGUAUCGAUCUAAAAUAAUCUAUACACUAAUAUAUAAUCAACGAUUGAAUUUUUUUUACAAAAAUAAAAUAGUUAGAAGUUUUAAAUUUACAUCAAAUUUGACAUGUAUAACCUAUAUGAAUAGACCAUAAAAUAUAACAGUUGGAUCGUUAAAAUAUUAAUUAUAUAAAUAGUUACGGAAGUGUGUAAAAUUCCUUUAGCUUUUACAUAUAUAAGUGGAUCCUUCUCCUUAAUGUUAAUAAAUUUUAAUUUUGUUAUCACAUAAUAUUAAAAAUAUGAAUUAAUAUUAAAAAAUAAAUAAAAAAUAUAAAUAUAAAUAAAGUGAGUAUUUGGUACACUGACAAUGUACUUUUUUUAUUCCAUAAGUAGUCUUAAAAUAUUGACAUAUGUCUCUAUCUUUUAAAUAUAUUACUAUACAUUUGUAAGAUACUUGUCAACCUCCUGACCCUACUUGUAGAGUCUAAAACCUCCACUUACUAAAUAAGUUCCACAAUUUAUUAUUAAUAUUUAUUAGACAAAACAUGUUAUCGAACAAAAUAAAUUAAUUAUUAAUAAACACAUAUGAAAUAAAAUAUAAAUAGAAUGAUUUAUAAUUAAUUUAUUAAAUAUGAAUCAAAUAAAAACAUAAGAAAAAGUUGAAAUAAAUAAGAAUUGAGAUUUUACGAAACAUUGAGGCCUGUGAAACACAGUUUCCUUAAGAUAGAUUUGGCCGCUCCUACGGUACUUGGAGAAAUGUUAGUCGAAAGUCUCCCAGGAAACAAUAACAAAAGUGAUCAAAGUAGUAAACGAACGAAUUUUGCCUUUUUCUAUCACAAGAAUGUUUGAAAACAGAGAGGAAAAGGAAGAGUUUUUAAAUGAACAGAAUUUUGGCAUAAAAAAUUAUUUGACUGUGUUUAAUCCUCCAGAAUACACAACCUUUUAUAGGCAUUUAGGAUAACGAGCAAAAAAUCAAUUUGAUUUAAAAAUUAAAUCAAAUCAGAUACUGUCCAUAUAUAAGCAGAUUAUGUCUACUGAGGAAAAAUAAAUUCGUGUUGGGCAUAAAAUAUCCGCAAGGGUUAAAAUAUCCGCAUGGGCCCGACCGGUCCAAACAUUUCGCGUUGCCCACGUCAUGCAGGUGCACUCAACCCCAUUAGAUUUGGACCUACACCCCCCUUACGCUUGAGACAAUGUUACAAGCUUCGUUAUUCAAUUAUUUUUAAAGAGAGUUCACAUACAUAAGCACAUUGGUAUUUAACCAAUGUGGGAUCUGAGCCUUUACUUUUUCUCAACAAUAUUUUCAAGUAGCUUACUUUGAGCAUCAAUUUCUCAUUCACCACUCAACCAUUUUGAGCAUAUGAUAUACCAUUGUAAAGGUCUCAUGGAGUAGAAUAGAAACCGUAAAAUUAUGAUUCAACUCUCCACUUUUAACUAUUGAGAAUAUGCCUCAAAGUUUCCAUAAAAGUAAUUCUUCCAACAAUAUUUUUAAACUCCAUCAAUAAGGUCAAGAGAUUGACAAGUGUUUUAUAAGAGUAUAGUAAAAUAUAAAAAAAAUUAAAAAUUUUAAAAAAGAGACACUUAAACUUUUUAAAAUGGCUUGUGGAAUAAAAAAAUAUUGCUAGUAUACCAAAUAAUCACCCAUAAAUUAUUGCUUUAAUCAAAAUAUAAGAAAUAGGUAUAAUUUUGAAUUAGUUUAAAUUAAUUUAAAAGAAAUUUAAUUUCAUGAUAAAAAAUUUAUAUUUCAAAAUAAUUAGAAAGAUUUAAUUUUUAAAUAAUAAUUAAAAAAAUUUAAAAGAUGUGUUGUAAAAAUAUUCAAAGUGUAAAAAGGCAAUUUAUUCCUUCAAUGCUUAGGAAAAAGUAUUCCUUAAAAAAAGAUAAUUAUUAGAAAAUAUCAUUAGAUAUAUGUCUAUAUUAAUAAAUAGUUAUCUAUUAACAAAAUCACUUUAUUUGUCAUAAAAGUAACAUUAAGCACAUAUUUAUAAUUUUAAAAUUUUAACCCUUCAAUGGUAGUUAAGAUUAUGCAAAUGAGUUUUCUUUUUCUUUCUUUUUUUUAAAAUAUAAGAUAAUUCAAGUUUUGGUCUUCGUUGUCGCUGUGGUUAUUCAGUUUGCUCUCUCAAUGGAGUUUGUUAUUGCCAUCGUUGGCUCUAUUGUCGCUAAAGCUGUAGAGAAUACGAUCUCUCCUAUCAAAAACCAUGUCAAAUACCUUUCCAAUCAUCAGAAAUAUGUUGAGACCCUCAAGAACCGAGCUAAUAGGCUGAAAGAUGCAAGGGACGGAGUACAGAAUUCUGUUGAUACAGCUAAACGAAACGGUGAGGAGAUCGCAGGUGAUGUUGACAAAUGGCUGUCUGCAGUCGACGAAAAGAUCCUUGAACAAGUAGAGAAAGUGAUGCAAGAUGAAGAAAAAGCAAAGAAAAAGUGUUUCAUUGGUUUGUGUCCCAAUUUCAGGACUCGUUACAAGCUUAGCCUGAAAGCUGAAGAGGAGGCAAAGGCUGUUGCCGAGCUACUUGAACAUGGCAAGUUUGAAAGGGUUUCCUAUCGUGCAGCUCCGCAAGGUAUCGUGGUUGCACCAGUUAAAGGUUAUGAGGAAUUCGAGUCAAGAACGUCGAUUUUGAACGGAAUAAUGGAGGCACUAAAAGAUGAUAGCGUCAGCGUUGUUGGGGUGCAUGGUACGGGUGGGAUUGGAAAAACAACGCUGGUCAAAGAAAUCGCUAGAAAGGUAAAGGGCAAGUUGUUUGAUUCGGUUGUCAUAGCAACCGUAACUCAAGCCAUCGAUAUUGAGAAGAUUCAGAACCAAAUUGUAGACUUCUUGGGCUUGCAAUUUGAGGAACAGAGUAUGGUUGGAAAGGCAUUUCGACUACGAGAAAGAUUGAAGGAAGAGGAGAGGAUUCUUGUUGUCUUGGAUGACAUUUGGGGAAAGGUUGAUAUUGAGGAAGUAGGGAUUCCUUUGGGAGAUGAACACAAGGGCUGCAAAUUACUAUUAACUUCUAGAGAGCUCAAUGUUUUAUCAAAUGGGAUGGAUGCUCAGAAAAAAUUUCCCAUUGGGUUUUUAAAUGAAAAGGAAGCCUGGGACCUGUUCAAGAAGAAGGCUGGCGACUGUGAUGAAAGUUGCGAUUUGAAGCCUAUAGCUAUGGAGGUAGCCAACAAAUGUGCAGGACUACCGAUAGCCAUUGCGACAGUUGCAGGGGCUUUGAGAAACAAAAGAUUGUUUGAAUGGAAGAAUGCUUUACGAGAACUGGAGAGGCAUUCGUCAAGCAACUUCAUGGGGAUAGCUGCGGCAUAUUCAGCUAUAGAGUGGAGUUUUAAUUAUUUAGAAAGCGAGGAAGUUAAGCUGACUUUCUUGCUUUGCAGUGUAAUAGGCCAUAAUGGUCUCGUUGAGGACUUGGUAAGAUAUACUCUAGGUUUGGGUUUAUUUGAUGGUGUCCUCACUAUGGAAGAAGCUAGAAAUAAAGUAUUGACGGUUGUGGCUAAUCUCAAAGCGUCUGCCUUGUUGCUUGAUAGUUAUAAUGAUAAGCGCUUUGAUAUCCAUGAUGUUGUUUGGGAUGCUGCUAUAGCUAUCGCAUUGAAGGACUACCGUAUGCUUGUUUUGAGAGAUCAUGCUCCAAAGGAGUGGUCCGAUAAGGAGAAAAUGAAGACGUGGAAUGUGAUCAGCUUACGUUGUCCUCAGAUUAUAGCUAACCUUCCUAAGGAGAUGGAGUGUUCAGGACUUUCCUUUUUCCGUAUGGCCUAUGAUGGCGCGGUUAAAAUUCCUCCCAAUUUUUUCAAACAAACCGAAGACCUCAAAGUCUUAGAUUUGUUCGGAAUGCAGUUUCCAUCCCUACCUGAAUCAAUUAUUCACCUCACGGACCUUCGCAUGUUGUGUCUAAAAGAAUGUGCAGUUGAUGACAUCACCAUCCUUGGAGAGCUCAAGAAUUUAGAAAUCCUCGACCUUUCUAAGUCAGGUAUCAAAGAAUUACCUAAGGAGAUGGCACAAUUGACUCAAUUAAGGUUGUUAGAUUUGCGUUGGUGUAGAGAACUCAAAAUCAUCCCACCGAAUAUCUUAUCAGGUUUGUCUAAAUUAGAAGAAUUAUAUAUGAGGGGGAGCUUUGUUGAAUGGGAGAAGGGAGGAAUAGUUGAAAAUGAGAGGAAAAAUGCAAGCCUUGAUGAAUUAAACAAUUUGCCUUGUCUAACUACUUUAUAUGUUCAUAUUCUUGAUGUCCAAAUGAUACCAAAACACCGGUUUGUUGAAACAUUAGACAGAUUCAAGAUUUUCGUAGGUAAUUAUGGAGCAUAUAAUUGUUUCCAUAAUUAUGAAUCUCCGAAAACAUUGAAGCUCAUGUUAUAUACAAACAUUGAUUUGGACAAUGGGAUGAAAAUGUUGUUGAUAAAGACAGAAGAUUUGUGCCUAGAGGGACUUGAAGGCGUCAAGAAUGUAUUUGUGGAGUUAAAUAAUGGGAAAGAUCUUCCCAAUUUAAAGAGACUUCAUGUCAAAAAUGGUAGGCAUGUCCAAUAUAUCAAAACGAACAAAAUUGGAUUUUCUGAAUUAUGCUUCAUCAAACUUGAAAAUCUACCGCAACUCGUUAGCUUUUGCUCUCCAGACGAAAGGUGUUCCACUAAGCCCUUACUACUUUUCAAUAAACAGGUAUUUGUUUGGCUUUACUUAUAUUUUCUUAUACAACUUUUAUUUAUAUGCCCAUUAAUACUUCUAAUAAUAGAAAUAAAUAAUAUUGUGUAAUGAUUUUUUUGGAGCUAAAAAAUAAAUUUCAAAUCCAAAACAAAUGAAAAUUUAAUUUUUAAUCCAAAUCGAUUGAAAGUACAAAAUCAAUUCAAUAAUCUAAAUUUAAACCCAACAAUUUUUUUUAAUUCUUAAAAUGAAAUUUGAGCCCACAAAUUGAACUAAAAUUAUCUUUAAAAUUGAAAAUCAUAUUUUCAAAUUAUGUUACAUACUACCUUUAUUUUAAAAGAAUUGUGUGUAAAUAUGUGCAAUUUAUUUUCCCUCAAUCGAAAACCAGACAUGUCAUUGGAUUACGAAUUUGAGGAGGUUGAUCAUCAAAGGAUGCGGCAAGUUGGAGCAUCUGUUAUCACCCUCUCUCGCUAGAAGUCUGGUGCAGCUCCAAUACUUUCAGAUAGAGGAUUGCAAGUGCUUAAGGGACAUAAUACUUACAGAGGAAAUUGAAGAAGAAAGGAAAGAUGUGAUUUGUUUCCCUCGAUUAAACUCCCUGCAUAUAGUGGGUCUUCCAAACCUCAUCUUCUUCAACUCAGGAAACCACAAUAUUGAGUUCCCAUUGUUGAAAGUGCUAAAGAUUCAGCGUUGCCCCAAGUUAAUAGAAUUCAUUAGUCAGAAUAGUAAUCAGUCCGGCAUGCAAGCUCUCUUCAGUGAGAAGGUGAUUUAUUUCAUUAGUCUUACACUCUUGCAUAAAUCUGUUGAUUUGUCCUUGUUUUUUUUUUCUGCCUUCAUUAUUUGAGUUAACCUUAUUAUGGGCAUGGAUUAUAUAUAUAUUAUAUAUAUGAAUAGAUUGCAGUUCCAAGCUUGGAAGACAUGAAUAUCUCUAACUUGAGUAAUGUGAAGAUGAUAUUUUAUAAUGACCUAGCACCAGAUUCCUUUAAAAAUCUACAAAAAAUAAGUGUUUGGGGAUGUGGGAGUUUGAAAAAUCUAUUUCCAGUAUCAAUAGCCAAAGAUCUUCCACAACUUGAACAUUUACGCAUCACUGAUUGUGGAGUUGAGGAGAUUGUAUCGAAAGGGGAUGGAGUGGAGGAGCAGCCUGUGAGGUUUGAGUUUCCGCAAGUGUCUUACCUUGAGGUUAGUGGGGUAGAAAAGCUCAAAUGUUUCUAUGAAGGGCAACAUACAAUAGUCUGGCCGAUGUUGAAAAAAUUGACAACAGAUAGUUCUGCUUUGCUAAAGAUAGUGGCAUCGGAACAUCUUAGAUUAAUCCAAGGAAAUGAGCAGCCAGUUUUGCUGGUUGAAGAGGUAAGUAUAUCAUUACAACUAUAUUUCUUUUUAUGAUUUAAACCACUGCGACAAGCAUCUCAAGUUUAUAUUUUGUUUGAUUUGAAGUUUUUUUUUCAUAUUUUUGAAUUUUUAAUAUGUAUAUUUUAAUUUUUUUUGUUACAUUUAUAAUUAUUUUUUCAAUUUUUAAAAACAAGACUUAAUAAAUAUAAUAGGUAAAUAUUGAGUGUUAAUCUUGAUUUUUUAGAAUGUAGUUCAAUUUGAUAAAAUGUAUAAAUAUUGAGGUUUAAAUUUAUUAUUAUGAAAAAAAAAUGCUACAUUAGCAUCCUGUUAGGGACUUUGCAGCCUAGCAAUUAAGAUAUUUAAUUUCUCUAGCAACAGUGAUUAAAUUGAAAUUUUAGUUGUUUUUAAGUGACCAAAAUGAAAAUAUUUUAAGAAUUAAGUGACUGUAUAUGUGGGUCAAAACUAAAUAGAACGUUUAGUUUGCUAAAAAAAAUGGCCACUCAAUAAAAAGUCAAAAUUUUAAAAGUUAAUUACCCUGGACAUCUCAAACUAUGACCUUCAUUUUAAAUUAGUCCCAAAAUUUAAAACAUUCUAAGUACAUCCUUAAACUAUUGAGGUUAUAUCAAUUAGGUCUUUUUUUAUUAAAUUCGUUAAUUUAACCAUCAAAUUAAGUCAAUCUAAUAUUUUAAAACCUUGGUGUUUUAUCUACACUGUUCUGCUUAUAUUUUUUUAUCAUAGAAAUAUAUAUAUAUAUAUAUAUAACAAUGGUUGUUUAUCUGUUUUAAUCUAGAUUUGCUACUCUUCUUUCGGCUUUCAUGUUGUGUAAUUUUUAUCAGUUUUUAUUCUCAAGGUAUUGUGUUUUCUUAAAACAAAAAAAUCAUCUACUCUGGAUUCAUUUGAUUUAAUAUUGAUUUUGUUGGGAUUUAAUCAUCAAAAUCAAACACUAAAAUUGUAAAUCUUUUUUGUUUGUUUGUUUGUUUAUUUAAAGCAUAUACAUCAACAUUGAGCCUAACUUGUAUAUAUUUAAUUGGUUUCCAAGGUCAUUCCCAAAUUAGAGGAACUUGAGUUACGAAAUUUUGGUGAUGUGGACCAAUUUCCACCAGACUUGUUUCAACGUAUUAAAGUUUUUGCAGUGAGUGGUGGCUCUCCAUUUUCUUUAUUUCCUUUCGUCCGAAGAUUCUACAAUCUGAAAAGACUUGAGGUUUCUAAUUUUGAUUUCAAACAUGUAGUCCCUUGUAAAGAAGACGUCGAGACUCUCCCAUCAAUUAGAAAUCUGAAAUUGGUUUCUGCCAGAAAUCUUAAGCAUAUUUGGAGGAAAGAUUCGGAGCUUGACCAUAUUCUUUCUGAUCUUCAAACACUCACAAUUCACAAUUGUGAUGAUUGGAUAAACAUUAGAGUCUUCUCAUCAUCUUUACAAAAUCUCACAAUUUUGAAUGUGUCACUUUGUAAAAUGAUGACAAACUUAGUUACACCCUCAGUACUUAAGAAUCUUGUGCAAUUAACGACAAUGAUCGUAAGAGAGUGCACUAAAAUGACAGAAAUAGUGGGAAACGAGGGAGACUGUCAUCAGACAAUAGUUGUUAGUAAAUUGAAAUGUUUACAACUAUGCAAUUUGAAGAGCCUCACAAGCUUUUGUCCGUGGUAUUACAACUUCGAGUUUCCUUGUUUGGAAGAAUUAGUUGUGGAACAUUGUCCUUGGUUAAAGAUCUUUUCUGAGGGAGUUUUAAGCACCCCACAAUUACAGAGAAUAAAACAGUCGCAUUACCGUGAGAAAUGGAGUUGGACAAGUGACCUUAAUACCACCAUACAACUGCUCAACACAGAAAAGGUACAAAGUUAAUAAGUUCAUAAUGCUAGCUAGAUUCCUCAUGUCCUAAUACAAUUAAUUUUAUUACUACUUCAAUAACCAUUGAAGAUUGUUAAUCGUUAUUUUGUUAUUGUCUCCAUUUUCUAUUUAUGAUUGCUAUCUAGUGGAAUAAUAUCAGAUUAAUUUUUAGGAUGGACUCUAUGAUUUCAACAUCUCUGACACAUUUCCGGAGUCGAUAGAAAUAUGGACUAGAAACCCUCAAGAAAUUUUGGUAUUCAAAAACUUUAGCAUCCUGCAGUUUUAUAAAUGUAGCAGCUUGAAGUACAUAUUUACUCCGUCUAUGCUUUUGAGCCUCAAUCUACUACGAAGGAUAGAAGUGGAAGAAUGCAGUUCAAUGGAACAAGUAGUUAGGGAGGAGGAGGAAGCCAUGACACAUAAAUUUACAUUUCUGUCGCUACUCUCCGUAACAAUUAAGUCGUGUUCCAACUCGACAAAUUUCCAUUUGGGAAGUCAAGCUCUUGAAUUUCCAGAGCUGAGGAAUAUCACGAUAGAGGAGUGUCCAAAAAUGACUGCAUUUUCUUCCUCAGUUUCAAGAGAGAGUGGUGAUGCAAGUGAAAGCGUGGUUGGCGAAGGGGGCAUCUAUGAUAACACUGCAACUUUUUUCAGCAAUAAGGUAAGUUUGGUAUUCAAUAUUUAUCUGCACAACUUAUUUCACAUUUUCUUUUGAUUUGAUCAACAUGAGUGUGUCUGGUCUAUAUAUACAUACUAGUGCUACACCUUGUCAAAAUUGAAUAUAAUAAAAUCCAUAUAUUAAUAAAUAAGAUAUAUUUAAAAAAAAGUUGAAGUUUAAAGUAUAAAUAAAUUGUUGGAACAAUGAACAUAUAUAAAGGAAACAAAACAGUUUCUUGAGCUUUAAGGCUCGAGACUUGCAGAACAAACAAUAACAGAAUUAAGCAUGUAAGAACCAAAUGAAACUAAGAUUGAGAGAGUAUUGAAUGAACAAUUCUUAGAGGAAUUUUCAUUAACUGAAACAAUGGCAUAAUGCCAAUACAUAUACCAGACAUGAGCUGGUCAAGGAAAACAACUUGAUUACAUAAACAUCACCUACUAUCACUAAGUAACCUUAGAACUAAUAAAACAUAACUUGCACACUUAGUAAAGCUGUUUUUUCAGCUCAAACAUUGACAAAAAUUCAUCAAGUGCGAUGACAACUUGGUUCAAAUCAAACUAAGUUACAAAAUGUUGAUCAAAGUAACAAAACUAAGCUAAAACAGCAUUACCAUCUUCAGCUGCAACAUGCAUGGCUCGGGCAGUUUCUGUUGCUGCAUGUCAGCAUGCUGGCCAGCUUCAACACUCCUCCUUGGCUUGCAUGCUGCAAACUCCCAAUCUCAUUCUCAAAUGCUCGAACCUUGAUAUACUAAGGGGCUUUGUCAGAAUGUCAGCAAGUUGAUCCUGAAAACUGCAAUGAAUCAGUUUCACCUCAUUAGCUUAUUCUAUUUCCCUAACAAAAUGAAACUUAACCUUGAAGUGCUUUAUUUUUCCAUGGAACACUGGAUUCUUUGGAAUUACAACAGCAGACUGGUUGUCACAGUUGAUCUCUGUUGCUUUCCUUUGGUGUAAAUUCAAGUCAGUCAUGAUCUUUCUUAGCCAAAUGGCUUGGUUAACAGCAUUAGCAGCUGCUACAUACUCUGCCUUAGCUAUUGACUGAGCAACUACUGUUUGCUUCUUUGAACUCCAACAAAAAAUAGCUGAACCAAUGGUAAACAGAUACCCUGAGGUGUUUUUCAUGUCAUCUAUCGAUCCAGCCCAAUCACAUCUGCAUAUCCAAACAGCUUCAUGCUUUCAGCCUUGGUGAACAUCAUUCCAAAGCUCAGCGUACCUUUAAUGUACCUGAGAACUCUUUUAGCAGCUUGGAAGUGCUUCACAUUACAGCAAUGCAUGAAUCUAGAUAUCAGACUUACAUCAAACAUAAUAUCUGGUCUGGUGGCAGUCAAAUAGAGCAGGCAUCCAAUCAAGCUUCUGUAGGUUGAUUUACAAACCUUUUCGAAAUCACCUUGGCUUGACAGCUUCUCUCCAACAACAACUGGAGUGCUUGUUGCCUUACAGUUUAGCAUGGAGAAUUUGUUCAGAAUCUUCAAGGUAAAUGCCUUCUGACUUAGGAAGAUCCCUGAUUGAGUUUGAGACACUUCCAUGCUAAGGAAGUAGCACAUUUAUCCUAAAUUAGACAUCUUAAACUUUUUCUCUAUUUUUCCUUUCAAAUCAACCAGCAAUUCAUGACUUUGACCUAUCACAAGUAGGUCAUCAACAUACAAGGACACUACAAGCUGUGUUUCAAUACCUUUCUUCUUCACAUACAAGGUUGGCUCACUGAUGCUUCUCUCGAACCCCAAGCUAGCCGGGUAGCUAUCGAUUCUAUCAUACUAGGCUUUUGGUGCCUGUUUUAAGCCAUACAAGGCUUUCUUCAGUUUGUACAUUUUGUCCUCUUCACCAACAACUUUGAAACCUUCAGGUUGCUCGAUAUAAAUCUCUUCUUCAAGGAAACUAUUGAGAAAAGCUAACUUUACAUCGAGCUGAUGUAUUUUCCACUGCUUUUGUGUAGCCAAAGCAACCAGCAGCCUGAUUGUGUCAAGUCUGGCUACUCGUGCAAAUGUUUCAAAGUAGUUAAUACCAUACUUUUGACUGAAUCCCUUCACUACCAGUCUUGCUUUCAGCUUGUUCAGAGUUCAAUCAGCAUUGUGCUUGGUUCAAAACACCAAUUUCACUCCAAUAAUUUUCCUAUUGACUAGUCUAUCAACUAGCUCCCAGGUCUGGUUCUUUUGAAUCAUGUUCAUUUCAUCGAGCAUAGCCUGUUUCCAUCCUUGUUGAGCUUCAGCUUCUUCAAAACAACUUGGUUCAACUGCAGCCACUUCAGCUCUUUCAUAAAUUUCACUUAAAGGUCUGGUUUCCCUGAUUGGUUCGUGGUCAAUAUCCAUUUCAGGACCAUUUUGAUCAGCUUCAGUCUAAUCAGUUAGCAGAUCUUCAGUAGCAACUUCUAGAUCAUUUUUAUCCUAAUUCCAUCAUGUCUUCUCAUGAAACACAUCCCUACUUACAAAGACUUCAUUAGUUAAAUGAUCUAGGAUCCUGUAGCCUUUCUUCACACUGCUAUUGCCUACCAGGAUACCUAGUUGUGCUUUCUUGGCUAAUUUAUCCCUCUUAACAGCUAAGACAUGUGCAUAGCAUAUGAAGCCAAGGACCCUCAGAUCAACUAGUAAUGGUUUGAACUGAAACCAGGCUUCAAAUAGAGUUUUAUGAGCCAAUGCUUUUGUUGGCAGUCUGUUUUGAAGAUAUACAGUAGUGUUAACUGCCUCAGCCCAUAAGGUUUUUGGCAAAUUCUUCUCAAACAACAGACAUCUUACCAUAUCCAUCAGGUUUCUAUUUUUUCUUUCACUAACACCAUUCUGUUGUGGUGUAUAGGUGUUGGUAAGUUGAUGCUUGAUGCCUUUUUCAUCAUAGAAACUCUAAAACAUUACUGAGGUAUGCUCUGUCCCAUUGUCUGACCUUAAUGUCUUCAGAUUGCAACCUGUUUCUGUUUCUGCUGCAAACUUGAACUUCUAAAAUACUGAGGCCACUUCUGAUUUUUGUUUUAAGAAGUAAAUCUAACAAUACCUCGAGUAAUCAUCAAUAAAAAGAAUGAAAUACUUGCUACCAUUCAAGGAUGGUGUUUUCAUAGGGCCACACACAUCAGUAUGAACCAACUGCAGUUUUUGUGAGGCUCUCUGGGCUUUGUUCAAGGGAAAUGGCAGUCUGACCUGCUUUUCUAAUUGACAUACCUCACAAACAUCCUCAUUCUCAACAGAAUUGGUGAAAUUUUCCACCAAAGCUUCUUUGGUUAGUUUAGCCAGUGAGUUGUAGUUGACAUGGCCUAACUUCUUGUGCCACAGCUUGGAUUCAUCUAGUACUACUAUGUAGGCACUGUCUGAGCUCUUAUUCUAGUCUACUACAAAACUUCUAUUAGCCAUAGUUACUAACAUAAGCUUAGAUCCACUUGGAUCACUGAUCAGGCAUUAUUUGCCUUUGAACACAAUUAAAUAGCCCUUUUCUAGCAACUGAGCUAUAUUAGCAAGUUUCUGUCAAUUUCAGGUACAAACAAGACAUUUGAGGCAAGUUUGUUACCUGUUGAAGUGUUAAUCAGCACAUCUCCUUUGCCUUCUGCCUUGAUGAAGUGUCUAUUUCCAACCUUCACCCUUGUUUUGAAGCUUCUGUCGAUGCUCUUGAAGAUUGCAGCAUUAGAAGUCAUAUGGUUUGUGCAACCACUGUCUAUCAGCCACCCUUUUAUGACUUUUCCUUUGGCAGCUGAGCAAGACACUACAAAGACUUGCUCUUCCUGGUCACUACCUUGUUUUUCCACUUGAGCUUCAGCUUUUGGCUGUUGAGGUUGACUUUGUCUCAGCUUGCCUUUGUUUCUACAAACUUUCUUAGAGUGACCCAUCUUUUUGUAGACUUUGCACUGCACAUCAGGCCUAAACCAACAAUUUUCAGUUGGAUGACUGAGUCUUUUGUAGUAUGGGCAAAGUGGAUAUCUCAUUCCUACUCUAUCUCUUCUAGGCUUGUUAAGCCAGACUUUUCUCCAUUUAUUGUCAAAGAAGCUUGAGACAAGUUUGCUCUUGGCUUGAAAGGUACCUUCUUGAUGCUCCUCUUGUCUUCUAGCCCUUCUUUGCUCUUAUGCAUAAAGAGCAUUGAUCAGCUCAGUCAAAGAGAUACUUAUCAGAUCUCUUGAAUCUUCAAGGGAUGAGACCUUGGCUUUAUAUCUCUUGGGUAAAGUUGAGAUAACCUUUUCUACAAUUCUUGCUUCACUAAACUGGUCCUCAAGCAAUCUAAUACUGUUCACUAUAGCCAUGAUUUUGUUUGAAUACUGCUUCACUAUUUCUUCCUCCUUCAUCUUCAAGUUUUCAAAGUCCCUUCUCAAAGUCAGUAGCUGUUGCUUUCUUAUUCUUUCAGUCCCUUGAAACUCUUUCUUUAGCUUAUCCCAGGCUUGCUUUGGUGGCUCACAAAUUAUGAUUCUUGUGAAAAUCACAUCAGACAUACUGUUUUGAAUGCAAGACAUAGCCUUGUGUCUCUUAGUUCAUUCAUUUGCAUGCUGCCUGAUCUAAGCCAUUAUAGGAUUGGCUCUUAGAGGUGCUAGUUCAAAAUCUGAGUUAACAACUUCCCACAAGUCAAAUGCCUGCAGGAAGGUAUUCGUUUCACUACCUAAAUGUGGUAGCUUUCACCAUUGAACACUGGUGGUAGAGCUGGUGAGAAUCUAGAUGAAGACAUGGUUCUUGAACUUGAAGAAUGAUAGGUCCAUUGAGAAACAUGCUCUAGAUACCAACUGUUGGAACAAUGAACAAAGAUAAAGGAAACAAAACAAUUUCUUGAGCUUUAAGGCUCGAGACUUGCAGAACAAACAAUAACUGAAUCAAACAAUUAAGAACCAAAUGAAACUAAGAUUGAGAAAGUAUUGAAUGAAAAAUUCUUAGAGGAAUUUUUAUUAACUAAAACAAUGACAUAAUGCCAAUACAGAUGCCAGACAUGAGCUGGUCAAGGAAAAUAAUUUGAUUACCUAAACAUCACCUACUACCACUAAGUAACCUUGAAACUAAUAAAACAUAACUUGCACACUUAGUAAAGUUGUUUUAUCAGUUGUUUUAUCAGCUCAAACAUUGACAAAAUUUCAUCAAGUACAGUGACAACUUGGUUCAAAUCAAACUAAGUUACAAAAUGUUGAUCAAAGUAACAAAACUAAGCUAAAACAGCAGCACCAUCUUCAGCUGCAACAUGCAUGGCUCGGGCAAUUUCUAGUGCUUCAUGUUAGCAUGCUGGCUAGCUUCAACGUAAAUAUAUAAAAUAAGAAUUGAAAGGAAAACUUAAAGUUAAAUACUAAUAAACAAUAAGAAUUUAAGAGAAGUUUUAAAUUAAAUACUAAUAGACAAUAAAUAAUAAAAUAAUAAUAGAAAAAAGAAAACUAAUCUUCCUUUAUUUUAAUUUGUUGGUGUAUAAGAAGGAGAUAAUUGUGGAAGACCUUCACAAAGGUCAUUUGAGAUCAAAGGAGAAGAAGCAAGAAAACAAAAGGUUAGGAGUUUGAAGAAGAAAGAACCAAAUAUAUAGAGGAGAAUUGAAGUGAGAGGUAGAUGGGUUUUAUUUAAAGAUUUAAUGCUUUUUUUUUAAUUUCAUAUAUAGAAAAAAUCAUUGAAAGAAAAAAAAGUUCAAUAUAAUUAUUUAAAUUUACUUGUCGGGUUUUUAUAAAAGUAACUCAAAUUUUUGAUUAAUUAUGAAAAUGACUCAAUUUAAAAAUUAUGUACAUAAAUUAUUCGAUUUCUAUAGUGUUUUUCAGUGCCGCCAGACACAAUGGCUGCACCGACCUACCAUCAUUCACUAAUGAUUGUAUUUUAUUUAAAAAUAAUAGUUUUUUAGUAGUGCCGUUGGAAAAACUGGCGGUAUCAAACUGAAGUGUGAUUAUAUAAAAUGUUCAUAGGCUUGACGAAGUAAUUACCCUUUUUUAAUUAGCGGAAAAAGGGGUCUUCGUGUGAAUAUGGGGCACCAAAUUAAAUGCUCUUCAUCUUUUGGUCUAUUUGCAUAUUAGGUCUAUCCCCUUUUAAAAUUAAAUUUAAAUAACACUUAAGAAAUACAAGAAUAACAAAAAUAAACCAUUCUCAUUUUUUUUAUUUUUUUUAUAAAAUUCUUAUUUAAGUUACCCAAAUAUACCCCUCACACAAUUUCCUCAAGUUUAUCUAAAUUCAAGCAUUCUCAAUUCAUUCCCUAGUAUAUUUAAAUUUAGAUAAACUUAAGGAAAUUUUUUGAGGAAUAUAUUUGGGUAAUUUGAAUAAGAAGUGCUAUUUAAAUCUAAUUUUAAAAGAGGACAAAUGUAACAUGAAAAUAGGUCAAAAGUUGAAAAACAUUUAAUUUGGUUCAGAUACGAACGACAACCCUUUUUCAACCAAUCUAAAAAUGUUAACCGCUUCAAAGGAUCCCUGCACAUUUUAUAUAGCCACAUUCAGUCUGGUGCCGUCAAUUUAUUAGGCAACACCACUACAAUUUUUUUAAAAAAGCAAUCAUUGGCUGAUGAUGGGGGCCGAUGCAGUAAGCACUAUAGAAAUCAAGUCAUUUACGAACAUGAUUUUUAAGUUGGAUCAUUUUCGUAAUUAACCAAAAAAAUUUGGUUACUUUUAACUGUCUAGUUGAUGUGUGAAUAUUAACCUUUGGAUCAGUUUAUAAAUCUUCAUACUCAUCUACUCAUUUUGAUUGUCUUUCAAAGUACAGAAGGAAGAGUGAUACUAUCUUAUAAUGAUAUUUAUGUCAACAGGUUGUCAUUCCUAGUCUGGAGCGUCUGGAUUUGUCCUCUAUCAACAUUCAUAAGAUAUGGCACCACUCAUCCUCCCCAUCUAUGGGAUACCUAAAUUUCUUGAAGGUGAAGAGGUGUCACAAUUUGAAAUACAUGCUCCCGUCUUUUUUAGCAAAAGAUCUUGUGCAACUCCGAUUCCUUCGAAUUUUGGACUGUAAUAUGAUGGAACAAGUAAUAUUCACGGAUGGAUUGGUUGAGGAACAUCAAGGGAGGAAUCAGAUGUUUUUCUCUA